CAGACAGGCAAGGGCCAGUAUGAUACCUGGAGUGUAGAAGCUCAUGUAGGGCAGGACGCUAAAGUAUUUUCCAGACUCACCAACCUUCUUAAGCUGCCCAGAAUUGAGCUUGAUCAUAAAUAAGCCAACACGUGUGCUAAUGAAGAUGACACCCAAACCCUCCGCAAAGCCGGACACAAAUGGUUUGUCAUCAGGAGUAUUGGCAACACGAAUUGUUUUCUCCAGCUCGAUGACCCUGUAUUGUACCCAAUCAGCAGCUUCUUCUGUAUCCACCUUCCUUGACCACAUAUAAAGGCUGGAACCCCGAAUGCAGGAAAAACCCAGUGAACUGCUCUCCAUGGCCAUGAGGGCGAUGUAGUACACGUCCUCUGCCGGUGGCUCAAUCAUGGAUAAGCAAUUCUUGCCCAAGUCAUACUUGACGAUUGGAUUACCCCACCGAACUGUGAAGUAGACUGCAUCUCCAACAAGGGUGCCUCGCCUAGGCUGGAGAUAGGGUAUGUAGUAUGCUCUAUCUGCAAGCCCCUCUCGCAUAUGCUGGGCAUAGACUUCACAGCUCUUGUCAAGACACACAGGCUCGCUCCACACACCCGUCUCUGAUGAGUAGACGCUCGCAAAUAUGGUAUCUUUGUAGUCGUGGGUGGCCGCGAAGACCACGCGGAAGGGGCCGCCGUGGCAGUCGAGGUGGUCGCAACCGUCGGCGGCACAGAGCACCACCGCAGACUCGAUCAGCCAAUCGAUGUCCGGCGAUGGCACGCUGUGGCGCUCGCCCGUGACGGGAUCCGAGACGAGGUAGGCCUUGUCGUCCGUCCUCAUAUACAUGAGGACGCGGCCGUGGCGGCAGUCGAGGGCGCGCUCCCAGGGGUCGCCGUUGCCCGGGUGGGGGAAGUCCGGCAUCGAUGUGGUAGAGGCGAAGCUGCGCGCGGGGCGUCCUUGGAAGAUCUCGAGCCUGUGGAGGAGGCCGAGGAGGGGAGGGGUGCCGUGGAAGGUGCGGUAGCGGCGGAUGAAGCCGGGGUCGCAGAGGAUGCGGAGCCAUGUCUUGCAGACAAGGGCGGUGCGGAAGAGGUGCUCGGGCUCGUCCGGCGGGAGGCGGAGGAGGAUCUCUUCGAUGACGUCCCCGAUCAGCGGCGGGGGCGGGAUUGACGGCGCCAUGGUGGACGGCGGAGCGGAGCGAGGGUUUUGGGUGGGGAUUGGGGGAGUCUUUGAAAUGAGGAUUGGGGAAAAGUCGGAGACGCAGGGGCAGGCGCACACUCUUCUUUUUCGGCGCCUGAGUUCGACCAGAACCGGCUUGAUCGCAUGAGUUUUUUUUUUAACACAGUCGCAAGGGCAUAUACUCAUCCCUAUAAAUAUAAAGGGAAACACUUUAAAUCAGUAGUCUGAUUAGAAGUAUCCUUCAGACCGAUGGACUGCCGUUGAUUCUAACUGAAUCUUGCGGUCCAACAAUGUUAUGUUUUCAAAAAUAAAAAAAUGCCAUCUCGUAGCAAACCUCCUGCAUCCAUCCAUAAAUCCCUCCCAACAACUCGGCCGGAUAUCCCUCCCGAAUCCUCUCCUUCUCUCACGCGCCCGCACGGCGCACCUCCCCGAUCUUGUAGUCAAUGGUAACACCCUAUCCUCUCUGAUGGCAGAGCACAUCGCGCAUUCCUUCACACCUCGUCGUCAGCCACAACAACGGAGCAGUAAUCUCACCGUCCAGAUCCGUUCCUCUGCUCUUCUCCACCCCUUCGUCUCCACUAAUGCGAGUAUGCGACCCCAGGCGACAUCGUUGGUGCGCCAUCCCGUUGAUAAGGGGUCGAGACCCUAUCUCUUCUACCUCCGACCACCACAGAAACAGAAGUUAACACGUGUGCUCCUCUUCCUCACCGAUUUUCUUUGUAAUGUUACAAUGAUUGAAUUAUCUUAUUCUUGAUUUUUAUGUGCUUGAUCAGUAGGAGGCCACGAUGUGCAUCCUAGCAAGGAGGCUCCAUAUGCGUUGGUGCCUUCGCCUCUAGCUCCAGCCCUUCUCGACAUUGCCGAGAGCACGCCUGACCGACUGCAAAAAACGAUGCCUCGCGUCCUCGGCUCAGCUAGGUUUAAUUUGAUAUACUCGACCAACCUACUUUGUUGUAAAGGAGGCCCUCGGCUAAUGGUGUGCAUCCUUGCUGCAGAGCCGCUCCAUCCAUGCAUGCCACUCUUUUCUAUGUGCAGUUAACCAUGGUCCAUCAGGAUAGAAAGGAAGCAAGUCCACCAUCAGAAGGAAGCACGAGUACUAUUGAAAGAAGCACGACCAACAUAAGAAGGAAGCACGAAUAGCAUGCAUGUCAGAAGGAUGCACUCCCCCCAUCAAAUGAAAGCAUAACUACCAUUGCACGGAAGCACGACCAACGUCGAAAGGAAGCAUGGUUGACCAUCAGCCCGAUGGUGUUUAAGUUGUGCCUUAGAUGCCACAGUUUUGUUUUAUGGAAGCAAAUCGUGUCAAACCAAAUGUAGUGUUUCAAUGAUAAAUAAUUCUAAUUGGAAAUAAAUAUCCUUGGAAGCAAUUUAGUGGUACAUUGCAAACAAUUCUUUAGCCUCUGAAGUAUAUUUUACCGCAUAAAAAACAAGAUAAAUAUGAUGGUGCAUUGGACAUAAUAUUUUGCCAAAAUGGAAACAAAUUCUCUAGCUGACGGAAACAAAAUGAAUUGUUGAAUUCCUAGCCCUCCCUACCAGCCUAUAUGCUUCAAAGCAAAAAAAAGACAUGUUUCCACCUAUCACAAUACGAGUUGCUUUCCUUGGUGACCGCCACACAAGUGCAAAUGCACUGCUUCAGACGCAAGUUCAAAUACAUGCCAAAAGAAUUUAUAAAGAAUUGAAGCACGAGGCAUCGAAGAACAAGAUGAAAAUCCGUUUCAAAGCAAAAAAAGCUCACAGUGAAAGUAGUGAGAAAGAAAAGAGAUGAGUAAAUAUCGCUAAAUAGAUCUAACGUGAUUUAGGGCAGUGAUUGUUAGGAAAUAAAGUACAUGCAAACUAACUUCAUCCAGACCCACAAUAGACGCUACUUGCCAAUCUCCAAGCUAUAGGAAAUUUAAUUGAAAUUUAAUUCAAGGAUCGUGGACUAGUCUGAUGGGAAGCAAGGCAUCAGACGUCUGAUGCCUAGUGGCUCCCAAACAUAAAUGCACACAUCUUCUUUCUAUGAGUAUUUUUAAGAGAUGGAGCCGGCAUAUCAUUUUGAAAUUUAUGGCAUCUCGUCAUUGACAGAAACGUCUCCUUCCAUUAAAUGUGCAUCGCCACAAAUCCUGAAAUAAAUUAGAAAUAAAUACAAGCAUCAGAAUUUAAACUCUAGUGAACUAAGGAUACCACGGGUCCUCUAACCAUCUAACCAUAGGUUGGUUUGCUUGAGCGCAUGAGUUGGCUCAUCAUGGUUCAUAUCUACAUCCCGGUCUCUGGACGCGCCCUGGAACAUUUAGUGACCGAAUACGUCUUAAAUAAUCUCUUUCACAAUAAUAUACCUUAUUUGUAAAUCCUUAAAUCCAUAUUAUACAUGUACGUUGAAAAGAUCGAUAUGGUUGACUAGAAGGGAGGUGAAUAGGCAACUACUAAUUUUUAGCUCUUCUUAACAAGUUAGAGAAAGAAACACAAAGAUUCUCUAAAUUAACUACUAGGUGAGCAACCUAUAUGAUGUUAACUACCAUGACAACUAGUGCAAACAAGAAAUACACAACAACAAUAAUAUACACAAAGUAAAGUAAGAGAUAACCGCAAGUGGAACCGAUGAAAACGAGGAUGUGUUACCGAAGUUCCUUCCCUUUUGACAGGAAGUGCGUCUCCAUUGGAGCGGUGUGGAGGCACAAUGCUCCCCAAUAAGCCACUAGGGCCACCGUAUUCUCCUCACGCCCUCACACAAUGCGAGGUGCCGUGAUUCCACUAUUGGUGUCCUUGAAGGCGGCGACCGGACCUUUACAAACAAGGUUGAGGCUAUCUUCACACAAUGCUCGGAGGCUCCCAACAAGACCAGGGAGCUUCACCACAAUGGAUAUGGCUCCGAGGUGACCUCAACUGUCUAGGGUGCUCAAACACCCAAAAGUAACAAGAUCCGCAAGGGAUUAGUGGAGGAAUCAAAUAUCUCUUGGUGGAAGUGUAGAUCUUGGCCUUCUCAACCAAUCCAUAGAAAAUCAACAAGUUUGACUGGCUAGGGAGAUAGAUCGGGCACGAAUGAGCUUAGGAGCAACAGUGAAGUCUUGGAAGGUCAAAAGUAGGAUUCCUGGAGUGGAAGAACCCUUUAUAUAGUGAGGGAACAAAUCCAAUCGUUACCCCCACUUACAGCACCCGCAGCACGGUACUACCGCUUGGGGGUAGCGGUACUACCGCUGCCCCUAGCAGUACUACCGCUUGGCAGGGAGCGGUAUUACCGCUAGGCCUGAAGCGGUACUACCGCUUGGUAGGCACACAUCCAUGGUAGUAAAAAUACUACUACCGGGCCUACCACCACUGGAAAAGUAUUCGCAAAAAGUCCGACGAAGUACAACCGCCCAGAGAAAGGUACUACCGUCCCAAAGUGGUGCUACCGCUCAUCCGGAGUGGUACUAUCGCUGGACCUUUUUGCAGAGACAGGGAGAUAGCAUGUGGGAGCUCCAUUGCUGCAGGGAAAGGUGGUGGAAAGAAAAAGUGUGCAUGUGAGAGUUGAUUUCACCCAAACCUUUCCGACACGAACCCCCUCUUAAUACUACGGUUUUCCUACGACCCAAAAAACCACCAAAGAGAACCGUAGAAGCCACCAUGCUUCAAAACCACCGAGGGGCGCCGAAUCGUCUUGUUCCUUGCCAUGUAUUAUUUGAAAUGCUCAAUGCACACGAUUAGUCCGCAGAGGUACUGUCAUCAAUCACCAAAAUCACUUAGGACAAAAUAUGCCCUAACAAUCUGUAACACCCUGGAUUUUGCCCAUUUCUUUUUCCUUCGAUUUUGGUCUCAUUUUGCUUUUCUGUGGCUAGAUAGUUCUGAAACCUAAAGGGAUCACCCUUGAUUUCUUUUUCCUAGUGGCUUUCCAACCUUCAAACCAUCCCAAGACCUUGCCAUUUCCAUCUUGAGCCAAUCCCAAUAUUCUUUUCCCUGGGAAUAUUACUUUUUCUAUUAAAGGAAUAACCUCUGUUGCCUUGAGUUGUGAAGCAAACCUCAUUUCUAUCAUUCCAAAAAUUCCCAAAUAGUUCUCAUAAAUCUCUUGGUCAUAUAUUCCUCACAUAUGACAAAAUCUUUCUUUGCCAUGUUCAAAAAUAUUCCUCAAAUAUUCCUUUUCUGAUUCUGCCCUAUCUGUCAAGUUGUGAAGCAAAUACCCUUUUUAUUUGCUUGAUGGCUCUCAAAAUUUGUGGGCACUCUUUCAUAUCCAUAUAAUUGACUCAUGCCAAAAUUCAACUCAAUUUAGCUAGUGAAUAUUUCUUGGCAAAUUUCCAAAGUUUCUGAUCCAGAGGAAGCUUUGUGAAGCAAGUGCUAGCUAGGAGUGUUCAAAUGAGUUAAAACUUUUCCAUCAUCUCAAUAUGCUCAAAUUAUGCAUCUCCACUAAAUUUGAGCAUCACUCCUUCAACCAUGUGACCAUAGCGUCAAAUCUUUGUCUCUGCUCAUUAUUUUGGAUUGUGAAGCAACUAUAUUUUAUGUUGCUCCAUAAAUUCUGAAAUUUUACCAGGAUAUUCUUCUAUCUAUAAAACCUUGAUAAACCAAUUUUGAGCUCAUUUUAUUUAGCCAAUUAUUCCCAGUAAUUCUCCUAAGUUUCUGUCCAGUAGGAUACUGUGUGAAGGAAGUGCCACUUUGGCUUAUCAAGAUGGCAUGCAAUUUAUACAACAUCUUCAUAACCCUAAAAUAUACAUCUCCUCCAAGUUUCAGCUCCAUCCAAGCGAGUAUGUGAGUGCCACAUCAAAAUCUUUGUUCUGGAUCAGAUUAGCUAGUUCCAAAGCAACCCUAUUAAGUAUUGAUCCUGUGCUCCUCAAAUUUCACAGGAUUGUAGUCCUUCCUACCCUAAACCUCCCAGACAUGGUGCUUUGCCCUUAUCCCUUCUCUGUUGACCACAGUAAUAGGGCCAAGUCUGCAACAGGAAACUUCCAGUGAAGUUUCCCAUCAACUCGUGGUAUCUUUUAGUGAACUAUCAGCUCAGUUGGACCCCUCUUUGGAUGAUCUAUCUUCUAGACAUAGUGUGCCAGCCUCUCUUGUCCUCUCAGUGCCAGCGCAUGCGGUGACCAUGCCUCUCGCAUGCCAAACGCGCGCUCUGUGCAUUGGGGCCCUUGGCUUUGACGAUUCCCCCUCUCCCUCGAGCUCUAGUCAUGUCUAGCAGCUCCACCUCGUCGUCCCCUUCCUCGUGGAGCCCUGUCCCCCUCCGGAUUCUGCCUUGCCGCGCCGCGAUGAGCUCCGUCCUGUUUCUCCAGUAGCAUCCAUGUUAUUUUCGUCUCUCAAGCUCUCCCGAGCCUUCCCGAGCUUGCCUGAGUCGUCCCCUCCCCUCCUCGAAGCUGCUCGACACCGCUACCGGCCUGCCACGCCACCCCCAUAGCUCUAGUGUUCGGCUAAGGUUGUCGCAGCGGCCGUCCUCAUCGCCUCACCAUGGCCGGCUAUAAAUAGCCCGUUUGGAGCCCUCCCCGAGCACACCAAACACCGGCAGUAACCCCUCUCUCUCCCAGCUACCUCCCCGACCUCCCAUCACCGCUCGCAGCCGCCAUGACCGCCACGACACUCGGCUAAAAUUCGAGCUCCGUGGUCUCUCCCCUCUCCACCUAACCACCACCGAAGACCCUCACCACCACCACGACGAGACCCCCACCUCCAUUUCGCUCUGGGAAGGCCCAUGGCCUCGGGUUCAAUCUAGCUAGUGCCACCGUCCGCCGCCGCCCAUGCUCCGCUCAACUCCGAGCUCCUCGACAUCCAGAUCCAACGCCAAUGGAUGCGCCUCUUCGCGGGGAACCCAUCCCUAGGCCGAGCACCGCUAGAGACGGCCUGUAGUUCCGGCAAUCGUCGUCGGGAGCCAUCCCUCUUCUCUGCCAGGCAGACACGAGAGGAAGACGAAGGCCCUAUGGGCGGGCCUGACCAGGCACUGGCUUAGUGCCCUCCCUCUGUUUUUUUAGCGAUGGGGGGGGUACAGGUGGGCCAUCCUAGUGGCAGCAGCAGUAGUGCCAGAGCAGCCCAAGAGCAUAGUGCUCUUUUUCUUUAUCGGUGGAAUAACUGGUUAGGACCCGUAUGCAAAUAAAAUAAUUGCAGAAAGGCCCCUGGCAGAAAAACCACCAUAUUUUUUUGCUCGGGACUCCGAUUUCAGUGAUUCCAAAGCCCAUGUCUUCGUAUCGUCGAGCCCGACAAGAUGGUAUAAUUUCCACCAUGUUGCCCUUGCCGUAAACAGCCCCUCCUCCGAGAGAGAACUGUUUUCGGCAAUUCCUUCUGCGAGCUUCUCACCCUUCUUCCCGGUGUGUGACAGCCCGAUGCCGACGCCCCAGAAGAUCCCCCCUUCUUUCCGUUUUUGUCGUGUGUCUAUUUUAUUUUAUCGCAUCAUCAUCGCAUCAUGUGCAUCAUCAGCAUUGCAUCGGCACCCCGUUGCCGCCAGUUUUCAAAACUUGCAUCCGUUGUUAGUUGCCGGUUCUCGUCGUUGUCCGUUCUGAGCCCGACCACACUCGCACGCGCCCGCGGCAUCGUCAAACCCUGUUUUUAAAGUGUGCGUAAAACUUUCUCUAAUAGAGGUGAAACUUGGCAUGCGGUCGUGAUUAGGUAUAGCUAGGCCGCCUGUCUAAUUUCAUCGCGAUUGGAGUCCGUCUGGUACCCGAACGGUCGACCGUAGCGACACCGUAUUCGGUCUACCGUCGGACGUGUGUCGGUGUUUUAAAAUUCGCUGCCGCAUCGCCCGUUCUCCCUCUCGUCUCUGGAUAUCCACUCUACACGGCCUCGUAACCGUUCUCGCAUUCGGAAUCGUCCGAAUCCGACCCCGCGGUUGGAUCCGGAACGCGAUUUCGGUUAAACAUAGCCCCUCUUUUCUCUAUAAAUACCCCUCCAUCAUAUUUUUAGACAGCCCCCUCUCCCUUUGCCUCGAAAUCCGAGCCCCCCAUCAAACCCUAGCCGCAGCCUCCUCCGUGUCCCCCUCCUCCAGCCGUCGGGCCCGCCCGAGCCCGCAUCAGGCCCGCUCCAAGCCCAUCCGGCCGACGCCCCGUUCUGCCUCCCGAGCCCGUGCCCAAGGCUCCUCCCGCGCCCAGCAUCUCCCGUGCCCGCCGGCCUCCUACCGGAAUCGAGCCGCCGGAGCCUCUCCUCGCUGGAGGACCUCGCCGGUCGUCGCCUUGUCUCCCGUGCUUGCCGCAGAUCCCGCCGCCCCAGCGUCCCCGCCGCCUGCGCCCGUCCUCGCUGCCAGCACCUCGCCGCCGCAGUUCCCGUCGCUGCCAGAGCCUUGCGUCGCCACCCCGUGCCAGAUCCGGCAAGCCACCGCCUGGAUCCGGCCGCCGCACCCCCUGCUGACUCGCGCAGCCACCUCUCCGACCGUUGACGGGGUCCCCUUCCCGUCCCGCCUGCAGGCAUCACCGCCGCCCUGUCCCGUGCCUCGACACGACGGGGACGACGCGGAACCGCUUGGCCUCGCCCUCGCCGCGUGGGCUAGCUCGCCCCGGCCCAGCAGCAGGCAGCGCCUAGGCCCCCCCUGUCUGACCCGAGGCCCAGCGCAAGGAGGCGAGCUCCUUCGGCCUCUGCCCCGAGGCCCACCUCUCCACCGGCUCGGCCCAAGCCGCGGCCGCCUCUUCCCAGGCCCGAGGUGAGCAGCUCAAGAUUUUCCCGCUUGUGCACAUCUUUGCUAUGCUGCGCCCCCAAUUCGGCCCGUCUGUUAUAUUUUAGAUUCCUGAGAAUUUAUUUAUUUUCACGAGAUAUGCUAGAUAUUUAAAUGUCGUAGUUUAAUAUCCGUAAGUCGGAUCGGAACGUAUUAGAUAUGUUUUUCUUGUAGUUUUUCGCGUAGUAUCCUUUUUUGCAACUUGCAUAAAUGUUUGAGGUGGUUUGACCCAUUGUUUGCCUAGAUAUGCGUGUUGUCCUAAUAGGUUUCGACCCAUAUUUAUUUUUCGCGCAAGACCGGGUUGCUUGAAUGCCUUAGAUAAAAUGUUCAUGCUCUAGGGACCCAUUUGCCAUGUAUUUUAGAGCGGUCAUUGGUACUUUUGUGUGUAGGGAUUUGCCGCUAGAUUAUUUUCCGUGCUUAGGACGUUAUCCCGCAUUUAUGUGUGGCAUUAUUUGUGUGUUGCAACCCCACAUAUUUUAUAUGUUUCGGGAUUUUUCUAUGCAAUUAGUUUUAGCAUUAGAGCAAGUUAGUUCGCACGAUAUUUUGCCGUGAUGCCCUUUUGUUUAAUUCGUAGGAUUUAUUCCGUGCUUUGUUUGAUUAAGUUGUCAACUAGGGAGUUGUUCUUGGGUGUUUAGACUAGCCCCUGGUAUUUUUGGUUGCAAUAGAAAUGCAUGUUUAGGUGUGGUUUGCUUGAUAGAAAUAGUGCUGUUUUGGAGGAGCUGAAAUAUUUCUAAGUCUGAAAUCUGUUAUAUUUUGUUGUUGUUUUGUUUUGCUUCUAUCUUUAGAUCUGUAGCUCUUUUGAGGUUGGUCCAAUGGAGUUAGUUGUAGCCCUUGUGUUUCUCUAGCAUGCUGUGAAUUGUCAUGCCAUUUGUAGGCCUGUAGCUAUAGGUUUUUCUGCUGUCAAUAUUGCUUCAGAUCGAAAACUGCACUUUCAUGAGGUGUAAUUUUCACUAAGUCUGAAAUAGUGUGUGGGAUACCUUUUUGUGACUUCUUUCCCUAGUGAUCCAUGAUGCCAUGCUAGUUGUUGUUAGUUGUUUGUUGUAUUGCUUCUGGCCCUCUUUCGUGUCAUGCCUUGGUUGAUUAUAUUUGAGUUGUGUAGCUCAUAGUUGUGGGGUGUAGAAAAUGCUAUGUGGCUGAUUUUGGCAGAUUGUAGUGAUUUCUUGUUUUCCUCGUAGUUGUUGAACCGUAGCUCCGAUUUGAUCGUGCCCUAUAUGGAACUUGCUUAGAAUCUCAUGUAGUAUCAUUUGAUCUUGCUGGUUGUAUGAUUUGAAGUGCUCGUGACCGCCGUUGCACACAUAUUGCAUUCAUGCCAUCAUAUCUUGCGGUGCUUGUAACUUUUGAUCCGUAGCUCCGUUGGAGAUGAUCUCUAUGUGUAGAUUGCUUGCCAUGACGCGUAGAAUCACGUGAACCUAUUUGUUUUGCUGUUUAACAACUAAUUAAAUAUGUUAGUUCAGAUCUGGACAGAAUUGUAAAUUAACAUGUGAGGUCGUUUUGGAGGUGCUAUAUGUCAUUUCCGACCUCAUUUAAAAUGCCUAGAUAGGUAGUUUAAUUACGCUUCACCUCUUGACAUGUUUAACCACAUUUAAUAUUGUCGUGUGCCUAAUCGGGAUAGAACAAAAUAAAUAAGCGUGGAGUUUCAUCAAUAUGCAACUCGUUGCAUAUUGAACUUCACUUAAGGUAUAGUGUUUGUUUGUGUGAAUUGUCAUGCCGUGACUUGCUUGCAUUCAGCUGCUCAUGCAUCAUAUGUGUUGUGCGUUGUGUGGUGAAGUUCGUGUGUUGAUUUGUGUUUCCGAUUUGCUUUGUCUCGAUAGAGUUCCGCAGCGUGUCGGAUUGUGAGGACCCGUUCGACUACGUCGGUUCGUCUGCUUCACGGAGGCAUUCUUCUUCCAAGCGGGAUCUCAGGCAAGAUGACCAUUUCCCCAGAUACCAUUACUANAUACCUUUGGAAAUGAGAUUGCUGAGUCCCCUAUGGCUCACAGAUUACUACAACACCAGUUGCAGGUAUAGGUAAACGUUACUUGACGCGAGCGCGUUGAUUGUUCAUUUAGAGUUGCUUCUUCUUCUUCUUCUUCUUCUUCUUCUUCAUCGAUCUAGGAUGGGUUCCAGGCUGGCAGCCUGGGAUAGCAAGGAUGGACGUCGUUAUUCUUUUCUCGUUUGUUUUCGUCCGUAGUCGGACCCUGCUCUUCUUCAUGAUGAUUAUGUAUUGUACUGUUGUGACUCUGAUGUAGCUUAUUGUGAGUGUUAGCCAAUUCUAUAUAUAUAUAUAUAUAUCUUCUUUUUAGUACAUGUACUUGUAACGAUAUCCAUUCUUGCAACACGACGAGAUGUGCUUCUAUCCCUAACGAGGCCUUCAUGCCAAAUUGAGGAUAUGGUCGCAUCUUGGGCGUGACAAGUUGGUAUCAGAGCAGUACCGACCUAAGAGCCCCCUUGAUUGAUCGAACUUGGCCGAGUCGAGUCUAGUAAAAAACUGCUUUGAGUCUAGUUAUAUAUCGGAGAGUAGGAUUCUUUUUUCUCCUCUUCUAUGCUCUGGUGAGGAAUCUUGACGUAAUAAUUUAAUUCUACUUCUCUUCUCACUCAAUUUUUUUAGGAUCACGCGAAUAUUUUUGGAAUCUAUAUGAUGCCGAUGUGACGGAGUUCUGUCCUGGUGCCUCCUAUCUGCUUUGAGUUUCAGGGGAGUUGAGCUCCAGGGGAUUCUUGAGCACAUCGUUAUCAUUCAGAUUUCUUAGUAUCUCAGAACGAAGGAUGUUCGUAAUUGCUUCAAUACUAGUAGUGGCGAGAUAACCCCGAUGUCCCCAGUAUUGGUGCAGAUUGUUCGGGAGUACUGCCAUACUUUGUAUCGUUGUGAACACGAGGGUCUGUUGUAGAUGAAGGUCCGAGAUUCUGGUUGUGUGUUGACGGAUGUGAUACAGGUGACGGGUUAGUAUAGGAGUUGUUUGAUUAUUACUCCUUGUAUCCGUGUACCAGAUUGCAUGACCAGAUAAUUUCUGGAAUUCUUAGGUGGGAAUUCAAGUACUUGCUUAUAGGACAAUCUUCCAACAAAUGUAUGAUGUUAGGUUGGGGUUCGACAUCUAGUAGAUUCGUUUGUUGACGGUCGACUUACAGCGGUUCUCGUUGUGUCUUAAAGAGUCCUUGUAGCUUGCUACGACUCGGGGACGCUUCGUAUGUCGGGUGCACUGCCUUGCACUUGAUGGCUACUGUAAGGAUCGAGCCCGUGCGAUCCUGUCCACGAAAAUAUCAGACGAAAUCUUUCUCAUGAGUUUGUACUGGCUAAUUGCAAGCCGCACCCUUUCUGUUGUUGGAAUAUGGUAAUUCAAGUUGCUUCGAUGUCAAAUGGUGAUUUCAUAUAUUUUCCAAGAGGUGUUCUCAUAGUUUUUAUGUGAAUGCUAAUCCUUUUUCUCAAUCAAUUGUCUUAUCAAUUCUUGUCAACCGGAGUUGUUAUAUCAAUUCUUUUCAACCGGUGUGCUUCUCCUCAACUGAAUUCUAUCCUCUCCAAUUUUGCAAGAUCAUUCUCUCAUUUUAUUCUGGAGUUAUCUCAUCUGUUCCGAGUCGUCUUUGUUUUUCCCCGCCCUCCUACCGUUUUCCUCAGUGAUUCAAUUUUCGUCCAAGUGCCUUCAUAUUCAGUGAUGCUUCCGCUAUCUCUUCUUCCUUUUGUAGCCGGUGAUACAUUGUGAAGAGUCUCAGGAGCUUCGUGUUCAUCUUUAUUCAAUCGUGUCAUCUUUCCCGGUGAAUUCAAUUUAAUUAUCCGUGUUCAUUGUAUCCUAUUCAUCCUUGUAAUUUUUUCCCAUGUUGGAAAUUCUCAUCAGUCUUCUUAUUGUCAUUUCUCUCUAUUCCAUCCGGAGUGCUGAAGUUAUCUUAGAGGUUCUUGUUUUCAAUCUUUCAAUUAUUUCGAGGUGCUAACCUCAUUUAGUUUUCCUUAUACCGGUGCAAUACCUCUCUCUCUAAGAAAUCUUUUCAACGAUGAUUUCUUUGAGUGGGCCCAUAACCCACAGGUUUUUCCCAGGAUCUUUCUUGGCUCUUUUAAUCUACUCCCGGAGAUCAUUAAUUCUUUUUAACUAUGACGUAAGUAUGAAUUUCAUCAGUCAUAUUCCUUAUCCAAGGCCUAUUUGUAUUAAUUAUCAUAUUUGGCUCAACCUUGCAUUCUUCUUUAUUCAGGAGUGUCUUAGUUAUCCUUGGUGCUGUUUCUCGUCAUCAUUUUCAGCUUCAAGACCGAAGGAGUGUUUUCCUCAAUCUUGGUCCAUUCUCUUCAUGAUUCAUCGUUUCAGCCUUCUAGCAUCGUCUUGAAUUAUUCCCAAUCAUGAGUAUCCCUUUUCUUGCUACCCGGUGCUUUUCUGAGUUGUUUUCAUUCUCGAUCCUCCAAAGGCCAUCAUCUAGAAGAUUUUGUUCGUUCUCAGCUUGCAGCUUUCACUCUCAAAUUCUUCUCAAUUGUUGCCUCUUUGUUCGUCUCUCGUUUUAUCCACUGCCUUGUUCAAGUUUUCUGUUAGGUGGAUCAUGAUCUCUUCAUUCUCAUGUAUCUCCAUUAAUUCGUGGUGUUCCCAUUUAUUUGUGAAUUCAUACCGGUGCUUCCUUCAAUUUUGCUUCAAGUGGUGUUUUUCUCUCUGUUUCUCCAAGAUUCAUUUCUAGAGGAAUAAGUUGUAUGCUAAAUCCGUUGCUUAUUAUCAAUUAUACUUGAUGAAGGAUUAGCAUAACAUAAUUAUUAUUCUUGUUUCAUCAAAUGAUCUGAAUUCUUCUUCCGGAGUGGCUCACGAUAUCAAUUCCUUUUUAUAAAGUGUGCUUAUCUUUUUUUCCGGAGUUCCAAGUUAUUUUAAGUAUCUCUUUGUGAGGCUUCAUCUAAAUCCUGGCAAGGUCAUAAUCUUAUUCUUUUCUACCUUCAUAUCUUUGCAUUGUUCAUUUGUAUACGGAGCUCCUUCAUGGUGGUUCAUCAAGGUUUCAAUCCAUUCUCAAGUGUUCCUCAAGAUUCUUGUUGGAGUACCUCAAGUUUUCUUCUCUUGCGUUUCCAAGUGCAUUGUUCUUCCUUUAUCAUUUGAGGUGGUAUUAUAGCAUUCUUGUUAGUGUAGGAGCCUCGAAGAGAUUUCCUUUCAAGAAUGAGAUAAUUAAAUCCACCAAUUCUAUGAUCAUGAGAUAUUUUUCAACCCAUGAUUUCUUCAUUGAGCUAUCUUGGUUUGGACUUCACCUAAAGCUUUUCCUAUGGUUUGUGCUAUCAUGGUGCUUGUCAUUAAUCCAAGUUCUCAAUGUACCUUCUUGGUGUAAGAAAUUGUUCAUAUCUUGUUUCUCUAAAACAGUCCUUGUUUCUGUAGUGGCUGGUUGUCACUUCAUUAGUUUGAAAAGGUCUCCAUAAGCCCACUACUAUCUUGUUCUUUUCGUUGUUGUUUUCAACAACUUUGUUCAAUUCUCCUUGCAAGGAUGCUUGCCAAGUUCAUUGGAGUUAGUAGUUGUCAUUCUUUCUUCAUUCUCUUCUUCCGUAUGAGCUAGUUCCUAUUCUAUUGUUCCGGAGGCAUUGUGAUGUUGCUCUUUUGGGGUCUAUCAUGUUGUUCUAUCAAGUUCAUGGUGUUCCCUUGUUCUAUUUAGUUGUUUGUUAUGAAUAUUGUCUAAUUCUCUCUUCUUAUAAAAUUUUUUUGUCCCAUUUUCCUACCGAAGUGCUGCCGAAUUUUUUCGUGAAUUCUUGCUUGUUUCUCAUAUCAUUCCUCAUCUCUUUGCAACAUUCAAGGAUCGUUGGUUUCACUCGUUUGUCAAAGAAGCGACUAAGUUUUUACCUCUUAUUCGUUCUCAUCCUCUCCCCCUUACAUUCUUAGAUCUCGGGGCGAGAUCCUCUUGUAGUGUAGGAGAGUUGUGACAGCCCGAUGCCGACGCCCCAGAAGAUCCCCCCUUAUUUCCGUUUUCGUCGUGUGUCUAUUUUCUUUUGUCGCAUCAUCAUCGCAUCAUGUGCAUCAUCAACAUUGCAUCGGCACCCCGUUGCCGCCAGUUUUCAAAACUUGCAUCCGUUGUUAGUUGCCGGUUCUCGUCGUUGUCCGUUCUAAGCCCGACCGCACUCGCACGCGCCCGCGGCAUCGUCAAACCCUGUUUUUAAAGUGUGCAUAAAACUUUCUCUAAUCGAGGUGAAACUUGGCAUGCGGUCGUGAUUAGGUAUAGCUAGGCCGCCUGUCGAAUUUCAUCGCGAUCGGAGUCCGUCUGGUACCCGAACGGUCGACCGUAGCGGCACCGUAUUCGGUCUAGCGUCGGACGUGUGUCGGUGUUUUGAAAUUCGUUUCCGCGCCGCCCGUUCUCCCUCUCGUCUCCGGAUAUCCACUCUACACGGCCUCGUAACCGUUCCCGCGUUCGGAAACGUCCGAAUCCGACCCCGCGGUUGGAUCCGGAACGCGAUCCCGGUUAAACCUAGCCCCUCUUUUCUCUAUAAAUACCCCUCCAUCAUAUUUUUAGACAGCCCCCUCUCCCUUUGCCUCGAAAUCCGAGCCCCCCAUCAAACCCUAGCCGCAGCCUCCUCCCUGUCCCCCUCCUUCAGCCACCGGGCCCGCCCGAACCCGCGUCAGGCCCGCUCCAAGCCCAUCCGGCCGAUGCCCCAUUCUGCCUCCCGAGCCCCUGCCCGAGGCUCCUCCCGCGCCCAGCAUCUCUCGUGCCGGCCGGCCUCCUACCAGAAUCGAGCCGCCGGAGCCUCUCCUCGCUGGAGGACCUCGCCAGUCGCCGCCUUGUCUCCCGUGCUCGCCGCAGAUCCCGCCGCCCCAGCGUCCCUGCCGCCUGCGCCCGUCCUCGCUGCUAGCGCCUCGCCGCCGCAGUUCCCGUCGCUGCCACAGCCCUGCAUCGCCGCCCCACGCCAGAUCCGGCGAGCCACCGCCCGGAUCCGGCCGCCGCACCCCCUACUGACUCGUGCAGCCACCUCUCCGACCGUCGACGGGGCCCCCUUCCCGUCCCGCCUGUAGGCAUCGCCGCCGCCUUGUCCCGUGCCUCGACACGACGGGGACGACGCGGAACCGCUCGGCCUCGCCCUCGCCGCGUUGGCCAGCUCGCCCCAACCCAGCAGCAGGCAGCGCCUGGCCCCCCCUUGUCUGACCCGAGGCCCAGCGCAAGGAGGCCAGCUCCUUCGGCCUCUGCCCCGAGGCCCACCUCUCCACCGGCUCGGCCCAAGCCGCGGCCGCCUUUUCCCAGGCCCGAGGUGAGCAGCUCGAGAUUUUCCCGCCUGUGCACGUCUUUGCUAUGCUGCGCCCACAAUUCGGCCCGUCUGUUAUAUUUUAGAUUCCUGAGAAUUUAUUUAUUUUCACGAGAUAUGCUAGAUAUUUAAAUGCCGUAGUUUAAUAUCCGUAAGUCGGAUCGGAACGUAUUAGAUAUGUUUUUCUUGCAUAAAUGUUUGAGGUGGUUUGACCCACUGUUUGCCUAGAUAGGUUUCGACCCGUAUUUAUUUUUCGCGCAAGACCGGGUUGCUCGAAUGCCUUAGAUAAAAUGUUCAUGCUCUAGGGACCCAUUUGCCAUGUAUUUUAGAGCGGUCAUUGGUAUUUUUGCGUGUAGGGAUUUGCCGCUAGAUUAUUUUCCGUGCUUAGGACGUUAUCCCGCAUUUAUGUGUGGCAUUAUUUGUGUGUUGCAACCCCACAUAUUUUAUAUGUUUCCGGGGUAAAAAAAUCCAUGGGAUUUUUCUGUGCAAUUAGUUUUAGCAUUAGAGCAAGUUAGUUCGCACGAUAUUUUGCCGUUAUGCCCUUUUGCUUAAUUCGUAGGAUUUAUUCCGUGCUUCGUUUGACUAAGUUGUCAACUAGGGAGUUGUUCUUGAGUUUUUUAGACUAGCCCCUCGUACUUUUGGUUGCAAUAGAAAUGCAUGUUUAGGUGUUGUUUGCUUGCUCUCAAUUUGCUAGAAAUAGUGCUGUUUUGGAGGAGCUAAAAUAUUUCUAAGUCUAAAAUCUGUUAUAUUUUGUUGCUGUUUUGUUUUGCUUCUAUCUUUAGAUAUGUAGCUCUUUUGAGGUUGGUCCAAUGGAGUUAGUUGUAGCCCUUGUGUUUCUCUAGCAUGCUAUGAAUUGUCAUGCCAUUUGGAGAACUGUAGCUAUAGGUUUUGCUGCUAUCAGUAUUGCUUCAGAUCAGUGGUGAAGUUCGUGUGUUGAUUUGUGUUUCCGGUUUGCUUCGUCUCGGUAGAGUUCCGCAGCGUGCCGGAUUGUGAGGACCCGUUCGACUACGUCGGUUCGUCUGCUUCACAGAGGCAUUCUUCUUCCAAGCGGGAUCUCAGGCAAGAUGACCAUUACCCCAGAUACCAUUACUANNNNNNNNNNNNNNNNNNNNNNNNNNNNNNNNNNNNNNNNNNNNNNNNNNNNNNNNNNNNNNNNNNNNNNNNNNNNNNNNNNNNNNNNNNNNNNNNNNNNNNNNNNNNNNNNNNNNNNNNNNNNNNNNNNNNNNNNNNNNNNNNNNNNNNNNNNNNNNNNNNNNNNNNNNNNNNNNNNNNNNNNNNNNNNNNNNNNNNNNNNNNNNNNNNNNNNNNNNNNNNNNNNNNNNNNNNNNNNNNNNNNNNNNNNNNNNNNNNNNNNNNNNNNNNNNNNNNNNNNNNNNNNNNNNNNNNNNNNNNNNNNNNNNNNNNNNNNNNNNNNNNNNNNNNNNNNNNNNNNNNNNNNNNNNNNNNNNNNNNNNNNNNNNNNNNNNNNNNNNNNNNNNNNNNNNNNNNNNNNNNNNNNNNNNNNNNNNNNNNNNNNNNNNNNNNNNNNNNNNNNNNNNNNNNNNNNNNNNNNNNNNNAUACCUUUGGAAAUGAGAGUGCUGAGUCCCCUGUGGCUCACAGAUUACUACAACACCAGUUGCAGGUACAGGUAAAGGUUACUUGACGCGAGCGCGUUGAUUGUUCAUUUGGAGUUGCUUCUUCUUCUUCUUCUUCAUCGAUCUAGGAUGGGUUCCAGGCCGGCAGCCUGGAUAGCAAGGAUGGAUGUCGUUCUUCUUUUCUCAUUUGUUUUCGUCCGUAGUCGGACCCUGCUCUUCUUCAUGAUGAUUAUGUAUUGUACUGCUGUGACUCUGAUGUAGCUUGUGGCGAGUGUAAGCCAAUUCUAUAUAUAUAUCUUCUUUUCAGUACAUGUACUUGUAACAAUAUCCAUUCUUGCGACACGACGAGAUGUGCUUCUAUCCCUAACGAGGCCUUCAUGCCAAAUUGAGGAUAGGGUCGCAUCUUGUGCGUGACACGGUGAUUCCAUCAUCCCAGGCAAGCCACAACUCUCAUUUGUUUAAUCGCACUUCAGUACCAUAGCUUAGUUAACUAUUUUAAUCACAAGUAUAUUUGUUUAUAGUCUGGAGUUUGAGUAUGCAACGGUUGAAUAGAUGACUACCAUGUUGAGUACAAGACCGUUAGUAACUAAUAUUUUUACCCACUAAUUUACAUUAUACUGUUGAGAUUACUGUCUAUGAUAACUUUGUGAAUAUGGAUCAACAGUAGUGGCUUGAGCUUAUUAUUUAUCAGAUUACUGUAACAUCGGAGCGUCACCUAUAACAAACAUAUUAUUCGGGAUAAGAUACCUAGUUGGUUGAUCAGAGUCACCUAUCCGGGCUCAUCAGUGCAACCACAUUUGCCGAUAUGGGAUGGCCUUGACUUGGUCUGAUCGCGUGAUCUUUCACCGGUACCUCCAAAGAGGGAGGGUUAUGCACGCGUGCUACCUUGGCCCGGUAGGUGGUGAUAAACCUGUGAGCCCAGUUGAGUUGUUUGGGCCCCUCCCCGGUUGGGACAGUUUAGUUUGGCCACAACAGUGGCACGUGUCAGAAGGACACAUGGCCACCUAGGGCAGGACUCCGGGGGAGGAUGAAUGCCGGGGGUACGAUGAAAGAGUCACGGGUCAGGCAAGUUUCGUUGGAGCAACACUGGUCCACCCGAAUGGGAUCACGAGGUCAGUGCUCCAUAGUGUGGGUAAAGUGUGCAACCUCUGCAGAGUGUCAAACCUAUUCGAAUAGCCUCGUCCACUGUAUUGGACAGCCCGACCAAACCUCAGUAGGUGGUCAACCGUAACUAUGACAGUAAUGAUGGAAGAACUCAUUUGAGGAUGAUAACAGUUGGGCAUCGUGCCGAUGAUAAGUCUUGGUAUCCGUCUUGAGGAUACUCACUAAAGGUUCUUGGUAAGAACACAAGAGUUGGUAUCCCCCGAGUAUGGUGAGAGUAGCCUGGUAUAGUUAGUUAUCUAGCACUACCUUAGUAAUAACAACCCUUUACUUAAUCCUGAUUGCUAUGAUGUUGUCUUGCCUUAAUGCUAAUGUUUGUUGUGAGCUGGUGAGUACAUUCAAAGUACUCACCUGGCUUGUCAUGCCAGUUUGCAGGUCAUGCCUUGAUUGCUUGCUUGUCGAGGAUUCCGAGUUGCGAGCUAGGAUAUGCGUUCCAGCCAGAGUCCCUGUGGACUGGAGUUCAUCACAUAGGUCGUUUUUCCGCUACCAGUGUAGGAUUUACCGUAGGCAGGUGUAGUAUAGCCAAGGCGAUGUAAUUCAUGUAUCCUUGUAAACUUUUCCAUAGUAAUAAAGAGAUGAUUUGUUCUGUGCCAAGGUUCCGUAUUCCAGAAGAUUUGUCCUUGGGCUGGAUUACGGGGUGUUCCGGUUUCCUCUGAACCGGGGUGCCACAAGAGUUGGUAUCAGAGCAGGUCUGGUUGUAGGACGCCCUAGACCGCGCGAGCGUUAGUAACCGGUAGUAUAGGAUCCAGUUGGUUUGCUGCACUUAUUUGUUGCAUUUGAUUAUGCAUAGCAUGCAUAUAGACUAGAUAUGUUAUUACUAACGAUGGAUCUGGUGAGUGUAGGUGGCAUCGGUUCUGAUUCACCACAUGCACUCCCCAGCCUGCUUCCUUCUUCCUUGGUGUGGUGUCAUCUUCGCCCCAGCAGAGUGAUGCCAAGGUGCCUGGUGAUGUUGAUCCCUUGUCGGAUUGAUGCACCGGUACCACACCUAUGCAUUCUCUUCAGCCGCCCUGUUAUCUCGGUGAUAGACAUGCUUCUAUCCCGGAUCUUCCCUCUAGCCGCAAUGGCAACCCUUACUGAUCUUGUUUAUCAGAAAAGGGCAAUGCCCGCAAGCCUUCUUUCCAUCGCUAUCCCGCCCUGCCAUCCAUUCUCUGGAUGAGGACGGUUUGUUUUCCCCGUAUGCUUGAUGAUGACGUGGUCAAGACCCAUGUGUUCCGACCCACGAUCACCAAGUUCGUCCUUGCCACCGUGUCCGUCCAGACGAAACCGGUGUAAGCCCCUGUUUGGUGUAGCUUUGUUUACACCGACUUCCUUCCACACAUUGAUUCACUUUCGUGCACACCGCCACAACAUGUUAGACCGUAGUACCGGAGUUCUUGCGAGAUUUUCAUGCUUAAAUAGGAAUGCAUAUUAUUGUUGUGAAUCGCUGUAGAAUAUGACAUUGCCUGUGUGUGAUCUUGCUGCUUUUUGUGUUUGUUGUUUGCUUAUUUCUUUGGGCCCUUGGUGUUACCUUAUUUUCCCCUUAUGGAAGUUGCUCACCAACAUUGGACUCAAAGGAAUCAGUGAAGAGAUAGUCAUUUGGAAGCUCAGUUCAGCAAUAUGGAAUUUUCAGCAGACUGCGCUAUACCAGGGAUAUCGAGCCUGAAUAUAAAUGAUAUCCUGACUAGAUGAGAUAUCAGCAACAAGCAUGCAUCAGUACUACCUUCGCAGCAGCAAACAUGGAAUCAAAAGAAGGAAGAGAUGCGUACAUUUCGGGCCAAAGGUAUGAUUCAUAUACGCAGUUGAGUCUGUUGUGAGCACAAUUUGAAACCUGCUACACUACGGAAGGAAGUCAGAAGGAGCUAUGAACUUAGUGUUCAACAAAAAGGAUAGCCGAAUACUCUGUCGCAUACCGCAAGUAACCAAUAGCAGGAACGUUAAGGACAUAUACAUGCACUUAGCUUGCAUAUGGCAAAAGAAUGCUUCAGGUAUAAGCAACUCAGUCUUUCCCCGCAAGCUACCCGAAAGACUUAUGGCACAAGGUUCAGGUGACUUCCUCAAUAUGACACACGAAGCUUUGCUCAAGACACCCAUGCUUCUCCAGUAAGACAUCACAACAAUCUUCUGGCAUAAGGUACCGAGGCUUACCCAGCAAGACUUCAAGGAAGGAAAGCAUUUGAGAUAUGGUACCCAAUCUUCUUCAAGAAGCCACCCCGAUUGAAGCAUCAAGCACAAGCUACCCAGUCUUCCUAGACACGAUACCCUUGAUGACUUACAAGACGAGCUAAGUAACCCUUGAUGGGAAGGCAUCAUAUUCUCACUAGUACAAGUCAUUCCACCGUCAGUUGGCAGCACAUGACCAUGCGUUCCAAGGAUCAGAUCCGCAAUAGUGGAUAAGAAGGCAAAGUAGUCAGUCAAGACACAAGCCUGCUUCAGGAAUCAAGUGCUCAGUCGCAUAUAGUCAAUAGAUAUGGUGGACAUGCUACCAAGUCCAUAUAAGUCAAUCAUACAAUGAUGCUAGCCCGGUGAGAAUCCGACUAUUGCAGGAGCUAUGUGAGAAGAAGGACACCGGUUAUACACUUUAGUGAGAUGAACAACAACCUAUGGAUAAGCUGUACGGGACACGGAUGAACCCUUGCCUGUCUUUCUUUGGUGACGGCACCACGUCUGUGUUCUGAGCUGUUUUCGGCCGUCCGGGGUGGAUGCCGACUUUUCGUUCUCUUGUCAGCAACUGGCCCGUGUUCUGAGCUGCUUUUCGGCCGUCUCGGGCAGUUGUUGAGUUUAUUUCCGUAGUGGUGACCCUAUGCUCUGAGCUGUUUUUCGGCCGUCUUAGGGAACCACUACUUUCUUCAUAUCGACACCUUCUCAUGCUUUGAGCGGCUUUUCAACCGUCUUGAGUCGGGGUUGAGUUACUCCAGUGAUGUCCCAGAUCUGAGUUGUAAAGACCGUUCUGGUGGCUACUGGUUUAUUUGUCGGUUUUAUCCAAGGGUUCAGACGGUCGUUACCCUACAGCUACAGCUUGUUAAGUAAUAUGCAUGCCGGGAUAUUGUACGUGACGGCACCCAUGGUCAUCCGAAGAAUCAAGAACACAUCAGGUCAAGCUCUUUCAGCUAAGGACCCAGGCAAAGAGAAUUAUAAUGAAAGAGCAAGAUUGCCCAUACAGGUUUGAUAAUAGUGACAAGAUAAACAUUAUGCAUAUGCUCAAAACAGUCUGGUUCGAUACCAAUCACCGUGGGAACACACCCAUGGGGUCUAUUCCAUUUGCAAGGACCAUAUAUCAAGCCAACCCACUCAGCCCAACCAGAUAUGCUCAACAUUAUUAAAAGAAGAUACUCAAAUCUAUAAAGAUUACUCAGCAGUUAGGUUACAACAGCAGUGUCAAAGGAUUAUACGGCCCAUUAUCCAUUUAAAGGUGUCGACGAACGAAACGACCAGAAUGUGGGACAACAACCUCGAAGCAUGUGUCCUCACGUAUGGAAAUCAGUCAAAAGAUAGUUUGUCGUGAACAAGAUCUUUCUACCAGAACCUCUGUCAGCCAAGUCAGCAUAUAUAAACAGAUAGAAGCCAGAGUAACGUACGAGGAUCCAACAAAACAAAUCACCCCGAAGUCAGACAGUCGGUCAGUUGAUACUAAGAGCAUUGUAUCAAGGUAAAAAGGAAACCCGAGUUGGAAACGGUUUCCUCAAGUAAGGAUAUUUAUGUUGAACCUUGAACAAUCAAAUCUCAAGGACGAGAUUUCUUUAAGGGGGAUAGGUUUGUAACACCCUGGAUUUUGCCCAUUUCUUUUUUCCUUCGAUUUUGGUCUGGUUUUGCUUUUCUGUGGCUUGAUAGUUUUGAAACCUAAAGGGAUCACCCUUGAUUUGUUUUUCCUAGUGUCUAGACAACCUUCAAACCAUCCCAAUACCUUGCCAUUUCCAUCUUGAGCCAAUCCCAAUAUUCUUUUCCCUGGGAAUAUUCCUUUUUCUAUUAAAGGAAUAACCUCUGUUGCCUUGAGUUGUGAAGCAACCCCCAUUUCUAUCAUUCCAAAAAUUCCCAAAUAAUUCUCAUAAAUCUAUUGGGUCAUAUCUUCCUCAGAUAUUACAAAAUCUUUCUUUGCCAUGUUAAAAAAUAUUCCUCAAAUAUUCCUUUUCUGAUUCUGCCCUAUCUGUCAAGUUGUGAAGCAAGUACCCUUUUUAUUUGCUUGAUUGCUGUGAAAAUUUGUAGGCACUCUUUCCUACCCAUAUAAUUUCCUCAUGCCAAAAUUCAACUCAAUUUAGCUAGUGAAUAUUUCUUGGCAAAUUUCCAAAGUUUCUGAUCCAGAGGAAGCUUUGUGAAGCAAGUGCUAGCUAGGAGUGUUCAAAUGAGUUAAAACUUUUCCAUCAUCUCAAUAUGCUCAAAUUAUGCCUCUCCACUAAAUUUGAGCAUCACUACUUCAACCAUGUGACUUUAGCUUCAAAUAUUUGUCUCUGCUCAUUAUUUUGGAUUGUGAAGCAACUAUAUUUUAUGUUGCUCCAUAAAUUCUGAAAUUUUACCACGACAUUCUCCUAUCUAUAAAACCUCGCUAAACCAAUUUUGAGCUUAUUUUAUUUAGCCAAUUAUUCCCAGUAAUUCUCCUAAGUUUCUGUCCAGUAGGAUACUGUGUGAAGGAAGUGCCACUUUGGCUUAGCAAGAUGGCAUGAAAUUUAUAAAACAUCUUCAUAACCAUAAAAUAUACAUCUCCUCCAAGUUUCAGCUCCAUCCAAGCCAGUAUGUGAGUGCCACAUCAAAAUCUCUAUUUUGGACCAGAUUAACUAGUUCCAAAGCAACCCUAUUAAAUAUUGAUCCCGUGCUCCUCAAAUUUCACAGGAUUGUAGUCCUUCCUAUUCUAAACCUCCCAGACAUGGUGCUUUUCCCUUAUCCCUUCUCUGUUGACCAUAGUAAUAGGGCCAAGUCUGCAACAGGAAACUUCAAGUGAAGUUUCCCAUCAACUUGUGGUAUCUUUUAGUGAUCUAUCAACUCAGUUGGACCCCUCUUUGGAUGAUCUAUCUUCUAGACAUAGUGUGCCGGCCUCUCUUGUCCUCUUAGUGCUAGUGCACGCGAUGACCACGCCUCUCGCAUGCCAAACGCGCGCUCUGUGCAUUGGGGCCCUUGGUUUUGUCGAUUCCCCCUCUCCCUCGAGCUCUAGUCAUGUCUAGCAGCUCCGCCUCGUCGUUCCCUUCCUCGUGGAGCCCUCUCCCCCUCCAGAUUCUGCCUUGCCGUGCCGCGACGAGCUCCGUCCUUUUUCUCUACUAGCAUCCAUGUCGUUUUCUUCUCUCAAGCUCUCCCGAGCCUUCCCGAGCUUGCCUAAGCCGUCCCCUCCACUCCCCGAAGCUGCACAACGCCGCUACCUGCUAGCCAUGCCACCCCUCAUAGCUCGAGUGUUCGCCUAAGGUUGCCGCGGCGGCCGUCCUCAUCGCCUCCCCAUGGCCGACUAUAAAUAGCCCAUCCGGAGCCCUCCCUGAGCACACCCAACACCGGUAGUAACCCCUCUCUCUCCCAGCUACCUCCCCGACCUCCCAUCACCGCUCGCAGCCGCCAUGACCGCCACGACACUCGGCUUAAAUUCGAGCUCCAUGGUCUCUCCCCUCUCCACCUAACCACCACCGAAGACCUUCACCACCACCACGAUGAGACCCCCACCUCCAGUUAGCUCCGGGAAGGCCCAUGGCCUCGGGUUCAAUCUAGCCAGUGCCACCGUCCGCCGCCGCCCAUGACACGCUCAAGUCCGAGCUCCUCGGCAUCCGGAUCCUACGCUAAUGGAUGCGCCUCUUCACGAGGAACCAAUCCCUAGGGCGAGCGCCGCCGGAGAUGGCCUGUAGCUCCGGCAAUUGCGCCUCUUCGCGUGGAACCCAUCCCUAGGGCGAGCGCCGCCAGAGACGGCCUGUAGCUCCGGCAAUCGCCGUCGGGAGGCAUCCCUCUUCUCUGCCAGGCAGACGCGGGAGGAAGAUGAAGGCCCUGUGGGUGGGCCCGACCAGGCAGUGGCUCAGUGCCCUCCCUCCAUUUUUUAGCGAUGGGGGGUACAGGUGGGCCGGCCUAGUGGUAGCAGUAGCAGUGCAUGGCAUCAGCGGCCGCUUUAGGCCCAGAGAAGCCCAAGAGCAUAGUGCUCUUUUUCUUUAUCGGUGGAAUAACUGGUUAGGACCCGUAUGCAAAUAAAAUAAAUGCAGAAAGGCCCCUGGUAGAAAAACCACCAUAUCUUUUUGCUCGGGACUCCAAUUUCAGUGAUUCCAAAGUCCAUGUCUUGUCUCGUCGAGCCCGACAAGAUGGUAUCAUUUCCACCAUGUGAUCACAUAGUAGAAUUGACCAUGUUGCCCUUGCUGUAAACAUCCCCUCCUCCGAGAGAGAAUUGUUUCCCGCAAUUCCUUCCACGAGCUUCUCGCCCUUCUUCCCGGUGAUUCCAUCACCCCAGGCAAGCCACAACUCUCAUUUGUUUAAUCGCACUUCAAUACCAUAGCUUAGUUAACUAUUUUAAUCACAAGUAUAUUUGUUUAUAGUCUGGAGUUUGAGUAUGCAACGAUUGAAUAGAUGACUAUCGUGUUGAGUACAAGACCGUUAGUAACUAAUAUUUUUACCCACUAAUUUACACUAUACUGUUGAGAUUACUGUCUAUGAUAACUUUGUGAAUAUGGAUCAACAGUAGUGGCUUGAGCUUAUUAUUUAUCAGAUUACCGUAACGUCGGAGCGUCAGCUAUAACAGACAUAUUAUUCGGGAUAAGAUACCUAGUUGGUUGAUCAGAGUCACCUAUCCGGGCUCAUCAGUGCAAACGCAUUUGCCGAUAUGGGAUGGCCUUGAUUGGUCUGAUCGUGUGAUCUUUCACCGGUACCUCCAAAGUGGGAGGGUUAUGCAUGCGUGCUACCUUGGCCCGGUAGGCGGUGAUAACCCUGUGAGCCCAAUUGAGUUGUUUGGGUCCGUCCCCGGUUGGCACAGUUUAGUUUGGCCAUGAUGGUGGUAGGUGUCAGAAGGACACAGGGCCACCCAUGGCAGGACUCCGGGGGAGGAUGAUUGCCAGGGGUACAAUAAAAGAGUCACGGGUGACGCAAGUUUCGUUGGAGCAACACUUGUCCACCCGAAUGGGAUCACGAGGUCAGUGCUCCACAGUGUGGGUAAAGUGUGCACCCUCUGCAGAGUGUCAAACCUAUUCGAAUAGCCGCGUCCACGGUAUUGGACAGCCCGACCAGACCUCAGUAGGUGGUCAACUGUAACUAUGAUAGUAAUGAUGGAAGAACUCGUCCGAGGAUGAUAAUAGUUGGGCAUCGUGCCGAUGAUAAGUCUUGGUAUCCGUCUUGAGGAUACUCGCUAAAGGUUCUUGGUAAGAACACAAGAGUUGGUAUCCCCCGAGUACGGUGGGAGUAGCCUGGUAUAGUCAGUUAUCUACCACUCCCUUAGUAAUAACAACCCUUUACUUAAUCCUGAUUGCUAUGAUGUUUUCUUGCCUUAAUGCUAAUGUUUGUUGUGAGCUUGCGAGUACAUUCAAAGUACUCACUUGGCUUGUCAUGCGAGUUUGCAGGUCAUGCCUUGAUUGCUUGCUUGUCAAGGAUUCUGAGUUGCGAGCUUGGAUAUGCGUUCCACCCAGAGUCCCUGUGGAGUGGAGUUCAUCACAUCGACCAUUGUUCCGCUGCUAGUGUAGGAUUUACCGUAGGCAGGUGUAGUAUCGCCAAGGCGAUGUAAUCCAUGUAUCCUUGUAAUCUUUUCCAUAGUAAUAAAGAGCUGAUUUGUUUUGUGCCAACGGUUCCGUAUUCCAGAAGACUUGUCCUUGGGCCGGAAUACGGGGUGUUCCGGUUUCCUCUGAGCCGGGGUGCCACACAAUCUCCCCCUUUUUGGUGAAUUGAUGACAACACCGGAUUUGCACAAAAGAGAGUAUAAUGACGACAUAUGCAAACCCAAAGUCUAUAAACUAGAGACUGGCUCCCCGUGGAUGUGUGCAUGUUUAAAGUAGUGCUAUGAACAGCAAGGCACACAAUCCAAGGAAAAGCACUCCCCCUAGAAAUCAUAGACGAAUACUCCUUGCAACGACAUGAUGCAAUACUGAGUAAGGAAGCAAGGUAUAGCAUGUGAGCAUAAAGAUAAGGGCAAAAGGUAAAUGAACUCACAUGCUAACAUAUAGGGAGAUAAUAAAGGUAAUAUAGGGAUAACAUAUGUCUCACACCAUAUGACUAAGAGUCUCACACACAUAAUAAAUAAUCCAACAAGAUAAAACGAGCCAAGUUCAGCAAAGAAAGACUCAGAAGAAAAAGCGAUAAACCAAAGCAAAUCCUACACUCUCUCCCCCUUUGGCAUCAGGACACUAAAAAGGCAUAAAGGACACCUACGACACAGGCAGUAGCUCAGUCAUCGGACUCCUCAUCAGAUUCCUCCGUAGCCUCAGGAUCAGUCUCCUCCUCAGCCUCCCCAUCAGGCUUCUCAUGAUCACACUCAACCCACUAGAAGUCUCUCACCUACAUCCAAUCAGCCCCUAGAGUGAUGACUUCCUCAGAUCCACUCGAGAAGUGCACGUCAAGCUUCCUCAUGAUAAGCUUGUCCCUCUAACGACUCUCCUUCUGGGCCACAUGAGUCAGAUAUCGCCCCUUCGCCUACAUGCAAAAUAAGGUCCUCAUCUGGUCCUUCAGCCUCUUGGCCCAAGAUGGCUCAGCAGAGGAACGGGUAUGUGUGGCUGGACUGCCCUCAUCCUCAGGAGUAGCAUCAGUAUCAGCAGCAGCUUCCUUCCCAGUCUCCAUGCGUUCAGUAGUACGUGAAGUGGAGGUGUUGGCCCACUUGUUUUUCUGGCGUAGCUUGAUGGGCUCAUGGCUGAUACACCCAGUGGCAAUAUGGAAUGGCACAUGAUGAAAAGACUCAGAUCACUUUGUCUUGAUGAAGUAGUACAAGUAAGGCCCAUAGAUGGGAACCUUAUUGUUGUAUAUUGCCAUCUGAAGCUCGCAAAACAUCACAUUAGAUACAUCGAGUGGGCCAGAAUCCUUCGUCCGUCCCUGCUCACACAUAAGGAGUAUGUCCACCAAAUAAGAGUGUACUUGGUCUUUGUUGCCAACCCGAGGGAAUAGAGUGUUGCGGAAGAUCCUAUGCAUGACAUCCAAGAAGGAGUUGAGCACACGCUUCUAGAAAAAGUAGGGUUGUAGCUUCUCCUUUGGGGUAGCACCGGGGUUGGUAUGAGGGCGCAAACCAACAGGCUUAUGGAGCCCCUCGUCACGGACAUGCAGAAGCUUCAUGAACUCAACCCAAGUGCCAGAAAUUCUCUCGCCAUGAGUCAUCCAGGUCAUAGUACGUUCCACAUUAGAAUGAAAGUGGACAAAGACAUAGAAUUGUGCCACUACCUUUGGAUCGAAGUCAUAGAAAAAGGUGAUGAGUUCCUCAAUCCCCAGCCGAUGUAUCAUAUGCAGGGCGUCUCCAAAAUAUCGAAGAUCCCUUUUAGAUGGUUAAGAUCGAUCCAGUGCACCGGGACAUAGUUGUUCUUCCUAGUCAGGAUGACAUCUUGAUAGAUCAUGGCUUGCUGCUUUGACUAGUACAACUCACAUCGUCUAAGCUGAAUCCUCUCGAGAACAUAGGGUUUGUGCUUUCUGCGCUCCACAGAAUCUGGAAGAGGCAUAGUGUCAUAGUCAAUGUUGGCCUCCUUGUCCUUCAAUGCAGUCCGCUUUAUAUUGUGCUUCUUGGGGUUGGAACCUUCCGGGACAUCACGGUUGCAAAACCUCUUGGACUGGGUGUCACGAACUGGGUUUGAGCGACGGGAGCCACCACCUGUGACACGCAACACAAACACGCGAAGAUGACAAAAAGAAGUCAUGGCAAAAUCCAGAACAAAGGAGAAAAAUCAGAUGGAGGCAAUUUAGAUCCUGCAUACAAGGCACAGUGCUAGUACCGCUCGUUGUAGAGCGGUAGUACCUCUCCACGAGCGGUACUACCGCCACGCGAGCGAUAGUACCGCUCUGCGAGCGGUAGUACCACGUUGUUACAUAUCUCACAGAGCUGAACACAGAUCUAACCAUGAUACUGUAGAUUAAAUACAACUGAAGACCCAACCUAUGCAUGAUCUAUUCAACUAAACACAAUGAAAUACACCCAAGUGCUCUCCUCCCAUCCAUGCAAGAGACAAAAUCAUGCCAUAACAAUGGAGGCAAUAGACCAAGCCCCUAACCCUAGGAACAAGAAAAUCAAAUCAAGAGAAGGAGGAUAGUGGCGGUAAUGGGAUCCAUGGCACAAGGAGGAGGAAGGGGUAAUCCCUUCAACUGGUAUGGAAUGAAUCGCGCCGGGGAGGGGGAUCUCCUUCGGUGAGAUUUGAGAGAAAAAGAGAGAGCUCCACGGGAGAGGAAAAAGAUGGGGCAGAAAAAACUGCCUCAUCUGAUUAAGUACCCCCCAGGGCACGGGCAUGGAGGUAGUACCGCGCUGGUCAUCGCGGUAGUACCACUCGCGGCAGUAGUACCACUCCCCCUAAGGCGGUACAAACACUGAAAGCGGUAGUACCGCUUCCGGACAACGGUAGUACCGCUGGCAGAGCGGUCGUACCGUGCGAGAAAAAUCCAGAUAAAUUCCAUAAAUUGCCAAGACAGCGAUAAAUCAAUAUGGAGACAUGCCACACAAUAUUAGAAUAGAAACUUAAACAAAACAAACUGACUGGCAUUGUCAUAACCCUCUUUUGCAAGAAGGGGCGCGGUGGCCGGAGCCACCUAUGUUUGAGACAAAUGUUAUGACACCGCGAAGAAUUAUCCUUGGGUUCAUGACCAAAGCUCGUCUUUGAAGCACAAGUGCCAUCAAUAAUGGCUAAUGUGAAAGACUUGAUCGAUUUAUGCAUAAUGGGGGGAGGGAAAGUUCUUCGGUUGAACAACACUCCCCUAUGUCCAUGCCUACACCUAGAGCAAGAUAUAAUGCAGAGUGAGGUGCAGAGUGCCUAGUUUCAAUCCACAUUACUUGAAUCAAUGAUAUUUAGCUCAUGCCUUAACUCCCGGAACCUUGCUUCAUCUAGGGGCUUAGUGAAAAUAUCGGCAAGUUGCUCUUGAGUGUUGAUGAAUUUGACCUCAAUAUCUCCAUGCUUGAUAUGCUCACGGAUGAAGUGAUGAAGAAUAUCAAUAUGCUAGGUUUUGCUAUGUUGCAUCGGAUUGAGGGAAACUUGAUAGGACUUUGAUUGUCACGUAGAAGAGGCAUUUUGUCACAAGUGACACCGUAAUCCUUUAAAGUUUGCCUCAUCCAUAGCAACUGUGCACAACAACUUGCAGCUGCAACAUACUCAGCCUCGGUGGAAGACAGUGAGAUACAAUUUUGCUUCUUUGAAGACCAACUUACCAGCGAACGACCAAGAAAUUGACAUCCUCCAGAAGUUGACUUCCUCUCCACACAGUCUCCUGCCCAAUCUGAGUCAGAAUAGCCCACUAGAUUGAAGCUUGCUCCUUUGGGAUACCAUAGGCCAAAGUUUGGGCUAUGAGACAAAUAUCGAAAGAUUUGUUUGACAGCCGCAAAGUGGCUUUCUUUUGGUGUAGAUUGAAACCAUGCAAAAAUCCCUACACUCAACAUGAUAUCCGGUCGAGAUACACAAAGGUAAAGAAGGGAUCCAAUCACGGAGAGAUAUACCUUUUGAUCCACUUCUUUACCAUCGGGAUCACUGUCAAGCUUGCAUCUGGUUGGCAUGAGAAAUUUGACUGGCUUGACGUUGCUACGGCAACAAAAGUACUUCCCUGGCAAUGGUGCCAGAGAUCCUUCUGUCGUCUCUUGAGCUUGCGUUGGUUUUUCCCUUGAAGAGGAAAGGGUGAUGCAGCACAUGAGCAGUAAGUAUUUCCCUCAGUUUGACAACCAAGGUAUCAAUCCAGUAGGAGAAUCUCGUCAAGUCCAGAGUACCUGCGCAAACACAAACGAACUUGCACCCAACGCUUUAAAGGGGUUGUCAAUCCCUUCAAGAUUGAUUGCAAAGUGAGAUCUGAAGGCGGAAAGUGCAACGGAGUAAAAAGUGUAAGGCUGAAAAUAUGGUGUUGAGUAGACCCGGGGGCCAUAGUGUUCACUAGAGGCUUCUCUCAAAAUAGAAAAUAUCACGGUGGGUGAACAAAUUACUGUCGAGCAAUUGAUAGAACCGCGCAAAGUCAUGACGAUAUCUAAGGCAAUGACCAUACAUAUAGGCAUCACGUCCGAGACAAGUAGACCGAUACUUUCUGCAUCUACUACUAUUACUGCACACAUCAACUGCUAUCCAGCAUGCGUCUAGUGUAUUGAGUUCAUGACGAACAGAGUAAUGCCUUAAGCAAGAUGACAUGAUGUAGAGGGAUAAUCUCAAACAAAUGAUGAAAACCCCAUAUUUUUACCCUUGAUGGCAACAACAUGAUGCGUGCCUCGCUACCCCUUCUGUCACUAGGUGAGGUCAGCGCACGGUAUGAACCCAAAACCAAGCACUUCUCCCAUUGCAAGAAUCAUAGAUCUAGUUGGCCUGACAAAACCCACAACUCGAAGAGAAUUACAAGGAUAUGAAAUCAUGCAUAAGAGAGAUCAGAAGAAACUCAAAUAAGAUUCAUAGAUAAUCUGAUCAUAAAUCCACAAUUCAUCGGAUCUCAACAAACACACCACAAAAGAAGAUUACAUCGGAUAGAUCUCCAUGAAGAUCAUGGAGAACUUUGUAUUGAAGAUCCAAGAGAGAGAAGAAGCAAUCUAGCUACUAGCUAUGGACCCGUAGGUCUAUGGUGAACUACUCACGCAUCAUCGGAGAGGUCAUGGUGUUGAUGAAGAAGCCCUCCGUGUAUGAAUCCCCCCUCCGACAGGGCACCAGAACGUGCCGCAGAUGGGAUCUUGCGGAGACAGAAGCUUGCGUUGGCGGAAAAGUACAUUCGAUGAUCUCCUGAUUUUUUAUGGAAUUUUAGGGAUAUAUAGGCGCAAAACCUAGGGCAAAGGAGCCUCAGGGAGACCACAAGCCAGGGGGCGCGGUCCCCCUGGCCGCGCCAUGAGGGCUUGUGGGGUCCCUGGUGGCCCCCUGCACUGAUUCUUCGGCUUCCCGAUCUUUUUCUGUUCCGAAAAAAAUCUUUUUGGCAGUUCCAUUCAGUUUGGACUCCGUUCAAAAUCCUCCUUUGCAAGGGGUCAAAAACAUGGAAAAAACAGGAACUAGCUCUUGGCACUGAGUUAAUAAGUUAGUCCCAAAAAAUAUAUAAAAGGCAUGAAAACAUCCAAAGUUUGACAAGAUAAUAGCAUGAAACCAUAAAAAAUUGUAGAUACAUUGGUGACGUAUCAAGCAUCCCCAAGCUUAACUCCUACGCGUUCUCGAGUAGGUAAGUGAUAAAGACUGAAUUUUUGAUGUGGAAUGCUACCUAGCAUAGUUGUCCUUUGCAACUUAUUUCACGUGACAUGAAUGUUCAGAUCCGUAAGAUUCGAAACAAUAGUUUGCUAUUGACAUGAAAACAAUAAUACUUCAAGCAAACUAGCAAGGUAAUCAUGAACUUUCAUAAAAACAAGGCCAAUGAAAGUUAUCCCUAAAAAAAUCAUAUAGUCUGGCUAUGCUCCAUCAUCCUCACACAACUAAUGUAAAUCAUGCACAACCCGGUAUUGGCCAAUUAAUUGUUUUCGCACUCUUACUUUCUCAAACCUUUUAUAACUAUCACGCAAUACAUGAGCGUGAGCCAUGGAUAUAGCACUAUAGGUGGAAUAGAGUGUGGUGGUGGUUGUGAGACAAAAAGGAGGAUAUGGUCACAUUAACUUGGCGUAUCAAAGGGCUAUGGAGAUGCCCAUUAAUAGAUAUCAAUGUGAAUGAGUAGGGAUUGCCAUACAAGGGAUGCACUAGAGCUAUAAGUAUGUGAAAGCUCAAAAGGAAAACUAAUGGGUGUGCAUCCAACUUGUUUGCUCACGAAGACCUAGGGCAAUUUGAGGAAGCCCAUCAUUGGAAUAUACAAGCCAAGUUAUAUAAUGAAGAUUCCCACUAGCAUAUGGUAGUGACAAAGCAAGAAGCUCUCAAUCAUGAAGAACAUGGUGGUAUUAUGAAGCACAAGUGUGGAAAAAGAUAGUAGCAUUGUCCCAUCUCUCUUUUUCUCUUUUUUUCAUUUGGGCUCUUAGGCCUCUUUUUUUUCUCCUUUUAUUUUAUUUUUGGGCUCUUUGGCCUCCUUUUUUUGUUUCCUUACAUGGGAAAAUGCUCUAAUAAUGAUGACCAUCACAAUUUUAUUUACUCAAAGCUCAAUGCUUAGAACGAUGAUGACACUAUAGGAAAUGCCUCCGACAGUGUACCGGGAUGUGCAACAAUCUAGCUUGGCGUAUGAUGUUGAAACAUCUCGCUAGCUAUCUUAAGAUCAUGCAAUGGCAAUAUGAGAGUGACGGCACAAGUCAUGAGACGGAACGGUGGGAGUUGCAUGGCAAUAUAUCUCAGAAUAUCUAUGAAAAUGCCAUAGUAGGUAGGUAUGGUGGCUGUUUUGAGGAAGGCAUAUGGUGGGUUUGUGCACCGGCGAAAGUUGUGCGGCACUAAAGAGGCUAUCAAAGGUGGAAGCUGAAAGUGCAUCUAUACCAUGGACUCACAUUAGUCAUGAAGAACUCACAUACUUGUUGCGGAAGUUUUUAUUAGUAAUCGAAACAAAGUGCUAAACGCAUACUCCUAGGGGAAGGGUUGGUAGGUGUUAACCAUCGCACGAUCCCGACCUCAACACAAAGGAUGACAAUCAAUAGAUUAAUUAUGCUCUGACUUCCUAACUUAGCGGUUCACCAUAUGUGCAUUCUAGGGGAAUCACUAACUUCAACACAAGUAUUUCUAGAUUCACACCACCCUACUAACAUAACUCUCAAUAUUACCGAAUCCACGUCUCAAAACUAAUUGAGAGGAAUCAAAACUUCUCUUUCUACUCAAUGCACAUGAAGAUGGAGGUUUUUGCAUCCUCUUUGGGUACCUAUCACCUUUGGGACUACUUUCAUAGCAUCAGCCAACUACCAAGUCAUGCACCGCCGUGCUCUAGAAUAUAUAAGUGAAGCACAUAGAGCAAAAUUAUCUAGCUCAAAAGAUAUAAGUGAAGCACUAUGAGCAUUCCAGUAAAAUCACGAUGAGUGCAUGUCUCUCUCUCUCAAAAAGGUGCGAAGCAAGGAUGAUUGUGACACAACAAAAAGAAAAUACUCCUACGAUACAAAACGCUCCAAGCAAAACACAUAUCAUGUGGUGAAUAAAAAUAUAGCUCCAAGUAAUAUUACCGAUGGAUUGAAGACGAAAGAGGGGAUGCCUUCCCGGGGCAUUCCCAAGCUUAGGCUUUUUGGUGUCCUUGAAUUUGGCUUGUGAUGCCUUGGGAAUCCCCAAGCUUGAGCUCUUUCCACUCCUUAUCUCUUUGUUCAUGAGAACAUCACCCAAAACUUGAAAACUUCACAAAACUAAUCUUAAACAGAAACUCGUGAUAACAUUAGCACAAGAAAACAAACCACCACCUCUUUUGGUACUGUAGAAAACUUGAAAUCUAUCUAUAUUGGUGUUGGGCUAUUGUAUUCUCACUUUUACAUGGCUAGUACCCCCCGAUACUAACCAUAGUUUCAUCAAAACAAGCAACCAACUCAACAAAAACAGAAUCUGUCAAAAACAGACCAGUGUGUAGCAAUCUGUAUACUUAGUAUACUUCUGUUACCUCACAAAUUCUGAAAACUUACGACUUCCUGGGAAAAAGGCAUAUAAACCAGAAGAAAAAAGAAUCAACUCAAAAUCUCUUUCUGAAUAAAAAUGAAAAAUCAUCUUGUGAGCAAAAAGUUUCUGUUUUUUUCCAGCAGGAUCAAACAACCAUCACCAAGACUAGUCAUAAAGGUUUUGCUUGACUCAAACACAAAAAGAAACACAAAAAUAACAAUCACAACAGAAUUAUGAUGGUGUAGACGCAAAAAAACAGAAAUAAAAAGAUAAAUUCAUUGGGUGCCUCACAACAAGCGCUAUUGUUUAACGCCCUUAGCUAGGCAUAAAUGCGAUAGAAUCACGUAUCGUCGUCUUUGGUGCUCAAACCAUAAGUGACCCUCAUCAUGGAUUCAUAAGGCAAUCUUAUUUUAUUUCUAGGAAAGUGCUCCAUGCCCUUCUUUAAAGGAAAUUGAAAUCUAAUAUUCCCUUAGGAAAGGUCUACCAAGAAUAAUAGGGCAUGUAGGAUUGCAAUCAAUGUCAAGCACAAUGAAAUCCACGGGUACAUAUUUCCUAUUUGAAAUAAUAAGAACAUCAUUGAUCCUUCCCAUGGGUUUCUUGACAGCAGAAUCCGCAAGACGCAAAUUAAGAGAGCACUCUUCAAUCUCAUUAAAACCCAGAACAUCACAUAAACACUUUGGAAUCGCGGAAACACUAGCACCCAAAUCACACAAAGCAUUGCAUUCAUAGUUUUUGAUUUUGAUUUUGAUAGUAGGUUCCCACUCAUCAUGAAGCUUUCUAGGGAUAGAGACUUCCAAUUCAAGUUUCUCUUCAAGAGAUUUUAUCAUAGAUUCGUAGAUAUGAUCGGUAAAGGCCUUGUUUUGGCUAUAAGCGUGUGGAGAGUUUAACAUUGUCGGGGGGAUAACCCCGGGGUAGGCUCAUCAAGCCUGUUCCUUCAUUUCCGGCCCAAUUCCCAAGGCCCAAGUCUUCUGAUCGGUAAGGCAUCACCUGCCGGCUGGAAGACGAGGCGGCCACCAUCCUGGCCGGCCAGGCAGCCCCUGCCGGCUAGAAUGCAGGCGGCCUCCCCUUCAGAGCCGGCCUGGUCCCGCCAGCCAGACUGAGGAGGAGGCGGCCACCCUCAAGCCGGCUGACCAAGCAGGCUAGCCGACUGAGGAUCACGAGGCACAUCAGAUCGUAGGUCAGGAAGAGACCUCAGGAUUAAAGGUAGCUACGCGCCAGCAAAGGUACAGGAUCAGGGCGCCCGACAGGUACGAGCGUCGGCGGCCACACCGUUGACCUACCCUGGCUCUGAUCCAUCACCUAGCAUAGUGUCGGACCAUCACACUCCCACUCCAUUACUGCACUCGGUGUGGGGAACAGUGGAGUCGGUCGUACUGACUGCUCAUGAAGAAUCUCGCGGGGCGACGCUUGAUGUACAUCGCGUGCUCAGCAUCAACCUUAAGCCGGAGCCCCAUUGGCCAGCCGGCAGGUCCCACACGCAAUCGAGACCAUGUAGCCGGCGGGCCCCUCAUCGACAAGACAAGACCCUUGUGGGCCCCUGGCCAGCCGGCGAAGCAGCCAGCCGGGUCCCACGUCUGUAUCCUUUAUCCAUAUUGUAGGCCGGCGGGUUCGUCAAUAAAACCCCCCGGUCGCCCCCCAUGUAGAGGGGCCGAUCAUUCACCAGUCAUUCUACACUACACACUCACCAACCCACACAGAGAGAGGCAGAGACGAGCCGGCUCCUCCCCUCUUCCUGCUCCCAACACAACUCCAGGAGCGACAUUGUACUCUGUUCCCACAAAUCAAACACACCAGCAGGAUUAGGGGUAUUAUCUCUACGGAGAGCCCUGAACCUGGGUACAUCGUGCGUCCCAUGCAUGUACCAACCUCGUUCGCAGCGCCCACCUUUGUCCCUUCGGUUCUCACCGACUUUAGCGUACCUAUGGCAUAUGUUGUGAGUAUUCACCGACAUUUGGCGCCCACCGUGGGGCCGAUCGCGGCAUCGGCUGGCUUUACGCGCUGGGCGGGGCCCCGCACCUACACCACCGGAUGCAUCGCGUCCGGAUCAGUCUGCAUGCCCGUGGAGCCUGCUUUCGACGAGGCAACACCCAUGAUGAUCGACGUCCCUGUCCGCCAUGCGGAUUCGAUCGAAGAUUCUGAUGACGAGGCGCUCCCUAGCGUCGUCGUCGCUGCCAUGGAGAACCUCAGCAUCCUCUUCAGCAACCUUCGCCUCAACGACGGCCCGUGCUACUUCGGUGAGGACUACGACGUUGAGGCGCUCUGCGCCAGCUUUAGCAGGCUCUCUAUCGCUGAGAUGCCUUCCCAUGAUGUUUACCCUAGUAACGUCCUCAUCUUUGACGGCCCUCCGCCGUCGGUAGGGUUCUUCACCCCCUACCACGUUGCUGCCGUCUCCAACACCGUGGAGGUGAUGGUUAUCCGCGCCGGCACCAGCACGGCUCCCGGCAAGGCCUCCGCAGGCGCCGACGAGCCCGCUGCAGCCGCCGCUGAUACUCUUCGGGACGCCAUCGCCGGCCUGAAGACACCGGUCACCGCUUCCGCCGACCCUGCAGACGCUGGGGCCUCGCUGGAGGAGGCUCGCAAGCGUAUCUUGGAGGAGGGCAUCGCCGUGGCCUCGGCCAAACGUCGGUUGGAGGCUACGCAUCAUGAGUAUAACUCCGCGUACGGUCUCACUCUGAUUUCCGAGGCCCCUAGUCGGCUUGGAUCGGUCCGCAGCCACGGCCGGUUCGUCGCCGAAGUUCUAGGCGGUGAUCUGCCCACCUACAAGACUCCUGCGGCCAACAUGUGAGCGACGCAGGCAGACAUGGAGGAGAUGGAAAGCUUGGAGGGUGAGGAGCGCGCCUUCCAGGAGAAGCGUGUCAAGGAUCUCCUUGACACCGCCAACCAGCAACACGCUCGGAUUGACCCUGGCCAGGCUGAAUCGGAGUCCCCGGGACCAAACUCGGGGGCUCGCCGCAACCCUAGCGGCCAGCACCACGCCGAAGGAUCUUCCUCGCAUCGCCCAUCCGGCUGGAGGGGCGAGGGAAGCCAAGACUGGCGCUGGCAGCGCCAGAGCGAGCACACUUCGGCCUUACGUCGCGGAGGCAACGAGGGCAAUUCGGAGUACAGGGAUCUUCCCCCGCGAAGAACUCACGCCUCUGGCUCCCGAGGCGCCUCCCCUCUCGCCACCGGGGCUGGCGCCCCCGCCACCCGGGAUGAGCGGGACGCUCGCGAGUGUAUCAUCGUCCUCGCCCAUUGGCCCUCCUAGAGGAAGACGGACCCGUCGGUCCAGCAUGCUUUGGCCCCCGGAUCCGAGGGGAGCCGUUCCCCCGAGGCUUCACCUUGCCUCGGGAUACGCCGAAAUACAACGGCACGGCCAAGCCACAAGACUGGCUGAUCGACUACACCACGGCCGUGGGCAUCGCUAGGGGCAACAAGCGCGUAGCGGUUCCCUACGUGCCACUCAUGCUGGCCGGCUCGGCCCGGACCUGGCUUAACAGCCUCCCGACAGGCAGCGUCAACUCCUGGGUGGACUUCGAGGAGGCGUUCGUCCGCAACUUCACUGGCACAUACAAGCGCCCUGGCCGGCCCCGCGAGCUGGCCAUGUGCGUCCAGAAGGCCGACGAACCCCUUCGCGACUACGUCACCCGGUGGACUGAGCUCCGCAACUCCUGCGAGGGGGUGCAUGAGGUACAAGCCAUCCAGUACUUCAUCGAUGGAUGCCGAGAUGGCACCCUCCUCAAGCACAAGCUCAUGUGCGCCGAGCCCACCUCUUUGGCGGUGCUCAUGGCCAAGGCGGACAAGUACGCCACGGCCGACUCCGCAAUGCGCAUCAAGGUGACUGCCUUGGACAAGGUUGUGCCUGCGCCGGUUACUCCGAAGCCGGCUGGGGACAACCGAGGCGGCCAGAACAACUACAAGCGCAAGGCGGAUCAGGUGGAUCCCCGCUCCAGCAACAAGCUGGUGGCCAAUGUGGAGGGCGAGGCGUCGGCUUCUCAAGCCGGCCCUCCACGAAAGCGUCGCAAUCAGGGCAACCCCAACUGGCUGCCCAAGCAGUCUCUCGAGCAGUUGCUCGACGCCCCCUGCAAGAUACAUUUUGGGGCGACGCCGUCGACCCAUACCCUUCGACAGUGCAGCGUCGCACGCUGGCUGUCGCAAGGGGAGGGCCUGCCGGCUCCUCCGGGUGCGCAGGCGGCGCCCCGUGCACCGACUCCCAAUCGCGCUCCGCUUCCGCCGCCACCGCCUCGCGAUGACGGUCCUCACCCUGACGACUACCCUCACCAAGACGGAGCGUUCGUCGUCUUCACCAGCGAAGGCGACGACAAGCACAACCUGCGCCAAAGACGGCGCGAGGUAAACGACACUGUCCCCCCGGUUCCCGAGUAAAUGCAUUGGUCUGACAAACCAAUCACAUGGAGCCGGGUGGACCAUCCUGUGGUGAUGCGCAACCCGGGGUCAUACGCACUCGUCCUCGACCCCACCUUCGCCUCCAAAAGGCUCACCUGCCGAUUCUCCCGGGUGCUGGUCGAUGGCGGCAGCAGCAUCAACAUCCUCUACCUCGACACUCUCCGCAAGCUCGGGCUCAACGAGACGGACGUCCUGCCAACCAGCACUGUCUUCCAUGGCAUCGUGUCUGGUUAGUCAUGCUCACCCAUCGGCAAGAUCUAGCUGGACGUCCUCUUCGGCGAGAAGGCCCAUUUCCACCGAGAACCCAUAUGGUUCGAGGUAGUAGACCUCCGUAGCCCGUAUCACGCACUGCAGGGGAGACCGGCUCUGGCCAAAUUCAUGGCUAUUCCGCACUACGCCUACCUGAAAAUGAAGAUGCCGGGUCCCAAGGGCAUCAUCACUAUUGUUGGUGACUACAAGAAGUCGCUCGAGUGUGCCCAGGAUAGCAGCCGCCUCGCCGACGCCUUGGUGAUUGCUGAGGAGAAGCGGCAGAUCGACCGGCUCGUGGCCCAGGCUACCGAGCAGCCGGCGAUUCCUUCUCCUCCGUCCCAAUCGGCCGGCGAGGGCUCUUUCAAGCCGGCUAAAGAGACCAAGCAGGUCUCACUCGACCCUGCCAACCCGAAGCAGUGCAUCACCAUCGGGGCUGGCCUCAGCCCCAAAUAGGAAGGCGAGCUCAUCGACUUCGUCCAUGAGAAUCGGGACAUCUUUGCAUGGUCCCCCAAGGACAUCCCGGGUGUUUCGAGGAAGUACGCCGAGCACAAACUUCACGUGCGACCGGAUGCAAAGCCGGUGAAACAACCUCUGCGCCGCUUCGCCGAGGGGAAGCGGCGCACAAUCAGAGAAGAGAUCACCUGGCUUCUUGCAGCCGGCUUCAUCAUGGAGGUUUUCCACCCGGACUGGCUGGCGAACCCAGUCCUGGUGCUGAAGAAGAACAACACAUGGCGAAUGUGUAUCAACUACACUAGCCUUAAUAAGGCCUGUCCGAAAGACCCUUUCGCGUUGCCUAGGAUAGAUCAAGUGAUCGACUCCACUACAGGCUGCGAACUGCUGUCGUUUCUGGAUGCUUAUUCAGGCUACCAUCAUAUCAAGCUGGAUCCAGCUGAUCGCCCGAAGACCUCCUUCAUCACACCCUUCGGGGCCUACUGCUACACCACCAUGACGUUCGGUCUGAAGAACGCACGUACGACGUUCCAACACUGCAUGCAGCAGUGCCUACUGCCACAUAUUGGCAGAAACAUCCACGUCUAUGUGGAUGACAUCGUCGUCAAGACGAAGCAACACUUCAGCCUCCUCGACGACCUGCGGGAGACAUUCGCCAAUCUGCGCGAAUACAAGAUCCGGCUCAACCCUGAGAAGUGCGUCUUCGGGGUCCCAGGCGGCAAACUCUUGGGGUUCUUUGUAUCCGCCCGCGGCAUCGAAGCGAACCCUGGGAAGAUCAGCACCAUCGAGCGGAUGGUGCGGCCGGCUCGGAUCCUCGACGUCCAGAAGUUCGCCGGCUGCUUGGCAUCCCUCAGCCGGUUUUUCAGCCGGCUUGGCGAGAAGGCCCUUCCACUCUACUAGCUCAUGAAGAAGACGAUGAAGUUCGAGUGGAAUGACCAGGCGGACGAAGCCUUCCGCGACCUCAAGCGGGUAAUCUCGAGCCUGCCAAUCUUGGCAGCCCCAUCUGAAAGGGAACCCAUACUCAUAUACAUCGCGGCGACCACUCGCGUGGUCAGUGUAGCGUUGGUAGUUCAGCGCAAAGAGGAAGGCAAGGCCCUGCCAGUGCAGCGCCCUGUCUACUACCUUAGUGAGGUCUUGUCCGCCUCUAAGCAGAACUACCCUCAUUAUCAGAAAAUGUGUUAUGGUGUUUACCUUGCUGCAAAGAAAUUGAAACAAUACUUCCGAGAGCAUGCCAUCACUGUGGUGAGCACUGCUCCGCUUUCGGAGAUCAUGGGUAACCGUGAUGGCACGGGCAGAAUUCCCAAAUGGUCCAUCGCCAUGGCGGACCAUGAUAUUCGGUAUGAGCCUCGCACCGCCAUCAAAUCACAGGUGGUGGCCGACUUCCUAGUCGACUAGGCUGAGACCCAGUUCGAGCCGCCGCCUCCAGACUCCACGCAUUGGCGGAUGCACUUCGACGGCUCGAAGAUGCUGACAGGACUGGGAGCCGGCAUCAUCGUGACGUCUCCAAAAGGAGACCAGCUCAAGUACGCUCUCCAGAUCCAUUUCGCCGCCUCCAACAACGUCGCCGAGUACGAAGCACUGGCUCAUGGCCUCCGGCUUGCCAAGGAGAUCGGCAUCCGGCGGCUCAUAUGCUUCGGCGAUUCAGACUUAGUGGUGUAGCAGGUCUCUGGCGAAUGGGACGCCAGGGACGCCAACAUGGCGAGCUAUCGCUUCCUCAUCCAACAGCUCAGCGGCCCCUUCGAGGGUUGUGAGUUCCACCAUGUUCCCAGGGCGGAAAAUGAGGCGGCCGAUACGUUGGCGAAGAUCGGCUCCAUGAGGCAGGCCAUCCCAGCCGGCGUCUCCCUCGAGCAAUUCCACAAGCCGUCUAUCAAGCCGUCUCCCGAGUCGGCAUCAAUCUUCAUUCCAGCCGACUCGACAAUACAAGCACUGCCGGCUCCGCCAGCUACGCCGGCUGUGGACCCCAUGCCGGCCGCACUGGCGGCUCCGGCUCUAAAUGCGGCACUGACUGAGUCUAUGGUUCAAGCGCCAUCGACUCCACCAACUACGUCGGCUUCGGAUCCUAUUCCGGCUCCAUUGGUCCAACCGACUCCAAUAGCGACACCAGCUACAACGACAACCCCGGCUCUAUCCGGGCUCGAAUCCUCCCAGUGGGUGGACGUCAUGGAAAUAGACGGCGAGCCGGCUGCAGUAAUAACACCAUCAAGCUCGGGCGCUGCAGAAGCCCCCAACAGUCAAAUCAAAGCAGAGGCGGCCCUUGUGUUGGCUCCAUCAUGGGCUCAGGCCAUUCUGGCCUUCCUUCUUCGCGGCGAACUUCCUCAGAAUGAGGCGGAGGCGAGACAGAUCCAGUGCAGGUCCGCCGCCUAUGCCAUCAUCAAUCGCGAACUGGUGCGACGCAGCAGGACCGGCGUGUUCCAACACUGCAUCGAAUCAGAAAAAGGGCAGGAGAUCCUCAUAGACAUCCACCAGGGGGAGUGUGGGCAUCAUGCCGCCUCCAGAACCCUUGUAGCCAAAGCAUUCCUCCAUGGAUUCUACUGGCCCACGGCCCUCAAGGAGGCCGUGGAUCUGGUGGACAAAUGCGAAGGCUGCCAACACUUCAGUGCACAAAGCCAUAUGCCGCCUUCAGCGCUGAAAACCAUUCCCUUAUCAUGGCCGUUCGACGUCUGGGGAUUGGACAUGGUUGGGCCCUUCAAGAUGGCUCACGGAGGGAUGACACAUCUUCUGGUAGCCGUCGACAAGUUCACCAAGUGGAUCGAAGCCAGGCCCAUCAAGAAGCUUGACGGCCCCACUACUGUCAGGUUCAUCACAGACAUCUCUGUCCGAUAUGGCAUUCCCGACAGCAUCAUCACCGACAAUUGCACCAACUUCGCCAAGGGCGCCCUGGCGCUCUACUGUUCCAAGGUAGGCAUCCAGCUCGACCUGGCCUUAGUGGCACACCCUCAGUCAAACGGCCAAGCGGAGAGGGCCAACGGCCUGAUCCUAGCCGGCAUCAAGCCAAGACUGGUGGCACCACUUGUCAGGUCAGCCGCCUGCUGGAUUGAAGAACUGCCGGCUAUGCUAUGGAGCCUCCGCACCACGCCCAACCGGUCGACCGGCUUCACUCCAUUCUUUCUGGUAUAUGGGUCUGAGUCUAUUAUCCCCACGGUUGUCGAAUUCGACUCGCCUCGGGUCACCCUAUACACAGAAACGGAGGCGAAGGAGGCCAGAGAAGACGGUGUGGAUCUCCUCGAAGAAGCAAGGGACUUGGCUUUGAGCCGGACGGCCAUCUACCAACAGAAGCUGAGAUACUACCACAACAAAAAGAUCAGGCCUCUCUCUUUCAGGGAGGGAGACUUGGUCCUCAGAAGAAUCUGGCGCACUACCGGCCAACACAAGCUCUCACCCCCCUGGGAGGGACCCUUCAUCGUCAGUAGGGCGCUGCACAACAACGCUUACUACCUGAUUGAUGCCCAGAAGCCAAGGAAGCGCAAGAGGGACGACUCUGGCCAAGAAACGGAGUGCCCAUGGAACGCGGCGUUGCUUCGCCCGUUCUAUUGCUAAAAGGCAGAAGACAAGCAAAGGAAAGAGCAUGCACAUGUACCUUCCUCCCUCUUCAGGGAACAACGAAGGCAAUAAAAUGAACAUGCUCCAUGUUUCUUUUUGUCAAGAGUUUUCACUCAGUGUACGGGCUACACAGCGUACCACCUCUUGCCGGCUUAAUCAAGCUCGGAGGCUACGCAGCGCGACCCCUUGCUAGCUUUAAACAAGCUCGGGGGCUCGCCAGCCGCCUGAACAGUCCACCCUUGUAGUCGGGCACAUAGUGUACCGGCUGACUCCUGGUCCUUCGCUCGAGCCUACGGGCUGGCUCCGGUCGCUCGGUUCGUGAAGUGACGCCAGGUCAGGUUGAAUACAUGCACAGUCCGGCUAUACUUGGGAUGACCUGCUCGGGCUGGCUCGAUCGUAUAUACGAUCUCAUUCAAGACUCAAGACGGCCUCUGACUGCCGGGAACAACAACUAUGAUGAAAAGAGCAUGCUCCAUGCUUCUUCUUGCUAAAGAGUUUUCACUCAGUGUACGGGCUACACCGUGUACCACCUCUUGCAGGCUUAAUCAAGCUCAGAGGCUAUGCAGCGCGACCCCUUGCUAGCUUUAAACAAGCUCAAGGGCUCGCCAACUGCUCGGACGGUCCACCCUUGUAGUCGGGCACAUAGUGUACCGGCUGAAUCCUGGUCCUUCGCUCGAGCCUGCGGGCUGGCUCCGAUCGCUCGGUUCGCGAAGUGACGCCAGGUCAGGUCGAAUACAUGCACAGUCCGGCUAUACUUGGGACGACCGGCUCGAGUUGGCUCAUUCAAGCCGGCCUCUGAUUGGCUUAUGUCCUGUUCUUUACGUCUUGAUGGCUUCGAAUAAGAGAAGUCAACCAGGAAUCAAAAGACGGGAUCAUAAGACAACACGCUUGGUGACGAAUAUAAUGUUGAAUAUAUACAUUCAUAAAAAGCAUUGGCCCAUGGACCACGUUCGUUACAUCCCUCCGGGGAUAGAACCAAAAACACAAAAGGACACCAGUUACGGGACAGCGGCCUCAGUGGUCGUCUCGGCUGCUCCUCCUGAUGUGGUAGCAUCACCGCCUCCGGCUCCUCUCGAGGUACUUGCGCCGUCUCCCCUGCUGCGGCCCCCGGCUUCGCUGAUCCCGGAGUCGGCAUACGCCCCACCACUGGAGGCGGCUGCAGAUUCCGCAGCCCAGACCGCUUCGUCGGAGCUGACGUCGGCGUCGUAGGGUUGAAGGCCAUGCGGAUCUUCAGCGAUCAUGCCGCCGUCUUCACCCUACUCCAAGACGAAGUUGUCCGAGGCUGCGUACUCGGCAACAGCGCUGGCUCUCACCCGGAGCUCCUCCUCCAUGCCUUGCAGCUCCGCCUUUGAGCCGUCGCGCUGGGCAGCCAGCUUGCCCAAGUUCAGGUUCCGAUACCAUGACUUGGCCAAGCGCAGGGCCAUAUAAGCCCCAGACCGCGCUGCAGAGGCACGCCAGGCGUCCAGGCGCUCUCCACCCGCUGCGAGCCAGUGGGCAAGCCGACUCAUGGUCGUCGGCUCCACGCCCUCCGGCCACAGGGCCACCACCAUCGACGAACCUGCAACCUGGAGCUGAGUCACAAACUCGCCCAGGACGUGCAGGCGGGCCCGAAGGCCCACCCCGAUCUCCUCUACGCUCCAGCCGGAGGUAGUAUCUACCUCCUGCCCGGCCGCGCGGCGCUCCUCACGGCACAUCUGAACGGCGGUGUCGGCUGCGACCUGGGUCUUGGGGAAGAGAUCUGGGGUAACGGCAACCAGGACGUAAGAACACAGCAAGAGGAGGAGACGGCAAAAAGACCAAACCCAAAACAAGGAAGAGAGACCCACGCUGGAAGGCGCCAUAGGUCUCAUGAGAGCCUCGAGGACCUCGUGCUCUCGCACCUCACUCGCAUGAGUAAGGCGGGCGAUUUCCUCCUGGAGGGUCGCGGCGGACUCCAGCGCCUUAGCCAACUGCGUUUGCUUCUGGGUAAGGGCUUCAUCCUUCUCCCUCAAGGCGGCGUCCUUGAGGUCCACCUCCUUGAGGUGAAGCGACACGAGGCGGUCCACGUCGGCAGAGUAGGAGGCCUCCUUCUCCUGCAGCGUGGCCCGCAGCCGCUCCAACUCGACCCGGCCAGUCGCCUCGAGCUCCUUCUUCUCCGUCUGAAGAAGGUCCAACUGCUCCUGGAGCCGGCCGCCGGCGUCGCGCAGGGCAUCACGCUCCACGGCAACCUCGCCUAGUCGGGCUUCAAGCUCGGCGAUCCGGCUAUCAGCCCCCAGGUGCUGGUCCCGAAGCUCGUUGUACGCCUGUACCUGAGCAUCGUAAAGUGCCUGCCAAAGGGGAGAGAAAGGAAACAUGAUUAAGAUUCGACCUGGUUAAAAGCUUAACCAGCCCGAUUCUCGGGGGCUACACCCAGUGGGUACGCUUGCACGCCCCCACUGAAGAAAACUGUGCAGAGAAAAUGGCCUCCAAGAGAUUCGAACCGGUUGGCAAUCAACCCGCCCGAUUCUCGGGGGCUACACCCAGUGGGUGCGCUGUCGCGCCCCCACUGACGACAAGAGAAGAGAAAAAAGUGCAAAGAAAAACCAAAACAGGCAAGGCCUACCUGGGUGCGGGCUUCCAGGCACUCCAUGUCGCCGCACACCAUGUGGACCGCCUGCUCCACCUUCGACCGGCCGCUGGAAAACAGCGUCACCAGCUCCGGUACGCCGGAAAGAACGGUGUCGGUGGGCAUUCGUAGGUGGGCCAAGUUCGCCGCCCGCCAAGUCUUCAUGGGCCGGCUCCCAACCCGGCCCCCGGCCCUUGGCGCAACAGGGCCAUGCUGGGGGACGACGAUGGCGCCGGCUCUACGGCCGGCUCGGGCGCCAUCCCAACCGGCGCUACCUCCCCCGCAGGAGGCGGAUGAGCCGCGUCCGGCGCAUCCAUGGUCGCCCCUGGGGCAUCAGGGGCCGCGUCCGGUGCCGUCAGAUCCAACACCGGCGCGUCAGGAGCUACUUCGUCCCUGGGAGAAACCGGGAUCUUCUCCAGGUCCACCCGCUCCGGGGCUGCAGGCUUAGAUGGCUGGGCCCCUUCGGUCCUUGGAGCCGGCCUCGAGGUGGCCUCGCUAGCUGGCUCCUUCACACGGGCAUGUGCGGAGGGGUCCUGUCUAGCCUUCGCACGCUUCUCCGCCGGCCUCUCGACCCGGCUGGGGCGAGGCUGACCCACGGCAGCCUUCCCCGCAGCCGUGUCUCACCGGCGCUUGGAGUCUAUCUCGAGCUCCCUCUCGGCAGCAUCAGUUGCUGCCCAGCCGGCCCGCUCGGCUGCGGAGGCGGUGUCUUCAUCCGCAUCCUCUGCCUCCCGUCAAGCCAAGCUUCUCAGGAACAAAGCUCACAUCAAGGUGGGGAAGGGAAAAGUGGAGGAAACCAUACCCUGCAACCACCGGGACCUGCCUCCGGCCACCACCACGGCGCCUCUUGGCGCCGUCUGCUCGCUGCCCGGCUGGAGGACCCGGCGCCGGUCUCUUAGAGGCCGACCGGGAAGCUGUAGCACCCUUGCCCUUCUUCCCGGCUGCAUCGUCAGCAGCGGUCGCUCCGCCACCUUGACGCCGGCCACGCGUCAGAAGUGAGCUGGUGACCUCCUCCACCUCGUCGGAGUCUUCCUCAAAGGCUCCAUCAGAAUAGAAUGAGGCUUCCUCAUAGUCGUUCGUCUAGUCUGCUACGACGUGCCACGGGUACUCACCAGACGGCUCAGUCCCUUUCGACUCCAGGGGAUCUUCCGAGCCGGCGGAGGAGUCUGAGCAGGGCUCCAUCGCACCCUCGUACUCCAUCUCGGAGGCGUCGGACACCUCCACGUCAGGAGCAGGCUGACGGAGGGACCCCUGCAGGGUCUUGAACAUCUACAAAAAGGAAUUCAACCAGGCUCAGCAGCGCCACCGGCUCGAAGACAAAACGACAGAGAAAAAUGAAGAAAGGCUACCAUCGGAGGCGGGUGAGCCCGGUUGAACGGGGGCAUCCCCCAUGUCCAUUCCCCGCCCUCAUCCAUGCGUGCGGUGGAGAUCAGGUUCACCCUUCGCGCUACAGCGCCCGGGGUGAACCUCUUGGCGGACAACCGACAUGGAUCAAGCCGGCCGCUCAUUUGGCAAACCAGAUGCGGCCGCCUCUGCAGAGGCAGAAUCUGGCGGACCACCAUGGUGGCGAGAAGGUCAUGACCGAGGAGGCCGCUCUUCCCCAAGAUGUCAAGGUGGGAGCAGAUAAGCGCCACCUCAGGAUGUGGCUUGGGAGUCUUCGCGUCCCAAUUCCGCCGCGUCGGAGGAGCGAUGGCGAACAGGGGCAUGUUGAGGGCGUCCUGGGCCGGGUCGGCGCUCUUCACAUAGAAGAAACCCUUCUGCCAAUGAUUGAUGGAGUCUUGCAGAAGCAUCUGGGGGAAGCCGGACUUCAGGCGGUGAUGCACCAACGCGACCCCGCACGGCGUCAUGGGGCGCGGCCCCUUGAGCUUCUCCACCUCGGAUUUCUCCAUGGCGAUGGACUGUUGCUUGAAAAAGAACAGGCUGCGCCACAGAUCAACGCGAGGCUCGAUCCCCACAAAGCCCUCGCACAACACCACAAAGGCGGCCAGCUACAGUAUGGCGUUCGGUGCCAGGUGGUGCGGCUGGAGGCCAAAGAACUGGAGCCAUUCGGCAAAGAAGUAGCUAGCCGGGAGCCCGAAGCCCCGGUAGAAGUGCUCGACGAAGACCACAACCUCUCCCACGGCAGGUGCGGGAGCGGUCUCGGAGCUGGGAAGGCGCACCAACACAUGGGAGGCCGGGGGGCAGCAGUCGAUGGUGACGAAGCGCAUCGAUGUGCCCCUCAUCGACGUCGCUACCCAGCCAGGCCCCCUCCGAGGACGCCUGCUGCGCCGACGACUUCUUCGAGGAAGAUCCACUGGCCAUGGCUGUGGGUGGCGAGAGCUCGAAGCGGUCGACGCAGGUCUCGACAGUGAAGAUGAAGAAGACAGAGGGCGCGAGCUUUUCUUCUCAGGACGCAAGGAGGAAGAGAGCACGGAGCAGGGCGAGAAGAGGGGGCGAAUGGCCUCCUCGAAACCCUCGCGUCCCAUUUAAACCCCCACGAAACAUCGUGGGGAGGGGAUCCGGUGCGCGCCAGGCCCCAUUAAUUCCGUGUAUUACGGGCUGUAACGCCCCCCUAAGCCCAACCGUCGCAGAGUAAAUCCGCAGAGGAUCUCCCGCGUGGAGGCCGAGGGGGCGUCGUGGCGGGACCCAGGGCCCAGGCCCGGUCCUGUCAAGCAGUAAUCGCUAUCAUUACGCCAGGCAGGGCCUGGCACAUGGCGUUCUCCGGGCCAGUUCCGACUGGACCGAGGCGUCGCUUCGAAGCUACCCUGUUCCGAAGCCGGCGCCCUUCGCAGCGAACAACCGCCAAAAUAUCAAGACAAAUCAACAAGCCGGUGAGGCCGCCCGCCCGCAGGCGGCAGACCUCACCAGCUUCGGGGACUACUGUCGGGGGGAUAACCCCGGGGUAGGCUCAUCAAGCGUGUUCCUUCAUUUUCGGCCCAAUGGACAUGAAGAUAUGGAGAUUCCCAAGGCCCAAGUCUUCUGACCGGCUAGGCAUCACCUACCGGCUAGAAGACGAGGCGGCCACCUUCCUGGCCGGCCAGGCAGCCCCUGCCGGCUAGAAUGCAGGUGGCCUCCCCUUCAGAGUCGGCCUAGUCCCGCCAGCCGGACUGAGGAGGAGGCGGCCACCCUCAAGCCGGCUGACCAAGCAGGCUAGCCGGCUGAGGAUCACGAGUCACAUCAGAUCGUAGGUCAGGAAGAUACCUCACGAUUAAAGGUAGCUACGCGCCAGCAAAGGUACAAGAUUAGGGCGCCUGGCAGGUAUGAGCAUCGGCGGCCACGCCGCUGACCUACCCUGGCUGUGAUCCAUCACCUAACAUAGUGUCGGACCGUCACACUCCCACUCCAUUACUGCACUCGGCGUGGGGAACAGUGGAGGCGGUCGUACUGCAUGCCCAUGAAGAAUCUCGCGGGGCGACGCUUGACGUACAUCGCGUGCUCAGAGUCAACCUUAUGCAGGAGCCCCAUUGGCCAGCCGGCGGGUCCCACAGGCAAUCGAAACCAUCCAGCCGACGGGCCCCUCAUCGACAAGACAAGACCCUUAUGGGCCCGUGGCCAGCCAGCGAAGCAGCCAGCCGGGUCCCACGCCUGUACCCUUUAUCCAUAUUGUAGGCCGGCGGGUUCGUCUAUAAAACCCCCCGGUCGCCUCCAUGCAGAGGGGCCGAUCAUUCACGAGUCAUUCUACACUACACACUCACCAACCCACAGAGAGAGAGGCAGAGACGAGCCGGCUGCUCCCCUCUUCCUCCUCCCAACACAGCUCCAGGAGCGACAUUGUACUCUGUUCCCAUACAUCAAACACACCAGUAGGAUUAGGGGUAUUAUCUCUACGGAGAGCCCUGGACCGGGGUACAUCGUGCGUCCCAUGCGUGUACCAACCUCGUUCCCAGCGCCCACCUUUGUCCCUUCGGUUCUCAUCGACUUUAGCCUACCUAUGGCAUAUGUUGUGAGUAUUCAUCAACAAACAUGGAUUGCAUCAAGGAAAUGCAUUCAAUCAAGGAGCAACUAUCAUAAUUGAAUUCCUUGAAAUCCAUAGUAGUAAUUUCAUCACUACUCAAAGUUUUAAUAUCUUCUACUCCACUUUCAAUGCUUUUAGCAUCAAGAUAGAUGGACUCCGGAUCAUUGGGGCACUUUUCAAAAAAAGUGGAUUCAUAUCCAGCCCCAUCAUCAUUAGGUUUGACACAAGAAAACAAAGAUUCAAUGGGAGUCACACCAAGCACUUUAAGAUCUUCGUGAUUCUUAUCACGAGAACACGCCUUUUUAAGCCAUUCAUGUCUAGCAUGAAUUUGGGCGGUUCUUUCUUUGCUCUCAAUCAUGGAAACACGCAUAACUUUCAAAGUUUCAUCCAUGUUGAUCUUGGGAGGAGCACAUCUAACUUUCAAAGCAUCAACAUCACUAGACAUUCUAUCAACGCUCUUAGCCAAAUUGUCAUUUUUGAGUAGUUUUUCCUCUAUGGACGCAUUGAAAAUCUUUUGAGAGUUGAUGAACUCUUUGAUAUUACUCUCUAGAUCAUAGGGUAAUCUAUUGUAAUUUCCAUGGAUAUUGUUGUAGGAGUUGCAAAAGUUAUUAGAGGAGUUACUAGGAAAAGGCCUAGGAACAUAGUUUCCUCUAAAAGCAUUGUUGUUGCCAAAAUUAUUCCUACCAACAAAAUUAACGUCCAAGCUAGCGUUGCUACUCUCAAUCAAAGAAUACAAGGGCAUAUCAUUAGGAUAUAAAGGAGCACUUCUAAUAGCAACCAAAUUCAUUAACUCAUCCAUCUUAGCACUCAACGAGUUAAUUUCUUCUAUAACGUGUACCUUCUUACUAGUAGGUGACCUUUGAGUGUGCCAGUGAGAGUAGUUCGUCAUGAUAUUGUCUAGGAGCUUUGUGGCUUCCCCUAACGUGAUUUCCAUGAACGUUCCACCUGAGGCGGACUCCAAGAUAUUUCUAGAAGCGAAAUUCAAGCCAGCGUAGAAGAUUUGAAUAAUCAUCCAAAGACUGAAGCCAUGAGCGGGACAAUUUCUAAUCAUCAAUUUCAUUCUCUCCCAAGAUUGUGCAACAUGUUCAUGAUCAAGUUGCUUGAAAUUCAUGAUAUCAUUACGGAGAGAGAUAAUCUUAGCCGACGGAAAAUACUUGGAUAUAUAAGCAUCUUUGCACUUAUCCCAAGAAUCAAUACUAUUUUUGGGGAAAGAAGAAAACCAAUUUUUUGCGCGAUCUCGCAACAAGAAAGGAAAAAGCUUCAAUUUAAUCACACCAUAAUCUAGAUCUUUCUUCUUUUGCAUAUCACAAAGCUCAAUGAAGGUAUUGAGAUGGGAUGCGGCAUCUUCACUAGGAAGGCCGGAGAAUUGCUCUUUCAUAACAAGAUUCAGCAAAGCGGCAUUGAUUUCGUAUGACUCCGCACUAGUGGCGGGAGCAAUCGGAGUACAAAUAAAAUCAUUAUUAUUAGUAUUCGAGAAGUCACAAAGUUUGGUGUUUUCAUUCAUGGUGACUUCGGCAAGCAAGCAAGCACACAAGCGAACAAAGAGCAAGCGAGAAAAGGGGCGAACGAAAAGGCAAACGGAAAAGGCAAACCAAAAAGGCAAAUUGUGAAGUGGGGGAGAGGAAAACGAGAGGCAACUGGCAAACAAGGUAAAUGCAAGAGAUGAGUUUGCGACACCUACUUGGAUGAGUUCAUGACUUGAUCCUCGCCGGCAACGGCGCCAGAAAUAUGGUGUGGAGUAGACCCGGGGGCCAUAGUGUUCACUAGAGGCUUCUCUCAAAAUAGCAAAUAUCAUGGUGGGUGAACAAAUUACUGUCGAGCAAUUGAUAGAAUCGCGCAAAGUCAUGAUGAUAUCUAAGGCAAUGAUCGUACAUAUAGGCAUCACGUCUGAGACAAGUAGACCGAUACUUUCUGCAUCUACUAUUAUUACUCCACACAUCGACCGCUAUCCAGCAUGCAUCUAGUGUAUUGAGUUCAUGACGAACAGGGUAACGCCUUAAGCAAGAUGACAUGAUGUAGAGGGAUAAUCUCAAACCAAUGAUGAAAACCCCAUCUUUUUACCCUUGAUGGCAACAACAUGACGUGUGCCUCGCUACCCCUUCUGUCACUGGGUGAGGUCACCGCACGAUAUGAACCCAAAACCAAGCACUUCUCCCAUUGCAAGAAUCAUAGAUCUAGUUGGCCAGACAAAAACCCACAACUCGAAGAGAAUUACGAGGAUAUGAAGUCAUGCAUAAGAGAGAUCAUAAUAAACUCAAAUAAGAUUCAUAGAUAAUCUUAUCAUAAAUCCACAAUUCAUCGGAUCUCGUCAAACACACCACAAAAGAAGAUUACAUCGGAUAGAUCUCCAUGAAGAUCAUGGAAAAAUUUGUAUAGAAGAUCCAAGAGAGAGAAGAAGCCAUCUAGCUACUAGCUAAGGACCCGUAGGUCUAUGGUGAACUAGUCACGCAUCUUCGGAGAGGUCAUGGUGUUGAUGAAGAAGCCCUCCGUGUCCGAAUCCCCCUCCGGCAGGGCACUAGAACGUGCCCGAGAUGGGAUCUUGCGGAGACAGAAGCUUGCGGCAGCGAAAAAGUACUUUCGAUGAUCUCCUGAUUUUUUAUGGAAUUUUCGGGAAUAUAUAGGCGCAAAUCCUAGGGCAAAGGAGCCUCAGGGAGCCCACAAGCCAGGGGGCGCGGGCCCCCUGGCCGUGCCAUGAGGGCUUGUGGGGGUCCCUGGUGGCCCCCUUCCCUGAUUCUCCGGCUUCCCGAUCUUUUUCUGUUCCGGAAAAAAUCUUUUUGGUAGUUUCAUUCCGUUUGGACUCCGUUCAAAAUCCUCCUCUCAAAGGGGUCAAAAACAUGGAAAAAACAGGAACUGGCUCUUGGCACUGAUUUAAUAAGUUAGUCCCCAAAAAUAUAUAAAAGGCAUGCAAAACAUCCAAAGUUUGACAAGAUAAUAUCAUGAAACCAUCAAAAGUUAUAGAUACGUUGGAGACGUAUAAGACGUCCUCUAGCUCGAACCUCUUGAGCAUGUCUUGGGUGUACUUGGCUUGUUUGAUGAAGGUUCCUUAUAAGCCUUGUUUAAUCUCGAAUCCAAGGAAGAACUUCAGCUCACCCAUCAUUGACAUCUCAAACUUCUCGGUCAUUAGUGCAACAAACUCUUCACUGAAAGAUUCGUUAGGAGAACCAUAGUUGGCAUAUGAACAAAUCCCCUUUGGCUUUUUUGGUAAAAAGGGUGGGAUCGAUCUUCCCAAUUUCAAACCCACGAUCUUGCAACAACUGGUAAGGUACUCAUAGCACGCACGUGGGGCUUGUUUAAGGUCAUAGAGCGCCUUGUUGAGUUUGUAUACAUGAUUGGGGAGCUUGGGAUGUCGAACCCCGGUGGUUGUUUGACAUAUACCAACUCAUUUAAAGGACCAUUAAGAAAUGCACUCUUCACAUCCAUUUUUUGUAAUUUGAAAUCAUGAUGAGAGGCAAAUGCAAGCAACAUGCGAAUAGAUUCAAGACGAGCAACAUGGGCAAAUGUUUCACCGUAGUUGAUACCCUCGACUUGGGAGUAGCCUUGAGCCACCAGUCUUGCCUUGUUUCGAACCACAAUCCCAUUGGCGUCUUGCUUGUUUUUGAAGAUCCAUUUGUUCCCAAUGACAUCGUGUUCCUCCUUUGGUCUUGGCACUAAUUCCCAAACUUGAUGCGCUCAAAGUUGUUCAGUUCUUCAUGCAUGGCCAUAAGCCAAUCCUCGUCAUCGAGUGCUUCCUGUACUUGCUGAGGUUCACAAUAAGAAACAAACACGUGAUGGUCACAAUAAUUUAAAAUUUGUUGACGACCGGAUACUCCCCUUCUUAAGCUUCCAAGCACGGCCUUUAGCUUGGAUGCAAUCUUGGCUGCGCGACGUUCCAGGACAUCCGUGCUUGUUAAUUGAGGAGCAUCAACUUGAUCACGUUGCUUGGCCUUGGCUUUGAGUUUUGAUCCUGCCUUGGAACCACGACCCCUUUUGGGUGCCAUAGUAGGUAGAGGAGCAACAACCUGAUCAACUUGAUUCUCAUCUUGAGCAUGCUCACUGGUUUGUUCUUGGUUUUGUGACUGCUCUUGAUCUUGAUCUUGUGGCUGCAUUGGAUCUUGAUCUUGUGACUGCACUUGAUCUUGAUUUUGAGAAGAUUUGGAACCUUGUGUAAGAGCUUGUACAUCAUUUGGUGCAUCACCAUUGAUACGUCCAAUUUGCAUCAUGCUUUUAUAUUGACAUUUAUCGCAUUAUGGGCUGUUAUUACACAUUAUGGUACAAUACUUAUGCCUUUUCUCGCUUAUUUCAUAAGGUUUACAUGAAGAGGGAGAAUGCCGGCAACUGGAAUUCUAUGCUGGAAAAGGAGCAACUUUGAGAUACCUAUUCUACACAACUCCAAAAGCUGUGAAAAUCAGCGAGGAAUUGUUUUGGAAUAUAUAAAAAAUACUGGGCCGAAGAAAUACUGGAGGGGAGCCACCAGGAGGUCAAGAGCCUGCCAGGCGUGCCCCACCCCCUGGGGGCUCGUGGGCCCCCUGUUACCCCUCCGGCUCCCAUCUUAUGCUAUAAGUAGGGUUUUGUCCCAGAAAGAAAAAUCAAGAGAGAGCUUUCGGGAAGAAACGCCGCCGCCAUGAGGCGAAACUUGAGCAGAACCAAUCUAGAGCUCCGGCAGGGCCGUCCUGCCCGGGAAACUUCCCUCCCGGAGGGGGAAAUCAUCGCCAUCGUCAUCACCAACACUCAUCUCAUCGGAGGGGACUCAUCUCCAUCAACAUCUUCAUCAGCACCAUCUCAUCUCCAAACCCUAGUUGAUCUCUUGUACCCAAUCUCUGUCUCGUGACUCUGAUUGGUACUUGUAAGGUUGCCAGUAGUGUUAGUUACUCCUUGUAGUUGAUGCUAGUUGGAUUACUUGGUGUAAGAUCAUAUGUUAAGAUCCUUAAUGCUAUUCAAUACCUCUCUGAUCAUGAACAUAAUUAUGCUUUGUGAGUAGUUACGUUUGUUCCUGAGGACAUGGGAUAAGUCUUGCUAGAAGUAGUCGUGUGAAUUUGGUAUUCGUUCAAUAUUUUGAUGUGUUGUAUUUUGUCUUUCCUCUAGUGGUGUUAUGUGAACGUCGAUUACAUGACACUUCACCAUUAUUUGGGCCUAGAGGAAGGCAUUGGGAAGUAAUAAGUAGAUGAUGGGUUGCUAGAGUGACAGAAGCUUAAAUCAUAGUUUAUGCGUUGCUUCGCCAGGGGCUGAUUUGGAUCCACGAGUUUAAUGCUAUGGUUAUACUUUGUCUUAAUUCUUCUUUCAUAGUUGCGGAUGCUUGCGAGAGGGGUUAAUCAUAAGUGGGAUGUUUGUCCAAGUAAGGACAGCACCCAAGCACCGGUCCACCCACAUAUCAAACUAUCAAAGUAGCGAACGUGAAUCAUAUGAACAUGAUGAAAACUAGCUUGACAGAAAUUCCCAUGUGUCCUCGGGAGCGCUUUACCUUAUAUAAGAGUUUGUCCAGGCUUGUCCCUUGAUACAAAAGGGAUUGGGCCAUCUUUCUGCACCUUUGUUACUAUUGUUACUUGUUACCCGUUACGAAUUAUCUUAUCCCGCAACUAUCUGUUACCGAUAAUUUCAGUGCUUGCAGAGAAUACCUCGCUGAAAACCACUUGUCAUUUCCUUCUGCUCCUCAUUGGGUUCGACACUCUUAUGUAUCAAAAGGACUAUGAUACAUCCCCUAUACUUGUUGGUCAUGAACACUCUUUUCUGACGCCGUUGUCGGGGAGUGAAGCGCCUUUGGUGAGUGGAAUUUGGUAAGGAAACAUUUAUAUAGUGUGCUGAAAUUUAUUGUCACUUGUCACUAUGGAAACUAAUCCUUCGAGGGGCUUGUUCGGGGUAUCUUCACCUUGACCGGAAGCACAAAGAGUUGCUCCUCAACCUACUGAACCUACUGAAAAUAUUUAUUAUGAAAUUCCUUCGGGUAUGCUAGAGAAACUAUUGGCUAAUCCUUUUACAGGAGAUGGAACAUCACAUCCCGACUUGCAUCUAAUCUAUGUAGAUGAAGUUUGUUGUUUAUUUAAGCUUGGAGGUUUGCCCGAGGAUGAGGUCAAGAAGAAGGUCUUUCCCUUAUCUUUGAGGGAUAAAUCAUUGACAUGGUAUAGGCUAUGUGAUGAUACUGGAUCAUGGAACUACAACCGAUUGAAAUUGGAAUUUCAUCAAAAGUUUUAUCUUAUGCAUUUGGUACAUCGUGAUCAGAAUUAUAUCUAUAAUUUUUGGCCUCGUGAUAGAGAAAGUAUCGCUCAAGCUUGGGGGAGGCUUAAGUCAAUGUUAUAUUCAUGCCCCAACCAUGAGCCCCUAGAGAAAUUAUUAUUAUGAACUUUUAUGCUCGGCUUUCUCAUGACAAUCGCACCAUGCUUGACACUUCUUGUACCGAUUCUUUUAUGAAGAGAUAUAUUGAUUUCAAAUGGGAUUUAUUGGAAAGAAUUAAACGCAACUCUGAAGAUUGGGAGUUUGAUGAAGGUAAGGAGUCAGGUAUGGAUCUUAAGUUGGAUUGCGUUAAAUCCUUCGUUGAAACAAAUACUUUUCAUGAUUGUAGAGCUAAACAUGGACUUGACUCUGAGAUAGUAGCUUCUUUAUGUGAAUCAUUUGCUGCUCAUAUUAAUCUCCCUAAGGAGAAGUGGUUUAAAUAUCAUCCUCCCAUAGAAGUUAAUGUAGUAAAACCCAAUCCAGUUGAAGAGAAAGUUAUUGCUUAUAAUGAUUCUAUUGUUCCUAGUGCUUACAUUGAGAAACCACCUUUCCCUGUUAGAAUAAAGGAUCAUGCUAAAUCUUGAACUAUGAUACGUAAGGGCUACAUUAGAACACCCAGACCCCCUGAGCAAAUUAAAGUUGAACCUAGUAUUGCUAUUAUUAAACAUCUCUUGGCCGAUAAUGUUGAUGAGCAUGUUAUUCAAUUCUGUGAAGCUGCUGCUAGAAUUGCUAAACCUCAUGCUAGAGACAAACAUAAACCUGUUGUUGGCAUGCCUGUUGUUUCUGUUAAGAUAGGAGAUCAUUGUUAUCAUGAUUUAUGUGACAUGGGUGCUAGUGUUAGUGCAAUACCUCAAUCUUUAUAUAAUGAAAUUAAAGAUGAGAUUGCACCUGUCGAGAUGGAAUUUAUUGAUGUUACUAUUAAACUUUCUAAUAGAGAUACUAUCUGCCCUGUGGGAAUUGUUAGAGAUGUUGAAGUCUUGUGUGGUAAAACUAAGCUACCACACAAGAUAGCUUUUGUCCCAUCAUAUUUGGUAGACCUUUCCUCAAUACUGUUAAUGCUCAAACUGAUUGUGAGAAACAAACUGCUACUGUUGGCUUUGGAGGUGUGUCACAUGAAUUUAUUUUUUCUAUGUUUGGUAGACAACCUCAUGAAAAAUAAUUGUCUAGUAAGGAUGAAAUUAUUGCUCUUGCUUCUAUUGCUGUGCCUCCUACUAAUCCUUUAGAGCAAUACUUGCUUGAACAUGAAAAUGAUAUGCAUAUGUAUGAAAGGAAUGAGAUAGAUAGAGUUAUCUUUGAAUAACGUCCUAUCCAUAAGAAUAAUUUUCCUGUUGAAUUACUUGUUGAUCCACCUCCACCAAAGGGUGAUCCUGUGUUUGAGCUUAAACAAUUACAUGAUAUUCUUAAGUAUGCUUAUCUUGAUGAAAAAUAGAUAUAUCCUGUUAUUAUUAGGGCUAACCUUUCAGAACAUGAAGUAAAGAAAUUAUUAAAAACUCUGAGGAAGCACUGUGCUGCUAUUGGAUAUACUCUUGAUGACCUUAAGGGCAUUAGUCCCACUCUAUGCCAGCAUAAAAUUAAAACUGAUCCUGAUUCCAAACCAGCUGCCGAUCACCAACGAAUAUUAAAUCCUAAGAUGAAAGAGGUGGUAAGAAAAGAAAUACUAAAGCUCUUGGAAGCAAGUAUUAUUUAUCCUGUUGCUCAUAGUGAUUGGGUAAGUCCGGUGCAUUGUGUCCCUAAGAAGGGAGGUAUCACCGUUGUCCCUAAUGAUAAAGAUGAAUUGAUCCCACAAAGAAUUGUUACUGGCUAUGGGAUGGUAAUUGAUUUUAGGAAAUUAAAUAAAGCUACUAAGAAAGAUCAUUACCCUUUACCUUUUAUUGAUCAAAUGCUAGAAAGAUUGUCUAAACAUACACACUUUUGCUUUCUAGAUGGUUAUUCUGGUUUGUCCUAAAUACCUGUUGCACAAUCUAAUCAGGAGAAAACCAGUUUUACUUGCCCUUUCGGUACCUUUGCUUAUAGACGUAUGCCUUUUGGUUUAUGUAAUGCACCUGCUACCUUUCGAAGAUGUAUUAUGGCUAUAUUCUCUGACUUUUGUGAAAAGAUUGUUGAGGUUUUCAUGGAUGAUUUCGCCGUUUACGGAUCUUCUUUUCAUGACUGCUUGAGCAACCUUGAUCGAGUUUUGCAGAGAUGUAAAUAUACUAACCUUGUCUUGAAUUGGGAGAAGUGCCACUUUAUGGUUAAUGAAGGCAUUGUCUCGGGACAUAAAAUUUCUGAAAGAGGUAUUGAAGUCAAAAAGGCUAAAGUUGAUGCGAUCGAGAAAAUGCCAUGCCCUACAGACAUUAAAGGUAUAAGAAGUUUCCUUGGUCAUGCUGGUUUCCAUAGAAGGUUUAUUAAAGACUUCUCUAAGAUUUCUAGGCCUCUCACCAAUCUCUUGCAAAAAGAUAUUCCAUUUGUUUUUUAUGAUGAUUGUGAAGAAGCAUUUGAAAUACUUAUGAAGGCCUUGAUAACUGCACCUAUUGUUCAACCACCUAAUUGGAAUCUACCUUUUGAAAUUAUGUGUGAUGCUAGUGAUUAUGCUGUUGGUGCUGUUCUAGGACAAAGAGUUGAUAAGAAAUUAAAUGUUAUUCAUUAUGCUAGUAAAACUCUAGACAGUGCCCAAAGAAACUAUGCUACUACUGAAAACGAAUUUUUAGCAGUUGUGUUUGCAUGUGAUAAGUUCAGAUCUUAUAUUGUUGAUUCCAAAGUUACUAUUCACACUGAUCAUGCUGCUAUUAAAUGUCUCAUGGAAAAGAAAUAUGCUAAACCUAGAUUUAUUAGAUGGGUUCUCUUGCUACAAGAAUUUGAUUUGCAUAUUGUUGAUAGGAAGGGUGCUGAGAACCCCGUAGUAGAUAACUUGUCUAGGUUAGAGAAUGUUCUUGAUGACCCACAACCUAUUGAUGAUAGCUUUCCUGAUGAACAAUUGAAUGUCAUCAAUGCUUCACACAGUACACCAUGGUAUGCUUAUUAUGCUAAUUAUAUUGUUGCUAAAUAUAUACCACCUAGUUUUACAUACCAACAAAAGAAAAAGUUCUUUUAUGAUUUGAGACAUUACUUUUGGGAUGAUCCUCACCUUUAUAAAGAAGGAGUAGAUGGUGUUAUUAGACGUUGUGUACCUGAGCAUGAACAUGGACAUAUCCUAUAGAAGUGUCACUCCGAGGCUUACAGAGGACACCAUACGGGAGAUAGAACUGCACACAAGGUAUUACAAUCCGGUGUUUAUUGGCCUACUCUCUUCAAGGAUGCUCAUAAGUUUAUCUUGUCUUGUGAUGAAUGUAAAAUAAUAUGUAAUAUCAGUGAACGUCCGGAAAUGCCUAUGAAUUAUUCACUGGUUAUGGAACCAUUUGAUGUUUGGGGUUUUGAUUAUAUGGGACCUUUUCCAAAGUCCAAUGGGUAUACUCAUAUUCUAGUUGCUGUUGGUUACGUUACUAAGUGGGCUGAAGCUAUUCCAACUAGUAGUGUUGAUCAUAACACCUCUAUUAAGAUGCUUAAAGAAGUUAUUUUUCCUAGAUUUGGAGUCCCUAGAUAUUUAAUGACUGAUGGUGGUUCACAUUUUAUUCAUGGUGCUUUCCGUAAAAUGCUUGCUAAGUAUGAUGUCAACCAUAGAAUUGCAUCUCCUUAUCAUCCUCAGUCUAGUGGUCAAGUAGAGCUAAGUAAUAGAGAAAUUAAAUUAAUUUUGCAAAAGACUGUCUAAGAAACUUGAUGAUGCACUGUGGGCUUAUAGAACUGCUUAUAAGAAUCCCAUGGGCAUGUCUCCGUAUAAAAUGGUUUACGGUAAAGCAUGUCAUUUACCUCUUGAGCUAGAGCAUAAGGCUUAUUGGGCAACCAAAGAGCUCAACUUUGAUUUAAAAUUUGCUGGUGAGAAGAGGUUAUUUGAUAUUAGCUGACUUGAUGAAUGGAGAACUCAGGCAUAUGAAAAUGCCUAGUUGUUUAAACAAAAAGUUAAGAGGUGGCAUGAUAAAAGGAUACAAAAACGUGAGUUCAAUGUAGGUGAUUAUGUCUUGCUAUACAAUUCUCGUUUAAGAUUUUUUGCAGGCAAACUUCUCUCUAAAUGGGAAGGACCUUACAUUGUUGAGGAAGUAUAUCGUUCCGGUGCCAUAAAAAUCAACAACGUGGAAGGUAAUUUUCCGAGAGUUGUAAAUGGGCAAAGAAUCAAGAAUUAUAUCUCAGGUACUCCCAUAAAUGUUGAAAGCAAUAUUAUUAAUACCAUAACUCCGGAGGAGUACAUAAGGAAUAUUUACCAGCUUGUUUCAGACUCUAAGAACGAAGAGGUAUGUGAUACGGUAAGUAAACCGACUCCAGAACUUUUCCAAUAGCAAUUUUCUCCGUUUUGGAAUAUUUAGAAAAAUAGAAAAAUUUAAAGUAGUCCAGAAAGCACACGAGGAGGUGACAAGCCUGCCAGGUGCGCCCCACCCCCUGGGCGCGCCUGGGGGGCUCGUGAGCACCUCGUGUGUCUCCCGGACUCCGUUUUCUUGUGGAAUACUCCUUAUGGUCGGUAAAAAUUCAUUAUAUAAUCUCCCGAAAGGUCUGACCCUCUUAUCAUGCAAAUAUCCUCUGUUUUUGUUUCGAGCUGUUGUGCAGACAGAUCCAGAUCGCUAUGGCGUCCCCAAAAGUUCCAAAGGACAAGUUCUUCGAGAAGGUCAUCAAUCCCUACCUCGCGGAGGUGCUGCAACACCCUCAAUCUAUCGAGAUGCAUGAGGGGGUGCUACACAUCCGUGAUGUUGAGGGGCCCAAGAGGACCGGAAGCGUAGAGGCUCGGCUCGAAGCAAUGGAGCAGCAAGUCUUCAAGUGCCAAGGGAUGGUGGAAUGCGGACUCAACACCAACCACAUGAUGAUCACGGAGUUCACCAACAAGCACAAGAUCGAUGCCAAGGACAUCGGGGAGCACCUCUUCAAGCUCAAUGACAGAAUCGAUCAUCUCCAAGCCCAGAUAUACAACCUGCAGAACUAAAACUGUGAGUAUGAGUAUAGAUUUAAAGCAAUGCGGUUGGCUGCAGAUUUGAGGAUUCCGGAGACUCGAUCAUCUUUCCAUGAUGGAGAACCUAUGCCUUGGAAGACGGAGAAUCAACCCCAGACUCCAACAACUCCACCACCAUCACCUCUGAAGGAAGACAAUUAAACACAUGGGUAUGGGCACUCCCCUUGGCUUGUGCCAAGCUUGGGGGAGUUGCCCCGGCAUCGUAUCACCAUCACAUCUUCUGCCUUUACCUUUAUCUUAAUUUGAUCCUUUUUGGUAAUAUAUUUAUCUAGUAGAAUAAAGUUCUUAGUAUAAUCUAGGCUAGAGUUUUGCUUUGUGUUACCCCCAAUGUAAUCGAGUUCGUGAGUUAUAUAAUAAAGAGUGUUUUAGUUAAGGGCUUUUCUUCAUGCCAUGAUCUAAAGAAAAGAAUAAUAAUAGAACAAAAGGAUGACAGAUCAUGUGAUGAUCCUAUGGGAAGUGGUGGCUUCACAUAUAAAAAGAAUGUUGAUUGGAACUUGUUGUGGGUGGACAAACGUAGACCUUGGUCAUUGUUGCAAUUAAUAGGAAGUAAUAAAGAAAGAGAGGUUCUCAUAUAAAUAUAUCAUCUUUGACACCAUCUAUGAUUGUGAACUCUCAUUAAACUAUUACAUGCUGAGAAGUAGAUGUUGGACAAGGAAGACAACAUAAUGAAUUAUGUUUGCUUGGUUCCGUACAAUGUUAUAUGACUAGAGAUCCCUUAGCAUGUGACGCUUGCUUCCACCUCAUAUCAGCCAAAACUUCCGCACUAAGUAGAGAUACUACUUUUGCAUCCAUAAACCCUCAACCCAGUUUUUCCAUGAGAGUCCACCAUACCUACCUAUGGAUUGAAUAAGAUCUCUCAAGUAAGUUGUCAUCGGUGCAAGCAAUAAAAAUUUCUCCCUAAAUAUGUAUGAUCUAUUAGUGUGUGGAAAAUAAGCUUUGUACGAACCUGUGAUGAGGAAGACAUCACAGCGACAGACUGCAUAAUAAAGUUCUUUAUCACAGGAGGCAAUAUAAAGUGACGUUCCUUCACACUAAGAGAUCAGACAUCCAAACCUCAAAAGCGCAUGACAACCUCUGCUUCCCUCCGCGAAGGGCCUAUCUUGUACCUUUACUUUUUAUCUUUAAAAGAGUCAUGGUGAUCGACACCAAUUCCUUAUUUCACCAUUAUCUCGACAAGCGUCAUGUGCUAGGGAAAGAUCUAUGUUAAUAUAUCAACUUGGAAGUAAGUAAUCAUGACUUACUAUUGUUGACAUUACCCUUGAGGUCAAUAGUUGGGAGGCAAAACUAUAGGCCCCUAUUUUUCUCUUUGUCCAACUGAAACUUUGAUCUCAUGAGUACCGCGUGAGUUUUAGCAAUUGUAGAAGACUAAAAGAUGAUUGAGUAUGUGGAUUUGCUUUACAAGCUCUUAUUUGACUGUCACGCCCAAGAUGCGACUCUAUCUUCAAUUUGGCACGAGGCCCCAUCAGGGAUAGAAGCGCAUCUCGUCGUGUCGCAAGAAUGGAUAUCGUUACAAGUACAUGUACUGAAAAGAAGAGAUAUAUAUAAAUAGAAUUGGCUUACACUCGCCACAAGCUACAUCAGAGUCACAGCAGUACAAUACAUAAUCGUCAUGAAGAAGAGCAUGGUUCGACUACGGACGAAAACAAACGAGAAAAGAAGAACGAUGUCCAUCCUUGCUAUCCCAGGCUGUGGGCCUGGAACCCAUCCUAGAUCGAUGAAGAAGAAGAAGAAGCAACUCCAAAUGAACAAUCAACGCGCUCGCAUCAAGUAACCUUUACCUGUACCUGCAACUGGUGUUGUAGUAAUCUGUGAGCCACGGGGGACUCAACAAUCUCAUUUCCAAAGGUAUCAAGACUAGCAAAGCUUAAUGGGUGAGGUAUGGUUAAGUGGUGAGGUUGCAACAGCGGCUAAUCAUAUAUUUGGUGGCUGAACUUACGGGUACAAGAAUAAAGAGGGGGAAGAUCUACGUAUAUCGGACGUGACUACUGAUGAUCAAAAGAAUGAUCCUAAACACCUACCUACGUCAGACAUAACCCCACCGUGUCCUCGAUCGGAGAAGGAACUCACGAAAGACACAGUCACGGUUGCGCACAAAGUUGGAAUAUUUUAAUUAAGUUAACUUCAAGUUAUCUAGAACCAGUGUUAAACAAAGUUUCCACGUUGCCACAUAACCACGGGCACGGCUUUCCGAAAAGAUUUAACCCUACAGGGGUGCUCCAACUAGUCCAUCACAGAUUACCACAAGCCGCAUAGAAAUCCUUGAUCACGACACUCGCGAUCUCAUCGGAUUCCUUACUGGAAAACCUCAACUCAGAGAUUACCCAAAGCAUCACCGGAAUCCCGAUGCACAAGAUAUCUCGUCAAAGGUAAAACUAAUCUAGCAUGGCCGCCCGACGUGUCAACGAUCCCGAUAGGAGCCGCGUAUCUCGUUCUCAGGACACGACGGAUGAGCUAGACGUCGGGAUCGCUAAACCUCUGGGUGACCAGAGGGGCGCCGGACGUCGCUCAGGUGGGACCAACACUCAUGAGGAGCACUGGCCCGGGGGAUUAUUAAAUUAUCCUCGCGGUCCGGAAAGUCCCUAUGCAAUUUUAUUAGGUUAUUAAGCAAAUGUAGUACCAAAGUUGGGCGUUGCCAGACCAACUUUAAUCUAAAACGAAUUAUCAAGGGGGUCCCCAUAACAACCCCGAUCGUGUUAGGAGCGCUCAAUUAUGGAACAUAACACCGGUAGCCGAAACUAAGGGGGCAAAGGUGGAACAAAACACCAGGCUAGAAAGGCCGAGCGUUCCACCUUUUACCAAGUAUAUAGGUCCAUUACAUUAAAUAGCAUCUAAUAUGGUGAUAUAACAAGGAACCCAUGCUUUCACAUGGAAGCAACUGCACCUGCAACUAGCAACGCUAACACAGGGUUAAGCAAGCGGUAACAUAGCCACUCAGUGGUUUGCUAGGUUGUGAACAGGUUGAAGGUUUUCAUGGCAUUGUUGAGAGGCUGAUAUUUAACAUGUGGUAGGCAACGAGACAUAAUCGAUAGAAGAGAUAAAAACUAGCAUGUCAAUGAUAGUAAUGGUAUCUGGGGAAAUGGUCAUCUUGCCUGAGAUACCGCUUGGAAGAAGAAUGACUCCGUGAAGCAGACGAACCGAUGUAGUCGAACGGUUCCUCACAUCAGACACGCUUGCGGAACUCUAUCGAGACGGAGGAAACCGGAACAAGAAUCAACACACGAUAUACACCACACGAUGCACAACACAUAUGAUGCAUGAGCAGCUGAAUACAUGCAAGUCACGGCAUUUCAAAUCACACAAUCAAACACUACACAUUAAGUGAAGUUCAAUAUGCAACGAGAUGCAUAUUGACGAAACUCCACGUUUAUUUAUUUAGUUCUGUCCCGAAUAGGUAGACGACAAUAUUAAAUGUGGUUACACAUGGCAAGAGGUGAAGCGUAAUUAAACUACCUAUCUAGGCAUUUUAAAUGAGGUCGGAAAUGACAUAUAGCACUUCCGAGACGACCUCACAUGUUAAUUUACAAUUCUGUCCAGAUCUGAACUAACACAUUUAAUUAGUUGUUAAACAACAAAACAAAUAGGUUCACGUGACUCUACGUGUCGUUACAAGCAAUUUACACAUAGAGAACAUCUCCAACGUAGCUACGGAACAAAAGAUACGGACACCGCAAGAUAUGAUGGCAUGAAUGCAAUAUGUGUGCAAGGACGGCCACGAGCACUUCAGAACAUACAACCAGCAAGAGAAAAUGAAACAACACAAGAUUCUAAGCAAAUUUCAUAUAGGACACGAUCAAAUCGGAGCUACGGUUCAACAUCUACGAGCAAAACAAGAUAUCACUACAAUCUGCCAAAAUCAGCCACAUAGCAUUUCCUACACCCCACAACUAUGAGCUACACAAACCCAAUAUGCCCAAGCAAGGCUUGAGACGAUAGAGGGCAAGAAGCACUACAACAAACUACUAAAAACAACUAGCAUGGAAGCAUGGAACACCAGGAAAAGAAGUCACAAAAUGGCUUCUCACACACAGUUUCAGAAUUGGUGAAAAUAGGAGUUUAUGAAGCUGCAGUUUUCGAUCUGAAGGCAUAUUGAAAGAAGCAAAACCAUAAGCUACAGGACUCCAAAUGACAUGAAAAAUCACAGCAUGCUAGAGAAUCCUAAAGUCUACAACUAACUCCAUUGCACCAACCUCAAAAGAGCUACAGAUCACAAGAUAGAAGCAAGACAAGACAUCAACAAAAUAUAACAGAUUCCAGACUUAGAAAUAUUUCAGCAUCUCUAAAACAUCACUAUUUUUAGCAACUUGAGAGCAAUAAAACCACACCUAAACAUGCAUUUCUAUUGCAACCAAAAUUACCAGGGGCUAGACUAAACACCAAAGGGCAACUCUGUAGUUGACAACUCAAUCAAACGAAGCACAUAAUAAAUCCUACGAAAUAGACAAGAGGGCAACAUGGCAAAAUAUCGCGUGAACUAACUUGAUCAAAAGCUAAAACUAAAUACACAGGAAAAUCCUACGGAUUUUUCUACCCCGAAAACAUAUAAAACAAGUGGGGUUGCACAACAAUAAUUUCACCACACGUAAAUGCGAGAUAAUGUCCUAAGCACGAAAAAUAAACUAGCGGCAAAUCCCUACUCGCAAAAAUACGAAUGACUACUCUAAAAUACAUGGCAAAGGGGUUCCUAAAACAUGGACAUUUCUACUACGGCAUUCGAGCAAUCCGGACUUGCGCGAAAAAUAAAUACGGGACGAACCCUAUUGGAACAACACAUGUUUCUAGGCAUACGGCAUGCUAAACGACGUCAAACAAAUAUGCAAGCUGCAAAUUCGGAUUCUACGCGAAAUUCUACACCAAAACCAUAUACAAUUCAUCGCGAUCCGACAUACGGUUUGGAAACUACGAGCAAAUGAAAAUAUGACAUUUUUCUGAAAACGGAAUAAUCGCAUGAAAAGAAAUCUAUAUAUAUAUAUAUAUAUAUUCUAAACGGGCCGAAACCGCUAGCGCUGGAUAACUAAAUCAUGCUCGACCGCGACAUAGGGGUCUGGGGCGAAUAUCACCUUGGGCCGUGGCCCGGAUCUGCAGAGGGGAGCUGGGCCGAGCUACCUGGGCCUGGGGGAGCAAAGAUGGGCCGCGAGGAGGAGGCAGGUCUUGGGCCGGCCGGAUCGGGCGACUGGGCCGAGGCGGUUGGUAGCGCCGCGACGAGCGUCGUCCUCCUUGUCGUGCCCGAGGACACGGCCUGGUGGCGACGGACGACGAGCACGAGAAGCAGGACGAGGCGCUGGCCCGGAGGUCGAGGAGCGGCGGCGGCGGAUGGAUCCGGGGCUGCGACACCCGUUCCCGGUGGCGGCCGGCGAUGGUGCUCCGGCAUAGGGCGGCGGCACACAGGAGGCGAGGCAGGGGCUGGGGCGCGCGCUCAGCGGCUGCCUGCAUGCGGGGCUGGACCCGGCCGGGGGCAUGCCUACUCCGGCGGGCGGCAGCGGUGCACCGGCAGCCGAGGUUGACCGGAGGCGGGGCAUGGGGAGCUUGGGUCGGCGUGGCACGGGGUUCGAGUUGGAGCUGGCGGCGAGGAUGAGCUCGGCUGGAGCUGCGGGAGGCGCCUGGGCCGUUGGAUAAAAGAUCCCACGGUCCAGAUCGGUGCCUUGGCUUGAUCAGAUCUGGGAGGAGAGAGAGAUGGCUGCUAGGGUUUCGGGAAUUGCACGGUUUUUGAGGCAAGAUUAGGGGAGACCUAAAAUGGAAGGGGAGGUGUGUUUAAAUAGGAAAGGAGGGCUAGGUUUAGCAAAAAUUUGCCCCGGUUUCAACCGCGCGGUCGAAAUCGGACGAUUCCGAACGUGGGACGGACUAAGUGGUCGUGUAGAGUAGGUAUCCGGAGACGAGAGGGAAAACGGGCGGCGCAACAGCGAUAUUUUUAAAACACCGAUAACCGUCCGACGGUAGACCGAAUACGGUGCCGCUACGGUCGACCGUUCGGGUACCAGACGGACUCUGAUUGCGACGAAACUUGACAGGCGGCCUACCUAUAUUAAAAUAAGACCGCACGUCAAAUUCCAACCCAAUCAGAGAAAUAUUUCAACACACUUUUAAAACAAGAUUUGAACGAUGCCGCGGGCGCGUGCGUGUGUGGUCGGGCUCAGAACGGACAAUGACGAGAACCGGCAACUAACAACGGAUGCAAGUUUUGAAAACUGGCAGCAACGGGAUGCCGAUGCAAUGCAGAUGAUCCGAAUGAUGCGAUGAUGAUGAGACAAAAGAAAAUAGACACACGACGAAAAUGGAAUAGAAGGGGAAUCUUCUGGAACGUCGGCAUCGGGCUGUCACAUUGACUCUUUCCGAUGUUAUGAUAAAUUGCAAUUACUUCAAUGACUAAAUACUAUUGAUUGUUAAUUCUCAAUAAGGUUCUUGAUCCAUACUUUACAUUGUGAUGGAAUUUUCACUUUAGCAUAAGAGAUUAUAUGACGAUAUUUUUGUUCUAAAUAUGAUCAUGAUGCCUGCAUGUCUGUAUUUUAUUUUAUCGACACUUCUAUCUCUAAACAUGUGGGCAUAUUUAUUGAUCUCGGCUUCCGCUUGAGGACAAGCGAAGUCUAUGCUUGGGGGAGUUGAUACGUCCAUUUUGCAUCAUGCUUUUAUAUUGAUAUUUAUCGCAUUAUGGGCUGUUAUUACACAUUAUGGUACAAUACUUAUGCCUUUUCUCUCUUAUUUUAUAAGGUUUACAUGAAGAGGGAGAAUGCCGACAGCUGGAAUUCUGGGCUGGAAAAGGAGCAAGUUUGAGAUACCUAUUCUGCACAACUCCAAAAGCCGUGAAAAUCAGCGAGGAAUUAUUUUGGAAUAUAUAAAAAAUACUGGGCGGAAGAAAUACUGGAGGGGAGCCACCAGGAGAUCACGAGCCUGCCAGGCGCGCCCCACCCCUGGGCGCGCCUGGGGGCUCGUGGGCCCCCUGUUACCCCUCCGGCUCCCAUCUUCUGCUAUAAGGAGGGUUUCGUCCCAGAAAAAAAAUCAAGAAGAGAGCUUUCGGGAAGAAACGCUGCCGCCACGAGGCAGAACUUGAGCAGAACCAAUCUAGAGCUCCGGCAGGGCCGUCCUGCUGGGGAAACUUCCCUCCCGGAGGGGAAAUCAUCGCCAUCGUCAUCAUCAACAGUCCUCUCAUCGGAGGGGACUCAUCUCCAUGAACAUCUUCAUCGGCACCAUCUCAUCUCCAAACCCUAGUUCAUCUCUUGUACCCAAUCUCCGUCUCGUGACUCCGAUUGGUACUUGUAAGGUUGCCAGUAGUGUUAAUUACUCCUUGUAGUUGAUGCUACUUGGAUUACUUGGUGGAAGAUCAUAUGUUCAGAUACUUAAUGCUAUUCAAUACCUCUCUGAUCAUGAACAUAAUUAUGCUUUGUGAGUAGUUACAUUUUUUCCUGAGGACAUGUGAUAAGUCUUGCUAUAAGUAGUCAUGUGAAGUUGGUAUUGGUUCGGUAUUUUGAUGUGUUGUAUGUUUUCUUUCCUCUAGUGGUGUUAUGUGAAUGUCGACUACAUGACACUUCACCAUUAUUUGGGCCUAGAGGAAGGCAUUGGGAAGUAAUAAGUAGAUGAUGGGUUGCUAGAGUGACAGAAGCUUAAACCCUAGUUUAUGCGUUGCUUCGCAAGGGGCUGAUUUGGAUCCACCAGUUUAAUGCUAUGGUUAGACUUUGUCUUAAUUCUUCUUUCAUAGUUGCGGAUGCUUGCGAGAGGGGUUAAUCAUAAGUGGGAUGUUUGUCCAAGUAAGGACAACACCCAAGAACCGGUCCACCCACAUAUCAAACUAUCAAAGUAGCGAACGCGAAUCAUAUGAACAUGAUGAAAACUAGCUUGACAGAAAUUCCCAUGUGUCCUCGGCAGCUCUUUACCUUAUAUAAGAGUUCGUCCAGGCUUGUCCCUUGCUACAAAAGGGAUUGGGCCAUCUUGCUGCACCUUUGUUAUUAUUGUUACUUGUUACCCGUUACAAAUUAUCUUAUCCCGCAACUAUCUGUUACCGAUAAUUUCAGUGCUUGCAGUGAAUACCUUGCUGAAAACCACUUGUCAUUUCCUUCUGCUCCUCGUUGGGUUCGACACUCUUACUUACCGAAAGGACUACGAUAGAUCCCCUAUACUUGUGGGUCCUCAACCAUCUUCGUGUGGUUGAUCUUGUCCUUGAUCCUAUUUAGCUGGUUGAGGGUCUUCACUUUGUUCUUCGCAAGCGUGUGGGGCUAGCGAGGGUGAUGACUCCACUUGAGUAGAGCAUUGUCCUUCUCCUUCAUUCACAAGGGGUUCCUCAAUGGGGAGUAUUUUACCAAUCCCCAUUCUUCUUAUGGCUUGAGGAGGAAUUUCAUCACCUAAAUCACAAAGACCACUUUGCUCCAUCUGGGGGCCAUUGUUUUGAUCAAACUCUACGUUACACAUCUCCUCGAUGAGUCCGGUGGACUUGUUGAGGACACGGUAAGCAUGAGAGUUUGUAUCAUAACCAACAAAUAUGCCCUCUUGAGCUUUAGAAUCAAAUUUAGCCAAACAUGCACCUUUCUUAAGGAUGAAGCACUUACGCCCGAACACCCUGAAGUACUUGAGGUUGGGCUUCUUCCCAGUGAGGAUAUCAUAUGGAGUCUUGUUCAAGCCUUUGUGGAUAUAGAUACAAUUGGAUGCGUGACAUGCUGUGUUGAUGGCUUCGGCCCAAAAGUUGUAAGGAGAUUUGAAUUCUGCCAUCAUAGUUCUUUCUGCGUCCAUCAACGUCCGAUUUUUCCUCUCUGCCGCACCAUUCUGUUCGCGGUGUAUGGUGCUGCAUAUUGAUGCUUGAUCCCCUCAUCACUGAUAAACUCAUCCAGGGUGUAAUUCUUGAACUCGGUGCCAUUGUCACUUCUAAUCAUCAAAAUAUUUUCUUCGUGUUGGCAUCGAGCUUCAUUAGCAAAGUUGAUGACGGUUUGUUGAGUCUCACUCUUCCUCUUGAAGAAGUAUACCCAAGUGUAUCUUGAGUAAUCAUCAACAAUCACCAAACAGUACUUUCUGCCCCAAGACUAUCAAAGGGUGGAGGACCAAAGAGAUCCAAAUGAAGGAGCUCCAAGGGCCUCUUAUUGUAAAUGAGAGUUGUGGGACGAUGCGCAAUCUCAUGAAUCUUCCCUUCAAUACAAGCACUGCAAGCACGGUCUCUGGCAAAACUCACAUUUUUUAGUCCACGAACAUGGUCCCCUUUGAGGAGACAUUGCAAAAAUCUCAUAUUGACAUGAGCUAGUCGGUGAUGCCAAAGCCAGUCCACAUCAACUUUAGCCAUUAGACAAGUCGCAGUCUUAGUGGGUCGCUGUGAAAAGUUCACCACAUAGAGACCAUUUUCGACAUAUCCAACAUAGGCUACUUUAAGAGUCUUGCUCCACAAAAGGGCCGCGAUAUCAAUAUUAAAAAUGUGGUAAAGCCCAUAAUGGAAAGCUGACGAACAAAAAACAGAUUAUAUGGAAGGGACUCGAGAAGCGUGACCUUCUCUACAGAUAAAUGUUGAGAAAUGACCACCUCACCAAAUCCCAAUAGCUUAGACUUUGAUGCAUCAGCAUAUUGGACAUGGGUGGGCAUAGAUGGAGUAGGAUGCACAUCCACCACCAAGUCCUUUCUUCUAGUCAUAUGAUUUGUUGCUCCACUGUCAGGCAACCGUGACAUCCCACCGGAAGCAAACUCCUGUAAUAGAUCAAGGCUUGGUUUUAGGUACCCAUUCUUGAAUGGGUCCUUUGAUGUUAGAAACAAGGGUCUUAGGGACCCAAAUAGCCCAUUCAAUGAACUCAUAAGAAGAACCAACAAAUCUGGCAUAAACAUGCCCAUCACCAGCAUGACAUAAAACAUAAGAAGGGUUAAAUUCGUCGGCUGUGUUCGUAGGGAUGGUUUUGUCCUUCUUGGCAUUACCAUCACCUACCUUGUUCUUGUUCUCCUUCUAAGUCCCCUCACCCUCUUUGACAAAGAUGUCCUUGAGAGUAAGAGAUUUCUUGUUCCUGUUCUUCCUUUUCCUUUUAGACUUGGAUGUAAGUCCAAGUCCCUCCUUUCCUAUAGCUUCCUUUUGAUUGCUCAAAAGGUAGUUUAGGUUCUUCUCGCCUUGGAUGCAUGACACAAGACCCUUCUCAAGUUGUUCCGUCAACUUAGAAGUUUCCUCCACAAGAUGUACAUGGUCACAACAAGGGUUAGUUGCAAAAGCAUUAUCAAUUAAGACAAAAGGAGGACAAGUAGAGAUAUCCUUGGUAAGUUUUGCUUGGAGUUGAUCAUGAGACUCCUUCAGAGAGAAAUCAUCACCUUUUAAGACCUUGUGGGCCUUGUCAAGUGUGUUAAACUCUUCCUUGAGUCCGUCAUGGCCAACCCCAAGUGCAGCCUUUUCAGACUUAAGCACACGGGUAAGGACAAUAGCGUGAUCUAGCUCUUUUUGUAAUUUAGCACAAUCAUCGUUGUGUGACUCCUUAAGAGCCAAACGAAGACUGUGCUCUUCUUCUAGAGCAAUAGAUAGUUCAGCAAUCUCAUCGGCAUAGUCACGACUAUGUCCUUGCAUCUCGGAGAUAGUCUCCUCAUGAGAGUCAAUGAGGUCAUUCGCCUCACCAAGUUGUUCCAAAAGAGCAAAAAAAAAUGCUUCUUGGAUUCUCCUUUGAUUCUGCACAGAAAUUUGUCAAAGUCAUGCUCAUUAAGUUCCACACCAUCACUAUCAUUAGUACAAUUUAACAAUGAAGGAGCAAUAGUGAUGGUGGUCUUAAUGUUGGGUGUUACCUCAUUGAUACCUUUGGCCCUAAGGAACUUGGUGAUGCAGUUGUCAUUGGGGUCGCCGAAGAGAGACACCUUGGGAGAAGAGGUGGAAAGGGCUACUGUAGUCGUUGCCAUAGUAUCAUCAUCGUCAUCAUCGGAGGUGUACUCUUCAAGUGCAACCAUACCCUUUGGAUGGGGUUUCUUGACAAAGUUGUUCUUGUUUGGGAAAGACUUGGCUUUGUCUUUUUGAAUGAGUUUGCCACCGUUGUCUUCCCUCGUCUCAUAAGGACAAUCUGCCAUGAAGUGACUCACAUUGCCACAGUUAUAGCAUGUCCUCACACGCGACUUGGUCUUGGACCUACUCAAGUUAUUCUUGGAGAGGUUGGGUCUUGAGUUUCUCUUGUUGCCCCAGAAUUGCCUUGAUGCAAGAGCCAUGUGUCCGUGAUUAGCAUACUUUGUGUCUUCAAGGGAGACACCCUCUUCCUCUUCCUCUUCUUCAUCACAAACAACCUUUGCUUUCAAGGCAAGUUUGGGUGAAGCUGUCUUUGACCGAACGCGAGCAAGAGCAUUAUCAACGGUCUUGUUCAUGAUACUCAUUGCAAUGAAUUCAUCCAACACUUCACCACAGGACAAGGUGUGAAAAUUUGGCCUUUGACGAAUGACAGAUGCCAUGGCUUUGUUGAAUGGCAUGAUGUCCUUGAGAAACUUGCGCUUGAUCCACGUGUCAUCCACAUCCUUGCUCCUGUUUUCCUGGAGAGCAAUAACAAGAGAAGCUACCCUACGAUAGAGAUCUCGAGGGUCCUCAUCUUCCUUCAUCACGAACUCAUCGGCCUCAUCGAGAAUCACUUCAUAGUUGGACCGUUGAAUGCUUGAACUUCCUUUCUACAACACCAUGAGGUGCUCCUAACAGUCUUUGGCACGAGUGAAAGGAUGCAAGUGAGGGAGAUCUUUAGGAGGCACAGCGGAUUGAAGAAUGAACAAUGCAGAAUGAUUAUAUUGAUUAUCCACUUCUUCUCUUGGAGUGAGGUUGCUUGGGUCUUGCGGUAGAAGCCUUGUUCAAUGAUUCUCCAUAAAUUUGUUGAGCUGUGAUUCAAAUGAGACUUUAUGGAAAAUACCCAGUUAGCAAACUCACCCUUAACAAGCUUAGGAGGAGGACCAAGAUUAUUCAUAUGCGGUGUAGGAACCGGUCCUCCAUAGACUGGUGGAGGAGGAACCGAGGCAAAGGUUCCUGUCCCAUUCUUGUUGAGAGAGGAAGAAGGUCGCAUACCUUUAGCCGCUUCCUUGGUGGAAUUGGCCUCUGAUUCCGUGUUGGUAGGUUUUACCACCAACGCCGGUUCAGAAGAGUUUUUCAUCCCCUCAAGCAACUCUUUAAACAUAGACUUGAUUUCGUUCGUCAUGGACGUCUUGAGGGAGGCCAUAGCAUCAUUCAAGUCAUCUUUUGUGAUCGAAGUCAAGGCCACGGCCUCAUGUGGUACACUCACUCCCUCUCCGUCGUCAACCAUACUCUUUGGGUGGUGAAACCCUUAAUAAAGAGAGGUGGCUCUGAUACCAAUUUAAAGGAUCGAUAUGGUUGACUAGAGGGGGGGGGGGUGAAUAGGCAACGACCAAUUUUUAGCUCUUCUUAACAAGUUAGAGAAAGCAACACAAAGGUUCUAUAAAUUAACUACUAGGUGAGCAACCUAUAUGAUGCUAACUACCAUGACAAUUAGUGCAAGCAAGAAUUACACAACAACAAUAAUAUACACAAAGUAAAGGUAAGAGAUAUCUACAAGUGAAACUGAUGAAGACGAGGAUGUGUUACCGAAGUUCCUUCCCUAUGACAGGAAGUACGUCUCCGUUGGAGCGGUGUGGAGGCACAAUGCUCCCCAAUAAGCCACUAGGGCCACCGUAUUCUCCUCACACAGUCACACAAUGCGAGGUGCCAUGAUUUCACUAUUGGUGCCCUUGAAGGCGUUGACCGAACCUUUACAAACAUGGUUGGGGCUAUCUCCACACAAUGCUUGGAGGCUCCCAACAAGACCAUGGAGCUUCACCACGAUGGAUAUGGCUCUGAGGUGACCUCAACUGUCUAGGGUGCUCAAACACCAAAGAGUAACAAUAUUUGCAAGGGAUUACUAGGGGAAUCAAACAUCUCUUGGUGGAAGUGUAGAUCUUGGCCUUCUCAACCAAUCCCUAGGAAAUCAAUAAGUUUGAUUGGGUAGGGAGAGAUAUCGGGCACGAGUGAGCUUAGGAGCAACAAUGGAGUCUUGGAAGGUCAAAGGUAGGGUUCUUGGAGUGGAAGAACCCUUUAUACAGUGAGGGGACAAAUCCAACCUAUACCCCCACUUACAGCACCCGCAGCAUGGUACUACCUCUUAGGGGUAGCGGUACUACCUAAGGAUGGCAAUUUUACCCACGGGUACGGGUACCCGCGGGUACCAUACCCGCAUGGGCAGGGUAUGGGCACACUUUUAUACCCAUGGGUAGUACCCAUACCCUACGUGUUAAAUCAUGGGUAGGGUACGGGUAUAGCCUUGUUUCCGUGGGUAUACCCAUAUCCUACCCAUUUGUGAACUAAUGUUAUGUUAUCGUCAAUUAAUCAUUAAUUUGUCAUGUGACUCAUCUACUCCUAUUAACUUAUGAGUAUGUUGUGACUUCACAAUUUUGCUCAUGGUCAUGUACUCAUCUACCUCUUAUCGAGCCAAGAUAAUUCAAUUUUGUGUCAAAUGUGCUAUAAGUGAGUAUAAAUUGUGAACAACUUGUGUACUGUUUGUUCUACCCGCUGGGUACCCAAUGGGUAUAGGUAAUCGUCGGGUAUGGGUAUGGGUAAAGUUUUAUACCCGUGGGUAUAGGUAUGGGUAGAAUUUUAUACCCAUUAACUAUACGGGUAUGGAUAUGGUGUUGCUCUACCCUGCCCAUACGCUACCCAUUGCCAUCCUUAGUAGUACCGCUGCCCCUAGCGGUACUACCGCUUGGCAGGGAGCGGUACUACCGCUAGCCCGCGCAGUACUACCGCUAGGCCGGAGCGGUACUACCGCUUGGUAGGCACACAACCACCGUAGUAAAAAUACUACUACCGGGCCUACCACCGUGGAAAAGUAUUCGAAAAAGUCCGACAAAGUACAACCGCCCGGAGAGAGGUACUACCGUCCCGAAGCGAUACUAACGCUCAUCCGGAGAGGUACUACUGCUCACCAAGCUGUACUACCGCUCAGGGAGCGGUACUAUUGCUGGACCUUUUUGCAGAGACAGGGAGAUAGCAUGUGGGAGCUCCAUUGCUGCAGGUGAAAGGUGGUGGAAAGAAAAAGUGUGCGUGUGAGAGUUGAUUCCACCCAAACCUUUCCGACGCGGACCCCCUCUUAAUAGUACGGCUUUCCUACGACCCAAAACCCACCAAAGUGAACCGUAGAAGCCACCGUGCUUCAAAACCACCGAGGGGCGCCAAAUCAUCUUGUGCCUUGCCAUGUAUUAUCUGAAAUGCUCAAUGCACACGAUUAUUCCGUAGAGGUACUGUCAUCAAUCACCAAAAUCACUUAGGACGAAAUAUGCCCUAACAUACGUAAAAACUAACUUAAAUCGAAGCCCGUCCGACUUCCCUGUGGUCAUGUCCGAUGGCCGGUUGCAUCUGUCCAAAUGUUGGUUCGGUCACUGACGAGGCAGAAUAGGACAUGUGACACAUACAUGCUCACGAGAGUCGAGGCACAACCAUCUCACAUACCCUACUCUUUCUCAUUGGAGGCCGGACCCCCUAACGGUGUCGGUGGACCUGCUAUUGAUGAUGGAUCACUCAUGGGAGGAGUCGACGACUUCCACCACAAUGUGGUUGCAGCGCCCAGAGUGGUGUACCAUAUGGGGCGUCGGAGAAUGUGACUCUGCCUUGCCAACGUCCACCGCCACGAGACCUACCGCCCCCCCUCCCCACGCGCGCCUGCUGCCUCGCACGAUGGGCACACCACGCCAUGUUUGAGUCGGAGGACGUCCAUGGUGCAUCUUCCAGUUCGGCAGACAAAUGAAGGGGUUGCACAUCCGCCACCGCAUUCACACGCUUGACGGACCGCUCCGCCUCCGGUGAGACAGCGAUGGCACCCCUAGCAGCGGAUCCAUGCACCAUUUGGGCGAGCGUAAUGAAUUCCUCACGGAAGGAGUCAAAGAACCAUCGUUGGAUGGCUUCCUCCCGAGAGGGACGGAGCACAAGAAGGGCGGUUAUCUCCUCCUCGGGGUCAUGUGGGAUGAGCUCAUGGUCGAUGGAUCUGGGGGUGUAUGAUACGUCUCCAACAUAUCUGCUUUUCCAAAUACUUUUGCUCUAAUUUGGCCUCUAAUUUGCAUAAUUUUAAUGAAACUAACCCGGACUCACGUUGUUUUCAGCAGAACCACCUUGGUGUUAUUUCUGUGUAGAAAUAAAAGUUCACGGAAUUGGACAAAACUUUUUCUGAAUUAUGUUUGGGAAUUAUAAGGAUUUAUGGAGCGAAGACCUGUCGAAGGGGAAGUGCCACGGGGCCACAACCCAUCAGCCCCCCAGGUCGCAGCCUCAUGGCUUAUGGGGGCCCUCGAGGCUCCUCCAAUCCUAGUUCCAGUCCUAUAAAAUCAUAUUCUCCGAGAAAAAACCAGCGAGAAGUUUUCAUCGCAUUUUACUAGACGGAGCCGCUGCCACCUCAUGUUCUUCCUCCGCAUGGCUGACCUAGAGUCCGUUUGGGGCUCUGGAGAGGGGGAUUCAUCACCGUCAUCAUCACCAACCCUUCUCCAUCAACACCACCAUGAUGCUCACCAUCGGGAGUGAGUAAUUCUUUUGUAGGCUUGUUGGACAGCGGUGGAAUUGGAUGAGAUUGAUCAUGUAAUCAAGUUAAGUUUGAUAGGGCUUGAUCCCUAGUAUCCACUAUAUUCUGAGACUGAUGUUACUAUGACUUUGCUAUGCUUAAUGCUUGUCACUAGGGCCCGAGUGCCAUGAUUUCAGAUUUGAACCUAUUAUGUUUUCAUGAAUAUAAGAGUGAUUUUGAUCCUAUCUUGCAAGUUAUAGUUACCUAUUACGUGUCUUAAUCCGCAUACCCCAAGGUGACAAUAAUUGGGAUUCUUUCCGGUGAUUGCCGUAGUUUGAGGAGUUCAUGUAUUCACUAUAUGUUAAUGCUUUGUUCUGGUUCUCUAUUAAAAGGAGGCCUUAAUAUCCCUUCGUUUCCAAUAGGACCCCACUGCCACGGGAGGGUAGGACAAAAGGUGUCAUGCAAGUUCUUAUCGCAAGCAUGCAUGACUAUAUACGGAAUACAUGCCUACAUUAUAUUGAUGAAUUGGAGCUAGUUCUUUGUCACCCUAGUGUGUAACUGUUUUAUGAUCAAUGUCAUCUAAAUCAUUAUUCACUGCUGAGCCACGUGCAUGCACGUUACAUAUAGUGAAUCUUGCUAAGUUACUACUGUUGCUGCUACUAUCACACCUGCUACUAAAUUGUUGCUAUCACUGUUACUGUUACUACUAUCACUUGAUGUGCCACUAAAUAUUUGCUGCAGAAGGAUAUCCCCAGUGCGGUUGAAUUGACAACUCAACUAUUACAAACAAUAAAUAUACUUUGGCUCCCCAUGUGUUGAAUCAGUAAAUUAGGGUGAAAUACUACCCGUGAAGACUAUUGCGAUCCCCUACACUUGUGGUUUAUUAGUGUAGGACUCGGAUCCAUUUCCCUCCAUGGCGGAGAAGGCCGAAGAUCGUCGGGCAGGAGCUUCGAUGGUGGAGUGGAGGGGAGUGGAGCCUGUAGGGUUUGGUACAGAAAGGGGAUGAGGAUGAAUAUAUGUGGGUUUGGGUGUGCCUGUAUGGGUCAUGGCUGACAUGUUAGAAGCGCCCGGGCCUUUCCCUAUCCGCCCCAUAUUUGUGCUGGGUAUGAGGGAUGUCGGUUAGUUGGGGCGUUUGAGGCCGGUUCAAGGCGUCGUCUAGGUUGUGCUUUCUUGACCGUUCAUUAACCAGGCCAUCUGCCUUGGCAUAUGAGGGGGGUUUGUGGCGACCGGUUGUAGACGAUCCUACAGAAGGGCAGAGCUAGCCGCCGGCCGAUUGGCCCAACUUUCCACUAGUCGUACCCGCAAUGUAGGACCACUUUUGGUUGAGCAUUCCUGAUAUUUGUUCGCGGACUUGGUACUCUUCUCUCACCCCCGUUUGUACGCAACUUGUGCAUUAUAGCAACGAACAAUUCCCACAUGCACGCCCUUAGCCGCCCUCCCUUGGCCAUGGAUGAGUCCAAUUUAUGUGAUGUUUUUACUAUGUAUUUUGUGCCUACAAGGUAGGAUUUGUGGAAUUUUACCGCGUUUGUGCACUUCUUUUUGUUGAUAAUCUCUCAAGUAACAUCUUUUGGAGCAAUAUUCAUUUAAUGGAGAAAAUCCUCAAGAACGGUAGUGUAAUCACGUAUUUAAGGUGAUAGACACUUUCCAUAAGAAGAUCAAGCAAGAAGGCCAAAGGAAUGGGUGUCGUCGAGCUUCCAUAGCAAAAGACAAUGUUCUAUACAACCGCAAGCGCUCGUAUGAGUGAUCGUUUUGUGGUGCCGGCACCUCUAGCGGAUCAACAAUUUUUACCUCGUCGAAGCGGAUCAUGAAUGAGACACAUGAAGACAUAAGAAACUCGUCCAGAAGGCAAAACCCUAGCCUCUGGGGCCCAUUCAGAGGGAGGAUCAACCGGGAGAAGAAGGUAAUUCUUCUCACCGCAAGGGUGAGAACAACAUCAUCACGAUCAUCUUCAUCAUCACCAUCUUCUUCAUCAUCAUCAUUAUCAUCAUCCACAUACUUAUCAUCUGCAACAUCAAGAACCCUAUUGGAUCCUUCAAUGUAUCAUUUGAAUCAUUCAUCCAUGUAUUCCAUUAGCAUUGCCAUAAUGUUUGUUGUUCCCAUGUGUGAGUAGACCCCAAGUUCUCGACCAUAUGGAUGAACCUUGGUAUGUGUAGGAUCUGAAAUGUUUAUUGCGGAUAUGAGAUCCUCUAUUGAAAGCUUAGUUUAGUAACUUCGUGAAUGUUGUGAAGGGGCCGCACUCAACUUUUGUGCUUCUUUGGCCAUGAAGUAUACCACUGUCUUUGCAUAGGUCUAGGUUGUGGAGGUAAUUAGAGGUGAUAGUAAAAGCAUACUGCUCCUAACCUUUACAAUUGACUAGGGAUUUAUGGAGAACCCUUUGAGAGGCUGCGUCCAUGGGGAACCCUAUAAUUAUCAUGAGUUGUUAGCCUCGGGGGGGGGGGGAAACUAUGAUGGUGGCAUGCAUGACAUGAAGUAUACCACGAGUAGAACGUGUUCUGUACCCCGCUUCACCCAGCAUAAUUGUCAACAAUGUCUCAAGUAUCUAUUCUGUAAGUGCAUCUAGUGCCAAACAUUGUUGGUUUUGGAGUAUUGAAGACAAACGUGGUUGAGGGAUUAAUGUUUUUAUGAGAGUUCACAGGAUAACACAUAUAGAAGUAUCUAUAGAUUUGGUUUAACCAUCGAAGGCGACCCCCAAGAAAUGUCCAAAGACAUUGCUGAUGGCCGAAGCCAUUGGUGGUGCACAAAGAUAAUCGCUUGAAGACAAAGUCUUUUGUUGUUUGUUUCUUCUUUCAUGAGUCAUUGGAACCACCUACUAUUAAGUGGGUUCGAUGUGAUUGAAGUCACAUGCUGACGUAAUGCUCAACCCACAUAUACCUAUGUAUUCGAGCGAAGACAUUGAGAGAAAAUCUCGUCAAAGCUGGUUCAGUCAGCAUUACUUGCAGCCCAAGUAAUAUUGUCAUGUGUGUGUUUGAAAUCCGACCGUUGGAACACAUGUCGGUUGGCCAUUGACCCAGGAUCAUUUCGGUCAUAUCAAGUAGGGUUGCGUGUCGGCUAUAAAUAUCCCACCUCCUCCACCAUAAGUUGGUGGCUGCUCAGAGUUGAUAUGGCUGUUGUAGUUUUGGAGAAACCCACCUCGAAGACAUUGAGAGAGAGAACUAUCCUACGAGGAUAAACCCAAACACCUAGAGCCAGACACUACUACAGGAUGGUGCAAACGCGACACUACAAUGAGAGACCCUUCGAUGAAACUGUGUCCGAUGCAUUAAUCACAAAUGAUGCUGUAAAAAAUAUCAAAAAGAUGAAAAACGUUUGCGAUGGUGGAGAAAUAAAACACGAUUCAGAUUAGAGUUACAUGUGUAAUGCGUGUCAUACGGUUCACUCCAGUGAACAGUUUGCUAUGAGGCGGAAGAACAGAAAUGGGCAGCCAGAUGAAGGUGUGUGCUAUAUACGACAUAAAGUUCACUCGUAUGAAAUAUCUGCGAUUAGGCAACACAACAUAAGUGGUCAGCUAGAUCAAGGUGUGUGCGAUAUACGACAUACGGUUCACUCGGACAAACUAUUUUCGAUUAGGAAACACAACAGAAACGGUUCAGUUUAACAAGAUGUGUGUGAUAUGCAACAUACAAUUCAAAUAGAUGAACUAUUUGCGAUGAACCAAAGAACAAAAACGAUUUGCAAUGAGAAAAUAUAAGAGAGGCGGUUACUACGGUUAAUUUAUGUGUGAUUCUGUGUGUAGAAAAAACUUUGCAAAAUGCAAACUAGCUAAGCAUCCAAAAGACAACAUGAUUGCAUAACCUAAUUAAGCAUCCAAUUACAUAAGUGACUACAUGCAUAACACUGGCGCACACCUCAAUACACUAUUACAUGCAUAAUAAACUUAGACUACUAAAAGUAUACAUAUUUUUGGCAAAGUGUGAGUAUGGGAAAUGAUCAACACAUCAUCUACUUCCUAUGACACUUGCCGCCACCGCUCUGCUUGUGGCUCAAUCCCUCAACGUAUUCAGGUAAGAGGUAGUUCCUCAUAUCAACGAUCUGCCUGAACAUCUUGUAGCAUGUGUAUGCUUCCUUGGUCAUGGUCUGUAGGUGAUGUUCAUCCAAUCUCUUCACCGAGGCCCUGUGCCAGACAAGCUUAUUCUUCUCGCCUUAAGUCUUCAUGUCUCUAUAGUAGGGGCCGUUGAUGGCCUUGGCCAGGUCAACAUGGGAGUCCAUGUCCUUCUUGCUGCCCCAGAUCUUGUAGUGGUCGUGGAUGUCGAUAAGCUUCUGGCAGGCCACACCUAAAGUCUUGAGCACCUUUUGAUUGUUGGUGGUGUCCAUCGUAUCGAACCUGUAGUUGGGGCUGUUCACAAACCUGAUGAAACACUCGCAAGCACUAUGACAAGGCAGUAGUGGUAGAGGAGAACAUGAUAGUUCAUGCACAACUAGGCGACAACAACCUUGUGAUCAUGCCCGACACGACAUCUGGUGUAAGCGAGGUCGAAGCCGACAACUUUGUACUUGUAAUCCUCAACAAGCAACCGCUCCAUAGUGUUGAUGGAUUCCUCCACCAUGACUCAUUAAUUGGUGUACACCAUUGCUACAGCAACAAAAGUCCUUCCCUGACAAUGCUGCCAGAGAUCCUUCUGUCGUCUCUUGAGCUUGCGUUGGUUUUCCCUUGAAGAGGAAAGGGUGAUGCAGCACAGGAGCAGUAAGUAUUUCCCUUAGUUUGAGAACCAAGGUAUCAAUCCAGUAGGAGAAUCUCGUCAUGUCCAGAGUAUGUGCACAAACACAAAGAGCUUGCACCCAACGCUAUAAAGGGGUUGUCAAUCCCUUCAAAAUUGAUUGCAAAGUGAGAUCUGAAGGCGGAAAGUGCAACGAAGAAAAAGUGUAAGGCUGAAAAUAUGGUGUGGAGUAGACCCAGGGGCCAUAGUGUUCACCAGAGGCUUCUCUCAAAAUAGCAAAUAUUACGGUGGGUGAACAAAUUACUGUCGAGCAAUUGAUAGAACCGCGCAAAGUCAUGACUAUAUCUAAGGCAAUGAUCAUACAUAUAGGCAUCACGUCCGAGACAAGUAGACCGAUAAUUUCUGCAUCUACUACUAUUACUCCACACAUCGACCGGUAUCCAGCAUGCAUCUAGUGUAUUGAGUUCAUGGCGAACAGAGUAACGCCUUAAGCAAGAUGACAUGAUGUAGAGGGAUAAUCUCAAACCAAUGAUGAAAACCCCAUCUUUUUACCCUUGAUGGCAACAACACGAUGCGUGCCUUGCUACCCCUUCUGUCACUGGGUGAGGUCACCGCACGGUAUGAACCCAAAACCAAGCACUUCUCCCAUUGCAAGAAUCAUAGAUCUAGUUGGCCAGACAAAACCCACAACUCGAAGAGAAUUACAAGGAUAUGAAAUCAUGCAUAAGAAAGAUAAGAAGAAACUCAAAUAAGAUUCAUAGAUAAUCUGAUCAUAAAUCCACAAUUCAUCGGAUCUCGACAAACACACCGCAAAAGAAGAUUACAUCGGAUAGAUCUCCAUGAAGAUCAUGGAGAACUUUGUAUUGAAGAUCCAAGAGAGAGAAGAAGCCAUCUAGCUACUAGCUAUGGACCCGUAGGUCUAUGGUGAACUACUCACGCAUCAUCGGAGAGGUCAUGGUGUUGAUGAAGAAGCCCUCCGUGUCCGAAUCCCCCCUCCGACAGGGCACCAAAACGUGCCCCAGAUGGGAUCUUGCGGAGACAGAAGCUUGCGGCGGCGGAAAAGUACUUUCGAUGAUCUCCUGAUUUUUUCUCAGAUUUUAGGGAAUUUAUAGGCGAAAGUCCUAGGGCUGAGGUGGCCCAGGGAGCCCACAAGCCAGGGAGGCGCGCCCCCCUGGCUGCGGCUAGGGUGCUUGUGGGGGUCGCUGCAGGCCCCGUGGCCAGAUUCUCAGGCUUCCCGCUCUUUUUUUGUUUCGGGAAAAAAUCUUUUUGGCAGUUUCGUUCCAUUUGGACUCCGUUCAAAAUCCUCCUCUAAAAGGGGUCAAAAACAUGGAAACAACAUGAACUGGCACUUGGCACUGAGUUAAUAAGUUAGUCCCAAAAAAUAUAUAAAAGGCAUGCAAAAUAUCCAAAGUUUGACAAGAUAAUAGCAUGAAACCAUAAAAAAUUAUAGAUACGUUGGAGACGUAUCAAGCAUCCCCAAGCUUAAUUCCUGCUCGUCCUUGAGUAGGGAAGUGAUAAAGACUGAAUUUUUGAUGUGGAAUGCUACCUAGCAUAGUUGUUCUUUGCAGCUUCUUUCAUGUGACAUGAAUGUUCAGAUCCGUAAGAUUCAAAACAAUAGUUUGCUAUUGACAUGAAAACAAUAAUACUUCAAGCAAACUAGCAAGGUAAUCAUGAACUUUCAAAAUAACAAGGCCAAGGAAAGUUAUCCCUACAAAAUCAUAUAGUCUGGCUAUGCUCCAUCAUUCUCACACAACUAAUGUAAAUCAUGCACAACCCCGGUAUUGGCCGAGUAAUAGUUUUCGCACUCUUACUUUCUCAAAUUUUUUAUAACUAUCACACAAUACAUGAGCGUGAGCCAUGGAUAUAACACUAUAGGUGGAAUAGAGUGCGGUGGUGGUUGUGAGACAAAAAGGAGGAGAUGGUCACAUUGACUCGACGUAUCAAAGGGCUAUGGAGAUGCCCAUUAAUAGAUAUCAAUGUGAAUGAGUAGGGAUUGCGACACAAGGGAUGCACUAGAGCUAUAAGUAUGUGAAAGCUCAAAAUGAGAACUAGUGGGUGUGCAUCCAACUUGCUUGCUCAUGAAGACCUAGGGUAAUUUGAGGAAGCCCAUCAUUGGAAUAUAGAAGCCAAGUUAUAUAACGAAUAUUCCCACUAGCAUAUGGUAGUGGCAAAGCAAGAAGCUCUCAAUUAUGAAGAACAUGGUGCUAUUAUGAAGCACAAGUGUGGAAAAAGAUAGUAGCAUUGUCCCUUCUCUCUUUUUCUCUUUUUUUUAUUUGGGCACUUGGGCCUCUUCUUUUUUUCUCUUUUUUUAUUUGGGAUCUUUGGCCUCUUUUUUUUAUUUCCUCACAUGGGAUAAUGCUCUAAUAAUGAUGAUCAUUAUACUUUUAUUUAAUCACAGCUCAAAUCUUAGAACGAUGAUGACUCUAUAGGAAAUGCCUCUGGCAGUGUACCGGGAUGUGCAACGAUCUAGCUUACGAUCAUGCAAUAGCAAUAUGAGAGUGGCGACACAAGUCAUGAGACGGAACUGGGAAUUGCAUGGCAAUAUAUCUCGGAAUGGCUAUGAAAAUGCCAUAGUAGGUAGGUAUGGUGGCUGUUUUGAGGAAGGCAUAUGGUGGGUUUGUGCACCGGCGAGAAUUGCUCGACACUAGAGAGGCUAGCAAUGGUGGAAGGUGAAAGUGCAUCUUUACCAUGGACUCACAUUAGUCAUGAAGAACUCACAUACUUGUUGCGAAAGUUUUUAUUAGUAAUCGAAACAAAGUGCUAAACACAUACUCCUAGGGGAAGGGUUGGUAGGUGUUAACCAUCGCGCGAUCCCAACCUGAACACAAAGGAUGAAAAUCAAUAGAUCAAUUAUGCUCCGACUUCCUAAAAUAGCGGUUCACCAUACGUGCAUGCUACGGGAAUCACUAACUUCAACACAAGUAUUUCUAGAUUCACAACACCCUACUAACAUAACUCUUAAUAUUACCAAAUUCACGUCUCAAAACUAAUUGAGAUGAAUCAAGACUUCUCUUUCUACUCAAUGCACAUGAAGAUGGAGGUUUUUGUAUCAUCUUUGGGUACCUAUCACAUUUGGAACUACUUUCAUAGCAUAAGCCAACUACCAAGUCACGAACCGCCGUUCUCUAAAAGAUCUAAGUGAUGCACAAGAGCAAAAUUAUCUAGCGCAAAAGAUAUAAGUGAAGCACUAUGAGCAUUCUAGCAAAAUCAUGAUGAGUGCAUGUCUCUCUCUAAAGGUGUGCAGCAAGGAUGAUUGUGACACAACAAAAGGAAAAGAAUCCUAAGAUACAAGACGCUCCAAGCAAAACACAUAUCAUGUGGUGAAUAAAAAUAUAACUCCAAGUAAUGUUACCGAUGGAUUGAAGACGAAAGAGGGGAUGCCUUCCCGGGGCAUCCCCAAGCUUAGGAUUUUUGGUGUCCUUGAAUUUGGCUUGGGAUGCCUUGGGCAUACCCAAGCUUGAGCUCUUUCCACUCAUAAUCUCUUUGUCCAUGAGAACAUCACACAAAACUUGAAAACUUCACAAUACAAAACUUAAACAGAAACUCGUGAUAACAUUAGCACAAGAAAACAAACUACCACCUCUUUAGGUACUGUAGCAAUCUUGAUUUCUAUUUGUAUUGCUGUUGGGAUACUGUAUUCUCACUUUUCCAUGGCUAGUACCACCGAUACUAUCCAUAGUUUCAUCAAAACAAGCAAUCAACUCAACAAAAACAGAAUCUGUGAAAAAUAGACCACUCUAUAGAAAUCUUUGUACUUCGUAUACUUCUGGUACCUCAAAAAUUCUGAAAAAUUACGACUGCCUGGGGAAAAGGCAUAUGAACAAGCAGAAAAAAGAAUCAACUCAAAAGCUCUUUCUGAAUAAAAAUUACAAAUCAUCUCGUGAGCGCAAGUUUCUAUCUUUUUCCAGCAGGAUCAAACAACCAUCACCAAGACUAGUCAUAAAGGUUUUGCUUGGCUCAAACACAAAAAGAAACACAAAAAACACAAUCACAACAUAAUUAUGAUGGUGCGGAUGCAACAAAACCGAAAGAAAAAGAUAAAUUCAUUGGGUUUCCUCCCAACAAGCGCUUUUGUUUAACGCCCUUAGCUAGGCAUAAAAGCGAUAGAAUCACAUAUCGUCGUCUUUGGUGCUCAAAGCAUAAGUGGCCCUCAUCAUGGAUUCAUAAGGAAAUUUUAUUUUCUUUCUAGGAAAGUGCUCCAUGCCCUUCUUUAAAGGAAAUUGAAAUCUAAUAUUCCCUUCCUUCAUAUCGAUGAUAGCACCGAUAGUCCUUAGGAAAGGUCUACCAAGAAUAAUAGGGCAUGUAGGAUUGAAAUCCAUGGGUACAUAGUUCCUAUUUGCAAUAAUAAGAACAUCAUUGAUCCUUCCCAUCGGUUUCUUGACAGUAGAAUCCGCAAGAUGAAAAUUAAGAUAACACUCUUCAACCUCAUUAAAACCCAGAACAUCACAUAAAGACUUUGGAAUCGCGGAAACACUAGCACCCAAAUCACACAAAGCAUUGCAUUCAUAGUUUUUGAUUUUUAUUUUGAUAGUAGGUUCCCACUCAUCAUGAAGCUUUCUAGGGAUAGAGAGUUCCAAUUCAAGUUUCUCUUCAAGAGAUUUUAUCAUGGCUUCGAUGAUAUGAUCGGUAAAGGCCUUGUUUUGGCUAUAAGCGUGUGGAGAGUUUAACAUGGAUUGCAUCAAGGAAAUGCAUUCAAUCAAGGAGCAACUAUCAUAAUUGAAUUCCUUGAAAUCCAAGGUAGUAAUUUCAUUACUACUCAAAGUUUUAAUAUCUUCUACUCCACUUUCAAUGCUUUUAGCAUCAAGAUAGAUGGACUCCGAAUCAUUGGGGCACUUUUCAACCAAAGUGGAUUCAUAUCCAGCCCCAUCAUCAUUAGGUUUGACACAAGAAAACAAAGAUUCAAUGGGAGUCACACCAAGCACUUUAAGAUCUUCGUGAUUCUUAUCACGAGAACACGCCUUUUUAAGCCAUUCAUGUCUAGCACGAAUUUGGGCGGUUCUUUCUUUGCUCUCAAUCAUGGAAACACGCAUAGAUUUCAAAGUUUCAUCCAUAUUGAUCUUGGGAGGAGCACAUCUAACUUUCAAAGCAUCAACAUCACUAGGCAUUCUAUCAACGCUCUUAGCCAAAUCGUCAAUUUUGAGUAGUUUUUCCUCUAUGGACGCAUUGAAAAUCUUUUGCAAGUUGAUAAACUCUUUGAUAUUACUCUCUAGAUCAGAGGGUAAUAUAUUGUAAUUUCCAUGAGUAUUGUUGUAGGAGUUGCGAAAGUUAUUAGAGGAGUUACUAGGAAAAGGCCUAGGAACAUAGUUUCCUCCAAAAGCAUUGUUGUUGCCAAAAUUAUUCCUACCAACAAAAUGAAAGUCCAAGCUAGCGUUGCUACUCUCAAUCAAGAAAGACAAGGGCAUAUCAUUAGGAUCUAAAGGAGCACUUCUACUAGCAACCAAAUUCAUUAACUCAUCCAUCUUAGCACUCAACGAGUUAAUUUCUUCUAUAGCGUGUACCUUCUUACUAGUAGGUGACCUUUAAGUGUACCACUGAGAGUAGUUCGUCAUGAUAUUGUCUAGCAGCUUUGUGGCUUCCCCUAACGUGAUUUCCAUGAACGUUCCACCUGAGGCGGAGUCCAUGAUAUUUCUAGAAGCGAAAUUCAAGCCAUCGUAGAAGAUUUGUAUAAUUAUCCAAAGACUCAAGCCAUGAGCGGGACAAUUUCUAAUCAUCAAUUGCAUUCUCUCCCAAGAUUGUGCAACAUGUUCAUGAUCAAGUUGCUUAAAAUUCAUGAUAUCAUUGCGGAGAGAGAUAAUCUUAGCCGGCGGAAAAUACUUGGAUAUAUAAGCAUCUUUGCACUUAUCCCAAGAAUCCAUACUAUUUUUGGGCAAAGACGAAAACCAAGUUUUUGCUCGAUCUCGCAACGAGAAAGGAAAAAGCUUCAAUUUAAUCACAUCAUUAUCCACAUGUUUCUUCUUUUGCAUAUCGCAAAGCUCAAUGAAGGUAUUGAGAUGGGAUGCGGCAUCUUCACUAGGAAGGCUGGAGAAUUGCUCUUUCAUGACAAGAUUCAGCAAAGCGGCAUUGAUUUCGUAUGACUCCGCACUAGUGACGGGAGCAAUCGGAGUACUAAUAAAAUCAUUAUUAUUAGUAGUUGAGAAGUCACAAAGUUUGGUGUUUUCAGUCAUGGUGACUUCGACAAGCAAGCAAGCACACAAGCGAACAAAGAGCAAGCGAGAGAAAAGGGCGAACGAAAAGGCGAACGAAAAAGGCAAAUUGGUGAAGUGGGGGAGAGGAAAAUGAGAGGCAACUAGCAAACAAAAUAAAUGCAAGAGAUGGGUUUGCGACACUUACUUGGAUGAGUUCUUGACUUGAUCCUCCCCGGCAACGGUGCCAGAAAUUCUUCUGCUACGGCAACAAAAGUCCUUUCCUGGCAGUGGUGCCAGAGAUCCUUCUGUCGUCUCUUGAGCUUGCGUUGGUUUUCCCUUGAAGAGGAAAGGGUGAUGCAGCAUAGGAGCAAUAACUAUUUCCCUAAGUUUGAGAACCAAGGUAUCAAUCGAGUAGGAGAAUCUCGUCAAGUCCAGAGUACCUGCACAAACACAAAGAGCUUGCACCCAACGCUAUAAAGGGGUUGUCAAUCCCUUCAAGAUUGAUUGCAAAGUGAGAUCUGAAUGCGGAAAGUGCAACAAAGAAAAAAUAUGAGGCUGAAAAUAUGGUGUGGAGUAGACCCGGGGGCCAUAGUGUUCACUAGAGGCUUCUCUCAGAAUAGCAAAUAUUACGGUGGGUGAACAAAUUACUAUCGAGCAAUUGAUAGAACCACGCAAAGUCAUGACGAUAUCUAAGGCAAUGAUCAUACAUAUAGGCAUCACGUCCGAGACAAGUAGACCGAUAAUUUCUGCAUCUACUACUAUUACUCCACACAUCGACCGCUAUCCAGCAUGCAUCUAGUGUAUUGAGUUCAUGACGAACAGAGUAAUGCCUUAAGAAAGAUGACAUGAUGUAGAGGGAUAAUCUCAAACCAAUGAUGAAAACCCCAUCUUUUUACCCUUGAUGGCAACAAUAUGAUGCGUGCCUCGCUACCCCUUCUAUAACUGGGUGAGGUCACCGCACGGUAUGAACCCAAAACCAAGCACUUCUCCCAUUGAAAGAAUCAUAGAUCUAGUUGGCCAGACAAAACCCACAACUCGAAGAGAAUUACAAGGAUAUGGAAUCAUGCAUAAGAGAGAUCAGAAGAAACUCAAAUAAGAUCCAUAGAUAAUCUGAUCAUAAAUCCACAAUUCAUCGGAUCUCGAUAAACACACCGCAAAAGUAUAUUACAUCAGAUAGAUCUCCAUGAAGAUCAUGGAGAACUUUGUAUUGAAGAUCCAAGAGAGAGAAGAAGCCAUCUAGCUACUAGAUAUGGACCCGUAGGUCUAUGGUGAACUACUCACGCAUCAUCGGAGAGGUCAUGGUGUUGAUGAAGAAGCCCACCGUGUCCGAAUCCCCCACUCCGGCAGGGCACCAGAACGUCCCCCAGAUGGGAUCUUGCGGAGACAGAAGCUUGCGGCGGCGGAAAAGUACUUUUGCUGAUCUCCUGAUUUUUUCUGGGAUUUUAGGGAAUUUAUAGGCGAAAGUCCUAGGGCAGAGGUGGCCCAGGGAGCCCACAAGCCAGGGAGGCGCGGCCCCCCUGGCCGCGGCUAGGGGGCUUGUGGGGUCCCUGCAGGCCCCCUGCCCUGAUUCUCAGGCUUCCCGAUCUUUUUCUGUUUCGGAAAAAAUCUUUUUGGCAGUUUCGUUUGGACUCCGUUCAAAAUCCUCCUCUGAAAGGGGUCAAAAACAUGGAAAAAAUAGGAACUGGCACUUGGCACUGAGUUAAUAAGUUAGUCCCAAAAAAUAUAUAAAAGGCAUGCAAAACAUCCAAAGUUUGACAAGAUAAUAGCAUGAAACCGUAAAAAAUUAUAGAUACGUUGGAGACGUAUCAACCAUCAUGAGGUUCGUCUUCCUCACGUGGGUCUCCACAAGAUGCACACCGAACUCCAUUAUAGUGCUGCUGGAUAUCCUCUCUGUAUGAGUCAUCGAGGGUGUGAUUAUUGUGUUGUGGGGAAUGAUCGAAAGCAUGAAGAGAAAAUGGUUAAUGGCUGCGGGUAUGAAUGUGGGCGGAUAUCCCGGAAACCGGCACAGGGUGACGCUCGUGGCGCAACCAGAUGCAUAUGGAUCCCUAAACAUCAAUAUGGUCAAGCCCCAACUGUUGACAGAGUGUCAUACGAUUCACUUAUAUGAACUAUUUUUAUUAGAGAACACAACAAAAACGACUCAACUUAACAAGAUGGGUUGUGCGCCGGCCCCAACUGCUAGCAAAGUGCGCUAGAGGGACGCGACCCGAACAUGCCUUGGCGCAUAAACGGUGAGUAGAGCACGCAGAGGGACACGAGGAGAGCGUGUUGCGGUCGCCUAAAUGGCGCGCAAGCACAUGCAUAAUUAUUGCAUAUAGCAGUUGAACAUAGCCAUAUGAAGGUGUGUUUCAGGCUUCGAGCCCAACACCAUCAAUACUUUUUGAGCUUGUUUCUCGUCACAUUCAAGAUUACCAUGCAAUAAGUAAUUGCAAAUUUGUUCAGACCGAUCAAACCUAAACAUGUUCACACUUAGCACCAGGCUAUAAAAACUACCCACUCAAAAAUUACUUCUUAUUUCCUCUCCUCAUCACCCACUAAACAGGUCUUUCCUAUCAAGUCAUUCCGCCAUGACCAGUAGGAGGAGUUUUGGUCGACAUAUAACCAGGGAGCAAAGACCAAAGCCGCGGAAGCACUAGAGAGGUCUCGCCACUGCGCGACAGACGUGGCAAACAUGUCCAGUAAUGCCACGGAGCCCUCGAACGAGCUCUCACCAACAGGCGAGGGCUCUCGCAAGCACAUUCGCUUUGUCGGCGGAUGCGAAGAAAUGUCAGUGCCGAAGUCCUCGACCAUCGACGAUGAUAGUCUCGCUCGCCUAAUUAGGCAGGAGGAGCUGGUCAGCAGAUUGGUGCAGCUGCUCAAGAUUAGUGAUGCCUCGGCUGAGAAGGCGACCGACUUCGUCAUGCGACUCAUGGGUGACAAUGCAAAGAUCCUCAAGGAGCUCACCAAUAAGGAGGAGGAGGUCACCAGCUGGAAGAAUGUGCAUGAGCAGAGCAGUGCGUAGGGGUUGAUGCUGAAAGUGCUUGUCGAGGAACUUAUGGUUGACUUGAGGAAACUCCACAUCGAGCGAGAAUAGGAGGUGGAGGAAUCUAUGGCUGUUGUCAAGCGAAGCCGUGAUGAUUUGAAGAAGGAGCUGGAGGAACUCGUCGCCCGGGGAUCCAUCGAGGAGUAGAGACAGUAGCGACCCAGAUCCUUGCCUUUGAUUUUCUUCUUCUCUUGCCCAUGUGUCUUUCGUGCCUGCAGCGUGUGGCAUUUAAAAUUAUCGGGAAUAUGUAAGACAAAUAUUAUCUGCGCCAUGGUAAAUUUUUCCUUGUAUUAUCCGUUGCCAUUUUAUUUUGUCGUUGUAUUAUCCUUUGCCGCAUGUGGCAUUUUAAAUUUUCCAGAAUACGAGUUGGAAACAAGAAAAAAUCACAUUCUCAGCGAGGCACGAACAAAGAAAAUGCUUAACGUUGAGUGGGGCAAUGGGAUCACAGGCAAACACCCUCCAUCCAGGUGCUUUAAUUAACUGCAUGUUAAAUAGUGGCCCGGGCUGCUCGCACGCAUCACCUCAAGCCGGCGUGGCGGACUGGUCACACUCGUCACGUAAAAUCAAACAGGUGCACGCACGCCACUGAGUAUGGUUAAGUUUUUGCACAAAAUACAAAGAGGACCAAUGAACCAGGACCAAGGUAGUACUCUCCAAUAAAAUUAGGGAUGCGUGGGCACACUUAAAUCGAUACAGGAACACACACGGUUCAAUACAACCAUUUGCGAUGGUAACGUUUUAGCUAUUUGUUCCAAAGGACUGCGUUGGGUAUUAAUGCGUGCGCCUUGUCAAAUUUGAUGAUUUUUUAUAGACACUUUGGUGGACUAGGGCAUGUAUUUGUAGUUUAGAUUUGAGUUAGAAAAAAUAAAAGGCGAGAAGAGGCAGUAAUUAUCGUUUCGCCCAAAGGGGGCACGUUUCCCUAUCGGAACCACGAGGGUUCUUGCGAUAAACACUGGUUUGUAAGAGGUUUGUAAUAAAGAUUGGCCCAAAUUGGACAAUUCUUUUACCAUGACAUAAAUGUGCCAUGUUCUUACACCUUACCAAGUUUCAUGAUUUUCUGGUGAGUUUUGGAUUUACGGGGACAUAAAAAUUGAGAUUCUGAGUUUUUGAGGCUGAGCAAGGACACCGAUACGGUUGUCAUCCAUUCCCAUUCCUUGCAUGGUACUUAAACAUGCACCCAAGGACACAUGUACGAUAUUUCUAGACAUUUUAAUGCACUGGAGCAUAUAUUUGUAGUUUAGAUUUGAAUUAUGGACAUUACAUGCCUAGAAAACUCAAUUAAUGUAUAAAAAAGGCCAAACGAACCCUGAAUAAUUUCAAAUUUCAGCACGAAUCUCAUGUUGUUCCAUGUUGCUUGUAGAAAAAAUACAAGGCGAGAAGAGGCAACAAUUAUCAUUUCGCCCACAAGGGGGGCACAUUUCCCUAUCAUAACCACGAGGGUUCUUGCGAUAAGCUCCGAUUUGUAAGAGGUUUGUAAUAAAGAUUGGCCCAAAUUGGGCAAUUCUUUUACCACGAAAUAUAUGUGCCAUGUUGUGACACCAUCCCAAGUUUCAUAAUUUUCUGGUGAAUUUUGGAUUUAUGGGGACAUAAAAACCGAGAUUCCCAGUGUAUGAGGCUAAGCCAGGACACUGAUACGGUUGUAAUCUAUUCCCAGUCCUUGCAUGGGACUUAAACAUGCACCCAUGGAUACAUGUAUGACUUUUAAACAUUUUAAUGCACGCGAGCAUGUAUUUGUAGUUCAGAUUUGAAUUAUGGACAUUAAAUGCCUAGACAACUUAAUUAAUGUAUAAAAAAGGCCAAACGAACCCUGAAUAAUUUCAAAUUUCAGCACGAACCUCAUGUUGUUCCAUGUUGGCUGUAGAAAAAAUACAAGGCGAGAAGUGAUGAUCCACAAGUGUAGGGUAUCUAUCGUAGCCUUUUCGAUAAGUAAGAGUGUCGAACCCAACGAGGAGCAGAAGGUAUUGACAAGUGAUCUUGAGGAAGGAAUAACUGCAAGUACUGAAAGGUAACUUUUUAUGGGUUUUCUAGUAUAAUCAACAAGGAAAUAAAUGCAAGUAAAGUAAAUCAAGCCGAGGUGCAGGAAGUGGCCCAAUCCUUUUGAACACAAAGGAUAAGCCGAGGGACUAAACUUAUAAAGACUAAGGCGUUCCUGAGGACACACGGGAGAGAUAGUCAAGUGCUUUUGCCAUACUCUGUCUAGUACUAUGUUUUGUAUUGAAGUGUUAUGUGGGUGGAUCUUAACUAGUGCACCGUCUAGGCUAAGACAAGUACACUCUUAUGAUUAAUCCCUCUUGCAAGCAUUCGCAAAUACAAGAGAGAAAUUAAGGCAAAGCCUAACCAUAGCAAUAAGCUUUAGGAUCCAAUACUCCCUCAUGGAAAAGUAUGCGAACUGAGGUUCAAGUUUUUGUCACUCCUACAAACCACCGUAAGCAUUCUUUAUACACGAUGCAUUCCCCUAGGUCCUUAAAAAGGCGAAGUGUUAUGUAGUCGACAUUCACAUAACACCACUAGAAGAAUAACACCAUAACUUAAAUAUCAAUCAACACAUAUUACUUCAACAUCAUAUGACUACUAGCAUCUAGACUUUUCCCAUGUCCUCAAGAAUUAUCGGAACUACUCACAAGACAUAAAAGAGAUCAUGAUCAGAGGUGAUGAAAAUAUGAUCAAUAAUCUGGUCAUAACAAUAAUCCUCCAACAAAACUCAAUAUCAUUCACCACAAAAGAGUAAUCAACACCGGUAGAGUAAAGGGGAUGAAUAGUACAAGGUACAACUCCGAUUGCAAUGGUGAAGUAGAUGGGAUGAAUGUGGAGAUGGUGCUGGUGUUGGUGAUGAUGGUGAUGAUGAUCUUGAUGAUGCCCGUGACGAUGGUGAUGACGAUGAGGAUGAUCUCCCCUUCCGGGAGGAAUUCUCCCCGGCAGAAUCUGCCGGCCGGAAAGGUCUUUUCUUCUCCGUAGGUUUCGGCCGCGGAAUGCCGGAGGAAUCAUGAAAACUCUUCUGUCCCCGUUACUUUUAGGUCAAGAGGAACAUAUAGGCCAAAGGAGAGCACCGGAGGCGGGACCCACCACCCAGGCGGCCUCCUGGCACGGCCUAGGGGGGCCGCGCUAGCAUGUCGCCUGGGUGACCUAUGGCCUCCCUCUGACCCUUCUUUGGCGUGUCUCCAGGAUCCGUUCGGAAACUUCUUCCCUCAAAAUUUCAGCAGAGUUGGAGAUGUUGUGAUAUUGCAAAUCUUCAUGCUAUUUUCUCCGCUGAAUCCUGCGUUUGCUAUUUCAGCACCGGAAAGUUGUAAACUGUGUAAAAUAAGCCAAAACACUAUAAGUACAUGAUCAUAAUGUGAAAUAUAUCAAUGAAGAGAGACAAAUUAUGAUACAAAAAGGUGAUGCAUUUUGGACGUAUCAACUCCCCCAAGCUUAGACCUCGCUUGUCCCGAAGCGAAUUCUGAGCUUGGUAAACCUGUCCACAAGUUUAGAGAGUGAAGUAUCGAUAAAUAAGAAUACGGACAAGAAGCAUCAUAAAUUCUCUACUAAACUCAACCAUCCUCAAUAGCAAUCUCAACUCGUAAGGCCCUUAUGAAAGAGUAAUAUCAAUUACAAUCAAAAGUAGAUCUAAGAAAACUCAUCAAACCAUGGCAAACAUGUCCUUGGUCAAAGAGAAACUAGUAACUUUUAACUCUUGUUCUUCCUCUCAUAUUUUGAUGGGAUCAAUUGAAGCUUUUUGAAAGAACAUGUUAUUAGUCAAGAAGUAAAAAUGCUAACACAAAGGAAGAUAUUUGCUUUAGCUAAGCCUUAAUAAACAACUUACUUAUCUUAAUGAUAACAUCAACAACGGUGUAAUAUGACAACUCUCAAUGAAACAAUAUGAAUGCAUGCAUCUUUGUCAACAUAAAGUGUCUGCUCUUUUCAUGAUAGAAAGAAGUAGGUUUUACUGACUCAACAUAAAAGUAAAAGAUUGGCCCUUCGCAGAGGGAAGUAGGGAAAACUCAUGUGCUAGGGCUUUCUUAGAUAUUUUGAAAUCAACAAGAUUGUAAAACAGGCUUUUGAGAGGUGCAUAAUUUGUCAACGAAUGCUAGUAGAUAGCCCAAUACUUCUCAUGCUGGAUAAGUUUUGAGGAACGGCUCCCAAAGUGAGGACGAUCGCAUCCCCUUAGUCUCCUUUGUUUAUCACUACCAAAUUUUUUCUGAUUUCUCAUCAACAAAGCGUGAAGGAGGUUUUGUUUGUUGUUAUUAUCUUUUACGAGCUGGGCGCGCUCAUGCCAGUCCCUCUUCGUAUUAGGGGUUCGCAGAUCACAUGCAAACCCAAGGUAAAACUUGUCGAGUAUGAGAAGAUCAUGAAUUAUCUACUACUUCCUCAUAAGCUAAAACAGAGGAACAAAACAGGGAGUAAUAUUUGAAGGUUUAAAGAUAGCACAUGAGUAAUAUACUUUAGGAGUGGCGGUGAAAUACCACGUAUAGGGAAGAUAUGGUGGACUCUUGGGAAGGUUGAGGAUUCAGGGUAUGGAUGCAAAAGCAGUAUUCCCGCUUAGUGCAAGGGUUGGCUAGCGAAGGCUUUUAAGAGUAGACAAAUAAUGUUGACUUGGAUGCAAAACAAUAUAAAGUUUAACAUAAAGAAUUGGCAUAAUACAACAAGUUGUCUUCUGAUACGUCUUCGUCGUAUCUACUUUUCCAAACUCUUUUGCCCUUGUUUUGGAGUCUAAUUUGCAUGAUUUGUAUGGAACUAACCCGGACUAACGCUGUUUUCAGCAGAAUUGCCAUGGUAUUGUUUUUGCGCAGAAAUAAAAGUUCUCGGAAUGACCUGUAAAUUCACGGGGAUUUUCUGUGGAAUAUAUAAAAAAUACUAGCGCAAGAAUCAACCGGAGGGGUGGAGCUGAGAGCCCACAAGCCCACCAGGCGCGGGCCCCCCUGGCUGCGCCUGGCAGGCUUUUGGGGUCCACGAAGCUCCACCGCCUCCAAUCCGAUCUCUAUUUAGUCCCUUUCGUCCGGAAAAAAUCAAGGAGAAGAGUUCAUCGCGUUUUACAAUACGGAGGCGGCACCACCUCCUGUUCUUCCUCCGAAGGGCAGAUCUGGAGUCCGUUCUGGGCUCUGGAGAGGGGAGAUCGUCGCCAUCGUCAUCACCAACCUUCCUUCAUCGCCAAUUCCAUGAUGCUCUUCACCGUUCGUGAGUAAUCUCAUCGUAGGAUUGCUGGACGGUGAUGGGUUGGAUGAGAUCUAUCACGUAAUCGAGUUAGUUUUGACGGGGAUUGAUCCCUAGUAUCCACUAUGUUCUGAGAUUGAUGUUGCUACUACUUUGCCAUGCUUAAUGCUUGUCACUAGUGUGACGCCCCGAUAAAUGAAGCUACAAUAACGAAAACUAAUUCUUCCAUGUCAUCAAGUUUAUCUAAAAUAAAUUAUCGCUUAAUAAAAAUCAAAGCAAUUAUCAUAUUUAAAUUGAAGUCAAUGGAUGGAAGUUUUCGAAUGCAGAAAUAAUAAAAGAAUAAAAUAAUAGAAAUAAGGAAGUAUUUAAAAGAAAUGAAAAAUAAUAUGUCAAAAUAAGAUUAAAAUAAAUAAAUAUAAAAAACGAAAAAGGAAAAGCCCCUGGGCCAACUAGGCCAAGUUGGCCCAGCCGGUGAGGCCCCCAACCGGCGCUCCCAACUCCCACCAGCAAACCCUAACCGGUCCCCAGCCCCACUCCUUCCCCUGGCCGCCGCCACCCUCCCUCUCUCUCGGCCCCAACCCUCCUCACCUACCGCUCCCUCCUCUCGUGCAGCCCCCCCACCUCGCGAGACCCCAGUGCCAGAACCCCCUCUCUCCCCUCGAGCCCCAUCCCGCCUCGUCUCCCCUGGAGACCGAAUCAUCCGUACCGCCCGAGAUCUUCCCCAGGGCCCCAUCCCCUUCGGCGACCCCUCCCUCCUGCUCGAUCUAGGAGGGAUCGAGCAGGGAGGUCUCCCUCUCCCUACCGGCCCCUUCCUCCAGCGCCGUCUCUGUCACCCCGCUCCACCAACCGGCGGCCCUGCCUCACCCCCGCCGGCCGUGGCCCUCCGGCGACCCUCAUCGGCGCCAUCUUCACCGUGUGACCGUCAUCACCACCACCGCAUCUUCCUCCACGUCGUCUCCUCUGUGCCUCCCGAGAACUCCGGCUUCACCGGGCCCUCUCGUCAACGUCAGUGAGCCCCUUUUCGGGCUCCUCCCACCGUCCCCUUCCUUGCGCCAUCCCGCUUCCAUUCCGGCAAACGGCGCUCCGUUUCGAGGUCGUGGUGCUCAUGUCGGUGUAGGUGUAGAUAGCACCCUCUCUCUCUGUUGAGAUGAGAGAGAUGUACAAAGAGAUGUGAGUGAGGUUGGAGAUGAGAUGUGAGAAAAAGAAAAGGAAAAAUAAAAUGAUGUAUUUGUGUAUGUAUGUAUGUAUUAGAUGCCAUAAGUAUUUCGUAUGUAUGAGAUGCACGUAUGUAUGUAUUUAUAUGUGUAGGUAUAUGGAGAAAUACGUUAUGUUUAUUAUAUGGGUAAAUAUGUGUAUGUGGCUACUACCACUUACCGGUGGGCCAACCCACCCCACUUUCUAUGACAAGGAGGCCCCACACCCUCUUUUAAGAAAAGUGAAAAUUAAAAUAUAUAAUUAACAAUAUGUUUUUAUUAAAUAAAUGAAUAGAUAUGUUAAUUAAUUAUUUAGUUAAUUAAUUAAUUAGGUAAUUAGAAUAAUUAGAGUAUGACACAUGGGCCCCCCACUAAAUUAAUUUGAUUAAUUACUAUUUAAUCUUAAUUAAAAACUUGUGUUUAUGACGCUCGGGACCCACUAGUCAGUUGACCAGUCAACUAUUGAUGUCAGCGUGACAUCAUGCUGAUGUCAUAAUAGCUUUUAAUUAAAUUAAUUAAAUCUGUUUUUAUUUCCUAAUUAUUGAAUAAAACUUUAAAAAUUAAUAUAAAAUAAUCCGUAAGUCAGAUCAAAAUAUUUUCAACAUGAAAGUUGAUCAGCACAACGAGACGACCCGGAUACACGGUCCAUUCGUCUCUCACGCGUCCCUAGCAUAGCAAACAUGAAACUUUUCCAUCGUUUUCCAUCUGACCGGUAGUAGCGAGAGACCCGAAAAAUAUCGUCAGAUAUUCUUCCGACCCGUCUAUGAUGGAUGUUGUUGUGUUAGCUCAUGUCUAGCCUGCAUCUUGCCAUGUCAUGCAUUGUGUUGCACCAUUGCGAUUAUUUAUUGUUUCUUCCCCCUCUUCUUACCGGUAGACCCCGAGACUGACGCUGCUGCCGGGUACAUCUACGACCCUGCCGAUCAGUCUUUUGCCACAGAGCAGCAAGGCAAGCAAACCCCCCUUGAUCAUUCCUAUAUCGCCUAUGUCUUUCUCCCUAUUGCUUGCAUUAGUUUUUUGCUACUGUUGUAGUUAGCUCCUAUAUCUGAUGCAUAGCUUGUUUUUGAUGAACUGCUACUUUCAGUACGGUAACUUUAAUCUGCUUAGUAUAGGUGGAGCAGUCAUCCUUUCUGACCCUGUAGUCCAGUUGUUCCGCUUUGCAUUCAAAUCUCGAUCCCUGAUCGACGAGCCAGACCCGACACAACACAUACACCCCCUUAGUUGUACGACGCUACAGAGAUACUAUCGGGUACCAAGGGUGACACCUCGCUAAGUACUCCUGAUGAUAUCACUGUAGUAUAGCUAGUCCGUCGUGGUUAUCGAGGGUGAUUCCUCUUUCACCAUUCCCGACGAGGCCUCUGUCAUGCAACUCCUCAAGUGUGGGACCCCCGAGGGUGAUACCUCUAAGCCCACCUUGACGGAUACAUCGUUCAGAAUCCAACGAGGGUGAUACCUCGGAUUCCCCCGAUGUUACAACCACACAAUUACUCGACCAUGUUACUCGGAUCAUUGAUGAUUAGUUGUUAAGACGGGUGGAUUUCCGCGAGAUUGUGUCGAUGGCCUAAUUAAAAUGUUAAUGGAUUUGGGUAUUUGAUCUGGGUUGGUUGGAGACCUUUUCGCACUAACCGUCUGUGUGGGAAGAAUUAUCGGUACUCGACGUCGCAGUAUCAUCCGAAGCUCUUCAGACGUCAGCGAUGUAGCGGCGCGUGCCCGAGUGGUCCCGAGAUGCAUCGCGCUUGUGAUUAAGGGGUGGUAGGACUGACGUCGGCCACCCUCGCAUCGUGCAGGAGCGCGGAGGGGAAGUGGGCCCAUGAACCCUUUGCGCUUAGGAUUUAGACCGGUGGGCUGGCCUCUCUGCUGAGCUUAGGUGGGGUUGCGACGUGUCGAUAUUCCGAGGCCGGGCAGGACCCAGAAAAGUGUGUCCGACUAGAGUGUUAUCGAGCGCGUUGGGACAUGUGGUGCACCCCUGCAGGGAUGAAAAUGAACUAUUCGAAUAGCCGUGUCCACGGUUACAGGACGACUUGGAGUUGUGCCCUGAUCUUAUACAACUACAAUUGUUACAUACCUGGAAUUAGUUGCCUCGGGGUUGCUUCCUCGCAGGGAGUCGAGGGAGGAUCUCUGGGCGUGACCUCACUUUAAUAUUGCUGCAACAAUAUGACUAUUAUUUAUGUUACACUUGUUCUACUCUCAUCUAUUGCUCCAAGACCCUGAAGAUGCUAGUCUUCGAUAGGACUAGGCCUUCUCUCUCUUUCUCGCAUUGCUGCAGUCAGUCCACAUUUAAACCCCUUCUUUGAUACUGGUGCAUACUUAGAAUAGUUCUCAUUUAAGACUUGCAAGUACUUUGGAUGAGUACUCACCUUUUAUUUGCUCCCCCCUUUGUCCCCUUGAUCCGUUGCGGCGACCAGAUGAUAGAGCCCAGGAGUGGAGUUUCCUGCCGACGUCUGCCCCCCCGAUGGUGUCUUCUUCGUGGAGGCCAUUGAAGAAUAUGAGUAGUUAGGAGUUUCCGAGGCAGGAGGCCUCGCCUCGUUCGAUCGUGUUUCUUUUGUGCUAGCCUUCUCUAAGGCACCCCCAUGUUUUGUCUGGACUCAGAUUUUGUUGCUUCCGCUGACUCGUGUGUUUAUCAAGCUUCUGUAUUCUAGCCCUCGAGGCCCCUGGAUUGUAAUAUGAAGCUUGUAUUGUUUUAUUUGUGUCUAGAGUUGUGUUGUGAUAUCUUCCCGUGAGUCCUUGGGUUUGAUCGUACGCAUUUGCGUGUAUGAUUAGCGUAUGAUUAAACCGAGGGCGUCACAAGUUGGUAUCAGAGCCGACUGCCUGUAGGUAGCCCCCUUUCCAACUCCUUGGCCAAAGUUGAGUCUAGUGUUUGAAAAACGUACUAACACUGAUGUUUUGGCUUACGAGCCCACAUCUCAAUUGGGUGGUAUUAGUAUAUUUUAUUCCUUUUCUAUACUCUGGGCUCUACUCUCUUUUCUCUUUCGGGUUAAAGAUUUUACUAACUCUAACAUUAGGUUCUCGUAAUCACAUCUACCCGGAGAGCCCCACAAUUCCAGACGAUGUCUUGAUCCGUCAGAAGACUCCGAGGAUAAUCUCUGAUGUUCACUCGAGAACUUGUGAUCAUCGCUUUUGCAAUUUCCCUUCCUCCGUCAACCCCUAUGGAUGUCGACUUACAAAUGUCGUCCAUACUUUCUUUUCCAAUUGCUCUUGUUUUGCAAGAUGCGACGAAUUAUCUUAUCGGGGAUACGUCCGUCAUCAGUUGUCUUGGGUUUCGAAAGUUCUUCGAACUGCUAUUCCGUCUUCCGGAAUCCUCAGUAGCCUUUUGCUUUUGACCUUUCUGACCUACUUGUGUUAUGGUUGAAUCCAUAUGUCUAGCCGCAUUCAUUAAAUUCCUUUGUGAAUUUCCUGUGAUCUUAUUGUUUCUACCUUUGUAUGCAUGCACACAAUCAUUUGUUGAUACUCAUAAAUUAUCUUCCGGCUGAGACAUCCUUUCAAACAGAGCUGGUUCUCGACGAAUCAACUUCGGUUGUCUGUCCAUCCAAGUCCAUUCAACUUACUGGUAUUUGACCAGAGCAUCUAUUUAUGAUACGCCAAUCUGGAAAUCUUAAUUCCUUUGGUAAUUAAGUAUCGAUAAUUUUCAGAUGUUCUAUAACCCGAUGCAUUGCAUCCUAUGUCCCUCUAAUUGAGUACCGAUACUCACAUCAGAUCGUUUGUGGAUUGCCAGACUCAUUCUGAGUUAUUAUCCAACAACAUCCCUUUACAUUCAAAAAAAUUCUUGUGAUAGUGAUCCACUGAUACAUAAUGUCAUUGGUAAACUGUGUCUUCUCCCUGUGAUAAAUUGUAUCCUAUACUUUUGUCGGCCAUGCUCUGUUAUCAAGCAUGUGUUAAUUACUCUUGAAGUUUAUGGUAUAUGUUCCUAAGAUGCCCCGAUGGGUUGAACCUAUGCCUUCCUAAAUCAAUAUGACUCGAAAAGUUUUCAUGAGUCUUACUCUUCUGGUGCUUUGCCAAAAAUCCUUUCAAAGCUACAACCUGAUCAGAGGCGAGGAGUAAAUGGCAGGUGAUGCAUUGAUGAAGUGGGAAUCGACCUUGAACUUUGUUUUCAUGGCCAUGGAAACGACGUUGAUCCUAUUAUAGAAACUUCUCGUAUCAAUAAUCAUUCAUUCUGUGGUUUAAAUCUAGUAUCGGUGAUCUUAUCCUUUGCAAUCAUGGUUCCGACCAUGUUGUCCUACCUUGAUUUCAUUCUCAGACGAGUUAAAGUACUUGUCUUCUUCAGAUCAAUACAUCGGUUCGAUCUUUCAUGUUGAUCCAUCUCCGAGUAUUGUCCCUUGUAGCUCGAGGAUAUCACGGAGCUAUAUAACUUCUUAUGAGCUCCUCAUCAGCUAUGAUAUUUUCAUUAAUUCCAGUUUUCCUCGUGUUUGAGAUGUUGGACACGCGAGUACAUCGGUAACAGAAUCGAGUACGCAUUGCGAUUCAACAACUUUUCGUAAUCUUCCUUGUUUACGAGUUUGUACUCGAUCAUGUAAUUCCAAGCUGUUAAGCUACAUCAUCGUCAUGUUGGAGCUCGACCAUGCUAUCAAUACCCUUCAUCCCUGGAACACAAUUCCAACUGUGUGUUAAGCUUACAUCGAGUUUUCAACAUCUUGUUGGUUGUUCUGAAAGGCAAUCUCAAUUCUAAGCUACCAGCCUUAUCUGUGAUUCCGACAACCUCUUGCUUCAUCAUUCCCUUGCUUGAUGUCGUCGCUGAAUGAUUACAUCUUCAUGAAGUUUCUCGACAAAAGUGUCGUGAUCAUCAUCAACAUUCUGAGCUCUUGCAGGGUAUCAAUUGAAUGCAUGAUGAGAAAACACCAUCCUUGCCCCUCGAUGGUUUGUGUUUUCAUCGGCAACCUUUUUGCCUUCCCUCCAACACAAACGUGUUCAUGUUUUGUGUUGUCCCUUGAGUUCCUUGCUAGUUCAGCUUAUGUUAUCUUCUACCUUGGAGUAUUACUAUCUUUUAUGUGAAGGAUGUUGUGAAACUUGCACACGUCUUAAGAAUUCUUGAUAUAGUAAUAAUUCUCGCCAUCACCCUUCAUUUCUUGGUCCCGUGUUGUUUCAAACCGGAAUACCAACAAGUGAACUCUGAUGUGUGAUCCCAAUAUUUUUGGCAACCCUAUUGCCUUGAGGUUAACAACUCAUUGUUUCAUUCUUGGUGCGUUGGUUGUUGGCUCACCAUUCUAAAAAUGGUCAUGCUACGCAUUCAGCCCGAGUGCACCCUUUGACCAAUGUUAAAUUGUUGUUGUUCACCCGAGCAUACGACAUUAUACCAUUUGAUUCGACAAAUGCUAUCUCCUUGAUAUUAUAAUUUUGGAAAUUCAUCCCUGUAAAAAUCUUGAAGGAUUGUUGUUGAGCCCAUCAGCCAUGCCCUCAGCUUCUUCAUGUUCCACGAUGAAGCUCUUAAUAGCAUUAUACUUGUGCCUAGCUCGUGGAUAAUGUGUUUGAUAGCAGAAAUGUUUUCCCAAAGUUCAUGUAAUUUCUUAUCGCCGUGAAUAUAUGAAAGUUUUGUUUUGCUUCCUCUAGGAUCAUACCAAAUCAUUCACGCAUGUGCGAAGUGUUAUAUGUUUUGAAGAUUUAUUAUCUUCACUUCAUAUAACUUCUCUUAGCACGCCAAGCCACUGACUGAUUUGAUCAAGGGAAAAGAAGUUACUUCAUAAGAGCUAAUCCAGACUUACACAUGGAGCCUUGUUAUCCUCGAUGAUGGUUUCCAAAUGAGAACUCGGUUACAUUUUGACGUAAGUAUUCUAUGUGGGCACAAAUGUCUUCACAUUGUGUUCAUAUGUCUUAAAGUCGAACUCAUGAUUCAAGGAUUGCUUGUGUAGUUCAUAUCCUGAGAAUCCUGCAUCAUUACAUUUUCUUCUCAGGUAUGUUGAGCCUGAGGUGUCCCGACACCAAUCAGAUCUGAAUCUCGGGCAGAUAUGAUGGUUGGAUCAUUUCCCAAUAAUUUUAGCUUUGGUCUUUAGGUAAAUCAGUACGGUGCUGUCUUUCCAACGCACCGGGUCAAAGGACCUAUUGUCAUAAAUUCUCCCAUAUGUAAGAUUCACCAUCUGUCGUGGUUUUGUCACGGCAGAUGUCCUCGUGAAAGGACUUAGUAUGGGAACCAUCGCACUUUGGUGGCGACUCAAAGGGGUUGAACAGGAGGAACGCGGCGGGUUACCCAGGUUCGGCCCCUCGCGUGGAGGUAAUAGCCUACGUCCUGCUUGGCGUGUAUUGAUGUGGAUUCGAUUACAAGAAAGGCGUAACUCGCCUUACCUAGCACUCGAUGAUUUCUAACCUGCCUAUCCCCCUUCAAACUCGCCUUUAUAUAGAGGUCGAGGCUUUAGGGUUUACAAGAGUCCCUUCCUCUUUACAAAUCGUGACCACCGCGGCCUCUGAGUCGCCGUCUUGCAAAACCCAGAGACCUUCCACAAAUCACAACCAUCUUGCGGCCUUAAACCGCCCAGGCUGAGGCCCAAAUGAGUCAAAGGAUGAACGGCCUUACUAGUAACCCGGCCCAUAUUGGGCGGGUCACUUAAUAAGCAAUAUCCCCAACAUUAGGCCGCAAAUUGACUUGAAUCUUCAUGCCAAUGCUUCUGUUUUAGUUGAAGGUGAUUCACUCCUUUGUGUUCCUCCAUACGCCAGAAAUUUUAACUCGCCAACUGGUACCAGAAAAAGUCUUUGAGCCGCCAAUGCAUUUCCCGUCAGCACUUUCCUUAGCCCUCGAUUUUCGGGAAAUUUAACACAAUCCCAACGGAUCUUUUAGUGCAUCAUUAUCCCAAAAAUUUCGGACGUCAUCAUGGCGAAUCUUUUAUUCCCAAACGGUUCCCGCUCACGGCGCCUCGAUUCUAGCGCCCGUCCUGAUAAAUAGGCGGAAGGGACAGGGCUGACACUGGCCACCUACCAGUCUUGUCAGUCCCCCCCCCAUUAUCGCAAUAGAAAACCGCACCGCUUCCCGAGGGUUUCGCCACCGGCCGCAAACUCCGCCCCCUUCCGAAGAACUCCAGUGCUGCCCGCAAGGCGUCGCCGUUCGAGGAGCUCCGGCGCCGCCUGCAAGCCGUCGCCGUUGCCAGGCUCCGCCGCCGCCGAGGGUCCCUUCAUUCUCCGGGACCCCUGCGCUUCUCCAACAGCCUCCAUCACCGCCGAUCUUCUUCGACCAAGAUCUUCAGGUUAGGCCACUGUUUCCCCCUCUUUAAGGGUAGAUUUAUUUCUUGUUCAUGCUUCCGCCAUUGCCAUGCUUCCGCCAUUGCCAUAGUUCCGAAGCCCUCCGCUCGCAACCAUCUAUUACCCUCGAACUGAUUAGUCCGAGCGCCAUUAGGGCACCCAGUGCCUUGAAUAGUCUUAUCCAUCUGUGCUCUUGCGAAUUUUCUAAAUACACUAGUUUCUUCAAACAUGAGGCACCACCCUGAUCACACAUCGUUCAUGUUUUAGCCAUGUCCGCAAGUUUUUAUAUCUGUUCAACAGAUCCAUUCCUCAUUCACUGUUUGUAAAAAGCUGUUUGGAAACUUCGUCCUUCCCUUAGUGUUUCGGAAAGAAUAAAUUUCACCACCCACAGUAACAUCGCUUCUGAGAAUAGCCCUGCUCCGAUAAGUCGCCACAUCAGCCCAACCCGGCCUCCUAGUCCGGCGGGUUAAGCAAGAGUUGAUUCCGAUUCACAUAGUAAAUGUUCGAGACAUGUAAUACCAUAUUAUUACCUAUUUGUAGCAUGGGUGCCGUUUUCAAGAGCGAUUGGCUUCCUACCAAAGUCGAUGAUGCUGUUUUGGCGAAUUACGUGAAAGCGGGCUGCUUGGAUCCUCGAGGCGUCAUUGGAUGGCGCACCGGGUUAGGAGAAGACCUCCCCAACCCCAAGGAAGGGGAGAUAGUAGUUUUUGUGGAACACUUGGAACGGGGUUUUAAGCCGCCCGGAUCUAAAUUCCUUAGGGACGCUCUGAACUUCAUGAAUGUCCGACUCCAGGAUUUGGGACCCAAUUCCAUAAGCAACCUAAGUCAAUUCCAAGUCCUUUGCGAAGCUUAUUUGCGGAUCGAGCCUUCCGUCCCUCUGUUUUGGUACUUUUUCCACUUGAAUCGCCAGACGGAAUUCCACAAUGGCCCCAGUUUGGAACUUGGCGGGGUCAAUGUCCAGCAUCGCAGGGACAGUCCGUUUCCUUCACUCACUAUGCCUAGCCACCCCAAAGGCUGGGGUGAAUCUUGGUUUUAUUGCAAAGAAACAUCCCCUGCCGGCGAGAACAAACUUCUGGGCUACAGGCCAACCCGCCUUCCGGUCAAUUUUAAGCUUCCUGACAAGCUCACCGAGGAAGAAGAGUCGGACUUCAUCCCAAUUCUGUCCGAACUGAGGUCCUUGACGAACAACGGUCUCACCGGGGUUGAUCUGAUCCGCUGCUGGGUCGAAUGGAGGAUCCUUCCUCUAAGCCGCCGAGACGGUCUGAUGUGCGAAUUUGACGACACUCUGGAUCAUCCCCAAUGCUACUUCCACACAGCAUUAGCGGAAAAAGACAUCGUCGCCAUCAUCAGGAAGCUGACCGGCGAACCUGCAGCAAAAUGCGGCCAAAUCGGCCUUAAGCCCUUCUGCAAGAUUAACCCGGCACCCAAGGUAACCAAAGCUAACUCGCCUCAACUUUUUAUUCCAUCUGUUUUACUGCCAUCAUGACUUCAUGCCAUAUUCCUUUCCAGAAAGGCGACAAGUUCUGGUCUAGGAGACCUAAGAAACAAGCCAUGAAGAGUGCUAAGCCGCCUUCCAAGAAAAACAAGGGCAAAUGUAAAUCUACUGCGGCCGAGCCAUCUGAAGUCGACGAAUCUCAAGCUGGCGACGCACUCUCAGAGGUACCAAUCCGUCCUCUUUUUCACUCGCCACCUGUCACCUUUUAACUUUUAUUUAUAUCUCUCACUCCUCUUGUAACAGAAUGAAGAUAACGGAAGCCAAGAGGACUCCGUCGAGGUAAUUUCCGUCUCCUCCGAUUCCUCUCCUUCCUCGCCUAAGCCGGCCCGGCGAAUAUGUGGGAAAGUCCCCUUCUCACAUCCAGAUGCCCAUUUGGACCCAAAUUUCUUAUUGAAGAGAACACAACACGCCUCGAACCGGAAAACGCGAAGUCACUCCGGCGAUCUAAUACCUGGCUUGCCAACAACGAACAAAAGAAAACCAAGCGAGGUACCUCCUUUUUAUUUAUUUGAGCAACCAUUGUUCGUGCUGCUUUCGGGUCACAGUCAUAACCCGCCUGUAUUAUCGAUGUAUAAAUUCUUCAGGAUUCUCCCCCUACUUCUGGCGACUCAGUGAUGUCGACCCUUCCACCAAUGAUCCGAGUCCCGGGGUAAGUUUCUUGCUCUGAUCCUUGAGAAUAGCACUCUUUUUAAUUUUUUAACACACCUAUCUCUUUCGUUAGGGCACAAGCCAAAAAGAGGAAGACCAGUGGAUCAAUCCCUGACGCCACUUCUGAGCUUCCAAGGAAAGCUACUCCGACUCAAGAAAAUCCGAGUCAAGACGAGCCGACAAUUCAAGCGGACCUUCCUGAGUCGCCCAAAGGAUCAACGGAUGUCCCUAGAUCACCGAUCGUAAUGGCGACAGCUGAUGACCCAGAUGCUGUAGUCAUUACUGGUUCUGGUUUCUCCAAGCCGGCAGCGACAAUCCUCUCCAAACAUAUAGCAUCCCCUUCUCCAUCAAUUCCCGAGUCUGGGCCUUUCAAGGCAAAACUUUCUGACUAUGCAGGUCUGGAGUUUAAAGAACUCUGUUCUGGCUUCGCAAGUCGCCUGGAAGCGAGUUAUGAGAUGGAAAAGAAUCUGCUAAAGAUGUUAAAUAACAAGCAUGAGGUAAACUUUUAUACUCUAUACUAUCUCCAUUAACCCCCAAUGGGCCGGCUCAUCAGUAAAAGGAUGAGCCGGGUCUUGAUUUCUGUAUAAUCUUUCUUGAGAAUUAUACAUUAGCCCCCAAGUGUCAGGGGUAUUGCCUUGCAAUAUUGAUGAGACUUGUCUUUGUUUUAAAUUUUGAACAGGAAAGCCUUGCCCAGACCGAACUGGCCCUGGGCGACUUGAGGAGAAACUUGUCUGAUCAACAAGAUGCCCGAACUCAGUCGGAAGACAAAUAUAAGUUGGCUCUGGUUGAACUGGAAAAGCUCAAAGCCGAGUUAGAAAGAACUCAGGCUGACCAAAGCGCGGCUUUGAAGAGAGCCGAAAAAGCAGAAGCAAAGCGGGCGACUAUCCAACAGGAGCUAUCCGGCUUAAAGCGCCAUAUCUCCAACAUGACACAAGCCAUCUUUGGUAAGCUUUACCUAACUCUCCAACCUUAUCCUCUUCCUUGGGCAAAUUCCUUAAUGUUAACUUACCGGUUAUCAAAUCCCAGGCUCGAGAGUCGCCAAUCUGCAAGACGACUGCGUGUUGAUGCUGAAGGCGAUCUAUACGCUGACGGAACAGCUGUACACAGUCAGUGUGCUGACCGUCAAAGCCGUAAUAGGUGCAAAAGAGCCCAUCACUUCCAUCAAGAAGGUGCUUGGAUAUCUAUCCACACUUCCUCCCCAGAUCGGCGAGUUAACCCGGUCAGCCGCCCGGAAGGGUGUCCUGACGGCUCUGAGUUGCUGCUUGGCGUACGCUCCGGAAAUUAAUUUGGAAGAAGUAGCUGCCGGCUUCCCUCAGCUUAAAGAUGACGGCUCGGAGUUCGUGGAAGAAGACUACCAGAAGGUUGUCAAAGAUUCUCGGUUGGCCGCAACUCAACUCGCCGCCAGCCUUGACUUAACAAAAUAUCAAGCGGCUUACGAUGGUAAGAAUAAGAAAAUCAGCCCGCCAACCUUCGUGGUGACCAACCUAAUCCCUCGGCGACCCAAGAACCCCUUCGACUGGGAAGCAGACCGGGCAUCCAUCUUGACCGAUGAAGAUGAUUUUGCUUCUUUGUCCAAGUGCAAUUGGGUCUUGGGCGAUUUACAAAUCGAAGCCGGUCAAAGCCCGCGCCAGGAUUUAGGGAAGUAGACCUUUCUCGAAUUUGGCCCAUGAACCAUGUAAUAGUUAAUACUAUCUUUUGAUGACCCCUUCUGCCAAAAAAGACAACCUCAUACCGCUUUUGAAGCGGUUUGAAAUAUUUGAUCCGCCUUUAUAAAAAUCUUCUGCAAUGCUUAAUCCGCCAAGGACAGACCUCUGAACAUAUCAUCUGGGAACAUAAAAGACACGGCAAGUAGUUUCAAAAAACAUGCAGAGGAUAGAAAAAACCUCCAAGUUCAAACCUUAACACCAGUAAUGCAGGUUUCGUCGGCUCAUACGGUCGCGACAGGGGGAGGCGAGUCAGAAAGCUCGUGCACCCACCCUNGGCUCAUACGGUCGCGACAGGGGGAGGCGAGUCAAAAAGCUCGUGCACCCACCCUAAAUGCAUGUUCUGUCGGCUCAUAAGGUCGCAACAGGAUGACACAAAUUUCUCUUUUUUAAGGAAGAAGCCCCCAAGUCGGGGAACAUUUUAUUACUUCAUAAUGAAACUGAAAAACUUACAAAGCAUGGAGUUUUUAAGAACUCAAGUGUAGUAAGGCCGCAAAUGGGCAAUAUUCCAAGGGCGAGUUGACUCAGCCUCCGUAGUCGGUCGAUCAGGCCGAAGAUCCAUCAAGUAGUAAGAGCCAUUGCGGAGGUUCUUGCUCACGACGAAAGGCCCUUCCCAAGGGGGCGAGAGCUUGUGCAUGCCUGCCCGAUCUUGUAUCAGACGAAGUACCAAGUCGCCCUCCUGGAAAGCCCGACUCUUAACCCGGCGACUAUGAUAACACCGCAGAUCUUGCUGAUAGAUGGCUGAACGAGCCGCCGCUAAGUCACGCACCUCUUCCAAGGCAUCCAAGGAAUCCUGACGCGCCAACUCGUUAUCUUGCUCCACAUAUGCGGCGACUCUAAGAGAAUCAUGUCUUAUGUCGGUAGGAAGGACAACUUCUGCUCCAUAGACCAAAAAGAAAGGUGUGAACCCCGUGGAUCGAUUCGGGGUGGUCCGGAUGCUCCAUAAUACCGAAGGUAGUUCCUCAACCCAACACCCUGGAGUUCUUUCCAGGGGAACCAUGAGGCGAGGUUUAAUCCCUCGCAGGACUUCCUGAUUCUCCCGCUCUGCUUGCCCGUUUGACUGCGGGUGAGCAACUGCAGAAAUAUCAAGCCGGAUAUGUUCACGGCGACAAAAAUCCAGCAUCGCUCCUUGGGACAAGUUAGUACCAUUGUCCGUGAUAAUACUGUGUGGAUAUCCAAAACGGAAAAUCAGCUUUUUCAGGAAUUUGACCGCAGUCUCCGCAUCGCAAGCCCCAACAGGUUCCGCCUCAAUCCAUUUAGUGAACUUGUCAACCGCCACCAAUAAGUGAGUUUUCUUGUUGGAGGACAUCUUAAAGGGACCGACCAUGUCCAGCCCCCAGACCACGAAAGGCCAAGUAAUGGGAAUCAUCCUCAAUUCUUGAGCCGACACAUGAGCUUGUCUCCCAUAUCGUUGGCACCCCUCACACCGCCGUACUAUAUCUUCUGCAUCUGCGUGAGCCGUCAACCAGAAGAAACCAUGUCGAAAGGAUUUUGAUACCAAAGAACGUGACCCGGCGUGAUGCCCGCAAUCUCCAGAAUGGAUGUCAUUUAGGAUUAUGCAUCCUUCCUCGGAAGAGACGCACCGCUGAAAGACCCCUGAAGCACUUCAUUUAUAUAGCUCGCCAUUAAUGAUGACCAUGGACUUGCUACGCCGAACAAUCUGGCGAGCCAAAACUUCAUCAGUGGGUAACUCGCCUCGAGCGAGAUAAGCCAGAUAAGGAAGUGCCCAAUCCGGAGUGACAUGGAGAGCCGCCACAAGCUGAGACUCGGGAUCUUGUAUCGCCAAUUCCUCCUCCGUGGGUACAGUCACAGACGGUUUAUGCAAGACAUCCAAGAAAACAUUAGGGGGGACCGGUUUUCUCUGUGAGCCGAGUCACGAGAGGGCAUCAGCUGCUUCGUUGAGUCGCCGAUCAACAUGAUCAACCUGGUACCCAUGAAAAUAGCCCACCACGUCAGAUACAGCUCGCCUGUAAGCCGCCAUCAUAGGAUCUCGAGAGUCCCAGGUGCCCGAAACCUGUUGCGCCACCAAAUCUGAAUCCCCAAAGCAUCUGACUCGGGUUAGGUUCAUCUCUUUUGCCAGUCGCAAACCAUGAAGCAGAGCUUCAUAUUCUGCCGCAUUAUUUGUGCAAGGGAACAUGAGCCGGAGAACGUAGCAGAACUUAUCUCCUUGAGGGGAUAUCAACACCACACCUGCCCCCGAGCCCUCCAACUGCCUGGAUCCAUCAAAAUAAAUAGUCCAAUAGGUAAGGUCAGGCCGAUCUUCCGGAGCCUGAAGCUCCGUCCAAUCGUUGACGAAAUCAACUAGUGCCUGGGACUUGAUGGCCGUGCGGGGGGUAUAUUGUAUGUGAUGCGACCCAAGUUCUAUUGCCCAUUUGGCGAUUCGCCCUGUUGCCUCGCGGUUUUGGAUGACGUCACCGAGGGGCGCGGAACUGACCACGGUGACCGGUUGUUCCUGGAAAUAAUGUUUAAGCUUUCGACUCGCCAUGAACACCCCAUAGACCAGUUUCUGCCAAUGUGGGUAUCGCUGUUUGGAAAGAGUUAACACCUCACUGAUAAAGUACACCGGGCGUUGCACCGGGUAUUCCUUUCCUUCCUCCUUUCUUUCGACGACCACAGCCACGCUGACCGCUUUGGAAUUCGCGGCGAUAUACAGGAGCAUAGGCUCCUUUUCAGUCGGGGCCGCCAGGACCGGCGGGUUAACCAAUUGAUGUUUCAAGGCCUGAAAUGCCUCGUCAGCCUCCUCUGUCCAUACGAAUCGGUCGGACUUUCUCAACAAUUGAUAAAGAGGAAUCGCCUUUUCUCCGAGGCGGCUCACGAAAUGACUGAGAGCCGCAAUACGACCCGCCAAUCGUUGAACUUGAUUAACAUUCGUCGGCUUGCCGAGGGAAGUAACCGCUUCAAUUUUGUCCGGGUUAGCCUCGAUGCCGCGCUCCGAUACCAAGAAACCUAGUAGUUUUCCCGCGGGUACGCCGAAAACGCACUUGGUAGGAUUUAGCUUCAUCUAAUAUACCCGUAAAUUAUCAAAGGUUUCCUUAAGGUCUUCCAGAAGUGUCUCCUCCCGACGGGUCUUGAUCACAAUGUCGUCAACAUAGGCAUGGACGUUGCGGCCAAUUUGGUUAUGAAGACAAUUCUGGAUGCAGCGUUGGUAAGUCGCCCCUGCGCUCUUGAGCCCGAACGGCAUGGACACAUAGCAAAAGGCCCCGAAGGGGGUUAUGAAGGCGGUCUUCUCCUGAUCUUCCACAGCCAUUUUGAUCUGAUGAUAACCUGAAUAGGCGUCCAAAAAGCACAAUCGUUCGCACCCCGCCACCGAGUCAAUGAUUUGGUCGAUGCGGGGAAGAGCGAAAUAUCCUUGGGACAAGCUCUCUUGACGUCCGUAUAGUCUAUACACAUACGGAACGUGCCAUUCUUCUUGAGUACUAACACCGGGUUAGCUAGCCAUUUGGGGUGAAAGACUUCCACGAUGAACCCGCGGCUAAAAGACGGGCGACUUCCUCUCCAAUCGCCUUCCGUCGCUCUUCGUUAAACCUGCGAAGGUAUUGUUGGACAGGUUUGCAUUUUGGGUCAAUAUUAAGAUGGUGCUCAGCGAAUUCUCUCGGUACACCUAGCAUGUCAGAGGGCUUCCAUGCGAAGAUGUCCCGAUUCUCACGGAUGAAUUCGAUGAGCGCGCUUUCCUAUUUGGGGUCCAGACCCGUUCCAAUGGUAAACUGCUUGGAUGAAUCGCCAGGGACGAAGUCGAAUGUCUUCGUGUCAUCCGUUGGUUUGAACUUGAGGGGCGACUCGGAAUCUGUAGUCGGCUUCUUGAGCGGUGACAUGUCUGCCGGGUCAACAUUGGCCCGAUGGUUUUUGAGCUCUUCCGCCGCGCAGGCGACUUCCGCAUAGGCCGCGUCUCCUUCCUCACACUCCUUUGCAAUUCUUCUAUCUCCGUCAAUCGUGAUGGGCCCUUUAGGACCAGGCAUUUUGAGCUUGAGGUAGACGUAGCACGGGCGGGCCAUGAAGCGAGCGUAAGCCGGUCGCCCGAACAGCGCAUGGUACGGGCUUUUUAGUUUGACCACCUCGAAGACCAGAGACUCCGACCUGUAAUUCUGCGCAGUUCCAAACGCUACUGAGAGCCUGACCCGGCCUAUGGGAUAAGCCGAUUUGCCCGGGACGAUGCUGUGGAAGACCGUGGUUGAAGGCAUCAAGUCUUUCUCUAAUAGAUUCAUCCUCCAGAAGGUGUCGAAGUAUAGGAUAUUAAUGCUGCUGCCGCCAUCCAUUAGUACUUUCGAUAGAGUGUAGCCCCUCACUUGGGGAGCCACGACUAAUGCCAGGUCGCCCGGGUUAUCUAUUCUCGGCGGGUGAUCCUUUGUGCUCCAUGUUAUGGUCUGUUCGGACCAGUGGAGAUAUCUAGGAACUGCCGGCUCAAUUAGGCUGUACGCCCGGUGAUUUACCUUUUUAUCACGCCUGCAAGCAUUAGUGGUGAGAACAUGGUACUGCCCAUUACUUAGCUGCUUAGGAUUGUUGCGGAAGCCCCCAUGGUCAUCCUGGUCCUGCGGAGCCCCCUGUGGGGGCGGCUGCUGGAAAACUCCCAGCGGGUUGUACCGCCGUUGGUGGUGCACUGGGUACUGGCCGUCGCCUAGCUGCCGCCCCCCCUGUGCCUCUUGUUCGGGAAAACCGCCGAAGGGGUUGUGCCUUUGAUUGGGCGCGGCGAGUUGGUCCUGGCGACGGUUCGGAUCUUUGCUUUGGCUCUUCUUGAUUGCCUCGGCCCGAAAUUCUCGCAUCACGAAACAGUUCUCCCAAGAGUGGCCCGCCGGGCCGUCGGCCGUGGCGUGGUGCGGGCAAGGGCCUCUGAGUAGCUCUUCGUAAUUACGCGUCCUUUUCCCACUGAAGCCUCGAUUCUUCUUUUUGCCGUCAUUGGCGUUGGUGUUGGCAACCAGAUCCGAGGGCUCCUCCUGUGGCCUACGCUUGCCGUUGGUCCCCUGGUUGUGACGAUUGCGGCCUUGGAGGUGGGUGUGGUUUUUGGUUGAAUCGCCCUUCUUGGGCGAGUUACCCUUACCAUCCUCGCCGGGAUCCUUGGUAUCAUCGGCCUCGGCGUACCUAGUGAGGGUAUCCAUCAGCUCGCCCAUAUCCUAAACUUUUCGUUUGAGUCGCCCCAAUUUCUGGACCAGCGGUUCAUAGUGGCAGUUGUGCUCGAGGAUAAGCACAGCUUGGGCUGCCGUGAUGCCAUCCGAUGAAUGGAUAAUUUCCGCGACUCGCCGCGACCAAUGGUGCGCCGACUCAUCCGGGCGUUGUACGCAGUGUUGCAAGUCGACGAUCGUCAUCGGCCGUUUACAGGUUCCCCGGAAGUUUUUGAUGAAACGCUCCUUCAGCUCGGCCCAGGACUGGAUAGAAUUGGGGGGUAAGUUUUUCAACCAGGUGCGCGCCGAUCCCUCGAGCAUCAUGGUGAAAUAUCUGGCGCAAACCGCCUCGUUUACGUCGAGCAUGUCCAUGGCGAUCUCAUAGCCCUCGAUCCAAGAUGUUGGUUCGAGAUCUGGUGUGUAAUUAGGCACCUUUCUUGGUCCUUUGAAAUCCUUGGGCAUUCUUUCAUUUCGAAGGGCCAGGGACAAGCAGGGCACCCCAACUCGCCCUCCGGUCCCCGCGGGAGGAGUCUGAGCCUCUUGAAUCUUGGGUGGACCUCUGCCCGGCGGGUUCCGCUCGGGCGGGUUGUCCUGCGGGAAGUGUCGCAGGGCACUGUUUACGGCUGGCUGAUCCUCCGGCCUACUCCUGGUAUAGCUCGCCUGGGGGGUGGAGUGCAAUCGCUCGGGGCUGUGUGAGAACUGCGUGUUUUGGACCACCGCCAUUUUCAACAUCUCGAUGGCGUUCCUUGCUUCGAUCUCAGCUGGGGUGUUGCCGUGGAUCGGAAGAGACUCCAGAUGGCGAGUUGCGGCAAGCACGUUAUCCACCGGGUUAGAGAAGUGGCCUCGAGGGGUACGGAAACGAGGAAUUUGACCCUCAGUCGGCUGAAUCGGCGGGUUAGGAGGGCGGCCCAGCCCUCCUGCUGGGGCGGCUCCCAUCCCGGGUGUUUGAGGAGUGUCGAACAGGCGAGUCGGAUUGAGAUCAUGGGGCAGGCGACCCUGGUGUCUCCGCUGAUGGACGGCGUCGGACGCGCGCUGCUGUCUUUCAAUCCGCCAGUUGUCGGUGUUCAAUCGCAUCCUUUCGGCCGCAAUCUGGGCUUGUCGAGUUUCCAUCCUGGCGGACUCCGUCUCAGCAUCCUGAUGGGCCUUUGCCACCGCCUCCCUCAGCUUUGCUACCUCCGCGUUUAUCUCUUCUUGGCUCUCUAGCGUGAGGGGGGUUGACAUUAGCCUUGUGAUUUCCGCCGCUAAAUCCACCAGGACUGCUGACGCACUUCUGGAUGUCCCGCCGGUCCCAUCGCCUCCAGCGGGGUUCUGUGCGGGUUGAGUCGCCCCGGCCAUGUAGAUGGCGAUCUGGCGGCGGGUUCGAUCGAGGAUUUCCGGAUCCAUGGCCAAUGACAAGCCUCCGAGACCGUCUCCGUGGAGGGACUGGAUGGAAUCUGAAUCGCCCAUGGAUGAUUCGUCGUCAGAGUUGAUGGGGGUAACCUCCUGAGCCGCCGCGUGCUCUGGCUCCUCCGACCCCUGCGUGAAACCCACAAAGACCGGGUGGGUCAGAUUCCGUGUUAUGACUGGAUGAACGUACCUGGCCGGCUCGACGAUGUCGGAGGAGAUGUCCGGCUCAGGAACAGAUGACCCGAUCAUGCCGAUGAAGACGUUGAUCUUGCCGAAGGGGACCCUGUAGCCUGAUUCGAGAGAAUUCGCUUCAGGUCCCCAUCGCUGGUUGUCGAUGUAGGCUAUGCCGCGUCGGCUCCAAGUCAUGAGCGCCGUCGCAUAACUCCCAAACCCUGGUAGGGCUCCCUUUGAGAACUCAACUCCACCGUGCGCAGGCCCCACGAUGGGCGCCAACUGUCGUGGUUUUGUCACGGCAGAUGUCCUCGUGAAAGGACUUAGUAUGGGAACCAUCGCACUUUGGUGGCGACUCAAAGGGGUUGAACAGGAGGAACGCGGCGGGUUACCCAGGUUCGGCCCCUCGCGUGGAGGUAAUAGCCUACGUUCUGCUUGGCGUGUAUUGAUGUGGAUUCGAUUACAAGAAAGGCGUAACUCGCCUUACCUAGCACUCGAUGAUUUCUAACCUUCCUAUCCCCCUUCAAACUCGCCUUUAUAUAGAGGUCGAGGCUUUAGGGUUUACAAGCGUCCCUUCCCUUUUACAAAUCAUGACCACCGCGGCCUCUGAGUCGCCAUCUUGCAAAACCCAGAGACCUUCCACAAAUCACAACCAUCUUGCGGCCUUAAACCGCCCGGGCUGAGGCCCAAAUGAGUCAAAGGAUGAACCGCCUUACUAGUAACCCGGCCCAUAUUGGGCGGGUCACUUAAUAAGCGAUAUCCCCAACACCAUCCUUUCAUGCGGAAACUACAUGACUUAUUUUGUAAGUUGUUCCUCAUGAAUUCUCUUUUUGGACCUAUUGGUCCGGCCCUUACCUGAUGAGCAUGUCGACGCUACCUCGAAGCACGGAUGUGGUACUUCAACUUUCAAGAGGAACAUUGGAAGCACACUGCUAGAUUGUUCCUGAUCAAUUAUCCAGACCGCAUGGUAUGGGUAAACAUCAUGGUUCUCUUUGCCUUUUCGUCUUAAUGGUUAUGUACUUGAUGACCUAUCAUGCAUACCAUACUCUAUGUUUAUCUCGGGAAUGGUAUACUUUAGACUCUUUCUGUGUGUGAACAAAUUUUCCUUCCUAUUGGUCUGUUUGACCUUUCUUGUGGCAUAACUUAUCUAAGCAGUGUUAAUUCCAUGCUUAGGUAAAAUUCUCAGUAUAUGAGUCUGUCAGUCAGACCCUGUUGCUAUUGUGGAUAACAUUCCGAUAGCCGUCGGUGGACGAGGACCUUGCCUAUUGGUCCGCCUCGUUUGAACGAGGAGGAAAAUGGUUCUAGUCGUCCCCCGCCCUUGGUACCGAUGUUGUUGCCAACAUAACUGAUAGGUUAUCCUCUGACUUGUCUUGCUACCAAGACCGUAUAAUAUGCCACCCCUCUGCCUAUUCUUGGCCCACAUGGUGGACCCAUAACCCAAGUUCCACAGGAUUGAAACCUGACUCUCCUGUACAUCUUUAACUCCAAGGUAUCCCUUACACUUGGCUUCGUAUGAAAUUAUCGUGUCACCAUUCAAUGGACCGAUCACUCUCCGGUCUGGAUAUUUAUCCAACAUGUUGAAGAUCAAAUCCGCGUUGUUCUGGAGAAUCUGAAGGCUGCUCAGUCUCGUUAGAAGAGUCAGUAUGACCGUCAUCAGCAAGAUAUGGUCUAUCAACUUGGCUAAAAGGCUUAUCUUCGUGUCACACCAAUGAGAGGUGCACAUCGUUUUGGGAUCAAGGGCAAGUUAGCUCCUCGCUAUAUUGGUCCUUUCACUGUUCUCGAAAGGCGUGGAAGAGUGGCUUAUCAAUUGGAACUGCCGACGAACCUUUCUCAGGUUCAUGAUGUCUUCCAUGUUUCUCAGCUCCGCCUCUGCUUCAAGGAUCCUAUUCGAGCAGGGGAUCAUGAUAUGCUUGAGAUGCAACAAGACCUCUCUUAUAAAGGACAUCCGGUCUGCAUUCUCGACCAAGCUGAACAUCAGACUCGUCGCAUAGUCAUUAAGUUUCUUAAAAUGCAGUGGUCAAAUCAUUCUGAAGAUGAAGCCACUUGGGAAUGCGAGGAUCAUCUUUGUGAUGAAUACCCCGAGCUCUUUCCUUCUACCUCUUAAUUCUCGGGACGAGAAUUCUUGUUAGUAGGGGAGAGUUGUAACGCCCCGAUAAAUUAAGCUACAGUAACCACACACUAAUUCUUCCACGUCAUCAAAUUUAUCUAAAAUAAAUUAUCGCUUAAUAAAAAUCAAAGCAAUUAUCAUAUUUAAAUUAAAGUCAAUAGGUGGAAGUUUUCGAAUGCAGAAAUAAUAAAAGAAUAAAAUAAUAGUAAUAGGGAAGUAUUUAAAAAUAAAUGAAAAAGAAUAUGUAAAAGAUAUAUUAAAAUAAAUAAAUAUAAAAAAAACGAAAAAGGAAAAGCCCCUGGCCCAACUGGGCCAAGUUGGCCCAGCCGGCCAGGCCCCCAACCGGCGCUCCCAACUCCCACCAGCAAACCCUAACCGGUCCCUAGCCCCACUCCUUCCCCUGGCCGCCGCCACCCUCCCUCUCUCUCGGCCCCAACCCUCCCCACCUACCACUCCCUCCUCUCGUGGAGCACCCCCACCUGCCGAGACCCCAGCGCCAGAACCCCCCUCUCCCCUCGAGCCAAUCCCACCUCGUCUCCCCUGGAGACCGAAUCCUCCCUGCCGCCCCAGAUCUUCCCCAGGAUCCCAUGCCCUCCAGCGACCCCUCCCUCCCGCUCGAUCCAGGAGGGAUCGAGCAGGGAGGUCUCCCUCUCCCCGUCGGCCCCUUCCUUCGGCGCCAUCCCCGUCACCCUGCUCCACCAACCGGCGGCCCUGCCUCACCCCCGCCGGCCGUGGCCCUCCGGCGACCCUCAUCGGGCCAUCUUCAUCGCGUGACCGUCAUCACCACCACCGCGUCUUCCUCCACACCGUCUCCUACGUGCCUCCCGAGAACUCCGGCUUCACCGGGCCCUCUCGUCAACGUCGGUGAGCCCCUUUUCGGGCUCCUCCCACCGUCCCCUUCCUUGCACCGUCCCGGUUCCAUUCUGGCAAAUGGCGCUUUCCGAGAUCAUGGUGCUCGUGUAGGUGUAGGUGUAGAUAGCCCCCUCUCUCUCUAUCUGUUGAGAUGAGAGAGAUGUACAGAGAGAUGCGAGUGAGGUUGGAGAUGAGAUGUGAGAAAAAGAGAAGGAAAAAUAAAAUGAUGUAUUUGUGUAUGUAUGUAUGUAUUAGAUGUCGUAUGUAUUUUGUAUGUAUGAGAUGCACGUAUGUAUGUAUUUAUGUAUAUAUGUAGGUAUAUGGAGAAAUACAUUAUGUUUAUUAUCUGGGUAAAUAUGUGUAUGUGGCUAGUGCCACUUACCGGUGGGCCAACCCACCCCACUGUCUAUGACAGGGAGGCCCCACACCCUCUUUUAAGAAAAGUGAAAAUUAAAAUAUAAAAUUAACAAUAUGUUUUUAUUAAAUAAAUAAAUACAUAUGCUAUCUAAUAAUUUAGUUAAUUAAUUAAUUAGGUAAUUAGAAUAAUUAGAGUAUGACACGUGGGUGGCCCACUAAAUUAAUUUGAUUAAUUACUAUUUAAUCAUAAUUAAAAACUUGUGUCUAUGACGCUCGGGACCCACUGGUCAGUUGACUAGUCAACUAUUGAUGUCAGCGUGACAUCAUGCUGAUGUCAUAAUAGCUCUUAAUUAAAUUAAUUAAAUCUGUUUUUAUUUCCUAAUUAUUGAAUAAAACUUUAAAAAUUAAUAUAAAAUAAUAUGUAAGUCAGAUCAAAAUAUUUUCAACAUGAAAGUUGAUCAGCAGAACGAGACGAACCCGGAUAUACGGUCCAUUCGUCUGUCGCGUGUCCCUAGCAUAGCAAACAUGAAACUUUUCCAUUGUUUUCCAUCUGACCGGUAGUAGCCAGAGACCCGGAAAAUAUCGUUAGAUAUUUUUCCGACCCGUCUAUGACGGAUGUUGCUGCGUUAGCUCAUGUCUAGCCUGCAUCUUGCCAUGUCAUGCAUUGUGUUGCACCGUUGCUAUUAUUUAUUGUUUCUUCCCCCUCUUCCUACCGGUAGACCCCGAGACUGACGCUGCUACCGGGUACAUCUACGACCUUGCCGAUCACUCCUUUGCUGCAGAGCAGCAAGGCAAGUAAACCCCCGUGGAUCAUUCCUAUAUCGCCUAUGUCUUUCUCCCUACUGCUUGCAUUAGUUUUUUGCUACUGUUGUAGUUAGCUCCUAUAUCUGAUGCAUAGCCUGUUUUUGAUGAACUGCUACUAUCAGUAUUGUACCUUUAAUCUGCUUAGUAUAGGUGGAGCAGUCAUCCCUUCUGACCCCGUAGUCCAGUUGUUCCGCUUUUCAUUCAAAUCUCGAUCCCUGAUCGACGAGCCAGACCCGACACAACACAUACACCCCCCUUAGUUGUACGACGCUACAGAGAUACUAUCGGGUACCAAGGGUGACACCUCGCUAAGUACUCCUGAUGAUACCUCUGUAGUAUAGCUAGUCGGUCGUGGUUAUCGAGGGUGAUUCCUCUUUCACCAUUCCCGACGAGGCCUCUGUCGUGCAACCCCUCAAGUGUGGGACCCCCAAGGGUGAUUCCUCUAAGCCCACCUUGACGGCUACAUCGUUCGGAAUCCAACGAGGGUGAUACCUCGGAAUCCCCCGAUGUUACUACCACACACUUACUCGACCAUGUUACUGGGAUCAUUGGUGAUUAGUUGUUAAGACGGGUGGAUUUCCGCGAGAUUGUGUCGAUGGCCUAAUUAAAAUGUUAAUGGAUUUGGGUAUUUGAUCUGGGUUGGUUGGAGACCUUUUCGCACUAACCGUCUGCGUGGGAAGAAUUAUGGGUACUCGACGUCGCGGUAUCAGCCGAAGCUCUUCAGACGUCAGCGAUGUAGCGCCGCGCGCCCGAGUGGUCCCGAGAUGGAUCACGCUUGUGAUUAAGGGGUGCUAGGACUGACGUUGGCUGCCCUCGCAUUGUGCAGGAGCGCGGAGGGGAAGUGGGCCCAUGAACCCUUUGCGCUUAGGAUUUAGACCGGCGGGCUGGCCUCUCUACUGAGUUUAGGUGGGGCUGCGACGUGUCGAUAUUCCGAGGCCGGACAGGACCUAGAAAAGUGUGUCCGGCCAGAGUGUUAUCGAGCGCGUCGGGACAUGUGGUUGACCCCUGCAGGGAUGAAAAUUAACUAUUCGAAUAGCCAUGUCCACGGUUACAGGACGACUUGGAGUUGUGCCCAGAUUUUAUACAACUACAAUUGUUACUUAACUGGAAUUAGUUGCGUCGGGAUUGCUUCCUCGCAGGGAGUCGAGGGAGGAUCUCUGGGCGUGACCUCACUUUAAUAUUGCUGCACCAAUAUGACUAUUAUUUGUGUUACACCUGUUCUACUCUCGUCUAUUGCUGCAAGACCCUGAAGAUGCUAGUCUUCGAUAGGACUAGGCCUUCUCUCUCUUUCUCGCAUUGCUGCAGUGAGUCCACAUAUAAACCCCUUCUUUGAUACUGAUGCAUACUUAGAAUAGUUCUGAUGUAAGACUUGUGAGUACUUUGGAUGAGUACUCAUCGUUGCUUUGCUCCCCCCUUUGUCCCCUUGAUCCGUUGCUGCGACCAGAUGAUGGAGCCUAGGAGUGGAGUUUCCUGCCAACGUCUGCCCCCCCGAUGGUGUCUUCUUCAUGGAGGCCGUUGAAGAAUAGGAGUAGUUAGGAGGUUCCUAGGCAGGAGGCCUCGCCUUGUUCGAUCGUGUUUCUUUUGUGCUAGCCUUCUCUAAGGCACCCCCAUGUUAUGUCUGUACUCAGAUUUUGUUGCCUCCGCUGACUCGUGUGUUUAUCGAGCUUCGGUAUUCUAGCCCUCGAAGCCCCUGGCUUGUAAUAUGAAGCUUGUAUUGAUUUAUUUGUGUCUAGAGUUGUGUUGUGAUAUCUUCCCGUGAGUCCUUGGGUUUGAUCGUACACAUUUGCGUGUAUGAUUAGCGUACGAUUAAACCGAGGGCGUCACUACUAGGGCCCAAGUGCCAUGAUUUCAGAUCUGAACCUAUUAUGUUGUCGCCAAUAUAUGUGUGUUCUUGAUCCUAUCUUGCAAGUUGUAGUCACCUACUAUGUGUUAUGACCCGGCAACCCCGGAGUGACAAUAGCCGGAACCACUCCCGGAGAUGACCAUAGUAUGAGGAGUUCAUGUAUUCACUAAGUGUUAAUGCGUUGGUCCGGUUCUUUAUUAAAAGGAGAACCUUAAUAUGCCGUAGUUUCCAUUAGGACCCCGCUGCCAUGGGAGGGAUGGACAGUAGAUGUCAUGCAAGUUCUUUUCCCUAAGCACGUAUGACUACAUACAGAAUGCAUGCCUACAUUACAUUGACGAACUGGAGCUAGUUACAAAUCUCUCCUUGUUAUAACUAUUGCAUGAUGAAUAACAUCCGGCAUAAUCAUCCAUCACCGAUCCAAUGCCUACGAGUUUUUCCUACUGGUCCUUGCUACGUUACUUUGUCGCUACUGCUGUUACUGCUGCUACUGUUACUCUCUCGCUACUGUUGCUAUCACACAACUUUGCUACUGAUACUUUGCUGCAGAUACUAAAUCUUUCAGGUGUGGUUGAAUUCACAACUCAACUGCUAGUACUUGAGUAUAUUCUUUGGCUUCCCCUUGAGUCGAAUCAACAAAUUUGGGUUGAAUACUCUACCCUCGAAAACUGUUGCGAUCCCCUAUACUUGUGGGUUAUCAAGACUAUUUUCUGGCGCCGUUGCCGGGGAGGCAUAGCUAUAUUCUCUGAGUCACUUGGGAUUUACGUCUGCUGAUCACUAUGAGGAAUCCAAAAGAUCCACGAACUAAAGUCUUGCCCUCAACUAUGAGGACAGGUAAGGAACUGCCAUCUAGCUCUGCACUUGAUUCACCAUCAGUUAUGAGUAAGUUUGCGACACCACCUCCUACUAGAAAUCCUGAUAUGUCACCUGUGCUUGAUAAUGCUACUUCUGCUGUCCAUGAUGCUUGUGAUGAUGCUAUGCUUGAUACUGCUUUGCCACUAGGUGCAUUCCUUGAUGCACAAAUUGCUAGAGUUGCUGCUAGAUGUGAUGAUACUUCUGAAACUGCUGAUACUAUUGAAGCAGAACCUGCUAUUUUGCCUGUUAGAACUAGCUCUCCUACAUAUGAAUUGCCUGAUAUGCCUGAGGGUUAUGUUAUGGAGGGAAAGAUAGCUUAGGACUUUCUUGCGUGUAAGGAUAGCUAUGAUGUUGAAAAAUUACUGCGCAAGUGGAAAUAAAAAUCUUUGAACGCUAGGAUGAAAUACGACCCAAAGUUUGCUACUUCGCCUAUCUUUGUGACUGAUAAGGAUUAUGAAUUCUCUGUUGACACUGAGUUAAUCACUCUGGCUGAAUCUGAUCCUUUUCACGAUUAUGAGUCUGAAACGGUUUUAGCCCAUCUUACCAAACUGCAUGAUAUAGCCACCCUAUUCACGAGUGAGGAAAAGAUCCGCCACUACUAUAUCCUUAAGCUGUUUCCUUUCUCGCUAAAGGAUGAUGCUAAGACUUGGUUCACUUCUCUUGCUCCUGGUUGUGUGCGUAGCCCCCAGGAUAUCAUCUACUACUUCCCAUAAGAAGCAAGCUGCCUUCUAGGAAAUAUACAACUUUGUGCAAGUUGAAGAAGAGAGUCUCCCACAAGCUUGGGGGAGGCUCGUCCAACUACUGAAUGCUUUGCCUGAUCACCCUCUUGAGAAGAAUGAAAUACUUGAUAUCUUCUAUAAUGGACUAACCGAUGUUUCUAGAGACCGCCUAGAUAGUUGUGCUGGUUUUGUUUUUAGGGAACGAACCGUAGAACAAGCUAAGAUCCUAUUGAAUAAUAUCUUGUGCAAUGAGAAUGCUUGGACUAUUCCCGAACCAGCUCCAAAGCCAACUCCUAAGAAAAGAGGUGUUCUAUUCCUCAGUCCUGAAGAGAUGCAAGAAGCUAAGAAAUCUAUGAAAGAGAAAGGCAUUAAAUCUGAAGAUGUCAAAAAUCUACCACCUAUCAAAGAGAUCCAUAGUCUUGAUAACCCGAUAGAGGUAGUAGAGGUGAAUUCUCUUCGCAGAUUUGAUGAGAGUGAUAUUCCUUUUGAUAAACCUACUAGCUUAUGCCUGGAUGAAUUUGAUAAUUUUGUUGCCAAAAAACAAAGUUUCAAUGAUUAUGUUAGCAGACAAUUGGAACAGAAUGCUCAUAUGCUUAGUCAUUUAAGUGCUUGUGUGGACAGAAAUGUCAAUGAUCUUAAGCUUCUAAGUAAACAUGCCUCUAUGGUUACUACUUAGGUAGAACAAGUACUUAAGGCUCAGAAUGACUUGCUCAAUGAGUUGAAUGACAAUUCAGUCAGAGUCGUCACAAGAGGCGGUAGAAUGACCCAGGAACCUUUGUAUCUUGAGGGUCAUCCUAAGAGAAUUGAACAAGAUUCUCAAGGAGUUCGCACUGAUGCACCUAGUCAUCCUAGAAAGGAGAAGAGAGAUGAUAGGAACCUGCACGCUAGCAACCCUGAUGCUGUUACACAUGACAGUCUAAACGAUGUGUCUGUCUGUGAUGCUGAAACACAAUCUGGUGAUGAACAUGAGCCUAACGAUGAUAUCGAUAGUGGUGUUCAUGUUGAUGCUCAACCUAGCAAUGAUAAGGAUGUGGAGAUUGAACCUAUUGAUCUUGAUAACCCACAACCUAAGAAUAGAAGAUACGAUAAGAAUGAAUUCAUUGCUAGGAAGCAUGGUAAAGAAAGGGAACCAUGGGUUCAGAAACCCAUGCCCUUUCCUUCCAAACCAUCCAAGAAAAAGGAUGAUGAGGAUUUUGAGCGCUUUGUUGAAAUGAUUAGACCUGUCUUUGUGCAAAUGCGUUUGACAGACAUGCUCAAAAUGUCUCCGUAUGCUAAGUACAGGAAAUAUAUUGUGACUUAUAAGAGGAGGAUACCUGAGGUUGAGAUUGCCACCAUGCUUGCUAACUAUACCUUCAAGGGUGGAACUCCUAAGAAACUAGGUGAUCCCGGAGUGCCCACUAUACCUUGCUCCAUUAAAGGAAACUACGUUAGAACUGCUUUAUGCGACCUUGGAGCCGGUGUUAGUGUUAUGCCUCUCUCUCUUUAUCGUAGGCUUGAACUGGAUAAGUUGACACCCACUAAAAUCUCUCUGCAAAUGGCCUACAAAUCAGCUGCUAUCCCUAUCGGCAUUUGCGAGGAUGUGCCUGUUGUGGUUGCGAACGUUACUAUCUUAACAGACUUUGUUAUCCAGGAUAUUCCCGAGGAUGAUGCCAUGGCGGUCAUCCUUGGAAGACCCUUUUUAAACACUUUAGGGGCUGUUAUGGAUUGCAACAAAGGCAAUGUCACUUUCCAUGUCAACGGUAAUGAGCAUCCGGUGCACUUUCCGAAGAAACAAUAUCGAGUACAUUGCAUCAAUGCUAUCAAAAAAACUUCAUCGAUUCUCAUUGGAAGCUUUGAAUGCCCUAUACUUACUGUCAAGAUGAAGUAUGAUUUGCUUGUUGGGGAUAUCCACAUCCCCAUUGAGGUAACCUAGUGACUAUUCGAAAAUUCUCUGUUUCCUUUUGCGAUUCGAAAAAGUUUGUCAAGCAGACUUGAUCAACCUCAUUGACGGAAUUCUUUCGAUGACCAUGAGAUGGAUGAAUCGAGGAGUCACAAACCUCUGUUCGAAGCUUUCACCUUCGGUUGCUUAGAAGAAAAAUGAUAAAUUCAGCUUUGGGUUUCCCUGUUUUCUGCUUUUAGCGUCCCGUAGAAAAGUACCCCGAAAAUAAAAGUUCUCCGAAUGUCCUGAAAAUCAAGUAUGAUUUUUCUGGAAUUUUUGAAAAAUACUAAGACGGAGAGCUAGUGAGGGGGCUGCACCAGGGGGCCAUAAGCCCUGGAGGCACGGGCACCCCCUGGCCAUGCCUACCAGGUUUGUGGGGCCCACAUGCACCCCUCCACUCAUUUUAGCUCCCAUCUGCUUCUCCUACCUCCAGAAAAAUCGUUUCACAGCUCAAACCCGUGUUCUUGCUCUUCUUGCUGCGAUUUUCGAUCUCCUUGUGCAAAGCCCCAUUCACCAAAUUGUUUUGGGGGAAGUGCUCCUUGGUUUGUGACUCCUCCAUUGGUCCAAUUAGUUUUUGCUCUAGUUCCUUACCCAUCGCGUAUUUUUGCUGCCUUGGUGACCCUGUUCUUGAGCUUUGCAUGCUAAUUUUAGCUGGUCCCAGUAGUUUUGAUGCGUGAUAUGGCUUCUAGGCACUUGUGGGAGUAGUUGCUUCGAGUUUCGUUGGGCCUUGUUCACUUUUCCUUAGAGUCGCUAAAAAUUUCAGAAAUUUUCAGAGAUAGAAAAGGGAAAAGAUGAGGUGGUUCUUUAGAGGCUCUUCAAGCCGUGACCCCGAGGACGAUGAAAGUGAGAAGAAGAAACCCAAGUAUCCGGUCCCCCCGAAUUGCAUAAGUUCGAGCGUGCGAGUGGCCAAGCGAUGUGUUCUUAUGCGUCGCCGGACUUUAUGAGGACUUUUACUACUUGGUGGAGAACGCAUGCCUUACUGCCUUCGUUGAAGAUAAGUGUCCGCAAUACCUCCUCCUCACUAAUAUUUUCGUGCAAAGCUUUAACUUCUAUCCUAGGAAGAAUCCUCCUGUGGUUGAGUUCAAACUAUAUGAUAUCCCCCAACGCAUGUCACUCCAGGAGUUUUGCAAUGUUUGCAAAUUACCUUAUGUUGGGGAUAUUCAUGAACCUCGUCCACGGGACUUGGAGGCUUUCAUAGAUACUAUUGCUGUAGGAGAGGAGAGAAGAGUGUCUUGCGCUAGAGCUGCUAGCACACAUUUUCCUGUGCUUUGGUACUUCUCAUUAUUCAUGGGAAAAUGUUUGAUUGGCCGUGGGAAAGCUGGAGCCCUUAGCUCCCCAGAUCUUGCGGUCUUGCGCGAAGCCCUUUAUAAUGAUAAAACUUAUAGCUUGGGCGCUAUAGUAGCUCAACGGUUGAACAUGAACCGUUCUAAAGGCAUUGUCUAUGGAGGUAUUUAUGCUACUCGUCUUGCUAGACAUUUUGAGAUACCUAUUAGACUGGACGAGGAAGAAGAGAUUCUUAUUCCUGAGAGAUAUCUAGAUUAUGAUGGCAUGGUUCGCCAUGACUUUCUUGAUAGACAUAUAAAUAGAAGGAUGAUUUAUAACCUGGUAUUUAGCGAGGGUACUCGUGAGACUAUUACUUUUCCUGCUCCUUCUUUGUUCAAUCUUCAUACAUGCAGGUACAUUAUUAUGCGCUCGGACAUCUAUGCAUAUUGGGUCAGAGCCCAACCACAGGCACACGUGCCCGAGCUACCAGUCGAGUACCAGACGCCAGUUUAUCAGUGGGAGCUAGAGGAGCUCACACAGCAGUGGCUUCCUCAGUCCACUCUGGAGUACCCCGGAGCUGGUUAUUUCCCUCCUUGGGAGUAGACCAACUUAGGCCAAAAGCCUAAGCUUACGUGUUUCUCACCGACUUUAUAUUCUUGCUUACGCUUUCACUUUGUUAGUCGAUGUUCACACUUUGCCACUGUAUCAUCCAUGCUAGUUUAUUUCUUUUUCUCGUUUUCUUCUCGUGUGUUUGUCUAGUUUGAGAAAACCCAAAAAGAUUUUUGUUUUCUUCUUUUGCUUGUUGGGAGCUUUCUCGUGUAAAUAGUUUUCUUUUUCUUUGGAUCAAGGUAGAAGAUCAUGGUUACAAUGUUUACUGGCUCUCGCAUGCAUAUCUGUUUAUCUGUCAAAGAGCCAUAUUACUUUGUCUUCUCCUUUGUGUUUGUUUGCAGAUUCCAGCUUAGUCCAAUGCACGAGCACUCUUAUUAUUGUUCACAUCAUUCGGUCAUACAAGUGAAAGGAAAUAAUGACGAUAUAUGAUGAAGUGACUGAGCCUGGAAAAACUGGUAUGAACUCGAUCUAUUUUGUUUUUGUAAAUAUGACUAGCUCAUCGUUCCUGAUUUAGCUUUGUUGUGAGAGAAACAUGUUUACAAUGGCAACUUAGUGAUCAUAGUUUCUGAUGCCAUGCUUAAUUAGCUAGGAGAUUAUAAUGGUUUGUCUUGGAUGCCAACAUGAAUUUGGAGAUGACUAUGAUGUAGUAUGAUAUGAUGGUAUCCUCCUUUGAAUGAUUCAAGUGGCUUGACUUGGCGCAUGUUUACGCAUGUAGUUGAAACAAAAUCAACAUAGCCUCUAUGAUAUUCAUGUUCAUGGUUAUUUACGUCCUACUCAUGCUUGCACUGAAUGUUGGUUAAUCUCAAUGCAUUUUGAUGACUGUUGUCGCUCUCUAGUUGGUCGCUUCCCAGUAUUUUGCUAGCCUUCACUUGUACUAAGCAGGAAUACUGCUUGUGCAUCCACUUCCAUAAAACCAAAGUUGUUCCAUAUGGGUCCACCAUACCUACCUAUAUGCGGUAUCUACCUGCCGUUCCAAGUAAAUUUGCAUGUGCCACUCUCAAAACCUUCAAGAAAUAAUCUGUUUUGCAUGCCCAAACCGCUCAUGUGGUGACAAGGGCGAUCAGUAUCUUCCAUGCUAGGCGUGUUAUCCUCGAUAUGUGUUUAUUCACUAUCAUUUACGAGAAAGGGGCCGGUAAUUGGAAUGCCCAGUUCCAUGCUCAAAUCGAAAAGAUAAUUGCAAACAAAACUCCCCCUGGAUUGAUGUUAGUAUGGACGGCACCCAAGUAUUCUGCUAGUCGUGGAGUGUGAUUCAUCGGUGGUGGGGGAGUCAAAACUUUAGCUUUCUGUUUGGGAACCGCCUAUAGCAUGUGUAGCAUGGAAGAUGGUGAAAACUCUUAGUCAUUGCGUUGACAAUGUAUGCAUGCCACCCAAAAUUAUUAUCUCUGUUUUGAAAGCUUGAGCUCUGGCAGCUUUGCAAAUCAAUGCUUCCCUCUGCGAAGGGCCUAUAUUUAUGUUCCUGUUGAGUCAUCCUCUGCUUAUAAAAGCACCAAUUAGAGAGCACCUGUGUCAUUUUUAUGCUUUGCUUUUGACUGAUAUUGAGUGUGACUGGAUCUUCUUUGCCAUGAAUUACAAUGUUUAGUCAGCCUUUGGUCUUUGAAGGUGCUCUGCAUUUAUGUUUUGCGAUAUCAGAAAGAGCUAGCGAGAUACCAUCUGUUCGUACUGCUUCAUGAUUGUUUUGAUUGAAGUGUUGACGUUUGAAACUUGUCAUUAUUGCUCGCUAGUUGAUUAUGCCAUUGAUAUGAGUUUACCGUGAGACCUAGAUGUCAUUUGCUUAUGUGGUUAGCUUGUGAUCUUGCUAAAAUUCUGGAUAUGAGUUAGACAUAGUUGCAACAACAAGAUCAAACAGAGUUCGUAAAAGUUUUUCUUUUGUCUAUUUCAGUUUGUCAACUGAAUUGCUUGAGGACAAGCAAGGUUUUAAGCUUGGGGGAGUUGAUACGUCUCCGUCGUAUCUACUUUUCCAAACUCUUUUGCCCUUGUUUUGGACUCUAAUUUGCAUGAUUUGAAUGGAACUAACCCGGACUAACGAUGUUUUCAGCAGAAUUGUCAUGGUGUUGUUUUUGCGCAGAAAUAAAAGUUCUCGGAAUGGCCUGGAAAUUUAAGGGGAUUUUUUUGUGGAAUAUAUAAAAAAUACUUGUGCAAGAAUCAACCGAAGGGGUGGAGCUAAGAGCCCACAAGCCCACCAGGCGCGGGCCCCCCUGGUCGUGCCUGGCAAGCGUGUGGGGCCCAUGAAUCUCCACCGCCUCCAAUCCCAGCUCUAUUUAGUCCCUUUCGUCCGAAAAAAAAAUCAAGGAGAAGAGUUCAUCGCGUUUUACGAUACGGAGGCGCCGCCACCUCCUGUUCUUCCUCUAGAGGGAAGAUAAGGAGUCCGUUCUGGGCUCCGGAGAGGGGAGAUCCUCGCCAUCGUCAUCACCAACCUUCUUUCAUCGCCAAUUCCAUGAUGCUCUUCACCGUCCAUGAGUAAUCUCAUCGUAGGCUUGCUGGACGGUGAUGAGUUGGAUGAGAUCUAUCAUGUAAUCGAGUUAGUUUUGACGGGGAUUGCUCCCUAGUAUCCACUAUGUUCUGAGAAUGAUGUUGCUACUACUUUUCCAUGCUUAAUGCUUGUCACUAGGGCCCGAGUGCCAUGAUUUCAGAUCUGAACCUAUUAUGUUGUCGCCAAUAUAUGUGUGUUCUUAAUCCUAUCUUGCAAGUUGUAGUCACCUACUAUGUGUUAUGACCCGGCAACCCCGGAGUGACAAUAGCCGGAACCACUCCCGGAGAUGACCAUAGUAUGAGAAGUUCAUGUAUUCAUUAAUUGUUAAUGUGUUGGUCUGGUUCUUUAUUAAAAGGAGAACCUUAAUAUCCCGUAGUUUCCAUUAGGACCCCGCUGCCAUGGGAGGGAUGGACAAUAGAUGUCAUGCAAGUUCUUUUUCCUAAGCAGGUAUGACUACAUACGGAAUACAUGCCUACAUUACAUUGACGAACUGGAGCUAGUUACAUAUCUCUCCGUGUUAUAACUGUUGGAUGAUGAAUAACUUCCGGCAUAAUCAUCCAUCACCGACCCAAUGCCUACUUGUUUUUCCUACUGGUCCUUGCUACGUUACUUUGUCGCUACUACUGUUACUCUGUCGCUACUGUUGCUAUCACACUACUUUGCUGCAGAUACUAAAUCUUUCAGGUGUAGUUGAAUUGACAACUCAACUGCUAAUACUUGAGAAUAUUCUUUUGCUUCCCCUUGUGUCGAAUCAACAAAUUUGGGUUGAAUACUCUACCCUCGAAAUCUGUUGCGAUCCCCUAUACUUGUGGGUUAUCAUCUUCCUUGUUAGCAUAACACUUCAAGCAUAAGAACAUAAAGGUUUUGUCUAUGUCGCUACUAGGAAAACUCAUGCUUUUUGUUAUGACCAAUGCUAUGUUUGCCAAGAUUAAAUAAAGUUUUCAAAGCCAUACCUGAUGUGUAAGAUCAAUACUCCCAUAAGAAUCAACAUCUAAGAUCGAUUGCAUGAAGAGGAUACCAAGUGCAGCAAAGAAACCAAUAUAUUUCUCAUUAAUAUUCCAUCAUACACACUGCAUGCUCACGGAUACAAGACUCUCCACAAAGGAGUGAUAGACCUCAAUGCAAACACCUAUUUCAUAAGAUAAUUUCCCUAGACAUGAUACGACACUAAACUUGACCAUAACAAGGUAGAGGAUAAAAAUAUAGAUACUGGGCACUCCCCCAAGCUUGGAACAAGCUAAGGGAAUGCCAAUACCCAUGAAGAUUUCACUCUUCAUCCAUGUUGUUGUUCCUCAGGUAAUCCUUAGCGAAACGCUUCCAUGGCAGAGGUCCUCCCCCCACACAGGAUUCUUCAGUCUCCAAGAUACUUCUUUCAGCAGAUAAGCCUAUGCGCAAAAACUUAAGUUCAUACUCACAAUUCUGGUUUUGAAGGUCAUAGAUGUGCCCUUGAAGCUCGAACAAUUUGGUUUCUAGUGCGUAUAUGAUUGAUCGCACUUCCUUCAUCUCCUCCUCAUGUUCCCUCUUCAGCUCGUCGAUGAUAUCACAGUUGGCCUCGACACCACGCUCAAUCAUCCACUUAUACUUGAAGACUUCUUGCUCCACUGUUUCCAGCCUAGCACUGGUGCUACCCUCCUUGUCAGGUCCCUUCAAAUCUUCUUUGUGGAGGACACCAUCCUCCACCCAAAGGGUUUGAGGGUGUCUCUUUACCUCUGCCAGAUAAGGGUUGAUGACGUUGACGAGCAACUUGUCCUUGCGAGAUUUUGGGGAAGCCAUGGUACCUAAGUUUGCUAAAAGUUUCCCUGGCACAAAAAAAUCGAAAAGAAAACACACGGAAUCGCAAGAUACAAAGCCGGGACGAUCCGGGAAAAUAUAUGGGAAAACUUUCUGCACCAAAAGGAAGGUAACAAGCCAAAGUAGGGUUGGAGACGAACUCCGGGUGAUCCAGGCGGCCUCCUGGCGCAGCCAGGGGCUAGCCCGCACCAGCAGGUCGCUUGGGUGACCUGGAGCUCCUCUCCGGCUCCGCUUCGGCUCGGAAUUUUCCUAAUUUUGCAAAGACGCAUAAUACAUAACUUUUAUUGAUGUUCGUGAAGUUUCCUUACCGUAUCUCAUACCUUUUCUUAUUCUGCUUCUGCCGGUGUCUGAUACAGUGUUGCAAUAUGUUCUUCGUGACUGGCUACCUGUAUCACAUCCACCUCUACAUUUAUGGGGUCUCCAGCCAUGUGAUGCUUGAGUCUUUGCCCAUUCACAACAUGUGGGUUUGUGCCUUCAAAAUUAUUAAUCUUGAUUGCACCGGAGUGGUAGACUUCUACGAUAUCGUACGGUCCUUCCCACUUGGAAAGUACUUUACCUGGAGAAAACCUGAAACGAGAUCUAUACAACAAAACUUUGUCACCAACAUUAAAUUCACGUUUCAAAAUUCUCUUGUCAUGCCACUUCUUUACCUUUUCUUUGAACGUUUUUGCGCUCUCGUAAGCUUCACUUCUCCACUCAUCUAGAGAAGUCAAGUUCAUGAGACGCUUUUCACCAGCAAGCAUUGGAUCAACAUUAAGCUCUCUAACAGCCCAGGAACCUUUGUGCUCUAACUCUAGAGGUAUAUGGCAUGCCUUUCCAUAAACCAUCUUAUACGGAGACAUCCCCAUGGGAUUUUUGUAAGCAGUUUUAUAUGCUCAUAAGGCAUCUCCUAGAUUAUUGGACCAGACCUUUCCAGAACUGUUCACUGUAUUUUGCAAGAUCAACUUGAUCUCUCUAUUUGUGAGCUCAACUUUCCCAAUUGUUUGAGGGUGGUAAGGUGAAGUAAUUCUAUGAUUAACAUCAUAUUUGGCUAGAGCUUUUCUAAAAGCACCAUGUGUAAAAUGUUAUCCUUCGUUGGUCAUGAGGUACCUGGGUACACUAAACCUAGGGAAGAAUACAUCCUUGAGCAUUUUCAAAGAUGUCUUGUGAUCCGCACUUCCGGUCGGGAUUUCUUCCACCCACUUGGUCACAUAAUCUACAUCUACUAAGAUGUGAGUGUACUUGUGUGAAGGAGGGAAAGGACCCAUAAAUUCAAAACCACAGCAAUCAAAAGGCUCAAUGACUAGCAUAUAAUUCAUAGGCAUCUCAUUCCUCCUACUAAUAUUACCAACUCUCUGGCACUUAUCAGAGGAUAAAACAUAAUUUCUAGCAUAUUUAAAGAGAGUAGGCCAAUAAAAACCUGAUUUGAGAACCUUGUGUGCGGUCCUCUCACCGGCAUGAUGUCCUCCAUAAGGACUGUUAUGACAUUGUCUCAAGAUAUCGUUCUGCUCAUGCUUCGGUAUGCAUCUCCUCACAAUUCCAUCCACACCUUCUCUAAAAAGAUGUGGGUCAUACCAAAAGUAACACCUCAAGUCGUGGAAGAACUUCUUCCGCUGUUGGAAUGUUAAACCUGGAGGCAAAAACUUUGCAACAAUAAAGUUAGCAUAAUCUGCAUACCAUGGAUCUGAAUUAGGUUUCACAUGUAAAAUAGCUAACUGUUCGUCAGGAAAACUAUCGUUGAUUGUAAUGGGAUCGUGUGGUAUGUCCUCCAUCCUGGAAAGGUUGUCUGCUACAGGGUUGUCUGCUCUUUUCCUAUCAACAAUCUGCAAAUCAAAUUCUUGAAGAAGAAGGACCCAUCCGAUAAGCCUUGGUUUGGCAUCCUUCUUUUCCAUAAGAUACUUAAUGGCAACAUGAUUAAUAUGAAUGAUGACUUUCAAAUCAACAAUGUAAGGCCUAAACUUAUCACAAGCAAACACUAUCGCUAAAAAAUCUUUCUUCGUAGUAGCGUAAUUAUUUUGAGUAGUGUCAAGGGUUUUGCUAGCAUAAUGGAUAACACUGAAUUUCUUAUCAACCCUUUGUCCUAACACAGCUCCAACAACAAAAUAACUAGCAUCGCACAUGAUUUAAAAAGGCAAAUGCCAAUGAGGUGGUUGGACUAUAGGUGCGGUUAUCAAGGCUUUCUUAAGAACUUCAAAGGCUUCCUUACAAUCUUCAUCAAACACAAAAGGAAGAUCCUUCUGGAGAAGAUUAGUGAGGGGUUUCGAAGUUUUAGAGAAGUCCUUAAUAAAUUUCCUAUAGAUACCAGCAUGACCGAGGAAACUACGAAUACCUCUGAUGUUUUUUGGAUAAGGCAUUCUCUCGAUUGCUUCAACCUUUACCCUGUCCACCUAGAUUCCUUUUUCAGAAAUCUUGUGGCCAAGAACAAUUCCCUCAUUGACCAUGAAGUGGCACUUCUCCCAGUUGAGUACCAAGUUCGUUUCCUCACAUCUUUGCAAAACUUUAUUAAGGUUGUGGAGACAAUGGUCAAAAGGGGUUCCAUAGACGGAGAAAUCGUCCAUGAAGACCUCCACAAUUUCCUCACAAAAACCAUGAAAGAUAGCGGACAUACACCUUUGGAAAGUAGCAGGAGUAUUGCAUAAACCAAAAAGCAUACGUCUAUGAGCAUAAGUACCAAAGGGACAAGUAAAAGUGGUCUUCUCUUGAUCAGCAGUAUUAACAUGAAUUUGGGAGAAGCCAAAGUACCCAUCAAGAUAGCAAAAGUGAGUGUUUUUGGAUAACCUUUCAAGCAUUUGGUCGAUGAACGACAGUUGGUAGUGGUCCUUCCUGGUUGCCUUGUUCAACUUCCUAUAAUCAACACACAUUCUAUAUCCAAUAAUAAUUCUUUGUGGUAUUAGUUCAUUCUUAUCGUUAGGAACCAUAGUCGUACCCCCUUUCUUGGGAACACAAUGUACUGCACUUACCCACUUACUAUCAACUAUAGGGUAGAUAAUACCUGCGGCUAGAAGCUUGAGGAUUUCGGUCCACACAACAUCCUUCAUCUUCGAGUUUAACCGCCGUUGAUGAUAUACAACCGGUUUAGCAUCAGGCUCAAGAUUGAUAGUAUGCUGAAAAUUGAUGGACUAAUCCCCUUAAGAUCAUCAAGGGUAUAAUCAAUAGCUCCUUGGUGUUUAUGAAGGACUUCCAAUAAUCACUCUUCUUCAUAUCCUGAAAAGUUAGAAUUGAUAAUAACAUGAUAUACUUUCUUUUCAUCUAAAUAAGCAUACUUAAGCGUACUGGGAAGAGGUUUAAGAUCAAACACCGGGUCUUCUUUUGGUUUCGAUAAAAUUCCCAAAGGCUCAACCAGAAGGUUGUGCUUCAGGAUAGGAGGUUGUCUCAAUAAUAUGUCAUAUAGCUCAUUCCUUUCUUGAAUAUACAUAUCAUUCUCGUGGUUUUCCAUAAAUUGCUGCAAAGGAUCAUUAGGAGGAAUAGCAAUAGAAGCAAUCUCUUCAAUAAUUUUAUCAUUACUAGGUAGAUCAGUACCACGAGUUUCCUUCAAGAAUUUAGAAAAGCUAAAUUCAUAUGGCUCAACAUUAAAUUCAACUCAUAAUUUUCCUUUCCCGCAAUCUAUAAUAGCUCCACAAGUUUUGAGAAAAGGCCUACCAAAGAAAAUAGGGCAAAAACUAUCUUGUACUGAACCAAGUACUAGAAAGUCGGUAGGAUACUUUACCUUUCCACAUAGAACUUCAACAUAUCAUACAAUUCCAAUAGGAGAGAUAAUUUCUUUGUUUGCGAGAUGAAUAGUAACAUCAAAUUCUUCAAUUUCACAUGGUAGAAUCUCAUUCAUAAUCUCUUGGUAAAGUGAAAAAGGAAUAGCACUUGCACUGGAUCCCAAAUCACAUAGCACAUAAUAAUUAUGAUCUCCUAUUUUAACAGAUACAACUGGAGUAUGUGAAAUUGGGCCUUUAUUCUUGGCUGUAACAAGGUUAGUGGAAACAACACAAAAAUUUAUAUUAGAACCCUCAAUAUUACUAGUAACAAUAUCCUUGACUAAUGCAACUUGAGGAUCGACUUUAAUCAGGUCCUCAUGCUCAGCACUCGUUCUUUCAUUUUUAUUCAGGAUGCGUGUGACAAAAGAAUGCUCCCUCAUCCUUGCAGGAAAAGGGGGCUUUUCAUAUUCAACUGCAAGCAAGAUAUGGUCAACAACAUUAAUAUCGAUAGUUAAUUCCUUAAAAGGUUUAUGGUGUUGAUCCUCCUUCUUCUCGGAAGAGUCAAUAUGAGAGGCUAAGUCUUUGCAAAAAUCAAUUAGAAGCUGGGAAUCAAGACCAAUCUUAGCGCAAAAGGCAUUGAAGUAACCAAUUUUCACAUACCUCUCAAUGUAACCACGUUCAUAAUUUAUAACGGGUUCAAUAACUUUAUCAAUCUCCCAGUCUUCAGUGUUCUUCUGGAUCCUUUCAAUAAGAUCCCACUCAGCUUCAAUGCUUUUGUUGGAGAAUGCCCCACUAGAGGAAGCAUAAAGCAUCUCUUUAUCUUGACGAGAAAGCCUUGCAUAAAAAUUUGUGAGAAUAAUUUCUUUGCAGAGCUCAUGAUUGGGACAUUUGAGCAUUAAGGACUUCAAUCUCCCCCAAGCUUNNNNNNNNNNNNNNNNNNNNNNNNNNNNNNNNNNNNNNNNNNNNNNNNNNNNNNNNNNNNNNNNNNNNNNNNNNNNNNNNNNNNNNNNNNNNNNNNNNNNAUGGUGUUGAUGAAGAAGCCCUCCGUGUCUGAAUCCCCCUCCGGCACGGCACCAGAACGGUCACCAGAUGGGAUCUCGCGGAAACAGAAGCUUGCGGCGGUGGAAAAGUAUUUGCGUGGCUCUCUCUGUUGGUUUCGGGAUUUUAGGGAAUUUGUAGGUGAAAGAGGUAGGGAAAAGGAGGCAAGGGGGCCCACAAGGCUGCUAGGAGCCCCCACCCUGGGGCGCACCUAGGGGGCUCGUGACCUCCCACGAGACCCGCUGCCUUGGUUCUCAAGUCUUCUGGGUAUCUUCUGUUAUGGAAAAAAUCAUCCUGCAGGUUUUAUUCUGUUUGGAAUCCUUUAAUAUUCUUAUCUGAAAAAGGUCAAAAACACAGAAAAAACAGAAACUGGCACUGGGCACUGAGUUAAUAGGUUAGUCCCAAAAAUGAUAUAAAAUAGCAUAUAAAUGCAUAUAAGACAUCCCAAGUUGAUAAUAUAAUAGCAUGGAACAGUCAAAAUUAUAGAUACGUUGGAGAUGUAUCAUUAGACGUUGUAUGCAUGAGCAUGAACAGGAACAAAUCCUUCGGAAGUGUCGCUCUAAGGCUUAUGGAGGACACCAUGCGGAAGAUAGAACUGCACACAAGGUAUUACAGUCUGGAUUUUAUUGGCCUACUCUUUUCAAUGAUGCUCGUAAGUUUGUCCUCUCUUGUGAUGAAUGUCAAAGAAUUGGUAAUAUAAGUAGACGACAGGAAAUGUCUAUGAAUUAUUGACUUGUUAUCGAACCAUUCAAUGUUUGGGGAUUUGAUUAUAUGGGACCUUUUCCUUCCUCUAAUGGGUAUACACAUAUUUUGGUUGUUGUUGAUUAUGUCACAAAUUGGGUAGAAGCUAUUCCAACCAAUAGUGUUGAUCAUAACACCUCUAUUAAGAUCCUUAAGGAAGUUAUUUUCCCAUGUUUCACAGUCCCUGGAUACAUAAUGACUGAUGGUGGUUCACACUUCAUUCAUGGUGCUUUUCGUAAGUUGCUUGCUAGAUAUGAUGUUAACCAUAAAAUUGCAUCACCCUAUCAUUCUCAGUCUAGUGGUCAAGUAGAAUUAACUAAUAGAUAAAUAAAAUUAAUAUAGAAAAAUACUGUCAAUAGGUCCCAAAAGAAUUGGUCUAAUAAAUUAUAUGAUGCAUUAUGGGCCUACAGAAAAACUUAUAAAAAUCCAAUGGGUAUGUGAUAACCCACAAGUGUAGGGGAUCGCAACAGUUUUCGAGGGUAGAGUAUUCAACCCAAAUUUAUUGAUUCGCCACAAGAGGAAGCGGAAGAAUAUUCUCAAGUAUUAGCAGCUGAGUUUGUCAGAUUCAACCACACCUGAAAGAUUAGUGUCUGCAAGCAAAGUAUCAGCAGCAAAGUAGUAUGAUAGCAACAGCGCCAGAAAAAGAUCUGUUGAUGGCAGACUAUUCCUAACUAUUGUAUCAACGGCGCUAGUAGGUUGCACGUGGACGGGGAACUAUUCUUCCCCGACAACGGUGUCAAAAAAGUCUUGCAACAAGUAACAACGAAGUAGCAAGGAACAACAAUAGUAGCAGCAGUAGCAACAGUAGUAGCAAAGUGGCCCAAUCCCUUUUAUAGCAAGGGACAAGCCUGGACGAAGUAACGUAGCAAGGACCAGUAGUAAAAGACUCGUAGGCAGUGGAUCGAUGAUGGAUGAGUAUGACGGAUGUGAUUCCUCAUGUAAUAGCUAUAACACGGAGAGAUAAGUAACUAGCUCCCAUUCGUCAAUCUAAUGUAGGCAUGUAUUCCAUAUGUAGUCAUACUUGCUUAGGGAAAAGAAGUUGCAAGACAUCUAUUGUCCAUCCCUCCCGUGGCAGCGGGGUCCUGAUGGAAACUACAGGAUAUUAAGGUUCUCCUUUUAAUAAAUAACCAGACCAACGCAUUAACACUUGGUGAAUACAUGAACUCCUCAUACUAUGGUCAUCUCCGGGAGUGGUUCCGGCUAUUGUCACUCCGGGGUUGCCGGGUCAUAACACAUAGUAGGUGACUACAACUUGCAAGAUAGGAUCUAAAACACACAUAUAUUGGCGACAACAUAAUAGGUUCAGAUCUAAAAUCAUGGCACUCGGGCCCUAGUGACAAGCAUUAAGCAUGGCAAAGUAGUAGCAACAUCAAUCUCAGAACAUAGUGGAUACUAGGGAUCAAUCCCCAUCAAAACUAACUCGAUUACAUGAUAGAUCGCAUCCAACUCAUCACCGUCCAGCAAGCCUAUGAUGAUAUUACUCACGAACUAUGAAGAGCAUCAUGGAAUUGUUGAUGGAGGAAGGUUGAUGAUGAUGAUGGCGACGAUUUCCCCUCUCCAGAGCCCAAAACGGACUCCAGAUCUGUCCUCCAGAUGAAGAACAGGAGGUGGCGGCGCCUCCGUAUCGUAGAACGCGAUGAAUCCUUCUCUCUCAUUUUUUUCAGGGCGAGACGGAAGAUAUAGAGCUGAGUUUGGGGGCGGUGGUGCCAUGUGGGUCCCACAAGCCCUCACGGCGCGGCCUAGGGGGGUGGUCGCGGCCUGUGGGCUUGUGGCCCAUUGACACACCUCCUCCGGUGGAUCUUUGCGUGCAUAUUUUUUUAUUCCGGAAAAAAUUUCCGUAAAUUUUCAGGACAUUCCGAGAACUUUUAUUUCUGCACAAAAACAACACCAUGGCAAUUCUGCUGAAAACAGCGUUAGUCCGGGUUAGUUCCAUUCAAAUCAUGCAAAUUAGAGUCCAAAACAAGGGCAAAAGAGUUUGGAAAAGUAGAUACGAUGCGGAUGUGUAUCUCCCCAACAAGCAAAUCAUACUUCAUCUUGACACGAGGAAUAGGGCAUUCAAAGCUCCCAAUAAGAAUCGAUAAAGUUUUUUCGAUCGCAUGGAUGCAAUGUACUCGAUAUUGUUUCUUCGGAAAGUGCACCGUAUGCUCAUUACUGUUGACAUGGAAAGUGACAUUGCCUUUGUUGCAAUCUAUAACAGCCCCUGCAGUGUUUAAAAAGGGUCUUCCGAGGAUGACUGCCAUGGCAUCGUCCUCAGGAAUAUCCAAGAUAACAAAGUCUGUUAAGAAGGUGACGUUGGCAACCACGACAGGCACAUCCUCGCAAAUGCCGAUAGGGAAAGUAGUUGAUUUGUCGGCCAUUUGCAGAGAGAUUUUAGUGGGUGUCAAUUUAUCCAGUUCAAGUCUACGAUAAAGAGAGAGAGGCAUAACACUAACACCGGCUCCAAGAAGGCAUAACGCAGUUCUAACAUAGUUGCCUUUAAUGGAGCAAGGUAUAGUGGGCACACCGGGAUCACCUAGUUUCUUAAGAGUUCCACCCUUGAAGGUAUAAUUAGCAAGCAUGGUGGAAAUCUCAACCUCAGGUAUCCUCUUCUUAUUAGCCACAAUAUAUUUCAUGUACUUAGCAUACAGAGACAUUUUGAGCAUAUCUGUCAAACGCAUUUGCAGAAAGACAAGUCUGAUCAUUUCAACGAAGCGCUCAAAAUCCUCAUCAUCCUUUUUCUUGGAUGGUUUUGGAGGAAAGGGCAUGGGUUUCUGAACCCAUGGUUCCCUUUCUUUACCAUGCUUCCUAGCAGCGAAGUCAUUCUUAUCGUAUCUCUUAGUCUUAGGUUGUGGGUUAUCAAGAUCAACAGGUUCAAUCUCCACAUCCUUAUCGUUGCUAGGUUGAGAAUCUUCAUGAACAUCACUAUUGAUAUUAUCAUUAGGCUCAUGUUCAUCAUCAGAUUGUGUUUCAGCAUCAGAGACAGAGGCAUCGUUUGGACUCUCAGGGGUAGCAGGGUUGCUAGCGUGUAGGUUCCUAUCAUCUUUCUUCUUCUUUCUAGGAUGACUAGGUGCAUCAGUUCUAACUCCUUGAGAAUCUUGUUCAAUCCUCUUCGGGUGACCCUCAGGAUACAAAGGUUCUUGGGUCAUUCUACUGCCUCUAGUGACGACUCUAACGAAAUUGUCAUUCAAGUCAUUGAGCAAGUCAUUUUGAGCUUUAAGUACUUGUUCUACCUGAGUAGUAACCAUAGAGGCAUGUUUACUCACAAGCUUAAGAUCAUUGACGUUUCUGUCCACACAAGCACUUAAAUGACUUAGCAUUCGAGCAUUCUGCUCCAAUUGUGUGCUAACAAAAUCAUUGAAACUCUGUUGUUUGGAAACGAAGAUAUCAAAUUCAUCCAUGCAUAAGCUAGCAGGUUUAUCAAAAGGAAUAUCACUCUCAUCAAACCUACGCAGAGAAUUUACUUCUACUACGUGUAUCAGGUUAUCAAGACCAUGGAUCUCUUCGAUAGGUGGUAGAUUUUUGACAUCUUCAGAUUUAAUGCCUUCCUCUCGCAUAGAUUUCUUGGCUUCUUGCAUAUCUUCAGGACUGAGGAAUAUAAUACCUCUUUUCUUCGUAGUUGGCGUAGGAGGUGGUUCGGGAAUAGUCCAAGCAUUCUCAUUGCACAAGAUGUUAUUCAAUAGGAUCUCAGCUUGUUCUACGGUUCGUUCCCUAAAAACACUACCAGCACAACUAUCUAGGUGGUCUUUGGAAGCAUCGGUAAGUCCAUUAUAGAAGAUAUCAAGUAUUUCAUUCUUCUCAAGAGGGUGAUCAGGCAGAGCAUUCAGUAGCUGGACGAGCCUCCCCCAAGCUUGUGGGAGACUCUCUUCCUCAGAUUGAGCAAAGUUGUAUAUUUCCUGCAAAGCAGCUUGCUUCUUAUGGACAGGGAAAUAUUUUUCAGAGAAGUAGUAGACCAUAUCCUGGGGGCUACGCACACAACCAGGAGCAAGAGAAGUGAACCAAGUCUUAGCAUCAUCCUUUAGCGAGAAAGGAAACAUCUUGAGGAUAUAGUAGUGGCGGAUCUUUUCCUCACUAGUGAAUAGGGUGGCUAUAUCGUGCAGUUUGGUAAGAUGGGCUACAACCGUUUCAGACUCAUAACCGUGAAAAGGAUCAGAUUCGACCAGAGUGAUUAACUCAGGGUCGAUAGAGAAUUCAUAAUCCUUAUCGGUCACAAAGAUAGGCGAAGUAGCAAACUUCGGGUCGUAUUUCAUCCUAGCAUUCAGAGAUUUUCCUUUCCAAUUGCACAGUAAUUUCUCAACAUCAUAGCUAUCCUUACACGCAAGAAAGUCCUCAGCUAUCUGUCCCUCCAUAACAUAGCGUUCAGGCAUAACAGGAAAUUCAGGCAUAGGAGAGCUAGUUCUAGCAGGCAAAAUAGCAGGUUCUACUUCAAUAGUAUCAGCAGUUUCACAAGUAUCAUCACAUCUAGCAGCAACUCUAGCAAUUUGUGCAUCAAGGGCACCUAGUGGCAAAGCAGUAUCAGGCAUAGCAUCAUCAGGCAUAGUAUCAAGCAUAGCAUCGUCAACCAUAGUAUCAAGCAUAGCAUCAUCAUAAGCAUCAUGGGCAGCAGAAGUAGCAUCAUCAAGCACAUGCGACAUAUCAAGAUUUCUAGCAGGAGGCGAAGUCGCAAACUUACUCAAAACUGAAGGUGAAUCAAGUCCAUAGCUAGAUGGCAGUUCCUUACCUCUACUCGUAGUGGAAGGCAAGAUUUUAGUUCUUGGAUCUUUCGUAUUCCUCAUAGUGAUCAGCAGACGUCAAUCCCAAGUGACUUAGAGAAUAUAGCUUUUCUUCCCUGGCAACGGCGCCAGAAAAAGGUCUUGAUAACCCACAAUUGUAGGGGAUCGCAACAGUUUUCGAGGGUAGAGUAUUCAACCCAAAUUUAUUGAUUCGCCACAAGGGGAAGCGAAAGAAUAUUCUCAAGUAUUAGCAGCUGAGUUUGUCAGAUUCAACCACACCUGAAAGAUUAGUGUCUGCAAGCAAAGUAUCAGUGGCAAAGUAGUACGAUAGCAACGGUGCCAGAAAAAGAUCUAUUGACGGCAGACUAUUCCUAACUGUUGUAUCAAUGGCGCCAGUAGGUUGCACAUGGACGGGGAACUAUUAUUCCCCGGCAAUGGUGUCGAAAAAGUAUUGCAACAAGUAACAACAAAGUAGAAAGGAACAGCAGUAGCAGCAGCAAUAGAGUAACAACAGUAGCAAUAGUAGUAGCAAAGUGGCCCAAUCCCUUUUGUAGCAAGGGACAAGCCUAGACAAAGUAAAGUAGCAAGGACCAGUAGUAAAAGACUCGUAGGCACUGGAUCGGUGAUGGAUGAGUAUGACUGAUGUGAUUCAUCAUGUAACAACUAUAACAUGGAGAGAUAAGUAACUAGCUCCCGUUCGUCAAUCUAAUGUAGGCAUGUAUUCCGUAUGUAGUCAUACGUGCUUAGGGAGAAGAACUUGCAUGCCAUCUAUUGUCCAACCCUCCUGUGGCAGCGGGGUCCUAAUGGAAACUACGGGAUAUUAAGGUUCUCCUUUUAUUAAAGAACCGGACCAACACAUUAACACUUGGUAAAUACAUGAACUCCUCAUACUAUGGUCAUCUCCGGGAGUGGUUCCGGCUAUUGUCACUCCGGGGUUGCCAGGUCAUAACACAUAGUAGGUGACUACAACUUGCAAGAUAGGAUCUAAAACACACAUAUAUUGGCGACAACAUAAUAGGUUCAGAUCUGAAAUCAUGGCACUCGGACCCUAGUGACAAGCAUUAAGCAUGGCAAAGUAGUAGCAACAUCAAUCUCAGAACAUAGUGGAUACUAGGGAUCAAUCCCCGUCAAAACUAACUCGAUUACAUGAUAGAUCUCAUCCAACUCAUCACUGUCCAGCAAGCCUACGAUGAGAUUACUCACGGACGAUGAAGAGCAUCAUGGAUUGUCGAUGGAGGAAGGUUGAUGAUGACGAUGGCGACGAUUUCCCCUCUCCAGAGCCCAAAACGGACUCCAGAUCUGUCCUCCAGAUGAAGAACAGGAGGUGGAGGCCCCUCCAUAUCGUAAAACGCAAUGAAUCCUUCUCUUUGAUUUUUUCCGGGCGAGACAGAAGAUAUAGAGCUGAGUUUGGGGGCGGUGGUGCCACGUGGGCUCCACAAGCCCUCACGGCGCGGCCUAGGGGGUGGCCGCGACCUGUGGGCUCGUGGCCCACUAGCACACCUCCUCCGGUGGAUCAUUGCGCUGGUAUUUUUCUUUUAUUCCAGAAAAAUUCUCCGUAAAAUUUUAGGACAUUCCGAGAACUUUUAUUUCUGCACAAAAACAACACCAUGGCAAUUCUGCUGAAAACAACGUUAGUCCGGGUUAGUUCCAUUCAAAUCAUGCAAAUUAGAGUCCAAAACAAGGGCAAAAGAGUUCGGAAAAGUAGAUACGAAGGAUUACGUAUCAGUAUGUCUCCUUACAAAAUAGUUUACGGAAACAUUUCAUUUACCUCUUGAGUUAGAACAUAAAGCUUAUUGGGCAAUUAAAGAACUCAACUAUGAUUUCAAACUUGCUGGUGAAAAGAGGUUAUUUGAUAUUAGCUCAUUAGAUGAAUGGAGAACCCAAGCUUAUGAAAAUGCCAAACUAUUCAAAUAAAAAGUUAAAAGAUGGCACGACAAAAGACUCCAAAAGUGAGAAUUCAAAGUUGGUGAAUAUGUUCUAUUGUACAAUUCUCGUCUUAGAUUUUUUGCAGGAAAACUUCUCUCCAAAUGGGAAGGACAAUAUAUCAUCGAAGAAGCUUAUUAUUCUGGAGCUAUUAAGAUCAAUAAACCCGAAGGCACUAAUCCGAAGGUGGUCAAUGGACAAAGAAUAAAGCACUAUACUUCAAGUACAACAAUUAAUGUUGAAACAAAUAUUAUCCAAACCAUGACACCGGAGUAUCACAUACUCCGAAAAUUUUGCACAAAUAUUUUCAUCAGUUUUGGAAUAUUAGAAAAAACAGGGAAGUGAGAAACACACGGGAAGAUAGCCGAGGUGUUAAUUAUAAUAUGCCAAAAUUGUUGACAUUGGACAAGGAAGACAACAUAAUGAUUUAUGCUUGUUCAGAUUCACAUAGAAGUUAUAUUGUUAUGGAUCCUCUAACAUGUGGUGCUUGCCCAAUACCUUUGCUAGCCAAAAAUACGCACUAAGUAGAGAUACUACUUGUGCAUCCAAAACCUUAAACCGAAAUCCAUGUUUCAAGAGUCCACCAUACCUACCUAUGUAUUGAGCAAGAUCCUCCAAAUUGUCAUUAGUGCACAAAGCAAUAAAAAUUGCUUCUAAGCAUGUUCGAUCAUUUAGUGUAAGGGAAAUUAAGUGUUGUACAAACUUGUGAUGGCGGUAAGAAAAGCGACAGACUGCAUAAUAAAGAUUGCCAUCACAAGGGGCAAUAUAAUGUAGCGUUCCUUUGCACUAAGAGAUUUACCAUACAACCAAAAAGUGCAUGACAACCUCUGCUUCCCUCUUCGAAGGGCCAAUAUUUUACCUUUAUAUAUUUACUUUUGUGCAAGAGUCAAAGUAUUUUCCUUUACUUCCUUUAUCUUCUCUUUGGCAAGCAUCAUGUGGUGGGGAAAGAUCUAAACACAUAUAUCCAGCUGAAUGCGGGUGGUCAUGAGUUAUUAUUGUUGACACCACCCUUGAGAUGAAUACAUUGCGAGGCAACACUCACUACUAGGAAAAUGGCUAUAGAUGAUAUAGAUACUAAUGGCGCACCACACAAUCAGUGCGCCACUACUAUAUAGUAGUGGCGCACCAUGUGAGGUGUGCCAUUAGUGUGAUGGACACUAAUGGCGCACCACACACUCGGUGCGCCACUACUAUAUUUUUUUAAUUUAUAUUUGUUUUGCAAAACUACUAAUGGCGCACCAGCAUCUGGUGCGCCAUUAGUAACCAGGGUUACUAAUGGCGCAUUUGUUGGUAGUGCGCCACUAUUAUAAUUUUCUUUUUGGUUUUUUUUUUGCAAACUACUAAUGGCGCACAACAGCUAGUGCGCCAUUAGUAACCAGUGUUACUAAUGGCGCAUCUGUUGGUGGUGCGCCACUACUUUUUUUUGCAGAACUACUAAUGGCGCACCACAGGGGGUGCGCCAUUAGUAACCAGGGUUACUAAUGGCGCAUUUGUAGGUGAUGCGCCACUGCUAAUUUGUUUUACUAAUGGCGCACACUUAGGGAUGCGCCAUUGCUAUCACCCCCGCUAAAAUCCCCCAUGCCAGUCCCCGCUCGGCCCAUGUGCCCGUAUCGACAAAGUCGAGCUCGCUCUCCCCCGUAUCCCUCCCCUUCUCCUGCUCUCCCUCCCGGCGGCGAGCCUCGUCGGGUACCUCCCCGCGCAGCCCCUGGGUUAGUCUCCUUCCCUUCUCCUCCCCCCUCCAUCCCUCUCCCGCUCGUCCCCAUGGCCCAAGGGGGGCUGGCGACCUAGGGUUAGGUGCAGAGCUCCCUCGUGGCGGCGAGAUCCAGACGGGGCCCGGCCGCUGCCGGCGCAUGUCCUCCGUCGACGCCGCGGGUAACCCCCUCCGCGCCUUCAUCUUUGCGACGUCCCUCCUUUUCUGCACCCUUGGUCCUGCCGCAUCCCCCUCCAGGUCCCCUGGGGCGCUGCUCGGCGGAUCCCUAGUACAGCUCUCGAACCUGGUACUGGGUGUGCUGGGUGCUGGUGCACAAGGUGGUCCUGGGGAGCAAAGGCGCGGCGCUGGCCAGCGCGGUCUCCUACUCCACGGACUUGGCCAUACUGUGCCUAUACAUGAGGCUGUCCGGUGCCUGCAGGAGGACGUGGACUGGGUUCUCCAUGGAGGCCUUCGCCUUCAAGGAGUUGCGCCAGUUUGCGAAGCUCGCCGUCCCCUCAGCAAUGAUGGUUUGGUGAGGAGAAAUCGUGAGCAAGUCCCCUCAGCAAUGAUGGUUUGAUUUCUGAAAUGACAAAUUUCUUGUUUUUCAAAUUUGCAGCUUGGAAUGGUGGUCGUUUGAACUGCUUGUGCUGCUAUCUGGCCUUUUCCCAAUCCUAAGCUUGAAACCUCUGUAUUGUCGAUAUGGUAAUCAAAUCAAGACAAACUUUUGCAAUACACAGUUCACCAAUUUUUAUUUUUUCCCUUUUGUUCUAUUCUAAGUUGUGCGUUGCUGAAUUCUGCAGUCUUAACACUGGUGCUCUCAUGUUCACCGUGCCAUCCGGUCUCUGUGCAACCAUAAGGUGUCGUAAAACUCAUAAACAUAAUGUUAAAUGAUGUAUAUAUGCUGAUUGUUGUCUCAGUUUUUCCUGCAUUUGCAAUGCAGCACACGCGUUUCCAAUGAACUUGGUGCCGGUAGGCCUCAGGUAGCGAGGCUGGCAACCAUAGUUGUCAUAUGCAUGGCCCUGUUUGCAGGCUCAGUGAUCUCCAUCACAAUGAUUUUGCUACGCAAGUCUUGGGGUUACAUGUACAGCAACGAGGAGGAAGUCGUGACUUAUAUUGCCAGGAUGAUACCUGUCCUCGGGGUUUCUUUCUUCGUAGAUGGAAUCCACACUUCCCUUUCAGGUACGAGCCACGUAUUUACAACAAUAUGGAACCUGGUACAGCUCUCCCCAGCACCCGAGGGUAGUGGAUACUUUCAGAAAAAGAAAUAUCAAAUUAAAUAUUCUGGUUAAGCAUGUAAUUAUUAAGCUAGUUGAACCUACUUGACGCAAUUGCAAUUUACAUCUGAAUAGGUACAGUAUACAUAUAAUUUAUGGCUUUAUUUGGCUACAAAGGAUGUAGCAUGCUCUGUAGGAGUAUCAAGCCAUUACUCACUCUCCCCUCCUGACUUUUAGGAGCUUCCUCGACACUUUGAGUGCUAUCGGGUAAUAACGCAGUGACAUGGUCGGAUGCAUACCAAUGUUCUGCAUUCAUCAAAUCCUAUUUUGCUUAGAUCUGCUAAUUUGAUUCAACCUUUUGUAGCCAGAGAGAAGAGGACUGAAAAGGGGAAACACAAAGAAAAUCACUAUCAUGGUAAUCAGGUUCAUGGACGCCACAUGAACACCAUCCCUGAAACAAUUGUAACAUGUGAUUUCAUGCCUCUGCGAUUUGACAGUGAGCCCCAUCAGUGUUGACAGUGACAUCAGUGUCUUGGACAAUGUAACGUGUCAGGCUUAGGCCAUAACUUGAGAUGUUGUAAUAGCUGGCGUGGAGACAGUCACGGUCGAUCAACUCCAGCCAUGAAGCCGUAGCUAGUCUGUUCGGGCUUCUAUCUCAGACUAUGUGGGUAUGGUCUCCUGUUAGAGGCUUCUGGACUUGGUAAUCCGGAGCUGCAGCCUGGUAGUUCCAAUGCAGCAUGCCCAAGCAGUUGCAUCGAGCUUGAGAGGGAGGUCGAGGCUGCAGUCUUCAUGUACUGGCAUACGUAGACUGCGCGCGCUUCCUGCCGUGGAGGGAUGUAGGGCUCGUGAUCAGCAUAUGCCUAGGGGGAGCGUUCGUCGCAUGCCUGUUCAGCGGCUCCGUUGCCGACAGAAUCGGCCGGCGCCGCGCUUUUCAGCUCAGCGCGCUACCCAUGAUCAUGGGAGCCACCUUAAGGUACCAUCUUUUAUUUAUAGUAUGCCAGCGUUUUGUUCAUAGUAAGCCUGUUAUAAAUCAAUACUUGUCCCUGUCCAGUUUUGUUAACUUUGUUUAAUUGCCACCUGCCUGCUAGCAUUCCUUCUUUUUUAGUGCAACUACUAUUAGUACUGGAUUGCUGGGUGUUUUAAACAAAAUACACAUUGACUGCCGACUGCUGAUUUGGUCAUUUUGUGUCAUUUACUUGCACUCAGCAAAUAAAAUUAGACCAGGAAAUGAAAUACACCAGCUGUCUGUGCCAUGUACAAUCAUUCAGUGUGCUUUGUUUUGCAAAUAUACUACUUAAUCUGAUCUACACUUGUUUGGCUGUCUGCUCUCGUUGUUGCCACUUGCCAAACUGAAAACUUUUAAAAACUGGGUGUACUGUUGUCAUGUUGAGUAGCUUUGUUUUUGCAAUCUGGCUCGAGAAAACAGUGCCCCGAUGAAGAAACGAUUUCAGUGCCAUAUAUUAAUGCCCCAAUUACUUUUAUCUUCAAGCCAUUCUCUUCUGUAUAUUUCUUUAAAAGUACGUGUGAGUCUGCUUCUAUAGUUGAAGGCUCCUGCUUGAUUGAGAUUUAUAGCUCUUAAUAAUGUUUGUUGAAUCAAAUUUCUCCUAAGAUUUAUUUUAUUCCCCUCUCUGUGCAGCUGCCCCUGGUUCAAUUCCUCCCAAGAGCAGAUCUGGGCCAAAGGGCAACUUUUCUUGCUCACGCGAAUAACGGCCACUGGCUGCUCCACAACAACGACAAGCACGACGGCCUUGACGAAGUUGUCCGCCGCCGACACCGAAGAGCAAGCAUGCCUUCUCCAGACUUGCAUGACGGGAGGGGAGGGGGCGGCCACUGCCUCCUUCACACAACAAGUCGCCGACACUGAAGAGCAAGCCCGCCUUCUCCAGAGUUUGCAAAGAAGCUUUACGUUCAGGGCAUGAUUGUUUGCAGAGAGUAGCGGACACUACUUUGAUCCUUUGACAUAUAGUUCGUCAUAAUGUGAUAGUGUAUAGGCCUUCUUCCUGGGGAUCUACUGCUCAACUACUGCACUCCUUGGCUGCUACCAAUCAAAUUUUUUACAAAUCUGCCUACAUGUUUUGUUUCUAUAUAUUUACAAAUAUCCUAUCAAUCCAUUUUUAAUAUGGAUGGGCACGGCAACGCGCGCCUUUCAUGAUCUAGUAUGUUUUGUAAUCUGUGCAAAUAUUAGGAAAAAAAACCUAAUAUUCAUACUAGUGGCGCACCACUCAGCACUUUAGUGGCGCACUGUAAAAAGCACACUAGUGGCGCAUCAUCAACUAGUGCGCUAUUAGUAAGCCAGAGCACAUGGGUAAAUAUGGCCCCUGGGAGGCAUACUAAUGGCGCACCAUGAGCUAUACUAAUGGCGCACCAGGAUCUAUACUAAUGGCGCACCAGGAUCUAUACUAAUGGCGCACCGGGAUCUAUACUAAUGGCGCACUACUUGGUGCGCCAUUAGUAUACCAGAUACUAAUGGCACAUCGUGAGCGAUACUAAUGGCGCAGUGCCUGGUGCGCCAUUAGUAUACCAGAUACUAAUGGCGCACUUGUGGUGUGCCAUUAGUAAAAAAAUCUAAUGCCGUGAUGCUAGUGGCGCACCUAUAGUGCGCCAUUAGUAGCCAAAAUAGGUGCGCCAUUAGCAAGCCUUUUCCUAGUAGUGACUAUAAGCCCCUAUCUUUCUAUGUGUCCAGUUGAAACCUUUUGCUUAUAUAUAUGCGGUGAAUGUUAGCAAUCAUACAAGACUUAAUGAUGGUUGAGUAUGUAGACUUGCUUAAAAGCUACGAUAUGUGACUCUUCCUGAAAGUAUGAUGAAUUGUGCUGCGAAGUUGACUCAACACAUAGUUUGUUAGUUUUUAAUAGAGUUUAUGCUUCAUACUUAAAUGUUGUGACGAAUUGCUACUUUUUUAUAAGAAGCAUUUUAUGAUAAAAGUUAUAUGAUGAAAAUGUUGUGAUGAAGUAUUUUAUACAAUUUUAUUGUCUAUUAUAAUAAUGAGCAUGAUGCUGCUAUGUCCCUAUUUUGUUUUUAUCGACACCUCUCUCUCAAAGUAUGUGGUCAUGAUUUUCGUUAUCGGCUUUCGCUUGAGGAAAAGCGAGGUCUAAGCUAGGUGGAGUUGAUAUGUCCAUUUUGCAUCAUGUUCUGUUACUAUUAUAUAUAGUUUUUUGAUGCAUUUUUCCUCUUGGUGGAGUAAUUAUAAUGCCUUUUCUCCCAUAAUAUGCAAGGUUAACAUCAAGUGGGAGAAUGCCAACACAUGUAAUUAUGGACCUGAAAAAGCUACCUCACACAUACCUAUUCUGAACUUCUACAAUUAGGCUGAAACUUUACGGAGAUUUAUCUUUUAAUAAAUAAAAAAUUCUGGAGCAAUGAAGUACGAGAGGGGGGCUACCAGGCGCCCACUAGAUACUAGGGCGCGCCAGGCCCCCCUAGCGCGGCGUGAUGUCUAGUGGGCUCCUAGCCACCUCUGAUGAUCAUCUUCUAGUAUAAAAUCCCUUUUACCCUAAAAAAAUUAAGAGGAGAGCUUUCGGUACGAAGCGCCACCAUCUCAAGGCGGAACCUGGCAGGAGCACUUUUCCCUCCGGUUGAGCGAUUCCGUCGGAGGAACUUCCCUCCCGGAGGGGGAAAUCGAGGCCAUGGUCAUCACCAACAACCUCUCAUCUUGUGGAGGCCAAUCUUCAUAAAUAUCUUCAUCAACAUCAUCUCCUAUCAAAACCCUAGUUCAUCUCUUGUGCUCAAUCUUCUAUCAGAACCUCACAUUGGUACCUAGGGUGUGACUAGUAGUGUUGAUUACAUCUUGUAGUUGAUGCUUUAUUGUUUAUUUGGUGGAAGAUCAUAUGUUCAAAUCCAAUACGCUAGUUAAUACCUCUCUGACCAUGAACAUGUUUAUCACUUGUGAGUAGUUACUUUUGUUCUUGAGGCCACGGGAGAAAUCAUGUUGCAAGUAGUCCUGUGAAGUUGAUGUACGUUCAAUAUUUUGAUGAUAUGAAUAUUGUGAUUCCCUUAGUGGUGUUAUGUGAACGUCAACUACAUGACACUUCACCAUAUUUGGGCCUAAGGGAAUGCAUUCUGGAGUAGUAAUUAGAGGGUGGGUUGCGAGAGCGACAUGAAAUUAAACCCUAGUCUAUGCACUACUCCGUAACGGGCUGAUUUGGAUCCCUAUGUUUAAUGCUAUGGUUAGAAUUUGUUCUUAAUACUUUUCUCAUAGUUGUGGAUGCUUGUGGGAGGGUUAAUCGAUAGUGGGAGGUUUGUUUAAGUAAUAACAACACCCAAGCACCGGUCCACCCAUGUAUCAAAUUAUCAAAAUACCGAACGUGAAGUAACCCAACAUGACGAAAAUGACUAGAUGAAAUCCCCGUGUUCCCUCAAGAAUGCGUUGCCUAUUAUAAGACACUGUUCUGGCCUGUCCUUUGCCACAAAAGGAUUGGGUUCCUUGAUGCACCUAUUUUUACUAUUUCUACUUCACUUGUUACAAUUAUCGUGCUAUCAAAUAACUUUUUAUCGCUAUUUCAGUGCUUGAAGAAAUUACCUUGCGGAAAAAUGCUUGUCAUUUCCUUCCGCUUCUCGUUGGGUUUGACACUCUUACUUAUCGAAAGGACUACGAUUGACCCGCUAUACUUGUGGGUCAUCAUGCACCUAUAAAAAUUACCAUUGUAUUCGGUGUGUUGGGUACACAAGGGACUUUUUAUUAUUUGGUUAUUUGAGAGAGACCAUCUUCAUCCCACGCCUGCCACGGAUUGAUAAACCUUAGGUCAUCCAGUGGAAGGAAGUUUGCUACUGUCCUACAAAAGUUUGCGCUUGGAGGGCCAACACGAGUCUACAAGAGCAUGUUGUGUAGUAUACAUCAGGGGGCGACGGUAUGGGAAUCACUGGGUAACCUGAACUUUAUUAUGUAAGCUAGGAGGCACGACAGACCAACAGGGAUUGGAGGCGCUCGCGAUGACAGCGCCGGCGAUCUAGGGAUCGAGCGGGAGUGGGGACUGUCGAGAGGGGACACAAGGUGUUGUUUGAAUAUAAGCCGUGGCUACUGAAAUUUUUUGUAAUGGUGGGUGGCGAUGGUGGUGGACGAGGAAGGGAAACGGUUCAAAUGCCUCGGCUACUGGAAUUUUACUAUAUGAGCAUUGACACUGGCAGCGGGAAUCAAUUGGAGCAGAGGCGGGAAAUUGAUGGGAGGAGUGGCGGGAAACGGUAGCUUGUUGGAUGUAUAACACCAAUAAUAAGGAAAACUUAGUAAAGAAGUAAUCGCGAGCAAGCACAACGCGUGCGCAUAGUGCUUAUCCACGGGUGCCACACACUUGACUAGAACUGUUGUAAAUAUUCAGGGUUCGUUUGGCCUUUUUUAUACAUUAUAAUUAAGUUUUCUAAGCAUUAAUUUAAUGUGCAUAAUUCAAAUUUGAACUGCAAAUACAUGCUCCAAUGUACCAAAAUGGCUACAAAAAUCAUAUAUUUGUCCUUCGAUGCUUGUUUAGGUCCCAUGCAAAGAAUGGGAGUGAAAUACAACCGUCUCGGCAUAUCUCUCUGCAUCGAACGUUGAGAAUCCUGGUUUUUAAAUCCUGUAAAUCCAAAACUUAUCCAAAAAUCGUGAAACUUAGCAUGAUGUCACGACAUGGCACAUAUCUGCCGUGGAUUUUUUGUUUGGCCAUUUUGGGGCAAGCUUUAUUACAAGCCUCUUACAAACCGGAGCUUCUCGGUCAAGAAGCCUCAGUGUUCUGAUACGGAAACGUGUCCACCUUGUGGGCAAAACAAAUAUCGUUGCCUCUUGUCGCCUUGUAUUUUUUUCUAGAGGCAACAUGGGAGAACAGGAGAUUCAUGCUGAAAUUUUAAAUUAUUCAGGAUAUGUUUGACCUUUUUUAUACAUUAAUUGAGUUUUCUAGGCAUUUAAUGUCCAUAAUUCAAAUCUGAACUACAAAUACAUGCUUGAGUGCAUUAAAAUUUCUAGAAAAAUCGUACAUGUGUCCUUGGGUGCAUGUUUAAGUCCCAUGCAAGGAAUGAGAAUAGAUUACAACUGUAUCGGUGUCCUGGCUCGGCCUCAAACACUCAGAAUCUCGGUUUUUAUGUCCCCGUAAUUCCAAAACUCACCAUAAAAUCAUGAAACUUCGUAUGGUGCCACAACAUGGCACAUAUAUAUCGUGGUAAAAGAAUUGUCCAAUUUGGGCCAAUCUUUAUUACAACCCUCUUACAAACUCGAGCUCACCACAAGAACCCUCAUGGUUCCGAUAGGGAAACGUGCCCCCUUUGUGGGUGAAACGAUAAUUGCUACCGCUUCUUGAUAUGUCCAAAAUGCAUCACCUUUUUGUAUCAUAAUUUGUCUUUAUUCAUUGAUAUAUUUCACAUUAUGAUGAUGUAGUUAUAGUGUCUUGGCUUAUUUUACACAGUUUACAACUUUCCGGUGCCGAAACAGUAGAAGUAGAAUUCAGCGGAGAAAAUAGCACGAAGAGUUGCAAUACCAGAACAUCUCCAACUGUGCUGAAAAUUUGAGGGAAGUAGUUUUCGAACGGAUCCCGAAGACAGGACAAAGAAGGGCCGGAGGGGGGCCACAGGUCACCUAGGCGACCUGCUAGCGCGGGCCCCCCUAGGCCGCGCCAGGAGGACGCUUGGGUGGUGGGUCCCGCCUCCGGUGCUCUCCUUUGGCCUAUAUGUUCCUCUUGACCGGAAAUUUACGGGGACAGAAGAGUUUUUGCGAUUCCGCCGCCGCUCUGCGGCGGAAACCUACACAGAAGAAAAGAGCUUUCUGGCGGGCAGAUUCCGUCGGGGAGAAUUCCCCCCGGAAGGGGAAAUCGUCCUCAUCAUCAUCACCAUCGUCACGGGCAUCAUCGAGAUCAUCAUCACCAUCAUCACCAACACCAGCACCAUCUCCACCUUCAUCCCAUCUACUUCACCAUUGCAAUCGGAGUUGUACCUUGCACUAUUUAACCCCUCUACUCUACCGGUGUUGAUUACUCUUUUGUGGUGAAUGCUAUUGAGUUUUGUUGGAGGAUUAUUGUUAUGACCAUAUUGUUAAUCAUAUUUUCAUCACCUCUGAUCAUUAUCUCUUUUAUGUCUUGUGAGUAAUUCCGAUAGUUCUUGAGGACAUGGCAAAAGUCUAGCUGCUAGUAGUCAUAUGAUGUUGAAGUAAUAUGUGUUGAUUGAUAUUUAUGUUAUGGUGUUAUUCUUUUAGUGGUAUUAUGUGAACGUUGAGUACAUAACACUUCACCUUUUUAAGGACCUAGGGGAAUGAAUCAUGUAUAAAGAAUGCUUAUGGUGGGUUGCCGGAGUGACAGAAACCUGAACCCCAGUUCCCAUACUUUUGCAUGAGGGAAUAUUGGAUCCUAAAGCUUAUUGCUAUGGUUAGGAUUUGCCUUAAUUUCUCUCUUGUAUUUGUGGAUGCUUGCAAGAGGGUUAAUCAUAAGAGUGUACUUUUCUUAGCCUAGACGGUGCACUAGUUAAGAUCAACCCACAUAACACUUAUCAAUACAAAACAUAGUAGUAGACAGUGUAUGGCGAAAGCACUUGACUGUCUCUCCCGUGUGUCCUCAGGAACGCCUUAGUCUUUAUAAGUUUAGUCCCUCGGCAUAUCCUUUUUGUUGAAAAGGAUUGGGCCACUUGCUGCACCUCGGCACGAUUUACUUUACUUGCAUUUAUUUCCUUGUUGCUUAUACUUCAAAAACCAAAAAAAGUUACCUUUCAGUACUUGCAGUUAUUCCUUGCUCAAGAUCACUUGUAAAUACCUUCUGCUCCUCGUUGGGUUCGACACUCUUACUUAUUGAUAAGGCUAUGAUAGAUCCCCUACACUUGUGGGUCAUCAAUACCAUUUUCUGGUGCCGUUCCCGGGGAGUGUAGCGCUAUUGGUAAGAGAAAUUGGUAAGGAAACCUUUACACUAUACGUGUUGUUUUUUUACUGUUUCCACUUUUUGUCCCUAUGGACAACUCUCCUCUUGGUUUGUUUCUUGUGGGGCACCGCCCCAACGCUAUUGUGGUGGAGAAGCCUCCCCCACCUACUGAGAUGUGCCUUUAAAAUACCAACUGGUAUUAUUGAUUGUGUUUUGGCUAAUCGAUAUGCAGGAGAUAGACAUCCAGGUGAACACUUGUUAUAUCCUUCACAACUAUGCUCCUUAUUUAAGCUUGUAGGUAUAUCGAUGGAUUUUAUUAUUAGAAAGCUAUUCUCUCGAUCAUUAAAAUAUAAGGCUUUGGAUUGGUAUAGGCUUCUUGAUGACUCUCAUUUACUAAAUUGGCCAGAUCUUAUGCCUCUCUUUUAUGCAAAGUUUUAUCUUCUUCAUGAAAUACAUCAAGACAGGAAUUAUAUUUAUAACUUUUGGUCUCGUGACGGAGAAAGCAUCGCUCNNNNNNNNNNNNNNNNNNNNNNNNNNNNNNNNNNNNNNNNNNNNNNNNNNNNNNNNNNNNNNNNNNNNNNNNNNNNNNNNNNNNNNNNNNNNNNNNNNNNCCUUGACUCCCUGCACGGAAGCAAUUCCGGAGCAAACAUUCCAGUUAAGUAACCGUUGUAGUUGUAUAAGAUCGGGGCACAACUCCAAGUCGUCCUGUAACCGUGGACACGGCUAUCCGAAUAGUUUAUUUCUUCCCUGUACGGGUGCACCAAGUUUCCUGGCACGCUUGAUGAACUCUGGCCGGACACACUUACCUUGUUCAUGCCCGGCCUCAGCACAUCAACACGUCGCAGCCCCACCUAAUCUCAACAGAGAGGCCAGCCUGCCGGUCUAAAUCCUAAGUGCGCAGGGGUCAUGUUGUAGCGACCCGACUCAAGACGAGUCAAGCCUCUGUGUUUCUGUGCCAUCCCUGGAUCAGUAUCCUGGCACACACAAUACAUCAAUGUAUAUAUCAAAGUGCAAUCACAUGUAAAAUAGCGUAAAAACUGAUAUAUACCUUAAAUAUCUCAGCGGAAGCGGUCAAGGGAGUGGAGUCCCAAUAAACACCAACGACAAGUUGAGUGUAGACCGUAACCCUGAAUCGUACUCUUACUCGUCGAAGAAAAAUAUCUGCAACAUAAGACGUUGCAGCCGUGUAGGUCAGCAUAUUGAAUAUGCCGGCAAGUCACAUAAGAGAGGGGUGAAAGGUAAUCAUCUAUACUAUAUGCAUAUAUGGCAGGUGGGGCUAUAGGUUUUUAGCGAUAAAGCAAGUUUUCUCCUACAUCAAGAGGGGGCUAAAAGUAAAAUGUUACUACGUUGUUGGUUGUUAACGAGAUGGUUCCGCCAACCAGUUCUCGUACCCGAGUUGUCAAUAAUUACCCUCAUCAAAUAUAUUUAAUGGUGUUGAGAAAUCCAGAUAACUUCAGUUCCUUUGGCUCAAGUUGUCCAUGACCGUGGACACGGCUAAUCAAUUAGGUUUGAGUACUCUGCAGAGUUUUGCACACGUUCCCCACAAGAUUUGAUCGCCUUCGUGUAUGUCCUCGCACUUCAGGGUGUUUGAAGACCGGAUGAUCAAAACAUGGUCUUUCAACGGGUCCCUCUGAAUCCCUGUCGGUGCCCAUCCAUGCCUACCGNNNNNNNNNNNNNNNNNNNNNNNNNNNNNNNNNNNNNNNNNNNNNNNNNNNNNNNNNNNNNNNNNNNNNNNNNNNNNNNNNNNNNNNNNNNNNNNNNNNNGUGGUGAUGUUGACAAAGAAGAAUUUCUCGAGAAAUAACUUGAUAGACUACUCGUCACUCUCCGAUGAAAUCUAUAUGACAAACAUAUCAUUCACAUAAGCACUCAUACUAGCAAUCAUUCUAGCAAUCAAAACAAAAGGGAGAGCGAAUAGGAAUCCGAAAGAAACUUCAAAUAAGACUAGGGAGUCCUCUACUACAUCAAACACUAAAUGAUUUUUGUCCAACAGAAAAUAAUAACAAGGAACUAAGAUAUAAAUCUAACUAAGAUAAAAUAAAGUAUUUUUCACAAAACUUUUUGAAAGUAUUCCCAAACGGGAUUUGAAACAGUGGAGAAACCAAUUGCAAGUUACUAAGGAACUAGAAUUGAUUUCAUGAUAACAAAUAAAAACUUGUUGCAAAACUACUGUUUAACUAACAUAAACAAAACAAUAAUGUUUCUGAAAUAUAAAAGAAAAUAAUUUAAAAGUAACUAAAGAAAGUAAAUUAGUCACAAUCCUAAGAGAGGUGAAACAGAAAUUGUUUCACAAGAAACAGUGAGCUAAGACACUCAAACAAUUCUAAAAACUUUACCACUGAUACAUAAGAUCACUAGUGAUUAGUAGCAAAAAGAAUCAAAUUAAAAGCUAUUUUUAAACUCCUGGAAUAGGCAAAACAAGGUUUAAACUAAAUCUGAUCUAACUCAAAUUUGAAAAUUUCAAACAUAGACAAAUUAUAUGUUUUUAAAGCUACAGGAAAUUUGUGAGCUACUGGAAAACGAAUCACUAUCAUUGGACUUCGGGAUCAAAAGUUAUGGCCAAAACAAAACAGAAACUUUGUUGUUUUUGGAACUAGAGAGAAAAAGAGGAUAAUUGCUACAGACACGUGGCGUCCACUGAUUGGCUAAGGGUGUUUGCUGCAUAGGUUAAACAACGGAUGGCCGCUAAAUAAGAAAAUGCUUCGGUUCACUUAACUGAUGGACCGGUUCUUUUUCAGAAAACCGAAGGGGUAAGUACUUCCUAAUCUACACCGUGGGAUCUAGAUCUAAGGGAUGAAACUACACAAUACAAAAAAAAGAACAAGUAAAAAAAAGAAAAGGGAGGAGAGGUUACCUCGGCUGGGAGUAGCAGGAGCCUUCUCCGGCGAGGGUGUGCAACUCCGGCGGGGGUGGGGGAGGGGCCGGCGGGAGGAGUGGUGGAGGGGGGNNNNNNNNNNNNNNNNNNNNNNNNNNNNNNNNNNNNNNNNNNNNNNNNNNNNNNNNNNNNNNNNNNNNNNNNNNNNNNNNNNNNNNNNNNNNNNNNNNNNNNNNNNNNNNNNNNNNNNNNNNNNNNNNNNNNNNNNNNNNNNNNNNNNNNNNNNNNNNNNNNNNNNNNNNNNNNNNNNNNNNNNNNNNNNNNNNNNNNNNNNNNNNNNNNNNNNNNNNNNNNNNNNNNNNNNNNNNNNNNNNNNNNNNNNNNNNNNNNNNNNNNNNNNNNNNNNNNNNNNNNNNNNNNNNNNNNNNNNNNNNNNNNNNNNNNNNNNNNNNNNNNNNNNNNNNNNNNNNNNNNNNNNNNNNNNNNNNNNNNNNNNNNNNNNNNNNNNNNNNNNNNNNNNNNNNNNNNNNNNNNNNNNNNNNNNNNNNNNNNNNNNNNNNNNNNNNNNNNNNNNNNNNNNNNNNNNNNNNNNNNNNNNNNNNNNNNNNNNNNNNNNNNNNNNNNNNNNNNNNNNNNNNNNNNNNNNNNNNNNNNNNNNNNNNNNNNNNNNNNNNNNNNNNNNNNNNNNNNNNNNNNNNNNNNNNNNNNNNNNNNNNNNNNNNNNNNNNNNNNNNNNNNNNNNNNNNNNNNNNNNNNNNNNNNNNNNNNNNNNNNNNNNNNNNNNNNNNNNNNNNNNNNNNNNNNNNNNNNNNNNNNNNNNNNNNNNNNNNNNNNNNNNNNNNNNNNNNNNNNNNNNNNNNNNNNNNNNNNNNNNNNNNNNNNNNNNNNNNNNNNNNNNNNNNNNNNNNNNNNNNNNNNNNNNNNNNNNNNNNNNNNNNNNNNNNNNNNNNNNNNNNNNNNNNNNNNNNNNNNNNNNNNNNNNNNNNNNNNNNNNNNNNNNNNNNNNNNNNNNNNNNNNNNNNNNNNNNNNNNNNNNNNNNNNNNNNNNNNNNNNNNNNNNNNNNNNNNNNNNNNNNNNNNNNNNNNNNNNNNNNNNNNNNNNNNNNNNNNNNNNNNNNNNNNNNNNNNNNNNNNNNNNNNNNNNNNNNNNNNNNNNNNNNNNNNNNNNNNNNNNNNNNNNNNNNNNNNNNNNNNNNNNNNNNNNNNNNNNNNNNNNNNNNNNNNNNNNNNNNNNNNNNNNNNNNNNNNNNNNNNNNNNNNNNNNNNNNNNNNNNNNNNNNNNNNNNNNNNNNNNNNNNNNNNNNNNNNNNNNNNNNNNNNNNNNNNNNNNNNNNNNNNNNNNNNNNNNNNNNNNNNNNNNNNNNNNNNNNNNNNNNNNNNNNNNNNNNNNNNNNNNNNNNNNNNNNNNNNNNNNNNNNNNNNNNNNNNNNNNNNNNNNNNNNNNNNNNNNNNNNNNNNNNNNNNNNNNNNNNNNNNNNNNNNNNNNNNNNNNNNNNNNNNNNNNNNNNNNNNNNNNNNNNNNNNNNNNNNNNNNNNNNNNNNNNNNNNNNNNNNNNNNNNNNNNNNNNNNNNNNNNNNNNNNNNNNNNNNNNNNNNNNNNNNNNNNNNNNNNNNNNNNNNNNNNNNNNNNNNNNNNNNNNNNNNNNNNNNNNNNNNNNNNNNNNNNNNNNNNNNNNNNNNNNNNNNNNNNNNNNNNNNNNNNNNNNNNNNNNNNNNNNNNNNNNNNNNNNNNNNNNNNNNNNNNNNNNNNNNNNNNNNNNNNNNNNNNNNNNNNNNNNNNNNNNNNNNNNNNNNNNNNNNNNNNNNNNNNNNNNNNNNNNNNNNNNNNNNNNNNNNNNNNNNNNNNNNNNNNNNNNNNNNNNNNNNNNNNNNNNNNNNNNNNNNNNNNNNNNNNNNNNNNNNNNNNNNNNNNNNNNNNNNNNNNNNNNNNNNNNNNNNNNNNNNNNNNNNNNNNNNNNNNNNNNNNNNNNNNNNNNNNNNNNNNNNNNNNNNNNNNNNNNNNNNNNNNNNNNNNNNNNNNNNNNNNNNNNNNNNNNNNNNNNNNNNNNNNNNNNNNNNNNNNNNNNNNNNNNNNNNNNNNNNNNNNNNNNNNNNNNNNNNNNNNNNNNNNNNNNNNNNNNNNNNNNNNNNNNNNNNNNNNNNNNNNNNNNNNNNNNNNNNNNNNNNNNNNNNNNNNNNNNNNNNNNNNNNNNNNNNNNNNNNNNNNNNNNNNNNNNNNNNNNNNNNNNNNNNNNNNNNNNNNNNNNNNNNNNNNNNNNNNNNNNNNNNNNNNNNNNNNNNNNNNNNNNNNNNNNNNNNNNNNNNNNNNNNNNNNNNNNNNNNNNNNNNNNNNNNNNNNNNNNNNNNNNNNNNNNNNNNNNNNNNNNNNNNNNNNNNNNNNNNNNNNNNNNNNNNNNNNNNNNNNNNNNNNNNNNNNNNNNNNNNNNNNNNNNNNNNACCACACUUAAAAUGAAUCUCGUCCUCGAGAUUCGAAGAGGCUAGAAAGAAAGGUUAGGGUUUGGGGGUCUUCUAACAAUUCCAAUCUCCGGCAAGGUGGGACGCUACCACACUUAAAAUGANNNNNNNNNNNNNNNNNNNNNNNNNNNNNNNNNNNNNNNNNNNNNNNNNNNNNNNNNNNNNNNNNNNNNNNNNNNNNNNNNNNNNNNNNNNNNNNNNNNNCCACUCCUCCCGCCGGCCCCUCCCCCACCCCCGCCGGAGUUGCACACCCUCGCCGGAGAAGGCUCCUGCUACUCCCAGCCGAGGUAACAUCUCCUCCCUUUUCUUUUUUUACUUGUUCUUUUUUUUGUAUUGUGUAGUUUCAUCCCUUAGAUCUAGAUCCCACGGUGUAGAUUAGGAAGUACUUACCCCUUCGGUUUUCUGAAAAAGAACCGGUCCAUCAGUUAAGUGAACCGAAGCAUUUUCUUAUUUAGCGGCCAUCCGUUGUUUAACCUAUGCAGCAAACACCCUUAGCCAAUCAGUGGACGCCACGUGUCUGUAGCAAUUAUCCUCUUUUUCUCUCUAGUUCCAAAAACAACAAAGUUUCUGUUUUGUUUUGGCCAUAACUUUUGAUCCCGAAGUCCAAUGAUAGUGAUACGUUUGCCAGUAGCUCACAAAUUUCCUGUAGCUUUAAAAACAUAUAAUUUGUCUAUGUUUGAAAUUUUCAAAUUUGAGUUAGAUCAGAUUUAGUUUAAACCUUGUUUUGCCUAUUCCAGGAGUUUAAAAAUAGCUUUUAAUUUGAUUCUUUUUGCUACUAAUCACUAGUGAUCUUAUGUAUCAGUGGUAAAGUUUUUAGAAUUGUUUGAGUGUCUUAGCUCACUGUUUCUUGUGAAACAAUUUCUGUUUCACCUCUCUUAGGAUUGUGACUAAUUUACUUUCUUUAGUUNNNNNNNNNNAUAUUCCAGUAGUUUAAAAAUAGCUUUUAAUUUGAUUCUUUUUGCUACUGAUCACUAGUGAUCUUAUGUAUCAGUGGUAAAAAAUUUAGAAUUUUUUGAGUGUUUUAGCUCACUGUUUCUUGUGAAAAAAAUUCUGUUUCACCUCUCUUAGGAUUGUGACUAAUUUACUUUCUUUAGUUACUUUUAAAUUAUUUUCUUUUAUAUUUCAGAAACAUUAUUGUUUUGUUUAUGUUAGUUAAACAGUAGUUUUGCAACAAGUUUUUAUUUGUUAUCAUGAAAUCAAUUCUAGUUCCUUAGUAACUUGCAAUUGGUUUCUCCACUGUUUCAAAUCCCGUUUGGGAAUACUUUCAAAAAGUUUUGUGAAAAAUACUUUAUUUUAUCUUAGUUAGAUUUAUAUCUUAGUUCCUUGUUAUUAUUUUCUGUUGGACAAAAAUCAUUUAGUGUUUGAUGUAGUAGAGGACUCCCUAGUCUUAUUUAAAGUUUCUUUCGGAUUCCUAUUCGCUCUCUCUUUUGUUUUGAUUGCUAGAAUGAUUGCUAGUAUGAGUGCUUAUGUGAAUGAUAUGUUUGUCAUAUAGAUUUCAUCGGAGAGUGACGAGUAGUCUAUCAAGUUAUUUCUCGAGAAAUUCUUCUUCGUCAACAUCACCAGNNNNNNNNNNNNNNNNNNNNNNNNNNNNNNNNNNNNNNNNNNNNNNNNNNNNNNNNNNNNNNNNNNNNNNNNNNNNNNNNNNNNNNNNNNNNNNNNNNNNAUCAAAAAUUAUAGAUACGUUGGAGACGUAUCAAGCAUCCCCAAGCUUAACUCGUGCUCGUCCUCGAGUAGGGAAGUGAUAAAGACCGAAUUUUUGAUGUGGAAUGCUACCUAACAUAUUUGUUCUUUGUAACUUCUCUAUUGUGGCAUGAAUGUUCAAAUCCGUAAGAUUCAAAACAAUAGUUUAAUAUUGACAUGAAAACAAUAAUACUUCAAGCAUACUAGCCAAGUAAUUAUGAACUUUUGAAAUAACAAGGCCAAAGAAAGUUAUCUCUACAAAAUCAUAUAGCCUGGCUAUGCUCCAUCAUCCCCACACAACGAAUUUAAAUCAUGCACAAACCCGGUAUUGGCCAAGUAAUUGUUUUCGCACUCUUACUUUCUCAAACUUUUUCAACUCUCACGCAAUACAUGAGCGUGAGCCAUGGAUAUAGCACUAUAGGUGGAAUAAAGUGUGGUGGAGGUUGUGAGGCAAAAAGGAGGAGAUGGUCACUUCGACUUGGCGUAUCAACGGGUUAUGGAGAUGCCCAUCAAGAGAUAUCAAUGUGAAUGAGUAGGGAUUGCCAUGCAAUGGAUGCACUAGACCUAUAAGUGUAUGAAAGCUCAAAAAGAAAACUAGUGGGUGUGCACCAAACUUGCUUGCUCAUGAAGACCUAGGGCAAUUUUGAGGAAGCCCAUCAUUGGAAUAUACAAGACAAGUUAUAUAAUGAAAAUUCCCACUACUAUAUGAAAGUGACAAAACAAGAGACUCUCUAUCAUGAAGAACAGGGUGCUACUUUGAAGCACAAGUGUGGAAAAAAAUAGUAGCAUUGCCCCUUCUCUAUUUUUCUCUCAUCAUUUUUUUUGUUUGGGCUCUUUGGCCUCUUUUUUUUCAUUUCAUUUUCUUUUCUCUCCCUUUUUUUGGUGGGCAUCUUUGGCCUCUGUUUUUUUAUUUCCUCACAUGGGACAAUGAUCUAAUAAUGAUGAUCAUCACACUUUUAUUUACUUACAACUCGAUACUUAGAACAAUAAUGACUCUAUAUGAAAUGCCUCCGGGAGUGUACCAGGAUGUGCAACGAUCUAGCUUAGCGUAUGACGUUGAAACAUCUCGCUAGCUAUCUUACGAUCAUGCAAUGGCAAAAUGAAAAUGAUGGCACAUGUCAUGAGACAGAACGGUGGAAGUUGCAUGUCCAUAUAUCUCGGAAUGGCUAUGAAAAUGCCAUAAUAGGUAGGUAUGGUUGCUGUUUUGAGGAAGGUAUAUGGUGGGUUUGUGCACCGGCAAAAGUUGUGCGGCACUAGAGAGGCUAGCAAUGGUGGAAGGUGAGAGUGCAUCUAUACCAUGGACUCACAUUAGUCAUGAAGAACUCAUAUACUUAUUGCGAACGUUUUAUUAGUAAUCGAAACAAAGUGCUAAACGCAUACUCCUAGGGGAAGGGUUGGUAGGAAUUAACCAUCGCGCGAUCCCGACCGCCACACAAAGGAUGACAAUCAAUAAAUCAAUUAUGCUCCGACUUCCUAACAUAGCGGUUCACCAUACGUGCAUGCUACUGGAAUCACUAACCUCAACACAAGUAUUCCUAGAUUCACAACACCCUACUAACAUGACUCUAAUAUUACCAUAUCCAUAUCUCAAAACUAAUUGUGAGGAAUCAAACUUCUCUUACUAAUCAAUGCACUUGAAUAUGAACGUUUUUAUUAUAUCCUCUUUGUAUGCCUAUCAUAUUUAGGACUAAUUUCAUAGCACACGCCAAUUACCAAGUUACUUAGAGAGAGCACUCUCAAAAUGAUAUAAGUGAAGAUCGAGAGUUUUUAUUUCUACAAAAUAUGACACCGCCGUGCUCUAAAAAUAUUUAAGUGAAGCACUAGAGCAAAAUUAUCUAGCUCAAAAUAUAUAAGUGAAUCUCAUGGGAGCUAAAUUUCCUAGCUCAAAAGAUAUAAGUGAAUCUCAUGGGAGAAAAAAUAUCUAGCUCAAAAGGUAUAAGUGAAGCUCAUGGGAGCUAAAUUGCCUAGCUCAAAAGAUAUAAGUGAAGCUCAUUGAGUAUUCUAACAAAUUCACGAUGAGUGCAUGUCCCUCUCAAAAAGGUUUGCAGCAAGGAUGAUUGUGAUAAAACAAAAAGCAAAGACUCCUAUAAUACAUGAUGCUCCAAGAAAAACACAUAUCAUGUGGUAAAUAAAAAUAUAGCUCCAAGUAACGUUACCGAUGGAUUGAAGACGAAAGAGGGGAUGCCUUCCUGGGGCAUCCCCAAGCUUAGGCUUUUUGGUGUCCUUGAAUUUGGCUUGGGAUGACUUGGGCAUCCCCAAGCUUAGGCUCUUUCCACUCUUUACUCCAUUGUCCAUAAGAACAUCACCCAAAACUUGAAAACUUCACAACACAAAACUUAAACAGAAACUCGUGAUAUCAUUAGCAUAAGAAAACAAACCACCAACUUUUUAGGUACUGUAGUAAACUUAAUUUCCAUUUAGAUUGAUGUUAUAUUACUGUAUUCUCACUUCUCCAUGGCUCGUACCCCCCAAUACUAACCAUAGUUUCAUCAAAAUAAGCAAUCAACACAACAAAAUCAAAAUCUAUCAACAACAGAAUAGUCUGUAGCAAUCUGUAUAUUUCGUACACCUCUGCUAUCCCAAAAAUUCUGAAAAAGUUAUGAAAAUUAAGGAAAUUUGCAUAUCAAUCAUUAGCAAAAAUAAUCAACUCAAAAUCUCGUUCUGGAUAGGAAUUAAAAUAAUUUCAUGAGCACAAAGUUUCUGUCUUUUUUAGCAUGAUUAAACAACUAUUACCAAAACUAAUCAUAAAGGUUCUACUUGGCACAAACACUAAUUAAAACAUAAAAAAACAUAAUCAUAACAGAAUCAUGAUGGUGUGGACUCAACAAAACAUAAAGUAAAAAAGCAAAAAUUAAUUUAUUCAUUGGGUUGCCUCCCAACAAGCGUUAUUGUUUAACGCCGUUAGCUAGGCGUAAGGCAAUGGAAUCAAGUAUUAUCAUCUUUAGUGCUCAAACCACUCAUACAAUCAUCAUUAUUAGGGAGUUCCUUAAUUUUAUCAAUAAUUAUACUCCUAGAUAGGCAACAAAGAUAAUCAUUAGUGAUGAUAGGUUUUCUUAAGAUAUCAAGAUAGGUAGGGUGAACACUCAACAUUUUAAGAUCUUCAUCUCUCUUACUGGAUGGUUCACCAUUGUUUUUAGGAACAUAAACAAGCUUAGUGGCCUUAUUGUGGGCAAAAUUUGGAUUGUUCUGAAUAGCAGCAAAAAAGUGGAACUCAAGUUGGUUAUCACAUCCUCUAGUUUGCCAAUUCUAGCGGAAUCAUGAUCUAGUUUUUCGUUAACUAUGGGUUCCUUCUCCUUUAAAUUUUUCAAAGUCAUUCCCACCUUAGAUCUAUAUUGAGUGAUUUGAUUGUGGAUCUUUUUAUCCAAAUUUUCAAUGAGUUCUGUCGUAGCAACUUUAUUUUCAAUAAUAUCCAGCCUACGCAUCACAUGUUCCAAAGUUAAAGUAGUUCCAUUAACCAUGAGCAGGGGUGAGCCUACCAAAUUUAUUAAAGCACCAUAAGAAUCAAAGGUAUGGCUACCCAAGAAAUUUCCGCCUACGAUGGUGUCAAGAACAUACCUAUUCCAAGGGGAAAUACCCACAUAAAAAUUGUGAAGUAGAAUGGUAGUAGAUUGCUUACGAAUAGAUCUAUUCUGAGCAUUGCAAAUUCUAUACCAAGCAUCUUUUAAGUUUUCUCCCUCAUUUUUUUUAAAUUAAGAACUUUGCUCUCGGGAGUAACGAUAAUAGCGAUAGGACUAGCCAUAAGGAUAAGUAGACUAACCCACACAAGCAAACAGAAAGUAAGCAAAAGAAAGGGUGAACGAAAAAGGCACAUAAAGAAAGGCAAAUAUGUUUGUAAAUUUUGUUUUAGAAGUGGGGGAGAGGAAAACGAGAGGCAAUUGGCAAAUAAUGUAAAUGUAAGAGAUGAGUUUGCGAUAGGUACUUGCUAGAUAUGCUUCACUUGAAUACUCCCCGGCAACGGUGCCAGAAAUUUUUCCUGCAACUUCUUGAGCUUGCGUUGGUUUUUCCCUUGCAGAGGAACGGGUGAUGUAGUAAAGUAGAGAUAAGUAUUUCCCUCAGUUUGAGAACCAAGGUAUCAAUCCAGUAGGAGUAUCAAGAUGAGGCACCAAUGCACCUGCGCAAAAACAAAUAAACUUGCACCCAACACGAUAAAGGGGUUGUCAAUCCCUUUACAAUUACUUGUAAGGUCAGAUCUGAUAGUGAUAAUAGGUAAAUAUAAAUAAAUGAAUAAAAGUGAAGCAAGGUAUUUUUUGUAUUUUCGUAUGUAAAUCUGAAUAUAUAAUGUGUAAAAUAGACCCGGGGCCAUAGUGUUCACUAGAGGCUUCUCCCAUGAUAGCAAGUAUUACGGUGGGUGAAGGAGUUACUAUCGAGCAAUUGAUAGAAUCGCGCAAAGUCAUGACGAUAUCUAAGGCAAUGAUCAUACAUAUAGGCAUCACGUCCGAGACAAGUAGACUGAUACUUUCUGCAUCUACUACUAUUACUCCACACAUCAACCGCUAUCCAGCAUGCAUCUAGUGUAUUAAGUUCAUAACAAACAGAGUAACGCCUUAAGCAAGAUGACAUGAUGUAGAGGGAUAAAUUCAUGCAAUAUGAUAUAAACCCCAUCUUUUUACCCUUGAUGGAAACAACAGGAUGCGUGCCUUGCUACCCCUUCUGUCACUAGGUGAGGACACCGCACGGUAUGAACCCAAAACCAAGCACUUCUCCCAUUGCAAGAAUUAUAGAUCAAGUUGUCCAAACGAAACCCAUAACUCGAAGAGAAUUACAAGGAUAUGAAAUCAUGCAUAUAAGAAAUCAGAGGAGACUCAAAUAAUAUUNNNNNNNNNNNNNNNNNNNNNNNNNNNNNNNNNNNNNNNNNNNNNNNNNNNNNNNNNNNNNNNNNNNNNNNNNNNNNNNNNNNNNNNNNNNNNNNNNNNNUUUCAGACUCAUAACCGUGAAAAGGAUCAGAUUCGACCAGAGUGAUUAACUCAGGGUCGAUAGAGAAUUCAUAAUCCUUAUCGGUCACAAAGAUAGGCGAAGUAGCAAACUUCGGGUCGUAUUUCAUCCUAGCAUUCAGAGAUUUUCCUUUCCAAUUGCACAGUAAUUUCUCAACAUCAUAGCUAUCCUUACACGCAAGAAAGUCCUCAGCUAUCUGUCCCUCCAUAACAUAGCGUUCAGGCAUAACAGGAAAUUCAGGCAUAGGAGAGCUAGUUCUAGCAGGCAAAAUAGCAGGUUCUACUUCAAUAGUAUCAGCAGUUUCACAAGUAUCAUCACAUCUAGCAGCAACUCUAGCAAUUUGUGCAUCAAGGGCACCUAGUGGCAAAGCAGUAUCAGGCAUAGCAUCAUCAGGCAUAGUAUCAAGCAUAGCAUCGUCAACCAUAGUAUCAAGCAUAGCAUCAUCAUAAGCAUCAUGGGCAGCAGAAGUAGCAUCAUCAAGCACAUGCGACAUAUCAAGAUUUCUAGCAGGAGGCGAAGUCGCAAACUUACUCAAAACUGAAGGUGAAUCAAGUCCAUAGCUAGAUGGCAGUUCCUUACCUCUACUCGUAGUGGAAGGCAAGAUUUUAGUUCUUGGAUCUUUCGUAUUCCUCAUAGUGAUCAGCAGACGUCAAUCCCAAGUGACUUAGAGAAUAUAGCUUUUCUUCCCUGGCAACGGCGCCAGAAAAAGGUCUNNNNNNNNNNNNNNNNNNNNNNNNNNNNNNNNNNNNNNNNNNNNNNNNNNNNNNNNNNNNNNNNNNNNNNNNNNNNNNNNNNNNNNNNNNNNNNNNNNNNGGGGCGAAGGGUGGAGGGGUGGGCUCGGCAGGGAGGGUGCAGCGAGGUAGAGGAGGUGUGCAGGGGCGAUGUGGUGGUGUUCCUGGGAUGUUUCUGGCAGCUCUCGGGUGCCGACUCCGACGAGGUGGCACGCGAGCUAGAGGCGAGGAGAGGGAGUGGUUUCAACGGGAAUGGAACGAGGAGGUGCAGGGGGUUCUUAUAGAGGCGACGGGAGGCGCUGGGAAGGGAAGAGCUUCGCGAAUCCCGGAGGUGGGGAUCCUCUGUCUAUGGAGGGAAAGUUCUAUCACGUGAGGGAGAGAAUAGAGGAAGAAGAUGAUCUUCCUGGGCCAGUGAAAGGAAAAGUCUUAAUGGGCCACCUGGAGUUUCCUAAUAGAAACGAUUUCUUUCCUAUUUUUAAAACUAGGAAACUAAAACGAUAAAAAGGAAAUCAAAUCAAUUCGGAAUAAAGAGUUUCUAUAUAGUAAAAUUAUCAGAAAAAUAAAAUAUAAAUGAUGGGCAUUUUUCCGCGACAAAAAUAAAAACUUUAGAAAAAAUUAUUUUUACAAAAUUGCCUAAAAGGUUUAUUUUCUUUUGCAAAUAAUUUUCAAAUGACCCUCUAAGUUUGAGGCUUCAAAUAACUUUCAAAAUGCCCGUGGGUUCGAGGGUCAUGUUCCUCCUCUCUAGAAUGUAUUUCCCGGCAUUUCUUGCACGAAGAAAACGAAUGGAAAUGCAAAGGAAUUCAAAUGCAAAUAUCUCCGUUCAAAUUCUUUAUAGUUGAAGAAGUCAUGUCAUCUUCUCUCUUUGCUUUUAAAAGAUUGAAUUUGAAUUGAGAAGGGGAAAGUCAUUUUAUUCCCUCUCAUUCAAAAGUUUCAGAAAGUUUCAAAUUUCACACAAGUUUCAAUCACUCAGGCAACCAACAAACAAUCUAAUAAUAAUUAUAUUAACAUUCCAAAAUUUAUAUUUGGGAUGCUACACAUGUUCCCAUCACCCUUUGCACGCCUGCAUGAUGUGUGGGCGGCUGAGGUCAGUCCUAGCACCCCUUAUUACAAGUGCGAUGCAUAUCCCGACCACUCGAGCGCGCGCUGCUCCAUUGCUGACGUCUGAAGAGAUUCGGCUGAUACCACGACGUCGAGAACCCAUAACUCCUCUCGCGUAGACGGUUAGUGCGAAAAGGUCUCCGACCAACCUAGAUCAAAUACCCAAAUCCUUAGUAUUUUAAUUAAACUCAAGGAUGUGUGGCAAGGACCAGAAUGCCCAGCCACGCCUCGUCACAUUCACGCGAGAAUCCACCCACCAAACAUUUCAUCAGUGUUCCCAGUAGCACGGUCAAGAAAGGUGUGGUUGUAACAGCAGAGGGAUCCGAGGUAUCACCCUCGAUGGAUGACGUACAAUGUAACUGUCAAGGUGGCCAGGGAGGAAUCACCCUCGCUGGACCAACUUGAAGGGUUGUAUGACAGAGUCGUUAUCAUAGGUGGGGCACGAGGAAUCACCCUCCGAGAACCACCGCCGGUCAACCUCACUACAAUGAUAGCCUCGGGGUACAUAACGAGAUGUCACCCUCGGUACCCGAUAGUAGCCCUGCAGCGUCGUACAACUAAGGGGGGUGUAAGUACGGUCUCGGGUCUUGGCUCAUCGAUCACUUGAUCGAGACUGGACAAUAAAGCGGGGCAACUUGUCUAAGUGGUUAGAGGGGAUGACUGAGCCACCUAUACUAAGAAAUUUAAAGUGUGGUACUAAAAGUAGUUGUUCAUCAAAAGUAGGCUAUGCAUCUGAUAUAGGAGCUAACUACAACAGUAGCAAAAAUUCUAAUGCAAGCAGGAGGGAGAAAGAAAUGGGCGAUAUAGGGUCGAUCAAGGGGGUUUGCUUGCCUUGUUGCUCUGGGGCAAAGGGCUGGUCGUCAGGUGGGUAGAUGUACUCGACAGGUGCAUCAGUCGCGGGGUCUACCAGUAAGAAGAGGGGGGAAGAAACAAUGAAUAUGAACACAGAUGUAAUCACUAAGCAUGACAUGUCAAAGCAGGGCUAGGCAUGAGCUAACACAGUGUUAUCCAUCAUAUACGGGUCGGAAAAAUAUGAGAUGAUAAUUCCCACGUCUCUGGCCACGAUUGGUCAGACAAAAAUGGUGGAAAAGUUCCACGUUUUCUAUGCUAGGGACGCGUGACACACGAAUGGACAACAAAUCCGGGUUCGUCUUGUUUUGCUGAUCAACUUUCAUGUUCAAAAUAUUUUCAUCUUACUUAUGGUUUAUUUUAUAUUAAUUUUUAAAGUUUUAUUAAAUAUUAUGAAAAAAACAGAUUUAAAUAAUUCAAAUAUUUAGAUAUGACGUCAUUGUGAUGUCACCAUGACAUGAGCAGUCAACAAGGCUUUGACUUGUCAAAUCUGACUAGUGGGUCUCAUGUGUCAUAGGCACAUUUAUUAUUAGGGUUAAAUAAAUAUUUAAUCAAGUUAAUUAGGGGGUGGGACCCACCUGUCAUACACAGUUUAGGAUAUUUUAUUUAUCUUAAUUAAGAGAUUACCUAAUAAUUGUUGGGGAACGUUGCAUGGGAAACAACAAAUUUCAUACGCACACACGAAGACCUAACAUGGUGAUGUCCAUCUAUGGGAGGAGAUUUGGAUCCACGUACCCUUGUAGAUCGUACAGCAGGAACCGUUAAGAAACAAGGUUGAUAUAGUGCAACGUCUUCACGUCCCUCGAUCCGCCCCACGAACCGUCCCAAGAACCGUCCCACGAUCCGUUCCGAUCUAGCGCUGAACGGACGACACCUCCGCGUUCAGCACACGUACAACUCGAUGAUGAUCUCGGCCUUCUUGAUCCAGCAAGCAAGACGGAUAAGUAGAUGAGUUCUCUAGUAGCGUGACGGCGCGCCGGUGGUGGUGAUGAUCUACUCCUGCAGGGCUCAACCCGAGCUCCACAGAAACCGAUCUAGAGGUAAAACUAUGUGGUCUAGGGUUGAGUUGCACGUGGCAAAAGUUGUCGCAAAUCAUCCCUAAAUCACCACUAUAUAUAGGAGCGAGGGGGAGGAGGCUUGCCUUGAGGGCCAAGCCCUCAAGGGUGCGCCGGCUAAGGGAGAGGAGGAGUCCUACUCCAAUCCUACUCCAACUAGGAUUGGAAAGUGGAGUCCUUCUCUUCCUGCCCACCUCUCCUUUUGUUUUCUUUGGUUUUUCUUUCUUCGCACAAAGGCCCUCUUGUGUUGUCCCACCAGCCCACUAAGGGCUGGUGCGCCACCCUAGGGCCAUUGGGCUUCCCCCGGGUGGGUUGCCCCCCUCCCGGUGAACAUCCGGAACCCAUUCGUCACUCCCGGUACAUUCCCGGUAAUGCGUGAAAACCUUCCGGUAACCAAAUCAAGUCAUCCUAUAUAUCAUUCUUCGUCUCCAGACCAUUCCAGAAACCCACGUGACGUCCGUGAUCUCAUCCGGUACUCCGAACAACAUUCAGUAACCACACAUAUAACUCAAUUAUACUAAAAACAUCGCCGAACCUUAAGUGUGCACACCCUGCGGGUUCGAGAACUAUGUAGACAUGCCCCGAGGUACUCCUUGGUCUAUAUCCAAUAGCAGGACCUGGAUGCCCAUAUUGGAUCCUACAUAUUCUCCGAAGAUCUUAUCGGUUGAACCUCAGUGUCAAGGAUUCAUAUAAUCCCGUAUGUCAUUCCCUUUGUCCUUCGGUAUGUUACUUGCCCGAGAUUCGAUCGUUAGUAUCCGCAUACCUAUUUCAAUCUCAUUACCGGCAAGUCUGUUUACUCGUUCUGUAAUACAAGAUCCCAUGACUUGCACUUAGUCACAUUGCUUGUGAGGUUUGUGUGUGAUGUUUUAUUACCGAGUGGGCCCCGAGAUACCUCUCCGUCACACGGAGUGACAAAUCCCAAUCCUGAUCCAUACUAACUCAAUGGACACCUUUGGAGAUACCUGUAGAACACCUUUAUAGGCACCGAGUUACGUUGUGACGUUUGAUGCACACAAGGUAUUCCUCCGGUACCAGUGAGUUAUAUGAUCUCAUAGUCAUAGGAACAAAUACUUGACAAGCAGAAAACAAUAGUAAUAAAACGACAUGAUCAAUAUGCUACGUUCAUAGUUUGGGUCUAGUCCAUCACAUGAUUCUCCUAAUGAUGUGAUCCAGUUAUCAAGCAACAACACUUUGCACAUAGUCAGAAAACCUUGACUAUCCUUGAUCAACUCGCUAGCCUACUAGAGGCUUGCUAGGGACAUUGUUUUUCUAUGUAUCCACACAUGUAUCUAUGUUUUCAUUCAAUACAAUUACAACAUGGAUAAUAAACGAUUAUCUUUGAAUAGGAAAUAUAAUAAUAACUAUUUAUCAUUGCCUCUAGGGCAUAUUUCCAACAGUCUCCCACUUGCACUAGAGUCAACAAUCUAGUCCUCACAUCGCCAUGCGAUUUACAUUGUAAUAAAUCGAACACCCGUACAGUUCUGGUGUUGAUCAUGUUUUGCCCGUGGAACAGGUUUAGUCAGCGGGUCUGCUACAUUCAGAUCUAUGUGCACUUUGCAAAUAUUCACGUCCUCUCCUUCGACGUAGUUGUGGAUGAGGUUGAAGCGUCGUUUGAUGUGUCUGGUCUUUUGUUAAACCUUGGUUCCUUUGCUAAGGCAAUGGCAUCAGUGUUGUCACAUAACAGAGUUAAUGGAUCUAGUGCGCUCGGCACAACUCCAAGAUCUGUCAUGAACUGCUUCAUCCAGACACCCUCCUUUGCUACCUCCGAGGCAGCCAUGUACUCCGCUACACAUGUAGAAUCUGCUACACGCUCUGCUUGGAACUGCACCAGCUUACUGCACCCCCAUUCAGAAUAAAUACAUCUCCGGUUUGCAACUUAGAGUCAUUCCGAUCGGUGUCAAAACUUGCGGCGACGUAACCCUUUACGACGAGCUCUUUGUCACCUCGAUAAACGAGAAACAUUUCCUUAGUCCUUUUCAGGUACUUUAGAAUAUUCUUGACCUCCGUCCAGUGAUCCACUCCUGGAUUACUCUGAAACCUGCCUGCCAUACUUAUGGCCAAGAUGGCGCCUGGUCUAGUGCACAGCAUUGCAUACAUGAUAGAACCUACGGCUGAAGCAUAGGGGAUGUAACUCAUUUGUUCUCUAUCUUCCGCAGUUGCUGGGCACUUUGUCUUACUCAAUUUUAUACCUUGUAAUACUUGCAAGAACCCUUUCUUGGACUGAUCUAUUUUGAACUUCUUCAAAACUUUAUCAAGGUAUUUGCUUUGUGGAAGUCCUAUCAGGCGUUUCUAUAUAUCCCUAUAGAUCUUAAUGCCUAGAAUGUAAGAAGCUUCUCGUAGGUCCUUCAUAGAGAAACAUUUAUUCAAGUAAUCAUUUAUGCUCUCCAAAAGCUCCACGUUGUUUCCAAUCAGCAAAAUGUCAUCCGCAUAUAAUAUUAGAAACGCCACAGAGCUCCCACUCACUUUCUUGUAAAUACAAGAUUCUCCAAUCACUUGUAUAAACCCAAAUGCUUUGAUCACCUCAUAAAAGCGCUAAUUCCAACUCCGAGAUGCUUGCACCAGUUCAUAAAUGGAUCGCUGGAGCUUGCAUACUUUGUUAGCAUUCUUUGGAUCGACAAAACCUUCGGGUUGCAUCAUAUACAACUCUUCCUUAAGAAAACCAUUAAGGAACGCCUUUUUGACAUCCAUCUGCCAGAUUUCAUAAUCGUAAAAGGCUGCUAUUGCUAACAUGAUUCAGACGGACUUAAGCAUCGCUACCGGUGAGAAUGUCUCAUCAUAGUCAACUCCUUGAACUUGUGAAAAACCCUUUGCCACAAGUCGAUCCUUAUAAACGGUCACAUUACCGUCUACAUUUGUCUUCUUGUUAAAGAUCCAUUUGUUCCGAAUAGCCUUGCGACCUUCAGGUAGUACUUCCAAAGUCCACACUUUGUUCUCCUACAUGCAUCCUAUCUCGGACUUCAUGGCCUGCACCCAUUUGUUGGAAUCUGGGCCCACCAUUGCUUCUUCAUAAUUCGUAGGUUCAUUGUUGUCUAACAACAUAAUUGAUAAGAUAGGAUUACCAUACCAUCAGGAGCAGUACGUGAUCUUGUCGACCUGCGAGGUCCGAUAGGAACUUGAUCUGAAGUUUCAUGAUCAUCAUCAUCAACUUCCUCCUCAACCGGCAUCGCAACAACAUGGGUUUCCCCUUGCCAUGUGCCACCAUCUAGAGGGAUUAGAGGUUCGACAACCUCAUAAAGUUCUAUCUUCCUCCCACUCAAUUCUUUCGAGAGAAACUCCUUCUCAAGAAAAGCUCCGUUUUUAGCAACAAACACUUUGCCCUCGGAUUUGAGAUAGAAGGUAUACCCAAGUGUCACUUUUGGGUAAUCUAUGAAGACGCAGUUUUCCGCUUUGGGUUCCAGCUUUUCAGGCUGAAGCUUUUUGACAUAAGCAUCACAUCACCAAACUUUAAGAAACGACAAUUUUGGUCUUUUGCCAUACCACAGUUCGUAUGGUGUUGUCUCAAUGGAUUUUGAUGGUGCCCUAUUUAAAGUGAAUGCCGCUGUCUCUAAUGCAUAACCCCAAAAUGAUUACGACAAAUCGGUAAGAGACAUCAUAGAUGGCAACAUCUCUAAUAAAGUACGAUUACGUCGUUCGGACACACCAUUGCGUUGUGGUGUUCUAGGCGGUGUUAACUGUCAAAUAAUUCCAAUUGUCUUAAGUGAGCACCAAACUAGAAACUCAGAUAUUCACCCCCACGAUCAGACCGUCGGAACUUGAUCUUCUUGUUACGAUGAUUUUCAACUUCACUCUGAAAUUUCUUGAACUUCUCAAACAUUUCAGACUUGUGCUUCAUCAAGUAGACAUAACCAUAUCUAUUCAAAUGGUAAGUGAAGGUGAGAAAAUAACGAUAUCCGCCGUGCGCCUCCACACUCAUCGGACCGCAUACAUCGGUAUGUAUGAUUUCCAACAAGUCACUUGCAUGCUCCAUUGUUUCGGGGAAUGGAGUCUUAGUCAUCUUUCCCAUGAGGCAUGGUUCGCAUGUGUCAAGUGAAUCAAAGUGAAGUGACUCCAAAAGUCCAUCGGAAUGGAGUUUCUUCAUGCGCUUUACACCAAUAUGACCUAAGCGGCAGUGCCACAAAAACAUGGCGCUAUCAUUGUUAACUCUAACUCUUUUGGUCUCAAUGUUAUGUAUAUGUGUAUUACCGCUAUCAAGAUUCAGUAUGAACAAUCCUCUCACAUUGGGUGCAUGGCCAUAAAUGAUAUUACUCAUAGAAAUAGAACAACCAUUAUUCUCUGACUUAAACGAGUAACCGUCUCGCAAUGAACAAGAUCCAGAUAUAAUGUUCAUGCUUAACGCAGGCACUAAAUAACAAUUAUUUAAGUUCCUAACUAAUCCUGAUGGUAACUGAAGUGAAACUGUGCCGACGGCGAUUGCAUCAACCUUGGAACCAUUUCCCGCGCGCAUCGUCACUUCAUGCUUCGCCAGCCUUUGCUUAUUCCGCAGUUCCUGUUUCGAGUUGCAAAUAUGAGCAACAGAACCGGUAUCAAAUACCCAGGCACUACUACGAGAACUCGUUAAGUACACAUCAAUAACAUGUAUAUUGAAUAUACCUGAUUUUCCCUUGGCCGCCUUCUUAUCAGCCAAAUACUUGGGGCAAUUGCGCUUCCAGUGGCCCAUACCCUUGCAAUAAUAACACUCCGUUUCAGGCUUAGGUCCAACUUUGGGUUUCUUUGUCGGAUUGGCAAAAGGCUUGCCGCUCUUCUUGGAAUUACCCUUCUUUACUUUGUCGUUUCUCUUGAAACUAGUGGUCUUAUUCACCAUCAACACUUGAUGCUCUUUACGGAGUUUUGACUCUGUGACUUUCAGGAUCGCAAAUAACUCGCCGUGUGACUUGUUCAUCCCUUGCAUGUUAUAGUUCAACACAAAGCUCUUGUAGCUUGGUGGCAGUGACUGAAGAAUUCUAUCAGUGAUAGCCUCUUGCGGGAGUUCAAUCCCCAGCUCAGCUAGACGGUUUGAGUACCCAGACAUUUUGAGCACAUGUUCAUAGACACACGAAUUCUCCUCCAUCUUGCAAGCAUAGAAUUUAUCGAAGGUCUCAUACCUCUCGAUCCGGGCGUUCUUCUGAAAGAUAAACUUCAACUCCUGGAACAUCUCAAAUGCUCCAUGAUGCUCAAAGCUUAGUUGAAGUCCUGGCUCUAAGCCACACAAGACUGCACAUUGAAUUACUGAGUAGUCCUCCUUACGUGUUAACCAAGCGUUCUUAACAUCUUGGUCAGCCGUAGCGGGUUGUUCAUCUCCUAGCGCAGCAUUAAGGACAUAAUCCUUCUUCCCAGCUUGCAGGAGCAACUUAAGAUUACGAGCCCAGUCUACAAAGUUGCUUCUAUCAUCUUUUAACUUAGCUUUCUCUAAGAAUGAAUUAAAAUUCAGGGUGACUGUCGCGUGAGCCAUUGAUCUACAACACAAAUAUUUUCAAAGUGGACUUAGACUAUGUUCAAGAUAAUUAGAGUUCAACUAAUAAAAUUACUUGCUAAACUCCCACUCAAAAAGUACAUAUCUCUAGUCAUUUGAGUGGUACAUGAUCCAAAUUCACUAACUCUAGUCUGAUCAUCACGUGAGUUGAGAAUAGUUUCAGUGGUAAGCAUCUCUAUGCUAAUCAUAUCAACUAUACGAUUCAUGCUCGACCUUUCGGUCUCAUGUGUUCUGAGGCCAUGUCUGCACAUGCUAGGCUCGUCAAGCUUAACCCGAGUGUUGUGCGGGUGCAACUGUUUUGCACCCGUUGUAUGUGAACGUUGAGUCUAUCACACCUGAUCAGAUCACGUGGUGUCUCGAAACAACGAACUGUAGCAAUGGUGCACAGUCGGGGAGAACACAAUUUCGUCUUGAAAUUUUAGUGAGAGAUCACCUUAUAAUGCUACCGUCGUUCUAAGCAAAAUAAUGUGCAUAGAAGGAUUAACAUCACAUGAAAUUCAUAAGUGACAUGAUAUGGCCAUCAUCUUGUGCUUCUUGAUCUCCAUCACCAAAGCACCAAUCUUCUUGUCACCGACGCCACACCAUGAUCUCCAUCAAUAUGUCGCCAUUGGGACUGUCGUGCUACUUAUGCUAUUACUACUAAAGCUACAUCCUAGCAAUAUAGUAAACACAUCUACAAACACAAAUUACAACCCUACGGCUCCUGCCGGUUGUCGUACCAUCGACGUGCAAGUUGAUAUUUAACUAUUACAACAUGAUCAUCUCAUACAUCCAAUAUAUCACAUCACGUCAUAGGCCAUAUCAUAUCACAAGCAUACCCUGCAAAAACAAGUUAGACGUCCUCUAAUUUGUUGUUGCAUGUUUUACGUGGCUGCUAUGGGUAUCUAGUAUGAUCGCAUCUUACUUAUGCAAAAACCACAACGGAGAUGUGGAACUUGCUAUUUAAUCUCUCCAAGGACUGCCUCGGUCAAAACCAAUUCAAUUAAAGUUGGAGAAACCGACACUCGCGAGUCAUGUUUAUGCAACGAGGUUGCAUGUCAAUCGAUGAAACCAGUCUUUCAUAAGUGUACGAAUAAUGUCGGUCCGAACAGCUUCAAUACAACAAUACCGCUGAAUCAAGAAAAGACUAAGGAGGGCAGAAAAUCGAACAUCACCGUCCACAAAACCCUUUGUGUUCCACUCAAGAUAACAUCUACGCAUGAACUAGCUCAUGAUGCCACCGUUGGGGAACGUUGCAUGGGAAACAAAAAAUUUCCUAUGCACACGAAGACCUAUCAUGGUGAUGUCCAUCUACGAGAAGAGAUUUGGAUCUAUGUACCCUUUUAGAUCGCACAUCAGGAAGCGUUAAGAAACACGGUUGAUGUAGUCGAACGUCUUCAUGUCCCUCGAUCCGCCCCACGAACUGUCCCGCGAUCCAUCCCACGAUCCAUUCCGAUCUAGCGCCGAACGGAUGACACCUCCGCGUUCAGCACACGUAUAGCUCGACGAUGAUCUCGGCCUUGUUGAUCCAGCAAGCAAGACGGAGAAGUAGAUGAGUUCUCUGGCAGCGUGAGGGCGCGCCCAUGGUGGUGAUGAUCUACUCCUGCAGGGCUCCGCCCGAGCUCCACAGAAAUCCAAUCUAGAGGUAAAACUAUGUAGUCUAGGGUUGAGUUGCACGUGGCAAAAGUUGUCUCAAAUUAGCCCUAAAUCACCACUAUAUAUAGGAGGGCGGGGGAGGAGGCUUUCCUUGAGGGCCAAGCCCUCAAGGGUGUUCCAACCAAGGGAGAGGAGGAGUCCUACUCCAAUCCUACUCCAACUAGGAUUGGAAAGUGGAGUUCUUCUCUUCCUUCCCACCUCUCCUUUUUUUGGUUUUUCUUUCUUGGCGCCAAGUCCCUCUUGGGCUGUCCCACCAGCCCACUGAGGGAAUGUGCGCCACCCCUAGGGCCAUUGGGCUUCCCCCGGGUGGGUUGCCCCCUCCCGGUGAACAUCCGGAACCCAUUCGUCACUCCCCGUACAUUCCCCGUAAUGCCCGAAAACCUUCCGGUAACCAAACGAAGUCAUCCUAUAUAUCAAUCUUUGUCUCCGGACUAUUCCGGAAACCCUCGUGAUUUUCGUGAUCUCAUCUGGUAGUCUGAACAACAUUCGGUAAUAUACUAAAAACAUCGCUGAACCUUAAGUGUGCAGACCCUGUGGGUUCGAGAACUAUGUAGACAUGCCCCAAGGUACUCCCCGGUCAAUACCCAAUAGCGGGACCUGGAUGCCCAUAUUGGAUCCUACAUAUUCUCUGAAGAUCUUAUCGGUUGAACCUCAGUGUCAAGGAUUAAUAUAAUCCCGUAUGUCAUUCCCUUUGUCCUUCGGUAUGUUACUUGCCCGAGAUUCGAUCGUCAGUAUCCGCAUACCUAUUUCAAUCUCGUUACUCGCAAGUCUCUUUGCUCGUUCUGUAAUACAAGAUCCCGUGACUUACACUUGUCACAUUGCUUGCGAGGCUUCUGUGUGAUGUUGUAUUACCGAGUGGGCCUCGAGAUACCUCUCCGUUACACGGAGCGACAAAUCCUAGUCUUGAUCCAUAUUAACUCAAUGGACACCUUCGGAGAUACGUGUAGAACACCUUUAUAGCCACCCAGUUAUGUUGUGACGUUUGAUGCAUGAUACGUCUCAAACGUAUCUAUAAUUUUUGAUGGUUUCAUGUUGUUAUCUUGUCAACUUUGGAUGUUUUAUAUUCCUUUUAUAUCUUUUUUGGGACUAACUUAUUAAUUCAGUGCCAAGUGCCAGUUCCUGUUUUUUCUGUGUUUUUGCUCUUUUCAGAUCUGAUAUUCGAACGGAGUCCAAAUGGAAUAAAAUCCCUGAAAUGAAUUUUUCAAGAACAGAAGAAGAUCGGGGGACUUGAUGGCCAAGGCAGGAGGCCCACACGGAGCCCACAAGCCAUGUAGCUGCGGCCAGGGGGCUCGCGGCCACCAGGCUUGUGGCCUCCCUGGAGCUCCCCUGCCCUAGCUCUUUGGCCUAUAUAUUCCCUAAAAUUCCAGAGAAAAUCAGGGCGUCCACGAAACCACUUUUCCGCCGCCGCAAGAUUCCGUUUCCGCGAGAUCUCAUCUGGAGACCUUUCCCGGUGCCCUAUCGGAGGGGACUUUGGAGCUGGAGGGCUUCUACAUCAACAUCAUUGCCUCUCCAAUGACUCGUGAGUAGUCUACUUCAGACCUACGGGUCCGUAGUUAGUAGCUAGAUGGCUUAUUUUCUCUCUUGGAUCUUCAAUACAAAGUUCUCCAUGAUCUUCACGGAGAUCUAUCUGAUGUAAUCCUCUUUGGCGUGUGUUUGUCGAGAUCCGAUGAAUUGUGGAUUUGUGAUCAGAUUAUCUAUGAAUUAUAUUUGAGUCUUUGCUGAUUUCUUAUAUGCAUGAUUUGAUAUCCUUGUAAGUCUCUCCGAGUCUUGGGUUUUAUGGCCAACUAGAUCUAUGAUUCUUGCAAUGGGAGAAGUGCUUGGUUUUGGCUUUUGGGUUCAUACCGUGCGGUGACCUUUCCCAGUGACAGAAGGGGCAGCAAGGCACGCAUCGUGUUGUUGCCAUCAAGGGUAACAAGAUGGGCUUUCAUCAUAGAUUUGAGAUUGUCCAUCUACAUCAUGUCAUCUUGCUUAAGGCGUUACUCUGUUCUUAUGAACUCAAUACACUAGAUGCAUGUUGGAUAGCGGUCGAAGUGUGGAGCAAUAGUAGUAGAUGCAGAAAGUAUCGGUCUACUUGUUUUGGACUUGAUGCCUAUAUGUAUGAUCAUUGCUAUAGACAACGUCAUGACUUUGCGCGGUUCUAUCAAUUGAUCAACAGUAAUUCGUUCACCCACCGUCUACUUGCUUUCAUGAGAGAAGCCACUAGUGAACACUACGGCCCCCGGGUCUACUCACAAUUAUCAUCUCAACUUUUACUUUUACUUUGCUUUGUUUACUUUUUGCUUUCAGUUCUCACUUUGCAAACAAUCUAUAAGGGAUUGACAACCCCUUCACAGCGUUGGGUGCAAGCUCUUUGUGUUUGUGCAGGUCCUUGUGACUUGAGGCGAUCCUCCUACUGGAUUGAUACCUUGGUUCUCAUAUUGAGGGAAAUACUUACUGCCGCUAUGCUACAUCACCCUUUCCUCUUCAAGGGAACACCAACGCAAGGCUCCAAGGUCACGGGGGAAUCCUUUGCAUAUUUGCCAAGGAAAUCCCUAUAGGCGUAGCCAGCAGCAGAAGGAUUGCUAGCGGCAUUCCCGGGGAGGUGAGAUGAAGUCAAGAUCUAUCCAAGUAAGUGUCACAAACUCAUCUCUUGCAUUUACCUUUUUUGCCAGUUGCCUCUCGUUUUCCUCUCCCCCACUUCACAAUUUGCCUUUUUCGUUUGCCUUUUUCGUUCGCCCUUUUCUCUCGCUUGCUUUCUAUUCGCUUCUGUGCCAUGUGCCUUCAAUAUAUUUGCAUCUUCGCUUGCUGAAAAUCUAGUGAUAUGGAUCCUCAUCCACUUGCUAAUCUCUUUAAGAGAUCCACUUAUGUUGAUCCAAUUGCUAGUGAGUUGAGUGCACUUGACUAUAUAUAUGGAGUUUUGCUUGAGAUGCGUGAAAAUGAAAAUCGUGAUGAAGAAAUUUAUGAAGUGAUUCACGAGGGCUCCUUGAAUGAAAAGCAUGAUUGGAGUGGUUUCACUAUAAAUCCUAUUAGUGUCAAUCAUGCUAAAAAUAUGCAAAACCCUAAGCUUGGGGAUGCUAGUUUUGCUAUGACCACUACUUAUUGCAAUAAUCAUGAUUGGGGUGAUGAUCUUCCUUAUGAUCUUGAAUUUUUUUUUAAACCUCAUGAUGAAUAUGAUAUUUGCAAUAAUAUUGAAAGUGGGUUUGGAGAAGUCAUGACUUUAGUUGAUGAUAAUCCCACUAUUUUUGAAGAGCGUCAAGUUUGCAUGCAUGUGGAUCAUGAAAAGAAUAUCCUAUGUGAUAGUUACAUUGUUGAAUUCGAAUAUGAUCCCACAUGUAAUUGCUAUGAGAGAGGAAAAUAUUUUGGUAGAAACUUUAAUGUUACCAAAUUACCUCUCGUUAUGUGGAGAUUGCUAUUGUCUCUUUCUUCUUCCUUGCAUAUGGCAACUAUUGGUUGUCCUGACAAUCUAUUUUCCUAUAAAAUGCCUAUGCAUAGGAAGUAUGUUAGACUUAAAUGUGAUUUUCGCAAGCUUUUUGAUGCUCUCGUUGUGCUUCAAUUCUUGUCUUUUGUGUGAGCAUCAUUGAUUUAUCAAUGCCUAGCUAAGGGCGUUAAACAAUAGCGCUUGUUGGGAGGCAACCCAACAAAUCUAUCCUUUUUCUUUCUGUUUUGUGUUUUCCACACUUUCAUAAUUCUGUUAUGAUUGUGUUUUUUGUGUUUCUUUUGCAUUUGUGCCAAGUAAAACCGUUAUGAUUAGUCUUGGGGAUGAUCGUUUGAUCAUGCUGGAAAAGACAGAAACUUUCUGCUCAAGAAAAGAAUUUUCAUUUUUUUUGUGAGAGAUUUUGAGUUGAUUCUUUUUGCUGCUGAUUGCUACACAAAUUCUUCAGACUGUCGUAGUUUUUCAAAAUUUUCGAAGUACCAGAAGUAUACGAAGUAUACAAAUUCCUAUAGACUGGUCUGCUGUUAACAGAUUGUGUUUUUGUUGAAUUGGUUGCUUAUUUUGAUGAAACUAUGGAUAGUAUCGGGGGGUAUUAGCCAUGGAAGAUUGAAAAUACAGUAACCCAACAUCAACAUAAUUAGAAUUUAAGUUUGCUAUAGUACCUAAGGAAGUGGUGAUUUUCUUUCUUAUACUAAUGAUAUCAUGAGUUUCUGUUUAAGUUUCGUGUUGUGAAGUUUUCAAGUUUUGGGUGAAGUUCUUAUGGACAAAGAGAUAAAGAGUGGCAAGAGCUCAAGCUUGGGGAUGCCCAAGGCACCCCAAGUUGAUUCAAGGAUGCCGAAAAAGCCUAAGCUUGGGCAUGCCCCGGGAAGGCAUCCCCUCGUUCGUCUUCAAUCCAUCGGUAAUGUUACUUGGGGCUAUAGUUUUAUUCACCACAUGUUAUGUGUUUUGCUUGGAGCGUCUUGUAUCGUAGGAGUCUUUUAUUUUUGUAGUGUCACAAUCUUCCUUGCUGCACACCUAGAAAGAGAGACAUGCACUCACCGUGAUUUUGUCGAGCUUCACUUAUAUCCUUUGGUUAGACCAUUCAGCUCAUAUGUGUUUCACUUCUAUCUUUUAGAACACGAAAGCGUGUGGCGUGGUAGUUGAUCUAUGCUAUGAAAGUAGUCUCAAAAGGGGUAGUUAUCCAAAGGGAUAUGAAAACUUCCACCUUCAUGUGCAUUGAGUAGUUAGAGAAGUUUGAUUCAUCUCAAUUAGUUUUGAGUUGUGGUUGUAGUAAUAUUGAAGUUAUACUAGUAAGGUGUUGUGGAUCUAGAAAUACUUCUGUUGAAGUUAGUGAUUCCCGUAGCAUGCAUGUAUGGUGAACCGCUAUGUGAUGAAGUCUGAGCAUGAUUAGUUUAUUGAUUGUCAUCCUUCGUGUGGCGGUCGGGAUCGCGCGAUGGUUUAUACCUACCAACCCUUUCCCUAGGAGUAUGCGUUGAAUGCUUUGUUUCAAUUACUACUAAAACUUUUACAACAAGUAUAUGAGUUCUUCAUGACUAAUGUUGAGUCCAUGGUUUAGAUGCACUUUCACCUGCCACCAUCACUAUCUUCUUUAGUGCCGUGCAACUUUCGCCGGUGCAUAAAACCACCAUUAGCCUCCCUCAAAACAGCCACCACACCUACCUACUAUGGCUUUUUCAAAGCCAUUCUGAGAUAUAUUUCCAUGCAACUACCACCAUGACAUAUGCCACCACUUCUACAUUGCCAUUGCAUGAUCAUAAGGUAGCUAGCAUGAUGUUUCCAUUGAUGUCUAUGCCAUGCUAGAUCAUUGUCAUGGUACACUACCGAAGGCAUUCCAUAUAGAGUCAUCAUUGCUCUAAGUUUUGAAUUGUAAGUCUGAUGAUCAUCAUUGAUGGAGCAUUGUCCCAUGUGAGGAAAUAAAAGAGUCCAGCGAAGCCCAUUUAUAAAAAGAGGCGAAAGAUGCCCACAAAAAUAUAAAUAUAUAUAUAUAAAAAGAGGCCAAAGAGCCCACCAAAAAAUGAGAGAAAAAGAGAGAAGGGACAGUGCUACUAUAUUUCCACACUUGUGCUUAUUAAGCACCAUCAUCUUCAUGAUUGAGAGUCUCUCGUUUCGUCGCCACCAUAUAGCUAGUGGGAAAUUUUCAUUAUAAAACUUGGCUUGUAUAUUCCAAUGAUAGGCUUCCUCAAAAUUGCCUUAGGUCUUCGUGAGGAAGCAAGUUGGAUGCACACCCACUAGUUUUCUUUAAGAGUUUUCACAUACUCUUAGCUCUAGUGCAUCAUUUGUAUGGAAAUCCCUACUCAUUCACAUUGAUAUCUAUUAUGAGCAUCUCCAUAGCUCAUUGAUAUGCCUAGUCAAUGUGACUAUCUUCUCCUUGUUUGCCUUGCAACCUCCACCACACUCCAUUCCACUUAUAGUGCUAAAACCAUGGCUCACGCUCAUGUAUUGCGUGAGAUUUGAAAAAGUUUGAGAUAGUAAAGGUGUGAAAACAAUUACUUGGCCAAUACCGAGGUUGUGCAUGAUUCAAAUUCGUUGUGCAAGGAUGAUAGAGCAUAGCCAGACAAUAUGAUUUGUAGGGAUAACUUUCUUUUGGGCUUGUUAUUUUGAAAGUUCAUGAUUACCUUGCUAGUUUGUUUGAAGUAUUAUUGUCUCCACGUCAAUAGCAAACUAUUGUUUUGAAUCUAACGGAUCUGAACAUUCACGUCACGUAAGAGGAGUUACAAGGACAUCUAUGCUAGGUAGCAUGACAGAAUCAAAAAUUCAUUGUUUAUCACUUCCCUACUCGAGGACGAGUAGGACUUAAGCUUGGGGAUGCUUGAUACGUCUCAAACGUAUCUAUAAUUUUUGAUGGUUUCAUGCUGUUAUGUUGUCAACUUUGGAUGUUUUAUAUUCCUUUUAUAUCUUUUUUGGGACUAACUUACUAAUUCAGUGCCAAGUGCCAGUUCGUGUUUUUCUGUGUUUUUGACUCUUUUCAGAUCUAAUUUUGGAACGGAGUCCAAACGGAAUAAAAUCCCUGAAAUGAAUUUUUCCAGAACAGAAGAUCGGGGGACUUGAGGGCCAAGGCAGGAGGCCCACAGGGAGCCCACAAGUCAUGUAGCCGCGGCCAGUUGGGCGCGGCCACCAGGCUUGUGGCCUCCCUGGAGCUCCCGUGCCCUAGCUCUUUGGCCUAUAUAUUCCCUAAAAUUCCAGAAAAAAUCAGGGCGUCCAGAAAACCACUUUUCCGCCGCCGCAAGCUUCCGUUUCCGCGAGAUCUCAUCUGGAGACCCUUCCCGGUGCCCUGCCGGAGGGGUCUUUGGAGAUGGAGGGCUUCUACAUCAACAUCAUUGCCUCUCCAAUGACUCGUGAGUAGUCUACUUCAGACCUACGGGUCCGUAGUUAGUAGCAAGAUGGCUUCUUCUCUCUCUUGGAUCUUCAAUACAAAGUUCUCCAUGAUCUUCAUGGAGAUGUAUCCGAUGUAAUCCUCUUUGGCGGUGUGUUUGUCGAGAUCCGAUGUAUUGUGGAUUUGUGAUCAGAUUAUCUAUGAAUUAUAUUUGAGUCUUUGCUGAUUUCUUAUAUGCAUGAUUUUAUAUCCUCGUAAGUCUCUCCGAGUCUUGGGUUUUAUUUGGCCAACUAGAUCUAUGAUUCUUGCAAUGAGAGAAGUGCUUGGUUUUGGGUUCACACCGUGCGGUGACCUUUCCCAGUGACAGAAGGGGCAGCAAGGCAGGCAUCGUGUUGUUGCCAUCAAGGGUAACAAGAUGGGCUUUCAUCAUAGAUUUGUGAUUGCCGCUGUGCUACAUCACCCUUUCCUCUUCAAGGGAACACCAACGCAAGGCUCCANNNNNNNNNNCCACGGGGGAAUUAUUUACAUAUUUGCGAAGGAAAUCCCUAUAGGCAUAGCCAGCAGCAAUGCACACAAGGUAUUCCUCCGGUGCCAGUGACUUAUAUGAUGUCAUGGUCAUAGGAACAAAUACUUGACACGCAGAAAACAAUAGCAAUAAAACAACACGAUCAAUAUGCUACGUUCAUAGUUUGGGUCUAGUCCAUCACAUGAUUCUCCUAAUGAUGUGAUCCAGUCAUCAAGCAAUAACACUUUGCACAUAGUCAGAAAACCUUGACUAUCCUUGAUCAACUGGCUAGCCAACUAGAGGCUUGCUAGGGACAUUGUUUUCUCUAUGUAUCCACACAUGUAUAUAUGUUUUCAUUCAAUACAAUUAUAGAAUGGAUAAUAAAUGAUUAUCUUUAAACAAGAAAUAUAAUAAUAACUAUUUAUCAUUGCCUCUAGGGCAUAUUUCCAAGAAUAAUUUACUUAAUUAAUAUAUAUAAUGUUUAAACAAUAUAUUAUCCACUAAUUAAUUAAUUAACUAAUUAAACAUUAUAUUUAACUAAUUACUUAUUUAUUUAUAUUAUAUAUAUAUAUACAUACAGAUAUUUAAUUCCAUUUUUUUCAAACCUAUUUUUAGAGGGGGUGUCCUGGGCCCCCUCUGUCAGUUUCAGGAAAGGCAAAAUAAUGCCCAAUAUAACAUAACAAAACAAACAAAUAAAAAUCUUUGCACGACCCUGGUUAACACAGGGCCAGAACCAUUCUGGGGUGAGGCCCCGCAUGCCAUUGGGACAACGAGGACACACAUAUACUACAAGCAUAUUUAUACAUUCAUACAUUCAUAGAUAUUUACAUACAUACAUUCGCACAUACAUGGACACAAGCAUACAUACACAUACGCAUGCACGCGCACGCACCAGCAGGCGAGCUUGGUGCGGGGUGGCCUCUGCAGCUCACCAGGAGCACGCCAGUGCUGCUGGACCGAGCCGAGCGGCUCUGGGAGCGGGGCAAGGGCAACACCGAUGGCGGACAGAGCACGACGUCGGUGAUGGCUAGCUGCGGGAGUCGUGCAAGGCCAAAGAGAGAGGGGAAGGAAACAGGGCUCAGAGUGGUCCUGCAGAGGUGCAAUGCAUGUGCGGGAGAGGCUCGACGGCAACGAAAUCAGCAAUGGCAUGCGGCGGCGAUCCGAGGAGGGAGAAGAGGAUGGCGUCGUCGGUGAGACCUCCCGGCUACGGUUGAGAGGCGUAGGAGGGGUAGUCAACAACGGGGAGGCGUGUGGGCACGUCCGCGAGGCGAAAAGGUGGCGGUGGUCGCGCGGUCUACGACAGCGAGGCCCUUGUGGCGCUCGAGCGAGGUGGGGAACUAGGGAGGUGGAGGAGGCGGUCGGUGGGGGAAGGAAGCCGGUGGGGUGGCUCCGGUGCGGGGCUGGCGCUGGGCGGCCUUGGCUGCGGGGGCGCUGGUGCUGCGGGGCGAUGGGGGAGCGACAUGUGUGAGCGAGGGUGGGGGACGAGGGGUUUCGGUCCCCUCGUGGUGGAGUGGCGCCUGGGGGAGGGAGGAAGUGGGGUGAGUGGGGGUGCUAGGCUUGGUGGGGGGUUAUACCCCCCGGGGGUAAGGUGGGUUGGAGGUGGCGGUUGGGCCGGGUGGUGAGGGGAGCGACUGGGCUGGAUGGAGCCGGCCCACUUGGGGUGAGUGGGGUUUUUAUUUUAUAUUUUACUUUAUGUUGCUGUUUAUUUUUUGUUUUCUUUUAAUUAAUUCUGUCUUAGUAAUUUUGUAUCAAUAACCUUUUCUAACAAUACAACAUUUGGCCCAAAACAAUUAUAUUGUAAUAAAAGGUAGAGACACAAAAUGUUUUGAAAGUUUAUUGAAAUUACUUGAAAUUUAAUAAUUCAAAGGGGCAUCUAAUAAUUGUUUUGGCCUAUGUUAAUUUUGUGUUAGAGGCACAACACUCUAAGAAAAUGUGGGUAGGUAUUUUUGAAAUGACUAGGGAUUAUUUGAAAGCUAUUCAUGAUUUUUAUUUCCUGAAUUGCAAAACUUUUAAAACCACCUUUCAAAGUUUUUGAAUUGCAACGACAUUCAUACUAUGGUUUGAUUCCAACCAUGAUCAUAAGAGAUUAGCAAAAGCAUUAGCUUAAUCAUGGUGAUUACUGUAGCUUAAUUACAAUGAUCACUGUAGGAAAAGCUGAGGAUGUCACACCAAGCUACAGAGCUUCAUGAUGAACUAUAACAUAUCAGGGAUAGAGUUGAUGAUCCUUGAGCUAUUUGCGAUGUUUGACACCGCGAAGGUAGAAAUCAAGUAGGAGCAUCAAGUGUUGAUGGUUAGUAGAACCACUAGUUUCGAGAAGGGUAAGGGUUAAAAGGGAUGCUUUAUGAAAUGGAAAACCAGUUGCCACUCUAAUAAAGAAACCCAAGGUUGAACCCAAACCCGAGACUAAAUGCUUCUAUUAUGAGGGGAACGGUCACUGAAGCAAAACUACCCUAGUUACUUGGUAGAUGAGAAGGCUGGCAAAGUCGACAAAAAUAUAUUGGAUAUACAUGAUUUUGAUGUGUACUUUACUAUUAUUCCUAGUAGCACCGGGGUAUUAGAGACCGGUUCAGGUUGCUAAGUGUUAGUAACUCGAAAUAAAAGCUACGGAAUAAAUGGAUACUAGCUAAAGGCGAGGUGGCGAUGCCUUGGAAAUGUUACUAAGGUUGAUGUGAUCAACAUAGCACACUCCCUCUACCAUCGGAAUUAGUGUUGAACCUAAAUAAAUGUUAUUUGGUGUUUCUGUUGAGCACGAACAUGAUUGGAUCAUGUUUAUUGCAAUACGGUAAUUCAUUUAAGUCAGAGAAUAAAAGGUUAUUCUCUUGACAUGAAUAAUACCUUCAAUGGUCAUGCACCAAUGUGAAUGGUUCAUUGAAUCUCGAUCGUAGUAAUACACAUGUUCAUAAUAUUGAUGCCAAAAGAUGCAAAGUAAUAAUAAUAGUAACACUUACUUGUGGCACUAACACUUGAGUCAUAUUGGUGUAAAACGCAUGAAGAAACUCCAUGCUGAUGGAUCUUUGGACUCACUCAUUUUUGAAUCGUUCGAGAUAUGUGAGCCAUGCCUAUCGGUGUAAACGAAUGAAGAGACUCCAUACAGAUGGAUUGUUUGGACUCACUUGAUUUUGAAUCACUUGAGACAUGCAAAUCAUGCCACCUGGGCAAGAUGACUGAAGGCCUCGCUUUCCAUUGAGAUGGAACAAGAAAGUAACAUAUUGGAAGUAAUGCAUUUUAAUGUACGCAGUCCAAUGAGUGUUGAGGCACGCAGUGGAUAUCGUUAUGUUCUUACUUCAUAGAUGAUUUGAGUAAAUACUGGUAUAUUUACUUGAUAAAACACAAGUCUGAAUUAUUGACAAGAGGAUAAUAUGUCUACAGUGUGAUCGUAGGGAUGAAUAUCUGAGUUGCGAGUUUGGUACACAUUUAAGACAAUGUGGAAAUUGUUUCACUACUAAUGCCACCUGGAACAGCAUAGUGCGAUUGUGUCCGAACACCGUAGCCGCGCCCUAUUAAGAUAUGGUGCAUAUUAUGAUGUCUCUUAUCAAAUUACCACUAUUGUUUUUGGGUUAUGCAUUAGAGACAAACACAUUCACUUUAAAUAUGGCACCACGUAAGUACCAUUGGGAUGACACCAUGUGAACUGUGGUUUGGAGAAAUCUAAGCUGCCGUUUCUUAAAAGUUUGGUGAUAUGAUGCUUAUGUCCAAAGUCUUCGGCCCGGUAACGUCAAACCCAAAAUGGAUAAAUGCAUCUUCAUAAGAUACCCAAAAUAGUUGGGUAUACCUCCUAUCUCAGAUCCAAAAGCAAAGUGUUUGUUUCAAGAAACGGGUCCUUUCUCGAGAAAUAGUUUCUCUCGAAAGAAUUGAGUGGGAGGAUGGUGGAACUUGAUGAGGUUUUGAACCAUCACUUUAACCAGAGAGUAGAAGGGCGCAAGAAGUGGUUCAUGUGGCGCCUACACUAGUAGAACUGGAAGCCGAUGAUGGUGAUCAUGAAGCUUCAAAUAAAGUUACUACCAAACCUCGUAGGUUGACAAGGAUACGCGCUGCUCCAGAGUGGCACGGUAAUCCUAUCUUGGAGGUCAUGUUGCUAGACAACAAUGAAUCUACAAGCUAUGGAGAAGCGAUGGUGGGCCCGGAUUCCGACAAAUGGCUGGAGGCCAUGAAAUCCGAGAAAGGAUCCAUGUAUGAAAAAAAAAGUGUGGACUUUGGAACUACUUGAUGGUCAUAAGGCUAUUAAGUACAAAUGGAUCUUUAAAAGGAAGACAAACGAUGAUGGUGAAAGUAACCAUUUAGAAAGCUCGACUUGUUGCAAACAAAGUUUCUGACAAGUUCAAGGAGUUGAGUACAAUGAGAAUUUCUCACUCGUAGCAAUGUUAAAAGUUUGUUGGAAUUAUGUUAGCAGUUGUUGGAUUUUUCAGUUAGGAAAUCUUGCAUAUGGAUGUCAAAACAUUGUUUCCUCGACGGUUUCCUUAAGGAAAGGUUGUAUGUGAUACAACGAGAAGGUUUUGUCGAUCCUAAGGAUGCUAACAAGUAUGCAAGAUCCAGUGAUCCUUCUAAGGACUAGAGUAAGCAUCUCGGAGUUGGAAUAUGUGCUUUGAUGAGAUGAUAAAAGCUUUUGGGUUUAUAUAAAGUUUAUGAGAAACUUGUAUUUUCAAGGAAGUGAGUGGGAGCACUAUAGAAUUUCUGAUGAGUAUAUGUGGUUGACAUAUUGUUGAUCAAAAAUGAUGUAGAAUUUUUGGAAAGUAUAUAUGUUGUUUGAAAAGGGGUUUUCAAAGGAAAACCUAGAUGAAGCUACUUGAACAUUGAACAUCGAGAUCUAUAGAGAUAGAGCAAGACGCUUGAUAAAACUUUCAAUGGAAUGCAUGCCUUGACAAGUUUUUGAAGAAGUUCAAAAUAGAUCAGCAAAGAAAGAGUUCUUAGCUGUGUUGUAAGGUGUGAAUUUGAGUAAGAUUCAAAGCCCGAGCACGGUAGAAGAAGGAGAAAGGAUGAAGGUCGUCCCUUAUGCCUUAGACAUAGGCUCUAUAGUAUGCUAUGUUGUGUACCGCACCUAAUGUGUGCCUUGCCAUGAGUAUGUCAAUGGGUACAAAGGUGAUCCAGGAAUGGAUUACUGGUCAGCGGUCAAAAGUUAUCCUUAGUAAUUAGUGGACUAAGGAAUUUUUCUCAAUUAUGGAGGUGACAAAAGAGUUCGUCGUAAAGGGUUAUGUCGAUGCAAGCUUUGACACUAAUACGGAUGACUCUGCGUAGUAAAGCGGAUUCAUAUAGUGGAGCAACCAUUUGGAAUAGUUCCAAAUGGCACAUGGUAGCAGCAUCAACAGGAUGACAUAGAUAUUUGUAAAGCACACACGGAUCUGACAGGUUCAGGCUCAUUGACUAAAAACCUAUGUCACAAGCAACACAUGAUCAAACCCUAGAACUAUAUGGGUGCUGGAUUCGUUAAAAUCACAUAGUGUGGUGAACUAGAUUACUGAAUCUAGUGCAAGUGGGAGACUGUUGGAAAUAUGCCCUAGAGGCAAUAAUAAAUUGGUUAUUAUUAUAUUUCCAUGUUCAUGAUAAUCGUUUAAUAUCAUGCUAGAAUUGUAUUGAUUGGAAACUCAAAUACAUGUGUGGAUACAUAGACAACACACUGUCCCUAGUGAGCCUAUAGUUGAGUAGCUCGUUGAUCAAAGAUGGUCAAGGUUUCCUAGCCAUAGACAAAUGAUGUCACUUGAUAACGAGAUCACAUCAUUAGGAGAAUGAUGUGAUGGAAAAGACCAAACUAUAAACAUAGCUUGUGAUCGUGUAAUUUCGUUGCUAUUGUUUUCUGCAUGUCAAGCAUACAUUCCUAUUACCACGAGAUCAUGUAACUGACACCGGAGGAAUACCUUGUUUGUAUCAAGCGUCGCAACGUAACUGGGUGAGUAUAAAGGUCGUCUACAGGUAUCUCCGAAGGUGUCUGUUGAGUUGGCAUGGAUCAAGACAUGGAUUUGUCACUCCGUGUGACGGAGAGGUAUCUCGAGGCCCACUGAGUAAUACAACAUCACAAACAAGCCUUGCAAGCAAUGUGACUAAAGAGUUAGCCACGGGAUCUUAUAUUAUAGAAUGAGUAAAGAGACUUGCGGGUAACGAGAUUGAAAUAGGAAUUUGACAAUCGAAUCUCGGGCAAGUAACAUACCGAAGGACAAAGGGAAUGAUAUACAGGAUUAACUGAAUCCUUGACAUAGAGGUUCAACCGAUAAGAUCUUAUAGAAUAUGUAGGAUCCAAUAUGGGCAUUCAAGUCCCGCUAUUGGAUAUUGACCGGGGAGUGUCACAUGUCAUGUCUACAUAGUUCUCGAACCCGCAUGGUGUGCACACUUAAGGUUCAGUGACGUUUCGGUAUAGUUGAGUUAUAGGUGCUGGUGACUGAAGGUUGUUCGGAGUCUCGGGCGUCAUCCAGGACAUCAAGAGGAGCUAUGGAAUGGUCUAGAGGUAAGGAUUAAUAUAUAGGGAGUCCUGUUUUGGUUACCAAAAAAGUUUCGGGCUCAUGGGUAGUCUACCGGGAGUGCCGGGAGGGUGUCGGGGGAACACCGGGAGGGUUGUGACGAUCCAAGAGCCUUAUGGGCUGUGAGAGGAGGUGGACCAGCCCCUGGUGGGAUGCUCGAAGCCUCUCUCAAAGGCCCGUGCGGCUGGGAUUGGAGAUAGAAGGAAAAAGUCCUUUAAGAGGAAAGGAAGGAGUAGUCCUCCUCCCAAAGUAGUCCACCUCCUUUGUGGGAAGAUGGACUCUUCCUUGUAGGGUUCAUUCGACCCCUUCUCUUUGGAGUAGGGACAAGGCUGCCUCCUCUCCCUCCUCCUAUAUAUACUAGAGGUUUUGAGGGUUUUGAGACACAACAAAUCAGCCACGUGCUGCCCUCUCUCUAGAUCGUAGUUCUUCCUCGCUACUAGUUCAACGGUGCUUAGGCGAAGCCCUGUUGGAAUAGCUCCACCACCAUGUUGUAUCAAGAAGGCGGAGAUCGUCAUUGAGUUGUACGUGUGGUUAACAUGGAGGUGUCGUCUAUUUGGCACUACAUCAGGACGGAUCAUGGGACGACUGCGAUUUGGGUCCUGAAGACGUUCGACUACAUCAGUCGUGUUUCUUAACGCUUCCCUCUUAGAGAUCUAAAAGGGUAUGUGGAUCCGAGCUCCCCUCUCAUAGAUGAUCAUCACGAUGAUAGGUCUUUCGUGUGCGUAGGAAUUUUUUUGUUUCCCAUGCUACAUUCCCCAAAACAUCACACUUGAUAAAUAUGUCAAACUGAAAUAAACAACGUGUCUAAUAUAUGCUUGAAAAAUGGACAAAUAGUCAUUCUAAAUACAGCAUGAACCAAAUAUAACCGUUCAAACUAGUAUUGAUGAAAUCAAACUGCAAAGUUGCGACUUGCACAUAAUGAACAUCACAUUGUGAAUAACAAAAAUAAACAAGGCACAUAUGUUCAGUAUAACAACCAAAUAUAGCCAUUUAAAAAUGGACAUGGGCUCACUACAACCAACCUAAAAAGAAAAUAUAGAUAAACAUGGCAUAUGCUUGAAAAUUGGACAAAUGCUCACUACAACCAACCUAACAACCAAAUACACAUAAACAUGGCAUCUACUCACUAUAAACAACCAAAUAUAGCCAUUCGUGAAACUGAAGUGGGCAAUUCAUACUUAAACAUGACAGAACGCUAUUGAAUAUUGCAUUCUUUUCAUAACUGAAAUAAUUAAACAUGACACAGUUAAAACACCGCAUGGCAAAAUCUACUACAACAAAGGGUACAGUUUGGAUAGUUAGAAAAGGUAAGAUCUGAUGAUAGGAUGUUGCCUCACUUGUCAUGGAUGGGAUUUUUCCAGUUGGAAGAGCACAGACCCGUAGUGCAUUUUGUGAUGUCACAGAUGUGUUGUUUCACCUUGGAAGACCGUUUGUGGGUGCCCUCCUCGUGGUUGUAGUCGAUGAGAUCUGACUUGGCAAUUGAGGAUCCCAAGCCACUGUCGUACAACGAGUCCAUCAGAAAUUACAAAAUGGGCUCAAUGGCAUACAACGAUCGCAAAUCAUUGACCGCAUGGCGAAGGAGAUCAGCGACAGGGCCUUCGAAGAGAUCGAUGACGGUUGAACCAGAGAGUUUGUUGAUGUACCUCUUAACCUAUGACAUGGCCUGCAUGAAGUUGUCGUUGUCGACAAGUUUGAUGUCGUAGCAAGCUUUCUAGAGAUACAAUAAUAUGCUAGCCUGCUGACGUGAAGCCUUCAGCAUGACAACAUAGUCAACAUCCUCGUCGGCUUCCACAAUGAGGUGUUGCUCCGGGAUCGACACGUCGGUACGAAUGGCAGUCAGCUCGCCAACGUCCAUUGGAGAGGCCGUGAUAAACUUAUUUUUGGCCGAAUGCUCGUAGGGCUCCCCAGGACACGUUGUCGAUCUUAGGCUGUGACUCUAUAGAGUACGGGAUGUGGAUUUGGCAGGGAGGGACACCGCAUGCCUCAUCUAUAAACUAAGCGGGAGAUAUGUCUCCACCAUAUACAUAAUUUUUGAUUGUUCUAUGAUGUUAUAUUAUCAUUCUUUGAUGUUUUAUGAUCAUUUUAUAGCAACUUUAUAUCAUUUUUUGGGACUAACCUAUUGACAUAGUGCCUAGUGUCGGUUGCUGUUUUUUGCUUGUUUUUUUACUUCAUAGAAAAUCAAUAUCAAACGGAGUCAAAAUGUCACGAAACUUUGUAGAGAUAUUUUGUACCCAAAAGAUAUCCAGAGGACCAAGGAAGCCAACCAGAGGAGGCACAUGCUGCCCACUAGGCACCAGGGCGCGCUUGCCCCCCUAGCGAGGCCUGGGACCUAAUGGACAACAUGUGGCCCAUCUUGGUGUGAUUUCAAUGCCAAAAGUUCUUAUAAACAGAGAAACCUCUAGAAAUAACCAUAGAUGAGAAGUUCCAUCGCCGCAAGCCUUUGUAGCCAUGAAAAAACAAUCGGGAGGCUGUUCCGGGACCCUGCCGAAGGGGGAGAUCAUCACGGGAGGCCAUCUUCAUCAUCCCUAUGGAAACCAUGACGAGAGUAUAGUAGUCCACCCUCGGGGCUGAGAGUUUGUACCAGUAGCUAUGUGUUUAAUAUCCCUCUCUCUCUCUCGUGUUCCUGAGAUGGCACGAUCUUGAUGUAUCGUGGACCUUGUUAAUAUAGUUGAUCAUAUGGUGUUUCUCCCGCUCUAUCUUCUUGUGAUGAAUUUAGUUUUCCCUUUGAGAUUUCAUUUUAUUGGAUUGAAUACUUUUAUUGAUUUGAGAGCACUUGAUUUAUGUCUUGCUAUGAAUACCCGUGGUGACAAUGGGGUAUCAUAUUGAUUCACUUGAUAUAUGUUUUGGCACUCAACUCGCGGAUUCUCUAGGUGACAUUGGGUAAUCUAUGCAUAGGGGUUGAUGCACGUUUUCAUCUUCGUUUCUCCGGUAGAAAUCUCGGGGCACUCUUUGAGGUUCUUUCUGUUGGAUUGAGUAUUAUGAAUCUGAAUUUGUUAUGGUGUUAUAUUAGUACGAACUCUUGGAUAUAUCGAUCGGAAAGGAUAAAUUUUUAUUUUAGUAUGAACUCUUGGAAAGAUUGAUAAAAAAGAAUAACUUUUAGGUGGUUCCGCACCCUACAAACAAUUUCUUCUUAUGUUCUCCGCUAGGUAGGAACUUUGGAGUGAUUCUUUAUCAUGCGUUGAAGGAUUUCUAUGUGAUCCAAGUAUAUUAGCAUUGUUGAGAGAUUGCACUAGCGAACGUACGGACCUUAGGCCUCAUUUUCAAGCACUGUAAUACCGUUUGUGCUAAGUUUUAUGAAUUGCUACCUUUCUGUUUUAUUUAUUCAGCAAAAAAAUCAAUAUCUACUAUCAUUACUACACUUUUAUGACCAUCUCUUCACCGAACUAGUGCACCUAUCAUAAUUACCAUUGUAUUUGGUGUGUUGGGGACACAAGAGACUUUUUAUUAUUUGGUUGUAGGGUUGUUUGAGAGAGACCAUAUUCAUCCUACGCCUCCCCAGAUUGAUAAACCUUAGUCAACCACUUGAGGGAAAUUUGCUACUCUCCUACAAAACUCUGCACUUGGAGGCCCAACACGAGUCUACAAGAACAAGUUGUGUAGUAGACAUCAAGCUCUUUUCUGGCGCUGUUGCCGGGGAGGUGAGUGCUUGAAGGUAUAUCUUUAGGUCUUGCAACUGAAUCUUUUAUAUUCUUGUUUUUUCACUAGUUCAGUUUUAUAAAAAGAAAAUUACAAAAAAUGGAUGUGGUCUCAUAUUGUUCAUCUUUAUAAUGUCUUUCUUGAAAAUGAUGAAGAGUAAAAUUGUGCUCAGUUGAUAGAAUAAGAAAUCAAUAAAAUGUUUGGCAUAAAAUCCUUGAAUGAUGAGAAUGAUAGUAAUAUUGUUAUUAUGAAUUCUCUGAAUAUCCAUGAUGCUAAUGAUGUGCAAAGCCACAAGCUUGGGAAUGCUAUGUUUGAUGAUGAUAUUUUUAGCCCCCCUACUUGUGAUGAUGAUAUUUAUUAUGACGAUAGAAUGCCUCCUAGUUAUGAUGAUUAUAUUCAUAAAAGUGGGUUUGGAAGAGUUUCAAAUCUAGUUACUAAUGAUCCCACUAUUUUAGAGGGUGUUAAAUAUUAUUUUCCUAAUAAUAAAAGUGUAUAUGGAGAGGGCAUAAUUUUAUUUAGUGACGAGUUCACUGUUUUGGAAAAGGCUUUAAUUGACCAUCAAAACAAAGUUGCUAUCUAUGAUGAUUAUGGUGAUGAGAUGUAUGUUAUAAAGAGUAACAAAAACCAUGAAACUUGUCAUUGAGAUUUUAAUUUUCACAUGUAUUAUAUCAAUCAAGUAUCUCAUGAUAGUUAUUUUGUUGAUAAGAAUUUUUCUUUUGUGGGUAGUAAUAAAAAUUAUAUGCUUGUGCAUCAUGAAAAGAAUGUUGUAUGUGAUAGUUAUAUUGUUGAAUUCCUUAAUGAUUCUACUAGAAAUUAUUACGAUGGAGGAACAUAUACUUGUAGGAAUUGCAAUAAUAUCACGUUUCCUCCCUAUGUGUCAAAGUUUCAAAGUCAUGCUUGUUUUGCCUUCCUAUGCUAGUUGAUUCUUGCUCCCAUAUAUUAUUUUCUCACAAAAUACCUAUUAAUAGGAAGUGGGUUAAACUCAAAUGUGCUUUUCAUGUGCUUCAUGAUGCUCUCUUGCAUGUUUCAACUAGAACUUUUUAUGUGAGCAUCAUUGAAAUCCUCAUGCCUAGCUAAAAGGCAUUAAAGAAAAGCACUUGUUGGGAGAGAACCCAAUAUUUAUCCUUUAUGUUUUUUUGUGUUAACAUGAUUAAGCUAAUGUAUUAAUCAUGUUUUAUAGCUUUUAUUGCAAUGAAAUGCCAAGUAAAGCCUUUGGGAUAGUGUGGAUACUUGUUUGUUUGAUUCUAUGCAAAAACAGAAACUUUUACGUCGAGUGCAGAAUUUCUCUUAUUUUACAGGAGAAUCAAAAAAUUGUGAAUUUUUUACACAUUUUUGGUAUGAAAUUAUCUGCAUUGUCACAAUUUCUCAGAAUUUUUAGAGUUAGGGAAUUACAGUUUUCGUUCAGAUCUUCACAGACUGUUCUGUUUUUGACAGAUUCUGUUUUGCGUGCAUAGUUUGCUUGUUUUACUGUUUCCAUAGCUUAUAUUGCGUAAUAUAAAUUAUUGGAAUGAUAUAAUAUAGUAGUAAUUACAUGAGAACAAUUAUUAAUCUUUUCUUGGCAUUACCUAAGUGAAUGAUCUAUAUUUAUCAUACUAACCCAUCUCACGAAGUUCCGUUAAGUUUUGUGUGAUUGAAGUUUUCAAGUUUUGGGUGCGAUACAUAUAUGAGGAGUAUAAGGAGCAGCAAGAACCUAAUAUUGGGGAUUCCCAAGGCACCCCAAAGGUAAUAUCCAAGGAAGACUCAAGCUUCUAAGCUUGGAGAUGCCCCGGUAGGCGUCCCCUCUUUCAUCUCCAAAAUUAUCGGUAUAUCUUACUUGAAGCUAUAUUUUUAUUCGUCAUAGGAUAUGUGUUUUUCUUGGAGCAUCAUUUUAUUUUGUUUAUCUCUGUUAUAUGUUAUUAAUAAUCUUGUUUUUCAAUACAAAUUUCCAAGAAUUGCAUUUAGAAUGCUUGAAUUGCAUGUGCGAUCUUUGUUGUACAAAAACAUAAACUUAUGUUGUAGUAUUUGAAUUAUCAUAUUUUACAGCAACAUGGAAAUUUUAUGAAAUUUUUACACAGUACUGUAGUACGAAUUAUUUAUCAUGUUCUAAAUUUUCAGAAUUGUCUGAUAUACAUAAGUACAUGUUUUAAGUAGAUUGCUACAGACUUUCAUGUUUAGAGGGAUUGCUCUCAUAGUUUUGUUAUCUACUUAUCCUAUACUUUCCAUAGCUUAUGUGGUAGAUAUAAAUUUUGGAAAUGAUAGUAUACAAUAUCUAAUGUUUUAAAAUUAUUAUGCAACUUGUCUUGUGAGUACAUGAAGUGUUGAUUUACUUUUAUGUGUACUAACCUAUCUCACAAGUUAUUUUCAAUUUUUGUGUCGAUUAAGUUUUUGAGACAUAGGUGAAACAAGGAUAUGAGAGGAUUGAAAGAGAUACAUAAUAUAAAGCUUGGGAUUUCCAAGGCACCCCAAGUAAAUAUUUCAAGAAGUCUCAAGCAUCUAAGCUUCGGGAUGCUAUGCAUCCCACCUUUCUUCAUCAACAACUAUGGCUUAGCCUAUGUUGAGCCUAAAUUUUUAUUUAUCCACAUGAUAUGUGCUAUUAUUGGAGUGUAUUUUGUUUAUUUGUUGUUUAAAUUAAAAUAUAAUAACUAGGAAUCUUCAUUGGGACAGAUUCCUCACAUAGAUACUUAAUUGUUUGACUACUCAUUGAUCUUCACCUAUAUCUUUUGAGAAUAGUUUGAUUGAAUUGCUCUAGUACUUAACUUAUAUCUUUUUAAGCACGGUGAUGCUAUUAUUUUAAAGAAAUAUGCUCUCAUGCUUCACUUAGAUUUGAGAGUUAGUAGAAGUUAUGAGUAAAUCCUAUCUUGCUUCACUUAUAUUAUUUUGAGAGUUGAAAUUUUUAAAGAAACUUGUGCUCUCGUUCUUCACUUAUAUUUGUUUGAGAGCUUGUUAUUAGCAAUGGAAAUUUGCUUUUAGUGAAAUUGGUCCCAAAGUGAUAUAUAUCGAGGGGAGAUAUAAUAAAAACUUUCAUGAAGAUCACUGGAUGUUAAACUUGAUUCUUUGCAAUAGUUUUGCGAUAUGAAGAUAGUGAUAUGUGAGUUGUGUUGAUGAGUAAUUAUGCUUCAGUAAGAAUAUUGGUGUUAAGGUUUUUGAUUCCCUAUGCAUGCACAUGAAGUCAAUAGUUAUGCUAUGAAAUUACAUCCUACUUGUUUUGCAUUAUUCUGUGUUAGUUAUGUUUAAUUUUCGCUUAUGAUGGUUUUCAUUCCUUGGUUAGGCGCUUCUCAAUAGAUUUCCUAGCCUUCACUUGUACUAAGCGGGAAUGUUGCUUUGGCAUCCAAAUCCUAAUCCCAAAGUUGUGCCAAAUGAGUCCACCAUACCUACCUAUAUCAGGUAUUUCAGUGUCGUUCGAAGUAAAUUUGUAUGUGCCAACUCUAAUGUUUAAAAUAAACUUAUGUUUUGUGUGCCCAUACCGCUCAUGAAGCAGCGAGGGGUGGCCGAUAUCUUCCAUGUUAAAUACGUUAUUCUCAAGAUGAGUGUUUAUUUACUUGUCAUUACACGAGAGUAUGGUGGUAAUAGGGAUGCCCAGUCCCUAAAUGAAAAGAAAUUUACUUUAUGUUGUCAAACAAUAAUUUCCUUGGAAAGUGUUGGUAUGGACGGUACCUGUGGAUGCGGCUAGCCGUGGAAUGUGAAGGAAUGGUGGAAAAAGAAAUAAACUUUAUUUCAGCUUGGGAACCGUGUGUGAUUUGUUUAGCAUGGGAGAUAUUGGAAACUCUUAGUCAUUUUCAUUGACAGGAAAAGCAUGCCACCAAAAAUAAUUUUAUCUCUCAAUUUAAGCUUUGUGCUCUAAGACAUCUACAAAUAUUUGGUUCCAUCCACGAAGGGCCUCUCUAUUUAAUUUUAUGCAUUUUUUAUUUGAGUCUCCAUCUUCUCUUAUAAAGCACCAACUACGGAACACAAUUAUCAUACUUGAGAAUUAGAUGUAGCUAAUAUGUGGGUGUGUUGCAUGAAUGGAACAAUGAUUGAGCAUGAUGGGCUAGGGAUAGUGUUCUUUAGCAUGGAUAUUUAGAAAGACUUGGUUGCUUGUAGAUAUGCUUGAGUAUUAAAGUUUUCAUGUCAAAUUAUAGACUAUUGCUUUGAAUCAUCUACAAGUCCAUAUGUCCAUGCUAUAAACAAAAGAAUAUGAUCAACAUGUUAGGCAACAUUCCACAUCAAAAAUACUAUUUUUAUCAUUUACAUACUCUAGGACAAGCAGGAAUUAAGCUUGGGGAUGCUGAUAUGUCUCCAACAUGUCUAUAUUUUUUUAUUGUUCCAUGUUGUUAUAUUAUCAUUCUUGGAUGUUUCAUGAUCAUUUUAUAGGAACUUUAUAUCAUUUUUUGGGACUAACCAAUUGACAUAUUGCCCAGUGUCAGUUGCUUGUUUUUACUUCACAGAAAAUCAAUAUCAAAUGGUGUCCAAAUAUCACUUUUUGGAGAUAUUUUUUCUGCCCAAAAGACAUCCACGGGACCAAGGAAGCCAACCAUAGGAGGCCCAAGAUGCCCACUAGGCACGAGGUUCCGCUUGCCCCCCUGGCGCGGCCUCGUACGCAGUGGGCACCUCAUGGCCCAUUUUGGCAUGAUUCCAAUGCCAAAAAAUCCUAUAAACAAAGAAACCUCCAGAAAUAAUCCUCGAUGAGAAUAUCCGCUGUCGCAAGCCUCUAUAUCCAUGAAAAAACCAAUCGGGAGCCUAUUCCGGCACCCUGUCGGAGGGGGAGAUCAACACCUGAGGCCAUCUUUGCCAUCCCUAUGGCCAUCAUGAUGAGGAGGGAGUAGUCCACCCUUGGGGCUGAGGGUUUGUACCAGUAGCUAUGUGUUUAAUAUCUCUAUCUCUUGUGUUCUUGAGAUGGCAUGAUCUUGAUGUAUCACAAACUUUGUUAAUAUAGUUGGAUCAUAUGGUGUUUCUUCCUCUCUAUCUUGUUGUGAUGAAUUGAGUUUUCCAUUUGAGAUUUCGUUUUAUCGGAUUGAAUACAUUUAUGGAUUUGAGAGCACUUGAUUUAUGUAUUGCUAUGAAUACCCGUGGUGACAAUGGGAUAUCAUAUUGAUUCACUUGAUAUAUGUUUUGGCACCCAACUCGCGGAUUCCCGAGGUGACAUUGGGGUAAUCUAUGCAUAGGGGUUGAUGUGCGUUCUCGUCUUUGUUACUCCGAUAGAAAUCUUGGGGCACUAUUUGAGGUUGUUUGUAUUGGAUUGAGUAUUAUGAAUCUGAAAAAGUUUUGGUGUUAGUUUAGUACAAACUGUUGGAUAGAUCAAUAGGAAAGGAUAACUUGUUAUUUUAGUACAAACUCUUGGAAAUAUUGAUAGGAAAGAAUAACUUUGAGGUGGUUUCUUACCCUACAAACAAUUCCUUCUUAUGUUCUCCGCUAGAUAGGAACUUUGUAGUGAAUCUUUAUCACGCAUUGAGGCUUUGUUAUGUGAUCCAAUUAUAUUAGCAUUGUUGAGAGAUUGCACCAGAGAAUGUAUGGACCCUAGGCCUCAUUUUCAAGCAUUGCAAUACCGUUUGUGCUAUGCUUCAUGAAUUGCUACCAUGCUGUUUUUAUUUAUUCAGAUUACAAAAAUCAAUAUCUACUAUCAUUACUACACUUGUAUCACCAUCUCUUCGCCGAACUAGUGCAGUGAUAUGCCCAUUUUGCAUCAACUUUUGUUACUAUUUGUUUAUAGUGUUUUAUGUAUUUUGCCAAUUGGUGGAGUAAUUAUAAUGCCUUUUCUCUCGUAAUAUGCAAGGUUUACAUCAAGUGGGAGAAUGCUGGCAAAAGGAAUUCUGGACCUGAAAAAGCUACGUCGGAGAUACCUAUUCUUAACAUCUCCAAUUGGGCUGAAACUUCAAAAAGAUUUAUUUUUUAAGAAAUAAAAAAUACUUGAGCGAAGAAGUACCGUAGCGGGGUUACGAGGCACCCACUAGACCCCAGGGUGUGCGAGGACCCUUAGCGCGUCCUGAGGUCUAGUGGGACCCCUCGCCCACCUCUCAAGAUCAUCUUUUGAUACAAAAUCCCUUUUACCCCGAAAAAAUUAACAGGGUAACUUUCAGGACGAAGCGCCGCCGUCUCGAGGCGGAACUUGGGCAGGAGCACUUUUGCCCUUCGGCGCAGUGAUUCCGUUGGAGGAACUUCCCUAGGGAGGGGGAAAUCGAGGCCAUCGUCAUCACCAACAACCCUCUCAUCUUGGGGAGGACAAUCAUCAUCAACAUCUUCAUCAGCACCAUCUCCUCUCAAAACCGUAGUUUAUCUCUUGUGCUCAAUCUUGUACUGGAACCUCGGAUUGGUACCUCGGGUGUGACUAGUAGUGUUGAUUACAUCUUGUAGUUGAUGAUUUAUGGUUUAUUUGGUGGAAGAUCAUAUGUUCAGAUCCAAUACGCUAGUUAAUACCUUUCGGAACAAGAACAUUUUUAUCACUUGUGAGUAGUUACUUUUGUUCUUGAGUCCAUGAGAGAAAUCAUGUUGCAAGUAGUCAUGUGAAGUUGAUAUUCAUUCAUUAUUUUGAUGAUAUGAAUGUUGUGUUUCCCUUAGUGGUCUUAUGUGGACAUCGUCUACAUAACACUUCACCAUCUUUGAGCCUAAGGGAAUGCACUAUGGAGUAGUAAUUAGUGUUUGGGUUCUGAGAGUGACAUAAUCUUAAACCCUAGUCUAUUCAGUACUCCGUAAGGGGCUGAUUUGGAUCCCUAUGUUUCAUGUUAUGGUUAGAAUUUAUUCUCAAUACUUUUCUCGUAGUUGCGGAUGCUUGCGGGAGGGUUAAUCAUAAGUGGGAGUUUUUUUCAAGUAAGAACAAAGCCCAAGCACCGGUCCACCCACAUAAUAAAUUAUCAAAAUACCAAACGUGAAUUAACCCAACAUGAUGGAAGUGACUAGAUGAGAUUUCCGUGUGCCCUCAAGAAUGCUUUGCCUAUUAUAAGAAACUAUUCUGGCAUGUCCUUUGACACAAAAGGAUUGGGCUACCUUUCUGAACCUACUGUUACUAUUGCUACUUCUCACUUCUUACAGUUAUCUUGCUAUCAAACAACUUGUUACCGCUAUUUCAGUGCUUGCAGAAAUUAGCUUGCUGAAAACCGCUCGUCAUUUCCUUCCUCUCCUCAUUGGGUUCGACACUCUUACUUAUCGAAAGGACUACGAUUGACCCCCUAUACUUGUGGGUAAUCAAGAUUCUUUUCUAGUGCCGUUGCCGGGGAGUGAAGCGCCUUUGGUAAGCGGAAUUUGGUAAGGGAAAAUUUAUAUUACGUGCUGAAAUUUAUUGUUACUUGUCACUAUGGAAAGUAAUCCUUUGAGGGGCUUGUUCGGGGUAUCUUCACCUCAACCGGAAACACCAAGAGUUGUCCCUCAACUUGCUGAACCUACUAAAAGUAUUUAUUAUUGAAGUCCUUCGGGUAUGAUAGAGAAACUGCUAGCUAAUCAUUAUGUAGGAGAUGGAACAAAACAUCCGGAUAUGCACCUAAUAUACGUGGAUGAAGUUUGUGGAUUAUUUAAGCUUGCAAGUUUAUCCAGAGAUGAAGUUAAGAAGAAGGUUUUCCCUUUAUAUUUGGGGGGUAAAUCAUUGACAUGGUAUAGGAUAUGUGACGAUAGAGGAUCUUGGUACUGGAUUCCAUUCCAAUUGGAGUUUCACUAAAAUAUUGAUCAUAUGCAUCUUGUUCAUCAUGAUCGUAAUUUUAUCUAUAACUUUUGGCCCCGUGAAGGAGAAAGUAUCGCUCUAGCUUGGGGGAGGCUAAAGUCAGUGUUAUAUUCAUGCCCCAAUCAUGAGCUCUCUCGAGAAAUUAUUACUGAAAAAAUUUAUGCUCGACUUUCUCGUAAUGCUCAAACCAUGCUCGAUACUUCUUGUUCUGGUUCUUUUAUGAAGAAGACUAUUGAAUUCCAGUGGGAUAUUUUGGAAAGAACUAAACGCAACUCUGAAGAUUGGGAGAUCGAUGAAGGUAAAGAGUCAGUUAUAGAACUUAAUUUUGAUUGUGUUAAAUCUUUUAUGAAUACUGAUGCUUUCAAUGAUUUUAGCACUAAGUAUGGACUUGACUCUGUGAUAGUAGCCUCAUUCUGUAAAACAUUUGCCGCUCGUGUUGAUCUCGCUAAAGAGAAAUGGUUUAAAUAUCAUCCACCUAUUAAAGAUAUAAUUGAAGAACCAUUUAAAGUUGAGGCUGAAACUAUCAUUUACAAUGUUGACCAAGUUGUGCCUACUGCUUAUAUUGAGAAACCGCCUUUCCCUGUUAGGAUAAAGGAGCAUGCGAAAGCUUGGACUAUGGUUAACAAAAGUUAUGUUAGAACAACCAAACCCUCUAAGCAAAUCAAGGUAGAUCCUAGUACUACUAUGGCUAAAGAUCUCUUGGUAGACAAUAUUGAUGGGCAUGUUAUUUAUUUCUGUAAUGAAGCUGCUAGAAUUGCCAAACCUGAUACUAAAGAUAAGAAUAGACCUGUUGUUGGCAUGCCCGUCGUUUCAAUUAAAAUAGGAGAUCAUUCCUAUCAUGGUUUAUGUGAUAUGGGUGCUAGUGUUAGUGUUAUUCCUUUUACCAUAUAUCAAGAAAUUAUGUAUGACAUAGCACCCGUUGAAAUAGAAGACAUAGAUGUUGCUAAUAAACUUGCUAAUAGAGACACCAUCACACCACUUGGGAUUGUUAGAGAUGUUGAAGUCUUGUGUGGAAAAGUAAAAUACAUUACUGAUUUUCUAGUUCUUGGCUCGCCACAAGAUAUUUUUGUCCCAUAAUAUUUGGUACACCCUUCUUGAGCACUGUCAAUGCUCAAAUAGAUUGUAAAUGGAAACUGUUAGUGUUAAUUUUGGUGGUAUGUCUCAUGAGAUUCUUUUCUCCAAGUUUAGUAAGCAACCCCAUGAUAAAGAAUUGCGUAGUAAAGACAAAGUAAUUGGUCUUGCUUCUAUUGCCAUUCCUCCUACUGAUCCAUUAGGACAGUAUUUGCGAGGCCAUGAAAAUGAUAUGCAUAUGUGUUAAAGAAAUGACCUAGAUAAUAUGUUCUUUGAGCAAAAACCUAUCCUUAAACACAACUUCCGUGUUGAAACUCUAGGGGGUCCUCCUCCACCCAAGGGAGAUCCUUUGUUUGAACUAAAGCAAUUACCUGACACUUUGAAAUAUGCUUAUCUUGAUGAAAAGAAGAUAUAUCAUGUUCUUAUUAGUGCUAACCUUACAGAGUAUGAAGAAGAAAGAUUGCAAAAGACUUUAAGGAAGCUCCGAACUACAAGUGUUUAUACUCUUGAUGAUCUUAAGGGCAUUAGUCCCACUCUCUGUCAUUACAAGAUUAAUAUGGAACGAGAUGCUAAACCUGUUAUCGAUGACCAAUGAAGAAUGAAUCCCACAAUAAAAGAAGUGGUAAGAAAUUAUAUAUUAAAGCUUUUGGAAGCAGGUAUAAUUUACCCCAUAGUUGAUAGUAGAUGGGUAAGCCUCGUUCAUUGUGUUCCUAAGAAAGGAGGUAUUACUAUCGUUCCUAAUGACAAAAAUGAACUCAUUCCACAAAGAAUUAUGAUUGGCUAUAGAAUGGUAAUUGAUUUUAGAAAAUUAAGCAAAGAUACUAGAAAAGAUCAUUAUCCUUUAUGGUAAAUGAAGGUACUGUCUUGGGCCAUAAAAUUUCCGAACGAGGUAUUGAGGUGGAUAAGGCUAAAGUUGAUGCAAUUGAGAAGAUGCCAUGUCCUAAAGAUAUUAAAGGUAUUCGUAGUUUUCUUGGUCAUGUGGGUUUCUAUAGAAGGUUUAUUAAAGACUUCUCUAAAAUUUCUAGGCCUCUUAUCAAUUUAUUACAAAAGUAUGUUCCUUUCAUGCUUUAUGAUGAUUGUGUAAAAUCCUUUAUAACACUUAAGAAAGCCUUAACAUUUGCACUUAUUGUUCAACCACCUUAUUGGAACUUGCCUUUUGAAAUUAUGUGUGAUGCUAGUGAUUAUGUUGUUGGUGCUUUUAUAGGACAAAGAGUUGAUAAGAAAUUAAAUGUUAUCCAUGAUGCUACUAAAACUCUAGAUAGUGCCGAGAGAAAUUAUGCUACUAUUGAAAACAAAUUCUUAGCAAUUGUAUUUCUUUAUGAUAAAUUCAGAUAUUACAUUGUUGAUUCCAAAGUAAUUGUUCAUACUGAUCAUGCUCCUAUUAAAUAUCUUAUGGAAAAAAGAUUCUAAGCCUAGACUUAUUAGGUGGGUUCUCUUGCUACAAGCAUUUGAUUUGCAUAUCAUUGAUAGGUAAGGAGUAGAGAAUCCCGUAGCUGAUAAUUUGUCUAGGUUAGAAAAUGUUCUUGAUGACCCACUACCUAUUGAUGAUAUCUUAUGUGAUGAACAACUAGUUGUGGUCAAUGUUUCUCAUAACACAUAGUGGUUUACUGAUUAUGCUAAUUACAUUGUUGCUAAAUACAUACCACCUAGUUUCACUCAUCAACAAAAGAAAAAUAAUCUUCUUUAAUUUAAGAGAUUACAUUUGGGAUGACCCACAACUUUAAAAAGAGUGUGUAGAUGGUAUUAUUAGAUGCUACUUCUUGAUCUUGCGUCGGUUUUUCCCUUGAAGAGGAAAGGGUGAUGCAGCAAAGUAGAGACAAUUAUUUCCCUCACUUUGAGAACCAACGUAUCAAUCCAGUAGGAGUAUCAAGAUGAGGCACCAAUGCACCUGCGCAAAAACAAAUAAACUUGCACCCAAUGCGAUAAAGGGGUUGUCAAUCCCUUUACGAUUACUUGCAAGAUGAGAUCUGAUAGUGAUAAUAGGUAAAUAUAAAUAAAUAAAUAAAAGUGCAGCAAGGUAUUUUUGGUAUUUUCGUAUGUAAAUCUGAAUAUAUAAUGUGUAAAAUAGACCCGGGAGCCAUAGUGUCCACUAGAGGCUUCUCUCCUGAUAGCAAGUAUUACGGUGGGUGAACGAAUUACUGUCGAGCAAUUGAUAGAAUCGUGCAAAGUCAUGAUGAUAUCUAAGGCAAUGAUCAUACAUAUAGGCAUAAUGUCCGAGACAAGUAGACCGAUACUUUCUGGAUCUCCUACUAUUACUCCACACAUCGACCGCUAUCCAGCAUGCAUCUAGUGUAUUAAGUUCAUAACAAACAGAGUAACGCCUUAAGCAAGAUGAUAUGAUGUAGAGGGAUAAAUUCAUGCAAUAUGACAUAAACCCCAUCUUUUUACCCUCGAUGGCAACAACACGAUGCAUGCGUUGCUACCCCUUCUGUUACUAGGUGAGGACACCGCAUGGUAUGAACCUAAAACCAAGAACUUCUCCAAUUGCAAGAAUUAUAGAUCAAGUUGGCCAAACGAAACCCAUAACUCGAAGAGAAUUACAAAGAUAUGAAAUCAUGCAUAUAAGAAAUCAGAGGAGACUCAAAUAAUAUUNNNNNNNNNNNNNNNNNNNNNNNNNNNNNNNNNNNNNNNNNNNNNNNNNNNNNNNNNNNNNNNNNNNNNNNNNNNNNNNNNNNNNNNNNNNNNNNNNNNNUGUUCCAUGCUAUUAUAUUAUCAACUUGGGAUGUCUUAUAUGCAUUUAUAUGCUAUUUUAUAUCAUUUUUGGGACUAACCUAUUAACUCAGUGCCCAGUGCCAGUUUCUGUUUUUUCUGUGUUUUUGACCUUUUUCAGAUAAGAAUAUUAAAGGAUUCCAAACAGAAUAAAACCUGCAGGAUGAUUUUUUCCAUAACAGAAGAUACCCAGAAGACUUGAGAACCAAGGCAGCGGGUCUCGUGGGAGGUCACGAGCCCCCUAGGUGCGCCCCAGGGUGGGGGCUCCUAGCAGCCUUGUGGGCCCCCUUGCCUCCUUUUCCCUACCUCUUUCACCUACAAAUUCCCUAAAAUCCCGAAACCAACAGAGAGAGCCACGCAAAUACUUUUCCACCGCCGCAAGCUUCUGUUUCCGCGAGAUCCCAUCUGGUGACCGUUCUGGUGCCGUGCCGGAGGGGGAUUCAGACACGGAGGGCUUCUUCAUCAACACCAUUGCCUCUCCGAUGAUGCGUGAGUUGUUCACCACAGACCUUCGUGUCCAUAGCUAGUAGCUAGAUGGCUUCUUCUCUCUCUUGGAUCUUCAAUACAAAGUUCUCCAUGAUCUUCAUGGAGAUCUAUCGGAUGUAACUUUCUUUUGCGGUGUGUUUGUCGAGAUCCGAUGAAUUGUGGAUUUAUGAUCAGAUUAUCUAUGAAUAUUAUUUGAGUCUCCUCUGAUUUCUUAUAUGCAUGAUUUCAUAUCCUUGUAAUUCUCUUCGAGUUAUGGGUUUCGUUUGGACAACUUGAUCUAUAAUUCUUGCAAUGGGAGAAGUGCUUGGUUUUGGGUUCAUACCGUGCGGUGUCCUCACCUAGUGACAGAAGGGGUAGCAAGGCACGCAUCCUGUUGUUUCCAUCAAGGGUAAAAAGAUGGGGUUUAUAUCAUAUUGCAUGAAUUUAUCCCUCUACAUCAUGUCAUCUUGCUUAAGGCGUUACUCUGUUUGUUAUGAACUUAAUACACUAGAUGCAUGCUGGAUAGCGGUUGAUGUGUGGAGUAAUAGUAGUAGAUGCAGAAAGUAUCAGUCUACUUGUCUCGGACGUGAUGCCUAUAUGUAUGAUCAUUGCCUUAGAUAUCGUCAUGACUUUGCGCGAUUCUAUCAAUUGCUCGAUAGUAACUCCUUCACCCACCGUAAUACUUGCUAUCAUGGGAGAAGCCUCUAGUGAACACUAUGGCCCCGGGUCUAUUUUACACAUUAUAUAUUCAGAUUUACAUACGAAAAUACAAAAAAUACCUUGCUUCACUUUUAUUCAUUUAUUUAUAUUUACCUAUUAUCACUAUCAGAUCUGACCUUACAAGUAAUUGUAAAGGGAUUGACAACCCCUUUAUCGUGUUGGGUGCAAGUUUAUUUGUUUUUGCGCAGGUGCAUUGGUGCCUCAUCUUGAUACUCCUACUGGAUUGAUACCUUGGUUCUCAAACUGAGGGAAAUACUUAUCUCUACUUUACUACAUCACCCGUUCCUCUGCAAGGGAAAAACCAACGCAAGCUCAAGAAGUUGCAGGAAAAAUUUCUGGCACCGUUGCCGGGGAGUAUUCAAGUGAAGCAUAUCUAGCAAGUACCUAUCGCAAACUCAUCUCUUACAUUUACAUUAUUUGCCAAUUGCCUCUCGUUUUCCUCUCCCCCACUUCUAAAACAAAAUUUACAAACAUAUUUGCCUUUCUUUAUGUGCCUUUUUCGUUCACCCUUUCUUUUGCUUACUUUCUGUUUGCUUGUGUGGGUUAGUCUACUUAUCCUUAUGGCUAGUCCUAUCGCUAUUAUCGUUACUCCCGAGAGCAAAGUUCUUAAUUUAAAAAAAAUGAGGGAGAAAACUUAAAAGAUGCUUGGUAUAGAAUUUGCAAUGCUCAGAAUAGAUCUAUUCGUAAGCAAUCUACUACCAUUCUACUUCACAAUUUUUAUGUGGGUAUUUCCCCUUGGAAUAGGUAUGUUCUUGACACCAUCGUAGGCGGAAAUUUCUUGGGUAGCCAUACCUUUGAUUCUUAUGGUGCUUUAAUAAAUUUGGUAGGCUCACCCCUGCUCAUGGUUAAUGGAACUACUUUAACUUUGGAACAUGUGAUGCGUAGGCUGGAUAUUAUUGAAAAUAAAGUUGCUACGACAGAACUCAUUGAAAAUUUGGAUAAAAAGAUCCACAAUCAAAUCACUCAAUAUAGAUCUAAGGUGGGAAUGACUUUGAAAAAUUUAAAGGAGAAGGAACCCAUAGUUAACGAAAAACUAGAUCAUGAUUCCGCUAGAAUUGGCAAACUAGAGGAUGUGAUAACCAACUUGAGUUCCACUUUUUUGCUGCUAUUCAGAACAAUCCAAAUUUUGCCCACAAUAAGGCCACUAAGCUUGUUUAUGUUCCUAAAAACAAUGGUGAACCAUCCAGUAAGAGAGAUGAAGAUCUUAAAAUGUUGAGUGUUCACCCUACCUAUCUUGAUAUCUUAAGAAAACCUAUCAUCACUAAUGAUUAUCUUUGUUGCCUAUCUAGGAGUAUAAUUAUUGAUAAAAUUAAGGAACUCCCUAAUAAUGAUGAUUGUAUGAGUGGUUUGAGCACUAAAGAUGAUAAUACUUGAUUCCAUUGCCUUACGCCUAGCUAACGGCGUUAAACAAUAACGCUUGUUGGGAGGCAACCCAAUGAAUAAAUUAAUUUUUGCUUUUUUACUUUAUGUUUUGUUGAGUCCACACCAUCAUGAUUCUGUUAUGAUUAUGUUUUUUUAUGUUUUAAUUAGUGUUUGUGCCAAGUAGAACCUUUAUGAUUAGUUUUGGUAAUAGUUGUUUAAUCAUGCUAAAAAAGACAGAAACUUUGUGCUCAUGAAAUUAUUUUAAUUCCUAUCCAGAACGAGAUUUUGAGUUGAUUAUUUUUGCUAAUGAUUGAUAUGCAAAUUUCCUUAAUUUUCAUAACUUUUUCAGAAUUUUUGGGAUAGCAGAGGUGUACGAAAUAUACAGAUUGCUACAGACUAUUCUGUUGUUGAUAGAUUUUGAUUUUGUUGUGUUGAUUGCUUAUUUUGAUGAAACUAUGGUUAGUAUUGGGGGGUACGAGCCAUGGAGAAGUGAGAAUACAGUAAUAUAACAUCAAUCUAAAUGGAAAUUAAGUUUACUACAGUACCUAAAAAGUUGGUGGUUUGUUUUCUUAUGCUAAUGAUAUCACGAGUUUCUGUUUAAGUUUUGUGUUGUGAAGUUUUCAAGUUUUGGGUGAUGUUCUUAUGGACAAUGGAGUAAAGAGUGGAAAGAGCCUAAGCUUGGGGAUGCCCAAGUCAUCCCAAGCCAAAUUCAAGGACACCAAAAAGCCUAAGCUUGGGGAUGCCCCAGGAAGGCAUCCCCUCUUUCGUCUUCAAUCCAUCGGUAACGUUACUUGGAGCUAUAUUUUUAUUUACCACAUGAUAUGUGUUUUUCUUGGAGCAUCAUGUAUUAUAGGAGUCUUUGCUUUUUGUUUUAUCACAAUCAUCCUUGCUGCAAACCUUUUUGAGAGGGACAUGCACUCAUCGUGAAUUUGUUAGAAUACUCAAUGAGCUUCACUUAUAUCUUUUGAGCUAGGCAAUUUAGCUCCCAUGAGCUUCACUUAUACCUUUUGAGCUAGAUAUUUUUUCUCCCAUGAGAUUCACUUAUAUCUUUUGAGCUAGGAAAUUUAGCUCCCAUGAGAUUCACUUAUAUAUUUUGAGCUAGAUAAUUUUGCUCUAGUGCUUCACUUAAAUAUUUUUAGAGCACGGCGGUGUCAUAUUUUGUAGAAAUAAAAACUCUCGAUCUUCACUUAUAUCAUUUUGAGAGUGCUCUCUCUAAGUAACUUGGUAAUUGGCGUGUGCUAUGAAAUUAGUCCUAAAUAUGAUAGGCAUACAAAGAGGAUAUAAUAAAAACGUUCAUAUUCAAGUGCAUUGAUUAGUAAGAGAAGUUUGAUUCCUCACAAUUAGUUUUGAGAUAUGGAUAUGGUAAUAUUAGAGUCAUGUUAGUAGGGUGUUGUGAAUCUAGGAAUACUUGUGUUGAGGUUAGUGAUUCCAGUAGCAUGCACGUAUGGUGAACCGCUAUGUUAGGAAGUCGGAGCAUAAUUGAUUUAUUGAUUGUCAUCCUUUGUGUGGCGGUCGGGAUCGCGCGAUGGUUAAUUCCUACCAACCCUUCCCCUAGGAGUAUGCGUUUAGCACUUUGUUUCGAUUACUAAUAAAACGUUCGCAAUAAGUAUAUGAGUUCUUCAUGACUAAUGUGAGUCCAUGGUAUAGAUGCACUCUCACCUUCCACCAUUGCUAGCCUCUCUAGUGCCGCACAACUUUUGCCGGUGCACAAACCCACCAUAUACCUUCCUCAAAACAGCAACCAUACCUACCUAUUAUGGCAUUUUCAUAGCCAUUCCGAGAUAUAUGGACAUGCAACUUCCACCGUUCUGUCUCAUGACAUGUGCCAUCAUUUUCAUUUUGCCAUUGCAUGAUCGUAAGAUAGCUAGCGAGAUGUUUCAACGUCAUACGCUAAGCUAGAUCGUUGCACAUCCUGGUACACUCCCGGAGGCAUUUCAUAUAGAGUCAUUAUUGUUCUAAGUAUCGAGUUGUAAGUAAAUAAAAGUGUGAUGAUCAUCAUUAUUAGAUCAUUGUCCCAUGUGAGGAAAUAAAAAAACAGAGGCCAAAGAUGCCCACCAAAAAAAGGGAGAGAAAAGAAAAUGAAAUGAAAAAAAAGAGGCCAAAGAGCCCAAACAAAAAAAAUGAUGAGAGAAAAAUAGAGAAGGGGCAAUGCUACUAUUUUUUUCCACACUUGUGCUUCAAAGUAGCACCCUGUUCUUCAUGAUAGAGAGUCUCUUGUUUUGUCACUUUCAUAUAGUAGUGGGAAUUUUCAUUAUAUAACUUGUCUUGUAUAUUCCAAUGAUGGGCUUCCUCAAAAUUGCCCUAGGUCUUCAUGAGCAAGCAAGUUUGGUGCACACCCACUAGUUUUCUUUUUGAGCUUUCAUACACUUAUAGGUCUAGUGCAUCCAUUGCAUGGCAAUCCCUACUCAUUCACAUUGAUAUCUCUUGAUGGGCAUCUCCAUAACCCGUUGAUACGCCAAGUCGAAGUGACCAUCUCCUCCUUUUUGCCUCACAACCUCCACCACACUUUAUUCCACCUAUAGUGCUAUAUCCAUGGCUCACGCUCAUGUAUUGCGUGAGAGUUGAAAAAGUUUGAGAAAGUAAGAGUGCGAAAACAAUUACUUGGCCAAUACCGGGUUUGUGCAUGAUUUAAAUUCGUUGUGUGGGGAUGAUGGAGCAUAGCCAGGCUAUAUGAUUUUGUAGAGAUAACUUUCUUUGGCCUUGUUAUUUCAAAAGUUCAUAAUUACUUGGCUAGUAUGCUUGAAGUAUUAUUGUUUUCAUGUCAAUAUUAAACUAUUGUUUUGAAUCUUACGGAUUUGAACAUUCAUGCCACAAUAGAGAAGUUACAAAGAACAAAUAUGUUAGGUAGCAUUCCACAUCAAAAAUUCGGUCUUUAUCACUUCCCUACUCGAGGACGAGCACGAGUUAAGCUUGGGGAUGCUUGAUACGUCUCCAACGUAUCUAUAAUUUUUGAUUGUUCCAUGCUAUUAUAUUAUCAACUUGGGAUGUCUUAUAUGCAUUUAUAUGCUAUUUUAUAUCAUUUUUGGGACUAACCUAUUAACUCAGUGCCNNNNNNNNNNNNNNNNNNNNNNNNNNNNNNNNNNNNNNNNNNNNNNNNNNNNNNNNNNNNNNNNNNNNNNNNNNNNNNNNNNNNNNNNNNNNNNNNNNNNNNNNNNNNNNNNNNNNNNNNNNNNNNNNNNNNNNNNNNNNNNNNNNNNNNNNNNNNNNNNNNNNNNNNNNNNNNNNNNNNNNNNNNNNNNNNNNNNNNNNNNNNNNNNNNNNNNNNNNNNNNNNNNNNNNNNNNNNNNNNNNNNNNNNNNNNNNNNNNNNNNNNNNNNNNNNNNNNNNNNNNNNNNNNNNNNNNNNNNNNNNNNUGCCAGUUUCUGUUUUUCCUGUUUUUGACCUUUUUCAGAUAAGAAUAUUAAACAGAGUCCAAACGGAAUAAAAUCUGCGGGGUGAUUUUUUCCAUAACAGAAGAUACCCAAAAGACUUGAGAACCAAGGCAGCGGGUCUCGUGGGAGGUCACGAGCCCCCUAGGCGUCCCCCAGGGGGCGCCUAGCAGGCUCGUGGGCCCCCCUUGCCUCCUUUGCCCUACCUUUUUCGCCCAUAAAUUCCCUAAAAUCCCGAAAACAAUAGAGAUAGCCAUGAAAAUACUUUUCUGCCGCCGCAAGCUUCUAUUUCCGUGAGAUCCCAUCUGGGGACCGUUAUGGUGCCCUGCCGGAGGGGGAUUCGGACAUGGAGGUCUUCUUCAUCAACACCAUUGCCUCUCCGAUGAUGCGUGAGUAGUUCACCACAGACCUUCGGGUCCAUAGCUAGUAGCUAGAUGGCUUCUUCUCUCUCUUGGAUCUUCAAUAAAAAGUUCUCCAUGAUCUUCAUGGAGAUCUAUCCGAUGUAACUUUCUUUUGCGGUGUGUUUGUCGAGAUCCGAUGAAUUGUGGAUUUAGGAUCAGAUUAUCUAUGNNNNNNNNNNNNNNNNNNNNNNNNNNNNNNNNNNNNNNNNNNNNNNNNNNNNNNNNNNNNNNNNNNNNNNNNNNNNNNNNNNNNNNNNNNNNNNNNNNNNCCUUGACUCCCUGCACGGAAGCAAUUCCGGAGCAAACAUUCCAGUUAAGUAACCGUUGUAGUUGUAUAAGAUCGGGGCACAACUCCAAGUCGUCCUGUAACCGUGGACACGGCUAUCCGAAUAGUUUAUUUCUUCCCUGUACGGGUGCACCAAGUUUCCUGGCACGCUUGAUGAACUCUGGCCGGACACACUUACCUUGUUCAUGCCCGGCCUCAGCACAUCAACACGUCGCAGCCCCACCUAAUCUCAACAGAGAGGCCAGCCUGCCGGUCUAAAUCCUAAGUGCGCAGGGGUCAUGUUGUAGCGACCCGACUCAAGACGAGUCAAGCCUCUGUGUUUCUGUGCCAUCCCUGGAUCAGUAUCCUGGCACACACAAUACAUCAAUGUAUAUAUCAAAGUGCAAUCACAUGUAAAAUAGCGUAAAAACUGAUAUAUACCUUAAAUAUCUCAGCGGAAGCGGUCAAGGGAGUGGAGUCCCAAUAAACACCAACGACAAGUUGAGUGUAGACCGUAACCCUGAAUCGUACUCUUACUCGUCGAAGAAAAAUAUCUGCAACAUAAGACGUUGCAGCCGUGUAGGUCAGCAUAUUGAAUAUGCCGGCAAGUCACAUAAGAGAGGGGUGAAAGGUAAUCAUCUAUACUAUAUGCAUAUAUGGCAGGUGGGGCUAUAGGUUUUUAGCGAUAAAGCAAGUUUUCUCCUAUAUCAAGAGGGGGCUAAAAGUAAAAUGUUACUACAUUGUUGGUUGUUAACGAGAUGGUUCCGCCAACCAUUUCUCGUACCCGAGCUGUCAAUAAUUACCCUCAUCAAAUAUAUUUAAUGGUGUUGAGAAAUCCAGAUAACUUCAGUUCCUUUGGCUCAAGUUGUCCAUGACCAUGGACACGGCUAAUCGAUUAGGUUUGAGUACUCUGCAGAGUUUUGCACACGUUCCCCACAAGAUUUGAUCGCCUCCAGGUAUAUCCUCGCACUUCAGGGUGUUUGAAGACCGGAUGAUCAAAACAUGGUCUUUCAACGGGUCCCUCUGAAUCCCUGUCGGUGCCCAUCCAUGCCUACCAUUCUUCUACAUCUGCUANNNNNNNNNNNNNNNNNNNNNNNNNNNNNNNNNNNNNNNNNNNNNNNNNNNNNNNNNNNNNNNNNNNNNNGCGAGGUGGAGGGAGGGCUGUAGGGGGGCGAGGUGGGAAGCUGCUGGUGGUAUGGCUCCUGGCAGGAGUUUCGUGGGGAUGGGGAGGGGCCGGCGGGAGGAGUGGUGGAGGGGGGCGAAGGGUGGAGGGGUGGGCUCGGCAGGGAGGGUGCAGCGAGGUGGAGGAGGGGUGCAGGAGCGAUGUGGUGGUGUUCCUGGGAAGUUUCUGGCAGCUCUCGGGGUGCCGAUCCGGCGAGGUGGCGCGCGAGCUAGAGGCGAGGAGAGCGAGUGGUUUCAACGGGAAUGGAACGAGGAGGUGCAGGGGGUUCUUAUAUAGGCGACGGGAGGCGCUGGGAAGGGAAGAGCUUUGCGAAUCCCGGAGGUGGGGAUCCUCUGUCCAUGGAGGGAAAGUUCUGUCACGUGAGGGAGAGAAUAGAGGAAGAAGAUGAUCUUCCUCGGCCAAUGAAAGGAAAAGUCUUAAUGGGCCACCUAGAGUUUCCUAAUAGAAACGAUUUCUUUCCUAUUUUUAAAACUAGGAAACUAAAAUGAUAAAAAGGAAAUCAAAUCAAUUCGGAAUAAAGAGUUUCUAUAUACUAAAAUUAUCAGAAAAAUAAAAUAUAAAUGAUGGGCAUUUUUCCACGGCAAAAAUAAAAACUUCAGAAAAAAUUAUUUUUACAAAAUUGCCUAAAAGGUUUAUUUUCUAUUCCAAAUAAUUUUCAGAUGACCCUCUAAGUUUGAGGGUUCAAAUAACUUUCAAAAUGCCCGUGGGUUCGAGGGUCAUGUUCCUCCUCUCUAGAAUGUAUUUCCCGGCAUUUCUUGCACGAAGAAAACGAAUGGAAAUGCAAAGGAAUUCAAAUGCAAAUAUCUCCGUUCAAAUUCUUUAUAGUUGAAGAAGUCAUGUCAUCUUCUCUCUUUGCUUUUAAAAGAUUGAAUUUGAAUUCACCGGAGAAGGGGAAAUUCAUUUUAUUCCCUCUCAUUCAAAAGUUUCGAAAAGUUUCAAAUUUCACACAAGUUUCAAUCACUCAGGCAACCAACAAACAAUCUAAUAAUAAUUAUAUUAACAUUCCAAAAUUUAUAAUUUUGGGAUGUUACAAACUACCACACUUAAAAUGAAUCUCGUCCUCGAGAUUCGAAGAGGCUAGAAAGAAAGGUUAGGGUUUGGGGGUCUUCUAACAAUUCCAAUCUCCGGCAAGGUGGGACGCUACCACACUUAAAAUGAGAGAUACUGGUCCCUCAAAAUGCUUUAACGAUCCUCUGGGUUUUUUGGCAUCAUGACUCCCCACAGUCUUCAUAUCUUCUGUUGAUAUAAGCUUCUUUCAUCACUGGGUCUUCUUAACUGACAGUCUCGUGGUCAAUUCUAAAUAACAUAUCGAUAGUUCUCAUGGUGGUCUACCAUUUGUGGUUAUCCUGCAGAGAGAGGGGUCUUGGUUUCAUCCUCACCGUAAAAUUUCCUAUGCGUGAAAACAGGUGCCAUGCACAUGGGCUUUUCUUAUACCACUCUAAGUCUUAAACAAAAGCUUCAAAGAACGUCGUCUCUCUAUAUGGGUAAGUCUCUUAGAUUUACCAUUCCGAAUAGCAAGAUAAAUGAUAAGAGUAAGUCGUCAUGGUGAUCAAUCCAUUCCGCACCCAAAACAUUUCUCUGUAUAAGGCUUAGUGAAUCUCGUAUUCUAACACUUGGGCAUCCUCACAAGUGUUGCAGAAUUUCUCUUGUCCACGAACGAAGUUCGGAUAAUCCAUUGGUUCUGCAAGCUGAACGAAACAUCUAUCGUAUCUUCACAACUCUUAGGUUUUCGUAUGCUCCUAAGAAAAUGUUUGCUGAUGCAUCAUAGCUUCUUCCAUAAAUCAUAUUCAUUUCAUAAUCAAUCCUUUAUUACAUCCUUAAUUUAUCCUCAAAAACUCCAGUUCAAAAGUACUCUAUUACAAAUGCUGCCAUCCACAUGGUUCGGUAUGGUCGAGCAUUUGUGCCAACUUUAUUUAUCUGCCUCUCUUGGAGGUACUUUAGUUCCACUCGAACUUUCCGAGGUGCUCCUUGAAAUCAUCCAUCUUUUGCUUCAUCAUGGUGGCCAUGAGCUUCAUCUCCAUCAUCUCCGCACGUACUUCACUCAGGUAUUCCUGGGUAUGACGGAGUCUUGCUUCGAGUAUUUCUCCAAUCUGACGUAUGGCUUCCAUGGCAGCUUCACGAACAGCAUCAAAGAAGGUUGCUCGUGGUACACGUGAAAUGAAAAAGUAUUGCCCCAUAGUCUUUGGACAAACUCCUUUCACAUGGUGGAGGUGUACUUCCACAUACCAAAGUUCCACACCACUUUCCAUGAAUGGGUAGCCUUUGUAGACUUCAACUCCUUCAAGAUGAAUGUGCUUCAUCAUGUCCUUCAGGAUUUUUGGGUAAUCAUGGUCACUGGUCAGGGUCAUGAUCGUUUCUGGGCCCUUGAGGAAUGACUCAUAGAGAGUUGUCAUCUGCAGGUGUCAGUAAAUAGGUACUCAGAGGAAUGUAUGUGUCUCCUUGGUAGUUAUGGCACAUUCCUACUCAGUGGAUCCUGUGGGUUUACCGAUUACUACCACACUUAAAAUGAAUUAUACUCAUGCCUGCAUAGACCAUAUUUUCUCAUAUCCUCAUAAUUGUUCAAAGAUCUUUGCUCGUAGAGAAACAACGCAUACAUUUUCAACAUAGACAAUCAUGAGACAAUAAAUUCCAUUAAUUCAUGAUGUUAUUACAACCUCAGGGACUUCUGUUACAAAAAUUUCACUCCAUGAUCUUAUGAAAAACAAGAGUGCUUCGGAUAACACUUAUUGCCAUGGUCAAAACUUAACUACUCCAUUCUAGCUUUCUUCCUUUGUCGACAAUCGCUGGCAAAAUGUCCUGCUUCCUUGCAACAAAAACAAAUGAUUUCUGACAAGUCUCGAAGCUUCUUAGCUUCUGCUUUUGCUCCUUGGAUUCCCAGCUUCCUUCCUGAGCACAUGUAUCUGUGGUGGCCAAAUUUCAUACACUUGUAACAUCUGACAUGACUCAGGUCUAUGUCUGCAGAGAUUUGGUUCUUCCGAGGGUACAUUUUCUUCUUUCGGGACUCCUUUAUUUUGGCCAGUUCUUCUAUUUCAAGUGGAUCAAACUCCAAUUCUUCCGUCGGGAAGUUUCCCAGAUACUCUUGGCUUCUCUUUGUGCAAUCCUGUGAAUAAUGUCCUUCUUCUCCACAUGAGUAGCAUGCAUUGGAGAAAAAUCUGGUCACACCUUGUCCAUCAGGGUCUUCAAUAUUUUUGUUCAUCACCGGUUCUUCUAGAUCUUCUUCUUGGGGGUUUCCUUCACUACAUCUUUCUGCUGCUUGACAACUUGUUGCACCUUGGGGUAAAUGUGACACUGAGCUGGGUAGUGGUUGGUUUCUUCACAAAGGAAACAAGUCACCUGACUGCUUGGGCACUCCUCGGCUGGGUGAUUUUCUUCACAAUGAGUGCAUCCAUCCGUGUGUUCUUCCUGGGUGUGUCCUAUUUCUCCACAGAUCUUGCAUGCACAAGUCUUUUCUUUCGGUUUAUCAUAGCCCUUCUGAAUGAGAGGGGAUCGUAACAGAGUCUUCUUGAAUUCGUCCCAACUUUCUGCUCCACUAAAUCCUUGUAUGGCAUGGUGCAUUUUCCACCAGAUAGCAGCACUUUGUGUAAAGUACUGAAGAGCGUGUUCCACUUCAUACUUCCUUGAGAUCAAGUUGCUCCCGAAGUGGUUCUCCAUGUUCUGAAUCCAUAUUUCAGCCUCCAGCUGGGUCAUUGGUCCAGAGACUACAAGUCCAGCUUCAUACUCCAUCUGGUAGGGUUGAGGUUUUGGGGAUGAGACGGGUAAGAGAGAGGGAGAUACACACAAUACAAACAAUAUUUUUGAGAAUAGGUUUUAUUUGUGGCUGUCGGAAAAAACACACACCAAUGACGGCUCACAAUUCAUCGUAUCUAACAUGGGUACAUAAAAGGGGUUUGGACUUCUAAUGGUCAUAUAAUUAUUCGGACACUUCAGGGUCUUCGAGUUCUUCGGGUCUUGAGAGUCUACUAUUGGUGUAGCUUCAAUUCUUCAAACGCGUGGUGAAAUCCUCUUUACUUUGAAGUAGAACUCCGUUGAUGUUUUAUGAGGUCAAAGGGGUAAGGGGAUUGUAUAACUAUUUGAGGUGAGAGAGAACGUUUGAUGAAAUCAGAAGAGAUGAGAAGUAAAAGGUGUUCUUGAAAAUAAUUUUUUUUGAGAGCUCCUAUCCUAAGAAAUUUCUAGUUUCUAGGGUCACGUCCUACAGUCAACAUGUGCUCUGAUACCAUUUCUGUAGUGACCCGACUCAAGACGAGUCAAGCCUCUGUGUUUCUCUGCCAUCCCUGGAUCAGUAUGCUGGCACGCACAGUACAUCAAUGUAUAUAUCAAAGUGCAAUCACAUGUAAAAUAGCGUAAAAACUGAUAUAUACCUUAAAUAUCGCAGCGGAAGCGGUCAAGGGAGUGGAGUCCCAAUAAACACCAACGGCAAGUUGAGUGUAGACCGUAACCCUGAAUCGUACUCUUACUCGUCGAAGAAAAAUAUCUACAACAUAAGACGUUGCAGCCGUGUAGGUCAGCAUAUUGAAUAUGCCGGCAAGUCACAUAAGAGAGGGGUGAAAGGUAAUCAUCUAUACUAUAUGCAUAUAUGGAAGGUGGGGCUAUAGGUUUUUAGUGAUAAAGCAAGUUUUCUCCUACAUCAAGAGGGGGCUAAAAGUAAAAUGUUACUACGUUGUUGGUUGUUAACGAGAUGGUUCCGCCAACCAGUUCUCGUACCCGAGUUGUCAAUAAUUACCCUCAUCAAAUAUAUUUAAUGGUGUUGAGAAAUCCAGAUAACUUCAGUUCCUUUGGCUCAAGUUGUCCAUGACCGUGGACACGGCUAAUCAAUUAGGUUUGAGUACUCUGCAGAGUUUUGCACACGUUCCCCACAAGAUUUGAUCGCCUUCGUGUAUGUCCUCGCACUUCAGGGUGUUUGAAGACCGGAUGAUCAAAACAUGGUCUUUCAACGGGUCCCUCUGAAUCCCUGUCGGUGCCCAUCCAUGCCUACCGUUCUUCUACAUCUGCUANNNNNNNNNNNNNNNNNNNNNNNNNNNNNNNNNNNNNNNNNNNNNNNNNNNNNNNNNNNNNNNNNNNNNNNNNNNNNNNNNNNNNNNNNNNNNNNNNNNNNNNNNNNNNNNNNNNNNNNNNNNNNNNNNNNNNNNNNNNNNNNNNNNNNNNNNNNNNNNNNNNNNNNNNNNNNNNNNNNNNNNNNNNNNNNNNNNNNNNNNNNNNNNNNNNNNNNNNNNNNNNNNNNNNNNNNNNNNNNNNNNNNNNNNNNNNNNNNNNNNNNNNNNNNNNNNNNNNNNNNNNNNNNNNNNNNNNNNNNNNNNNNNNNNNNNNNNNNNNNNNNNNNNNNNNNNNNNNNNNNNNNNNNNNNNNNNNNNNNNNNNNNNNNNNNNNNNNNNNNNNNNNNNNNNNNNNNNNNNNNNNNNNNNNNNNNNNNNNNNNNNNNNNNNNNNNNNNNNNNNNNNNNNNNNNNNNNNNNNNNNNNNNNNNNNNNNNNNNNNNNNNNNNNNNNNNNNNNNNNNNNNNNNNNNNNNNNNNNNNNNNNNNNNNNNNNNNUUCUUCUACAUCUGCUAGCACCGCCUGUCCAGAGUCGCCGCGUUGUCCAACCAAGCCAGAGCCCAUAAUGACUUGUGGCUGUGCAGGUAAGCCUUGGGUCUUGAAAAUAUUCGUCCGUCUCUUUGAGCCUGGGUGAAGCUUUCCGCAGGAUGUCAUGGCCGUCCCCAGCAUCUCGGGUCAUCCACUAGGUUCUCCAGGGAGCCGAUCAACCGUCCUUCACCCAAAGUUGCAUUGCGUCCGAGGUCUUGAAAAUCUUGUCUUAACCGGUCUUGAUUAUUUAUUCAACCUCGCAUCACUCGUGUUAUGCACUCAACCGAAAUCCCGUCUACUCAAGCAUAGCAAUAUGAAAUUUUUCGUCCCGGGGCCAAGUAUCGGGGUUGUUGUGUGCCUACCACAUGAUACUACAAUCUAUACUAAAAUUUCCAAGUACCUAAGCAGCAUGCAAUUGGGCAUAGGAUGGUAGAACUACGAUGCAUAAAACAUAGGUGAUAGUAUGAUCAAAGUGACUUGCNNNNNNNNNNNNNNNNNNNNNNNNNNNNNNNNNNNNNNNNNNNNNNNNNNNNNNNNNNNNNNNNNNNNNNNNNNNNNNNNNNNNNNNNNNNNNNNNNNNNNNNNNNNNNNNNNNNNNNNNNNNNNNNNNNNNNNNNNNNNNNNNNNNNNNNNNNNNNNNNNNNNNNNNNNNNNNNNNNNNNNNNNNNNNNNNNNNNNNNNNNNNNNNNNNNNNNNNNNNNNNNNNNNNNNNNNNNNNNNNNNNNNNNNNNNNNNNNNNNNNNNNNNNNNNNNNNNNNNNNNNNNNNNNNNNNNNNNNNNNNNNNNNNNNNNNNNNNNNNNNNNNNNNNNNNNNNNNNNNNNNNNNNNNNNNNNNNNNNNNNNNNNNNNNNNNNNNNNNNNNNNNNNNNNNNNNNNNNNNNNNNNNNNNNNAAAUAAGACUAGGGAGUCCUCUACUACAUCAAACACUAAAUGAUUUUUGUCCAACAGAAAAUAAUAACAAGGAACUAAGAUAUAAAUCUAACUAAGAUAAAAUAAAGUAUUUUUCACAAAACUUUUUGAAAGUAUUCCCAAACGGGAUUUGAAACAGUGGAGAAACCAAUUGCAAGUUACUAAGGAACUAGAAUUGAUUUCAUGAUAACAAAUAAAAACUUGUUGCAAAACUACUGUUUAACUAACAUAAACAAAACAAUAAUGUUUCUGAAAUAUAAAAGAAAAUAAUUUAAAAGUAACUAAAGAAAGUAAAUUAGUCACAAUCCUAAGAGAGGUGAAACAGAAAUUGUUUCACAAGAAACAGUGAGCUAAAACACUCAAAAAAUUCUAAAUUUUUUACCACUGAUACAUAAGAUCACUAGUGAUCAGUAGCAAAAAGAAUCAAAUUAAAAGCUAUUUUUAAACUACUGGAAUAUGCAAAACAAGGUUUAAACUAAAUCUGAUCUAACUCAAAUUUGAAAAUUUCAAACAUAGACAAAUUAUAUGUUUUUAAAGCUACAGGAAAUUUGUGAGCUACUGGCAAACGUAUCACUAUCAUUGGACUUCGGGAUCAAAAGUUAUGGCCAAAACAAAACAGAAACUUUGCUGUUUUUGGAACUAGACAGAAAAAGAGAAUAAUUGCUACAGACACGUGGCGCCCACUGAUUGGCUAAGGGUGUUUGCUGCAUAGGUUAAACAACGGAUGGCCGCUAAAUAAGAAAAUGCUUCGGUUCACUUAACUGAUGGACCGGUUCUUUUUCAGAAAACCGAAGGGGUAAGUACUUCCUAAUCUACACCGUGGGAUCUAGAUCUAAGGGAUGAAACUACACAAUACAAAAAAAAGAACAAGUAAAAAAAAGAAAAGGGAGGAGAUGUUACCUCGGCUGGGAGUAGCAGGAGCCUUCUCCGGCGAGGGUGUGCAACUCCGGCGGGGGUGGGGGAGGGGCCGGCGGGAGGAGUGGUGGAGGGGGGGGCGAAGGGUGGAGGGGCUCCAGGGAGGGGAGGGAGGCGAGGUGGAGGGAGGGNNNNNNNNNNNNNNNNNNNNNNNNNNNNNNNNNNNNNNNNNNNNNNNNNNNNNNNNNNNNNNNNNNNNNNNNNNNNNNNNNNNNNNNNNNNNNNNNNNNNGGAAAUUAAAUGCUGAUAGAUCUUAUUGGAAACCUGAGCAGUAUCCCAAGACCUCAUGGGUUGCUGCUACUGGGCCUCCUUUUGAUCCAUCUAAUCUAACUGGCUUUUCAUGUGAAUUAUCCUAUUCCUCGGAUGAGUCAUUUGAUUCCAACUAUAAACUGUUCAAAAAUCAAUCUAGUGAAGUAUUUGCUCGAUAUGUUGGAACUAACUGCAGGAAUGGCCCUCCUCUGAGGAAAAUCUGGGUUCCCAAAAGUUGUCUUGAAAAUCUUCAGGUGAAUGUCCUCAUGACACCACCACUGAAGAAUCUGAACCCCAGAUCAAGUUCCUCAGGAGGACCAAAGUCUUCUAGAGGAUCAAAAUCCUCAACUGGUCAAAACUAUGCUCGUACCCGUGCUUAUGCGUCUAACAUGCAGGGAAACUACAAGGAAUAUGAAUAUGAGCAUUACUCCUCAAAUCAUUAUGUUCAUAAAUCCUCAAACCAGUUCUCUGCAUAUUCAUAUGAGUACUUUAACCCCCCUACUGUUAAGAGAAGUGCAUUGGCUUCAAUGCCACCUUUCUCAUAUGGUGCUCGCAGGAUGAUGAACGCUUUGCCACCCCUUCAGAUGUGGGUGGUGAAGAAAUCGAACUAAUCACUUCUGCAGGUCAGGUCUCCAGAUGAAAAUCAUCACCUCAAGAAUUUGCUGGAGACCUGAGGAAUUGCUUGAUAGGACGCAAACUAAUGAUUGACGAAAUAGAAAUAUUUCACACGUCCUUAUAAUAUUUAUGAAAUUCUUAUCUGAUGAAUUUGAUAUCAUAUUCUUCAAAUCUGAAGCAUAUGAGAUGGUAAGCUGUACUAAUUCAUCUGCAGGAUGACAAACCCAAGAAUACUGAGUGGGUUCUUGAUAGUGGCUGCACACAUCACAUGACUGGUGAUAAAAGCUUGCUGAUGAAUAUGCCACUAACUCCAUCACCUCUGAAGCAAAUCACAUAUGUUGACAAAGGUAAAAGCAAGGUAUUGGGACUUGGCAAAGUGGCUAUUUCCAAGGAUAGGCAUAUGGACAAAGUGAUGCUUGUUGAAUCCCUUGGUUUUAACCUCAUGUCAGUCUCGAUGAUUUGUGAUCUUGAUAUGAUUGUCAUCAUGGAAUCUGANNNNNNNNNNNNUAUCAUAUUCUUCAAAUCUAAAGCAUAUGAGAUGGUAAGCUGUACUAAUUCAUCUGCAGGAUGACAAACCCAAAAAUACUGAGUGGGUUCUCGAUAGUGGUUGCACACAUCACAUGACUGGUGAUAAAAGCUUACUGAUGAAUAUGCCACUAAUUCCAUCACCUCUGAAGCAAAUCACAUAUGCUGACAAAGGUAAAAGCAAGGUAUUGGGACUUGGCAAAGUAGCUAUUUCCAAGGAUAGGCAUAUGGACAAAGUGAUGCUUGUUGAAUUCCUUGGUUUUAACCUUAUGUCAGUCUUGAUGCUUUGUGAUCUUGAUAUGAUUGUUAUCUUUGGUAGAUAUAGAUGUGUAGUCAUCAUGGAAUCUGACAGAUCCAAAGUCUUCGAAGGUGUAAGAAGAGGNNNNNNNNNNNNNNNNNNNNNNNNNNNNNNNNNNNNNNNNNNNNNNNNNNNNNNNNNNNNNNNNNNNNNNNNNNNNNNNNNNNNNNNNNNNNNNNNNNNNGUGGCUUCCAACGGUUAGGAGUAGUAGGCGCAGUUGUUUCCUCAUGGCACAGUAGCUGUAGUAGAGACGCUCCCGUGCUCGUUGCCGUCAUCGUCUUUGUGUGCAAGUAGAGCAUCUGUUGCUCGUGGUAGAUUACCUUGUAAAGUUCCCCUGUUCUGUCGAGUCCCGAAGAGCAGCAUAGUGGUUGUAGUGGUUGUGUUGUUCUGGCGCGUCAAGGGUUCGAGUCCCCACGGCACCACGCCCCCCUUUUUGUUAUUCUUUUGCACAGUAGUGCAUAGUAGCUUAACCUGCUUGUCUUCUCUGUUCCUGUCAAGUAUAUGUGCAGUAGCUGAGUGGGUUGUCUAUGUGUGUGUGACCAGGGGGUCUUGGGUUCGACCCCUACCCCUGUCCUUUUAUUUUUGUUGCACUUCUUUUCUGUUUUUGCAUUGCUUGCUUGCAUACUUGAUGUGGUAAGCUUGGCACCAUGUGGGAAUUAUUUUGUUAUCUCUCUAACAGCAUGUUGAUCCUAGUAGUUUGCUAGUUAUGUUAAUAUGUAUGUGAAGGACCUUGUGUGGAUAGGUGUUAUGAUAAUUAGCUCUCAUGUUUGAGAGUGAGUUUAGCAUGUCUGUAGUGUAGUGGUGAUGUCAAUGUGUUACUUGAGCUCAUGGGUGGUGUUCUUGAGCACUAGUUAGUGCAAGUGUGGUGUUUGUGUGUGUGUGGGUUCCCCCCCCCCACAUACUUUGUGUGUGUGUUAGUGGCUCAUGUUUAGUUGUGUGUGCUUGUGUGUGAGUUUCUCCCACAUCCCAAGGCAUGACGUGCCUUGAUGAGCACAUGAGCAAGUUAGUGUGUGUAGGUGUAGACAUGCUUAUGUGAGUGUAAGGUAGUUGUGAAUUCUAUUUAGCAUCUGUAGGUGAUUUUGAUGCUUGUGCUUGUUGUAUGUGUGUGGGAAUGGUGAUGUGCUAUGGAACACAUACAUGAGGUCUAAACCCUCAUGUCACCAUUGGACUUGUGAGAGUGUGCAAGUGCUUGUGUAGGUGGUGUUCUAGUGAGAAGCACAUGUGAUGAUGCACUAUUCACUCUAUGUGAUUCCAUGUAGGAUUUUCCUCUCAAGUUUGUGCCCAAUUGUUCUAUGCAAGUGCAUAGGUAUUAUAUAUGCUUUUGGGGUAGAAUCAUCCCAGGAAUCCAUUGGUGAAGUCAGUUUUGCCUUUGGAACACUUCCUGGGAAUGUCAUAUUUCAUUUUUGUUCUAUGUUUGGAGCUUGGUUCCAUGAGAUGUGGUGAGCCCAAAAGGUUGAUUCCUUGUUGUGGCAUUAGAGGGUGACCCCCUCUAUGGCAUGUUGGUUUUGUUUCAUGCUUAGUAGUUCACAUGUGCAAGUUGUGCCUAGUCAAAGUAGGCAUGUGGCUGAAAUUCCAGUUUAGUGAAAAUCUGAGAUUUUCACUAAGUCUGAGAAUGUGCUUGUAUUUUCUUCUCCUCUUGUUGUGCUUGUAGAAGUCCAUGUGUUGGGAAUCAGCCCUCGCUAUCAACUGGAAGUUGUAGCUUUUGUGUUUAUAUAGCUCUCUGUAAAUUUUCAUUCCAUUUGGAGUCCUGUAGAUACUGUUUGGGGUGCUGUCAAAAUGCUUCAGAGCAUAAACAGCUAGUGAGAAUCUGGAAUUUUCACUAAGUCCUUGAAAACUGAUAUUUUUGGCCANUUGAUCCGUAGCUCCGAUCAUUACGUUCUUUAUAUGUUUUUGCAUCGUUUUUGCGUGACGCAUCUGUUCAUGUAAUUCUCGUGCAUGUCAAGGUAGCUUAGGGUGCAGUUCUGUACAGUAGCUUGUAUUCUCUUCUCAUGCUUGUGUUAGUGACUAGGAUAGAGAUGGAUGUUCAUUUUCAUCUCAUGCAUCAUGUGCUUGUUGCAUAUUGUUGUGUUGUUGUUCAUUGGAUGCUAUUUUUAUGUUGGGUAGCACCAGGAUCGAAGAACGAGUAUGUGGAUCCGGGAGAGUACGUGCAGGACGAACAAGAGCAGUUCCAAGCUGAGGACACCACAGGCAACAUGAUAUGACCUUGAUUCCAUCUCUAGACUUGUUAUGCUAGAUUCACGUUUCCUUCGUCUUACGCUUCCUGCCUACCAUUGAAAUAAUUGCCUCCUCGUAUUGCCAUGAAACCCAAACACUUUUCCCCUCCUAGUAAAUCUUGAAUGGCUAAGUAGGCUUUGCUCAGCUACUAAUGUUAGCGUUGCUAGCUGCAGGUGCUUUGUCUCAUGUGAUAACAUGAGUUGAUAUCAUUAUGUUAAAACUAUUAUUUAAUUAAUGCACCUAUAUACUUGGUAAAUAACGAAAGGCCUAGCCUUUUGCCGGAUGUUUUGUUCCGUUAUUGCCGCCAUAGUUACCGGCUACCGGUGUUUGAUUCCAUAACUGAUCGCUCCUAACACGUUCGGUGUUGUUAUGGGGACCCCCUUGGUAAAUCGCAUAGUGCUAAGACUUGUCCGGCAGGAUCCAACCUUGGUGUUAAUUUGCUAAUCACUUAAUAAUAAUCUGCUUAGGGAAUGGCCUCCCCGAGGAAUUUAAUCUACAACCCGGGCUAGUGCUCCUCAUGAGUGUUGGUCCAAAAUGGACAGACUGCGGGGCCACCACAGGGAAACUUGAGGUUUGGUUCCUGUAGGCUUUUCCAUCUGUAGUGUCCUGAGACUGAGAUACGCGGCUCUUAUCGGGGUCGUCGACAUGACUGGAGGUCCUGCUAGAGUUGUCUUACCUUAGCGAUAUAUCUUGCCUACAAGAAUCCCGGUGAAGCUUUGGUUCUCCCCAGAGUUGAGGUUUUCCUCUAAGGAAUCCGACGAGAUCACGAGAUUCAUCAUAGAGGAUUACUUUGCGUCCAGUGACCGUUUGUCAUGGACUAGUUGGAGCACCCCUGCAGGGUUUAAUCUUUCGGAAAGCCGUGUCCGCGGUUAUGUGGCAACUUGGAAUAUUUGUUAACAUCUGGUUAUAGAUAACUUGAACAUAAUCUAAUAAAAUUGCCAACUGUGUGCGUAACCGUGACUGUCCCCUUCGAAGACCUCUCUUCGUUCGGGAACACGGUGGGGUUAUGAUUGACGUAAGUAGGUGUUCAGGAUCACUUAUUGAUCAGCUAGUCAUCGACCGCUAGUAUAGACCACCUUCAACACAUGUUCUACGUAAGUUAGCCACCAUAUAUGCUUAGGAUGGUGCAACCUAAAAACUCCACCUUCCUUACCUAAUGCUACCCUCGUUCCAAGCAAAAUAAUGUGCAUAAAAGGAUUAACAUCACAUGCAAUUCAUAAGUGACAUGAUAUGGCCAUCAUCAUGUGCUUCUUGAUCUCCAUCACCAAAACACCGGCAUGAUCUUCUUGUCACCAGCGCCACACCAUGAUCUCCAUCAUCAUGAUCUCCAUCAACGUGUCGCCAUCGAGGUUGUCGUGCUACUUAUGCUAUUACUACUAAAUCUACUUCCUAGCAAUAUAGUAAAUGCAUCUGCAAACACAAACGUUAGUUUAAAGACAACCCUAUGGUUCCUGACGGUUGUCGUACCAUCGACGUGCAAGUCGAUAUUAACUAUUACAACAUGAUCAUCUCAUACAUCCAAUAUAUCACAUCAUGUUAUUGGCCAUAUCAUCUCACAAGCAUACUCUGCAAAAACAAGUUAGACGUCCAAUAAUUUGUUGUUGCAUUUUUUACGUGGCUGCUAUGGGUAUCUAGUAUGAUCGCAUCUUACUUACGCAAAAACCACAACAGAGAUGUGCAAAUUGCUAUGUAACCUCUCCAAGGGCCGCCUCGGUCAAAAUCAAUUCAACUAAAGUUGAAGAAACUGACACCCACCAGUCAUCUUUAUGCAACGAGGUUGCAUGUCAAUCGAUGAAACCGGUCUUCCGUAAGCGUACGAAUAAUGUCGGUCCGGGCCGCUUCAGUCCAAUAAUACCGCUGAAUUGAGAAAAUACUAAGGAGGGCAGCAAAUCGAACAUCACUGUCCACAAAACCCUUUGUGUUCUACUCGAGAUAAAAUCUAUGCAUGAACCUAGAUCUGAUACCACUGCUGGGAAACGUUGCAUGGGAAACAAAAAAAUUCCUAUGCACACGAAUACCUAUCAUGGUGAUGUCCAUCUACGAGUGGAGAUUUGGAUAUACGUACCCUUGUAGAUCGCACAGCAGGAAGCGUUAAGAAACGCGGUUGAUGUAGUGGAAUGUCUUCACGUCCCUCGAUCCGCCCCAUGAACUGUCCCACAAACCGUCCCACGAUCUGUUCCGAUCUUGUGCCGAACGGACGGCACCUCCGCGUUCAGCACACGUACAGGUCGACAAUGAUCUCGGCCUUCUUGAUCUAGCGAGCAAGAUGGAGAAGUAGAUGAGUUCUCCGGCAGCGUGACGGCGCUCCGGUGGUGGCGAGGAUCUACUCCUGCAGGGCUCCGCCCGAGCUCCGCAGAAAUACGAUCUAGAGGUAAAACUAUGGUGUCUAGAUCUGAGUUGCACGUGGCAAAAGUUAUCUUAAAUCAGCCCUAAAUCACCACUAUAUAUAGGAGGGAGGGGGAGGAGGCUUGCCUUGAGGGCCAAGCCCUCAAGGGUGCGCCGGCCAAGGGAGAGGAGGAGUCCUACUCCAAUCCUACUCCAAUUAGGAUUGGAAAGUGGAGUCCUUCUCUUCCUUCCCACCUCCCCUUUUUUUCUUUUUUUUUUGGUUUUCUUUCCUUGGCGCCAAGGCACUCUUGGGCUGUCCCACCAGCCCACUAAGGUCUGGUGCGCCACCCCUAGGGCCAUUGGGUUCCCCCGGGUGGGUUGCCCCCCUCCCGGUGAACUUCCGGAACCCAUUCGUCACUCCCGGUACAUUCCCGGUAAUACCCGAAAACCUUCCGGUAACCAAAUGAAGCAAUCCUAUAUAUCAAUCUUUGUUUUCGGACCAUUCCGGAAACCCUCGUGGCGUCCGUGAUCUCAUCCGGGACUCCUAACAACAUUCGGUAACCACACAUAUAACUCAACUAUACUAAAACAUCAUUGAACCUUAAGUGUGCAGACCCUGCGGGUUUGAGAACUAUGUAGACAUGCCACGAGGCACUCCUCGGUCAAUAUCCAAUAGCGGGACCUGGAUGCCCAUAUUGGAUCCUACAUAUUCUCCGAAGAUCUUAUCGGUUGAACCUCAGUGUUAAGGAUUCAUAUAAUCCCGUAUGUCAUUCCCUUUGUCCUUCAGUAUGUUACUUGCCCGAGGUUUGAUCGUCGGUAUCCGCAUGCCUAUUUGAAUCUCGUUACCGGCAAGUCUCUUUACUCGUUCUGUAAUACAAGAUCCCGUGACUUACACUUAGUCACAUGCUUGCAAGGCUUGUGUGUGAUGUUGUAUUACCGAGUGGGCCCCGAGAUACCUCUCCGUCACAAGGAGUGACAAAUCCCGGUCUUGAUAUGUACUAACUCAAUGGACACCUUCGAAGAUACCUGUAGAGCACCUUUAUAGUCAUCCAGUUACGUUGUGACGUUUGAUGCACACAAGGUAUUCCUUCAGUGCCGGUGAGUUAUAUGAUCUCAUGGUCAUAGGAACAAAUACUUGACACGCAGAAAACAAUAGCAAUAAAACGACACGAUCAAUAUGCUACAUUCAUAGUUUGGUCUUGUCCAUCACAUGAUUCUCCUAAUGAUGUGAUCCCAUUAUCAAGUGACAACACUUGUCUAUGGUUAGGAAACCUUGACCAUCUUUGAUCAACGAGCUAGUCAACUAGAGUCUUACUAGGGACAGUGUUUUGUCUAUGUAUCCACACAUGUAUUUGAGUUUCCAAUCAAUACAAUUAUAGCAUGGAUAAUAAAAAAUUAUCACGAACAAAGAAAUAUAAUAAUAACUAAUUUAUUAUUGCCUCUAGGUCAUAUUUCCAACACCCGUAUCAAUCAACCAAUCGGGAAAAUGACAUACAAAAAGGAUAGUGGGAAAAAUACCAUACCCAGCAUCCUCCACGUCAGUGUCGCCAAUGAAAACAUUAGCGGUCUUGCCGCCUUUCCCAUGUUGACGCUUGUCAUAACGGUUAGGGCAUCUAGGUGCCCAAUGAUCAGGUUCUCCGCACACAUGACAAACACAUUUCUUCUUGUCAUUCUUCUUCUUGAAGUUGGUGUGUUGUAUAGCCUUGUUUUUUCCAUCGAACUUUGCUUUACCAUCAAACUUGCCCUUGUUCUUGAAAUUGUCGGGCUGGAAGUUUUUUCUUCUCUACCAGAUUGGCACUAGAUCCUCCCUCAAUACCUCGAGCACGUGUGUCUUUUGCUCUCGCCUUUUCUUCCACAUCAAGAGUACCAAUGAGAUCCAGAACAGAAAACUCUUGCCUCUUAUGCUUCAGUAAGAUAGCAAAGUUUCUCCACGAAGGACGAAGUUUAGUUAUGAUGCCUUCGGCAACAAACUUAUUCGGUAGCAUGCAAUUGAAGUGCUCAAGUUCUCUAGCAAAUGAUUGUAUCUCAUGAGCUUGCUCAACCACGGAGCGCUCUUCAGUCAUCCUGUAGUCAUAGAAUUGUUCCAUGAUGUACAGCUCAGUGCCAGCAUCUGAGACCCCAAACUUGGCCUCGAGUGCAUCCCACAUAUCUUUUCCAUUUUCAAUUGAUGCAUAAGCAUCAACUAUAUUCUCACCAAGAACACUCAAGAGAGCAGCCUUAAACAAGGAUCCAUUUUCUGAAAAGCUAGUUCCUGUUGAGCAUCAUGGUCUCCUUCAGGUUUGCCAAGAGUGACGUCAUAGCAGCUCAUGGUUUCAAACCAUAGAACGGCUCUCACACGCCACCUCUUAUAGUGGAUACCCUCAAACAUAGGAGGUCUCGUGGAAGCAGCAAAACCACUAGGGGUAAAUUGCCUAUAAUAAGAUUUUUGGAUUGUUGGAAAUAUGAGCGAUUUACCAAGUGAUCUUACUAGCAUAAAUAAUAGAUAAACCACGACUAUCAUAGAAAAUAUAUGAUAAGCCAUGCAAUUAUAGAGAAAAUAUGGAAGUUGCAUUUGAAAGGAUGAACAUGAACGGAACAUAACUAGAAAAGAAACUACAACAAGAAGUUGAGGCAGGAACUCAAACAAGAAGAAUACGAGAACAUACUAAGUUGCAGCUGCAGCAGCAGUGGUGCUGGUGUUAUUGUUAGACAUGUUUCCGAAGAGGUGGUUGACGUCGGGGAAGAAGUCGUCGUCCGGGAAGUGGUCGUCCGUGUCCGUGAUGAAAGACAGUAGUCGCGCUGAGCGCUUCCCAAAAACCUUAUCGCCCUUCUCCCGUACAUGACCCAAAGAGACGGAGUUUCGGAGGCCUGUUGUCCCGACCUACGGUGCACGCUGCAAGCCGGGAUGGGGAAGAACGUAGCAGCAGCACACAGUUUGGAACCGGUGGCGAGAGAAACUUCUGAUGCGUAUCUCUCGAGAGGAGCAACCUCCCUUUUAUAGGCGUAGUAGAAGGAGGCGAGAGGCCAGCGACGGGAGCCGAAGAGAACGUGGGAGACAAAACGAACAGACAGCCGCAAUAUUCGUGUUCAGCUCUCCACAACAACAAAAAUGUUCGGCUUCCAAGUAACCUUUCGUAUACCAGUCGUGCGUGGCAAGAAUUGAAUUCAGCUCGGCUCAUUCCCGUAACCCGCGUCGCGUAGCGUCGUGACGAGGCGAGGCGGGCGGCGGAGGAGGAGGAGCGAGCGUGUAUGUCUCUUCUCAUGCUCAUACAUAUGUGGAAACAUCCUCCCUUAUAAGGAGGUCCAACUCCCUCUAAUUAGCAAUGUGGGACUAAACUUUUCCACCUCUUGCCUUGUACAAAUGGGUUGCUUGGGCCUCUAGGAUUUAUUAAGAAUUUCUAAAAUUACAUAUUGGGCUGGCCUAAAAGUACAUAAAAUUACAGCAAUGUUCCCCAACACUAACAAAAAUAUGUCGCAACCCACUUCGGGGCUCUAACAAUAGUAUGUCGGAAUACUGAUGGUGGUGUUCGUCGUCUAUAAAAUUUGAUCGUCCCUUAUUAUAUCUUUUAACGUGUGGUACUCUGUUUGUUUUCUUUUAUGACGUUUGUGGUACUUCCUCAGUUGGCUGAUCAUUAUUAUAAUUGUGUUAAGCUUGUUUAUUUUCGUUCUAAACGGAAGUCAUUUCAUUUUCAUUUUUUAUUGUUUUACUAAUUUUAAAAUUUAAAUUUGGUUGUUAGUUGCAACAUUGAAAAAUCUAUGACGGUAAUAGUGACCGAACUGCAUGUUGUCAUCACUUUCCGAACCCCAUGUAAGCAGUCACGUAAGCAUCGUGUGAGCCCACAUGUUUGCAUCUUCGGCCGGCCAAAUCCGAUCGUUGUUGAUGGCCACCAUCACUGAUAAAACCUCGGUCGGGUCCAGCCGUAAGGUGCCACAUCAGCAUAUUAUGGGUUUGUAUGUCAGAAACGGUAACUAGUCAAACAUGAUGGGUGAGUUGCACUCAAAAAUAUGAUGAGGAACGAUCAACCCGCAUACGGUGAUAAUUCUACUGACAUUUUUGGACCGUCGCAAAAGAUAACUUCAGUAAUGAAUUUGGGUUCGUCACCUUAGACACAAUGUUGCAUGAUGUAGGAAGUGGUACCUUUAAAAUUCUGGUUUUUAUAACGGUGCUUGAGUGACAUAAGGGUAGCGGACGAAAAACAUCACGAGUACAUUUUUCAUGAUGAAAAAUGGUUUUAUGUGACACAAGUGAAAUGUCACAAAUAAAGUAGAUUUUGUAGUGAUAGUUGAUAGUUGUCCACCGUACUCGUAUGUCUGUGUUUCCUGACAUCCUCUGCUCGCAAGGAUUGCCUAGCUAGUCUCCCCAAAAAAGUUCUAAUCUUUGAAGGGAUUUUAGUGUUCCAAAGUGUAGUCAAUCCCUUCUCCUUCACUAACAAAUUUGACAUUGUGGCCCUACCUCCAAGCAGAUCGUCUCUUCUAUUCUUCGUUUCUGUUAACAAUCGAUAAGCUGAUCUCAUCAAGAAACUUCCCUUCUUCUCAAACUGCCAGGCCCAAAAAUCUGAAGUGGGACUACUGCACCGCGGUAUGUUAUUGAUAGCAGUAAUAUAUGUUGGCAAGUAAAAUUGCGGAAGAACAGCAGUUUGCCAAAAUACAAGUGUCAUGUCAAUCAUUUCUGACAGAAGAAUCGGCGGGUUCUUUCGAUACACACAAUCAUCUUCAUCAGAGUAUCCCAUGGGAUCGAGUUCUCCUUUCAUAUUUUUGUUGAGUUUCCGUUACCUACUUUCUCCAAAAGACCUUGAGUUAGCACAUAUCUCCCUUCAACCGGCGACCGCCACACCUGCGAUGGAUGCAAUCCUAAAGUAGCAUCCAAAAUACUCUCAUCAGAAACAUAUAUCGCUCCGGUUCGGUUUGACCAGGGUGAGUGAUAGUGUGAGACCGCCAGACACGCACAUCCCAUUCUAAUUGGUUCGGUUCGACCAGGGAAAGGGGGCUGGCCGCGACUGACCAUGAGCCCAUGAACACGCGGCCUCGCUCAAUACUGCUUUCCUGCAAAUAAUGUUAGUUCCCCUAAAAAUGCAAAAUGAUAAUUAAUUUUUCUAAAAAAUACAAUUGUUAUUCGAUGUGCUAAAAAAUAUAUUUUUUAUUCAAAGAAAAAAUGAGAACAUUGGAAUUCACAACUAGUGUUGCAUAUUUUCUUAUUUAAGGGAUUUAUUACAAAAAUGCCUUUUUGGAGCUCAGCCUCCAUCGAGGCCGGUUUUUUAAAAACCUAAAAUUUAUCAAAAUUCAUUUUUACAUUAAAAAAUCUGAAAAAAUAAAAUAUAUACUAUUCACCUUAAAAGUACAUGAAUUUGUUCUUUGUGCACAGAUUGCAUCUCAAGGUAUUUAAUUCUGAAUUUUUGCGUAUAUAUACAUUUCAUCCUUGUGUACUUGCAUUUUUUAUAUUUUUUUUAACUAGAAAGUUUAAAUUUUUGAAUUUUUAAAAAAUAAAGGACUUCAUGAAGGCCGAGCUCCAAAACACCCCCGUCGCUUUAUUAACAGUACUAAUAUAGGUAAGAACAAUUUAGAAACCAUGAAAAAAAUAAAGACUACCUUAACAUUGUAGGAUCUACGGCCCAAGUUCAAAUGACUUUCAUGAGGACACUCAUAAUAUGAACUUCUGAAAGGGAUUCGUCCUUGCUCAAGGGGAACUCCUAUUGGACGCUCUGUGCGUCAAAGCAAUCAGCUUUCGUACAGGCUAACGAAUGAGAGCUGAGAGUGGACCGGACGGUGAAUGUCCACGAGCGCUUCUGGUUUUAGGAAUCUUCCAUACAUUUUCCAGCCGUUUUUUCUUGGUUUUCGGAACCUGCAAGAAGGUUCUUGAACCGGUUUUUUUUCUUUUUAUUUUUGGUUAUCUUUUUGUUUUUCUUUUCUUGUUUACUUUUUUUGUUCUGUCCUUUUUUCCUUUUUAUGUUUUCCCUACUUUUUCUGUUCGAAAAUUUCAAGUAUACUUUCUAAGUUCAAAUAUAUAUUUAUCAUAUUAAAUUUGUACUAAAAAAUUUACAAAAAUAUUCAUGCUUGAAACAAUUGAACAUUUUUUGAAAAAUACAUUUAAAAAAAUAUCCUGGACAAGAAUACAAUAAACCACAACAAUUUAUAGAAAAUUUGAAAAACAAAGGGAUGAAACAACAAAAAAGUGAAAAAAAAGGAAAUAAAAGUAAAGUAAAAAAACUGGAACAUUUUUUGAAAUUUCUGUACAUUAUUUAACUUGUGAACAUACUUCAAAAAGUAGAACAUUUUUGAACUCCCGAAAAAAUUUAAAAAAAACACAAAGUAAUUUCAACUUUCGGAACAUUUUUUUCAUAUUCCAUAAUAUUAUUUCAAAUUCCGGAACAUUUUUUCAAAUUCUGGCAACAUUUUUCCAAAUUGGGAACAUCUUUUCAAACUUUGGAACAUUUUUUCAAAUUCUGCAAAAAAAAUUCCAAAUUUCAGAAUAUUUUCUCUAAUUCCGGAACUUUUUCAAAAUUCUAGACCAUUUUUCUCAAAUUGCGGAACAUUUUUCAGAAAUUCGAAACAUUUGUUUUAAAUUCCGGGACAUUUAUUCAAAUUCCGGAACAAUUUUCAAAUUCUAAAAUAUUGUUUCAAAUUGAGGAAUACUUUUUCACAUUCCGUAACACUUUUUUCAAAUUCUGAAACAUUUUUUAAAAUUCCAGAUCAUUUUUUCAAAUUCUAGAAUAUUUGUUCAAAUGCCAGAGCAUUUGUUCAAAUUAUGGAACAUUUUUCCAAACUCCGGAACAUUUUCUGAAAAUUCAGAACAUUUUUUAAACAGAAACAGAAAAAAACAGAAAAGAAUGAAAAAUAAAACAAAAAAAUAAAAACCGAUUUAGGGAACCUUCUAGAAGUUUUCCAAAACCGGAAAAAAUUUGCUCGAAAUCUCUAGAAGAUUCCCAAAACCGGAAUUAGUAAAGCAUUAACGGGCCGACCCAAACCCCAUCGUUCGCUAGCAGGUCGUGUGCGAAGCGUGGACAAUCUGCCGCAGAAUGAGGGAGAUAGGAUUUUCCCUUGCUCAAACAUGAGACACAACACGAGUUUAGGCCCGCACAUCGCGAGCUUCACACUUCCCUCACAAAUAGUCAUCACAAAAAAUGGAAAGAAUAUGUUUUCCUUGUUACUUUUAAAUAUGCCACUAGAUGGUGCUUUUAGUGUCAAAUAAACCUAUUUUCCCUUGACACGAAGAACCAAACCCUCCAACCCUUAGAGUAUCUCUAGCACAUCCUGCAACUCGUAGUCCUGCAAAAUUCAUUUACGGUUUCCCGUAAAUAAGAUUUGCGGUACGGCAUACGCGGAGAUCUAAUAGACCCCGCGAACAUCAUUAGAAUCCUACUAAAUUUUCAAACAAGUAGUUCGCGCCAUUAAACAUCACUAAAGUUCCACAAAAAACAUAGUUCAUACAAGCUUAAAACGGGAAUUAAACUAGCUCAUACUUAAUAAACAGAGGGUUCUACUUUUAGUUCAUACUUAUUAAAUGCGGGGUUCUACUCAUCUACACCAGAGCCAGACUCGCCAUCACCGUCGCCCCCGCACGGGAGUUAAGGUCUUUGUGGUGGUCCUUCAUGAGGGUGCUCGAGAGUACCUGCACGAGCUAGUACUCCCCAAACAGCCACGGGACCCGCAUCGUUGCUACCUGGAAGUUGUCGACGGCCGCUUCCCUCGCCUCGAACCAUGCGCGCUCGGAUGCUCGGAUGUGCUGGAUGGCCGAAUCAAAUGAGGCAGUGGAAGUUUCUCCAUAUCGACGGGCCGGCGCCACGGGUCUUUGCGCAACGGACCCACGCCUGCUCCUUGCACCAUCAAAGAGCGGAGGGGGGAUCUCCCGGCCUCCUCAUUGUUGCGACGCUUGCGGCCAUCGAGCCCUCCUCGGCCAUCCCGACCGCCACCAGUCGUGGACAUCUUCGGCAACUUCCGGUGGGUAACGUCACCGCAAGUCACAGUUUGAGUUCGCGGGAUUUCUGUCAAAGGAGAAGAAAUGUGAUGGAGGCGGAUGGGGGAAAAUCGGGAUGUGAAUCCUAAAUCAUGUGAGAGCCAACAUAUAUAUCAGAGUCCCGAGCAGUUUACGGGCCUCUCAAAAACAAUUUACGGGUCGGGCCUGCUCGGGCCGUCUCUUUUGACCGUCCCUUAAAACGGUCAAAAAAACGCGAUCGUCCCUUAGUCAGGGUUAUCUCUCAUGUGUUAGGACAGUUCUCUAGCACAGCUCGAGUCAUGGUGAUCGCAUCCAACACUAGUUUCUGGCUCACCACUAUCUAUAGACCCGUGGAUGACUCACUAAAGGAUGUGUUCCUAGCAGAGCUAGGAAGUGCAGCACCAUCGGCUACCGAAACAUGGAUCAUUAAUGGUGAUUUCAACCUAAUCUACAAGGCGAGAGACAAGAACAACUCCAACAUCAACCGUAGGAUGAUCGGAAAGUUUAGUGUUGUAAUUGACUCAGCGGGACUUAGGGAAAUCAAGUGCAGAAACCGUAGAUACACUUGGAGCAGUGAGCGGGAAGACCCAACCCUCCUUAGCAUAGACAAGUUCUUUUGCAACAACGAGUGGGGUUCCCUCUUCCCCUCCUUCCUCCUCCACGCAACAUCGACCUCCUACCCCGAUCACCGCCCCCUCCUCCUAGCAGCAACUGCGGCACCCCACAAGCCGGCACAGUUCAGAUUUGAGUCCUUUUGGCCAAACUUCCCGCGCUUCUACACGACAGUGAUGCACGUGGCAGCGACCCAUGGAAACAACAUGUGCAUUUUGAUGCAUCGGCAUAAAAUUGAGUAGAGAAGCAAGGGACCUGAAAAUAUAGGCAAAAGGCUUCUGUAGUGAAACAAAGCUGCAACUGCAAUUAGCCACAAAAAUAGUUCUUCGAUUCGACAUCGCUCAAGAGAGCAUAACCCUCUCCACCGCCUAACACAACCUUCAUAAGCAACUGAAGAUGAGGAUCAUGGGCCUCGCUGUUGGGGAACGUCGCAUGGGAAACAAAAUUCCUACGCGCAAGAAGACCUAUCAUGGUGAUGUCCAUCUACGAGAGGGGAUUUGGAUCUACGUACCCUUGUAGAUCGCACAGCAGGAAGCGUUAAGAAAUGCGGUUGAUGUAGUGGAACGUCCUCACGUCCCUCGAUCCUCCUCGCGAACCGUCCCACGAACCGUUCGCGAUCUAUCCCACGAUCUGCUCCGAUCUAGUGCCGAACGGACGACACCUCCGCAUUCAGCACACAUACAGCUCGACGAUGAUCUCGGCCUUCUUGAUCCAGCAAGAGAGACGGAGAGGUAGAUGAGUUCUCCGGCAGUGUGACGGCGCUCCGGAGGUUGGUGGUGAUCUUAUCUCAGCNUCCGGAACCCAUUCGUCACUCCCGGUAAUGCCGAAAACUUUCCGGUAAUCAAAUGAGGUCAUCCUAUAUAUCAAUCUUCGUCUCCGGACCAUUCCGGAAACCCUCGUGACGUCCGUGAUCUCAUCCAGGACUCCAAACAACAUUCGGUAACCAACCAUAUAACUCAAAUACGCAUAAAACAACGCCGAACCUUAAGUGUGCAAACCCUGCGGGUUCGAGAACUAUGUAGACAUGACCCGAGGGACUCCUUGGUCAAUAUCCAAUAGCGGAACCUAGAUGCCCAUAUUGGAUCCUACAUAUUCUACAAAGAUCUUAUCAUUUGAACCUCAGUGCCAAGGAUUCAUAUAAUCCCGUAUGUCAUUCCCUUUGUCCUUCGGGUAUGUUACUUGCCCGAGAUUCGAUUGUCAGUAUCCGCAUACCUAUUUCAAUCUCGUUUACCGGCAAGUCUAUUUACUCGUUCCGUAAUACAAGAUCUCGUGACUUACACUAAAUCACAUUUCUUGCAAGGCUUGUGUGUGNNNNNNNNNNNNNNNNNNNNNNNNNNNNNNNNNNNNNNNNNNNNNNNNNNNNNNNNNNNNNNNNNNNNNNNNNNNNNNNNNNNNNNNNNNNNNNNNNNNNNNNNNNNNNNNNNNNNNNNNNNNNNNNNNNNNNNNNNNNNNNNNNNNNNNNNNNNNNNNNNNNNNNNNNNNNNNNNNNNNNNNNNNNNNNNNNNNNNNNNNNNNNNNNNNNNNNNNNNNNNNNNNNNNNNNNNNNNNNNNNNNNNNNNNNNNNNNNNNCUUGCAAGGCUUGUGUGUGAUGUUGUAUUACCGAGUGGGCCCCGAGAUACCUCUCCGUCACACGGAGUGACAAAUCCCAGUCUUGAUCCAUACUAACUCAACGGACACCUUCGGAGAUACCUGUAGAGCAUCUUUAUAGUCACCCAGUUACGUUGUGACGUUUGAUACACACAAAGCAUUCCUCCGAUUCCAGUGAGUUAUGUGAUCUCAUGGUCAUAGGAAUAAAUACCUGACACGCAGAAAACAGUAGCAACAAAAUGACACGAUCAGCAUGCUACGUCCAUUACUUUGGGUCUAGUCCAUCACAUGAUUCACCCAAUGAUGUGAUCCAGUUAUCAAGCAACAACACCUUGUACAUAGUCAGAAGACCCUGACUAUCCUUGAUCAACUGACUAGCCAACUAUAGGCUUGCUAGGGACAGAGUUUUGUCUAUGUAUCCACACAUGUGUCUAAGUCUUCAUUCAAUACAAUUAUAGCAUGGAUAUUAUACGAUUAUCUUGAUACAGGAAUUAUAAUAACAACUUAUUUAUCAUUACCUCUAGGGCAUAAUUCCAACAGUCUCCCACUUGCACUAGAGUCAAUAAUCUAGUCCUCACAUCGCCAUGCGAAUUACAUUGUAAUAAAUCUAACACCCAUACAGUUCUGGUGUUGAUCAUGCUUUGCCCGUGGAAGAGGUUUAGUCAGCGGGUCUGCCACAUUCAGAUCCAUGUGCACUUUGCAUAUAUUCAUGUCCUCCUCCUCGACGUAGUUGCGGAUGAGGUUGAAGCGUCGUUUGAUGUGUCUGGUCUUCUUGUGAAACCGUGGUUCCUUUGCUAAGGCAAUGGCACCCGUGUUGUCACAAAACAGGGUUAUUGGAUUCAGUGCGCUCGGCACCACUCCAAUAUCCGUCAUUAACUGAUUCAUCCAAACACCCUCCUUAGCUGCCUCCGAGGCAGCCAUGUACUCCACUUCACAUGUAGAAUCAGCUACGACGCUUUGCUUGGAACUGCACCAGCUUACCGCACCCCCAUUAAGAAUAAAUACGUAUCAGGUCUGCGACUUAGAGUCAUCCGGAUCUGUGUCAAAGCUUGCAUCGAUGUAACCUUUUACGGCGAGCUCUUCGUCACCUCCAUAUACGAGAAGCAUCUCCAUAGUCCUUUUCAGGUACUUCAGGAUAUUCUUGACCGCCGUCCAGUGAUCCACUCCUGGAUUACUCUAGAACCUGCCUGCCAUACUUAUGGCCAAGCUAACGUCCGGUCUAGUGCACAACAUUGCAUACAUGAUAGAACCUAUGGCUGAAGCAUAGGGGACGGAACUCAUUGUCUUUCUAUCUUCCUCAGUUGCUGGGCACUGAGUCUUACUCAAUUUUAUACCUUGUAAUACUUGCAAGAACCCUUUCUUGGACUGAUCCAUUUUGAAAUUCUUCAAAACUUUAUCAAGGUAUGUGCUUUGUGAAAGUCCUAUCAGGCGUUUCGAUCUAUCCCUAUAGAUCUUAAUGCCUAGAAUGUAAGCAACUUCUCCUAGGUCCUUCAUAGAGAAACUUUUAUUCAAGUAACCUUUUAUGCUCUCCAAAAGCUCCACGUUGUUUCCAAUCAGCAAUAUGUCAUCCACAUAUAAUAUUAGAAACGCCACAGAGCUCCCACUCACUUUCUUGUAAAUACAGGAUACUCCAACCACCUGUAUAAACCCAAAUGCUUUGAUCACCUCAUCAAAGCGUUUAUUCCAACUCCGAGAUGCUUGCACCAGUCCAUAAAUGGAUCACUGGAGCUUGCACACUUUGUUAGCAUUUUUAGGAUCGACAAAACCUCCGGUUGCAUCAUAUACAACUCUUCCUUAAGGAAACCGUUAAGAAACGCUGUUUUGACAUCCAUCUGCCAGAUUUCAUAAUCGAAAAAUGCAGCUAUUGCUAACAUGAUUCUGACGGACUUAAGCAUCGCUACGGGUGAGAAUGUCUCAUCGUAGUCAAUUCCUUGAACUUGUGAAAAACCCUUUGCCACAAGUUGAGCUUUAUAAACGGUCACAUUACCGUCAGCGUUCGUCUUUUUCUUAAAGAUCCAUUUGUUCUGAAUAGCCUUGCGGCCUUCACGUAGUACUUCCAAAGUCCACACUUUGUUCUCAUACAUAGAUCCUAUCUCGGACUUCAUGGCCUCCAGCCAUUUGUUGGAAUCCGGGCCCACCAUUGCUUCUUCAUAAUUCGCAGGCUCAUUGUUGUCCAACAACAUAAUUGAUAAGACGGGAUUACCGUACCACUCUGGAGCAGUAGCGAUCUCGUCGACCUAUGAGGUCCGAUAGGAACUUGAUCCGGAGUUCCAUGAUCAUCAUCAUUAACUUCCUCCUCAACCGGCGUCGUAACGACAUGGGUUUCCCCUUGCCCUGCGCCACCAUCCAGAGGGAUGAGAGGUUCGACAACCUCAUCAAGUUCUAUCUUCCUCCCACUCAAUUCUCUCGAGAGAAACUCCUUCUCGAGAAAAGCUCCGUUCUUAGCAACAAACACUUUGACCUUGGAUUUGAGAUAGAAGGUAUACCCAACUGUCUCUUUUGGGUAACCUAUGAAGACGCACUUUUCCGCUUUGGGUUCCAGCUUUUCAGGCUGAAGCUUUUUGACAUAAGCAUCACAUCCCCAAACUUUAAGAAAUGACAACUUUGGUCUUUUGCCAUACCACAGUUCGUAUGGUGUCGUCUCAACGGAUUUUGAUGGUGCCCUAUUUAAAGUGAAUGCAGUUGUUUCUAAUGCAUAACCCCAAAACGAUAACGGCAAAUCGGUAAGAGACAUCAUAGAUCGCACCAUCUCUAAUAAAGUACGAUUACGACGUUCGGACACACCAUUACGUUGUGGUGUUCCAGGCGGUGUCAACUGUGAAACAAUUCCACAUUGUCUUAAGUGAGAACCAAACUCGAAACUCAGAUAUUGACCCCCACGAUCAGAUCGUAGGAACUUGAUCUUGUUGUUACGAUGAUUUUCGACUUCACUCUAAAAUUGUUUGAACUUUUCAAAUGUUUCAGACUUGUGCUUCAUCAAGUAGACAUAACCAUAUCUACUCAAAUCGUCAGCGAAGGUGAGAAAAUAACGAUAUCCGACGCGUGCCUCCACACUCACCGGACCACUCACAUCAGUAUGUAUGAUUUCCAACAAGUCACUUGCACGCUCCAUUGUUCCGGAGAACGGAGUUUUAGUCAUCUUGCCCAUGAGGCAUGGUUCGCACGUGUCAAGUGAAUCAAAGUCAAGUGACUCCAAAAGUCCAUCGGUAUGGAGUUUCUUCAUGCGCUUUACACCAAUAUGACCUAAGUGGCAGUGCCAUAAAAACAUGGCGCUAUCAUUGUUAACUCUAACUCUUUUGGUCUCAAUGUUAUGUAUAUGUGCAUUAUCACUAUCAAGAUUCAAUAUGAACAAUCCUCUCACAUUGGGUGCAUGACCAUAAAAGAUAUUACUCAUAGAAAUAGAACAACCAUUAUUCUCUGACUUAAACGAGUAACCAUCUCGCAAUAAACAAGAUCCAGAUAUAAUGUUCAUGCUCAACGCAGGCACUAAAUAACAUUUAUUCAAGUUCAUAACUAAUCCUGAUGGUAACUGAAGUGAAACUGUGCCGACGACGAUUGCAUCAACCUUGGAACCAUUUCUCACGCGCAUCGUCACUUCAUCCUUCGCCAGCCUUCGCUUAUUCCCCAAUUCCUGUUUCGAGUUGCAAAUAUGAGCAACAGAACCAGUAUCGAAUACCCAGGCACUACUACGAGAGCUGGUUAAGUACACAUCGAUAACAUGUAUAUCGAAUAUACCUGUUUUUUCUUUGGCCGCCUUCUUAUCAGCCAGAUACUUGGGGCAGUUGCGCUUCCACUGACCCAUACCCUUGCAAUAAUAGCACUCUGUUUCAGGCUUAGGUCCAGCUUUGGGUUUCUUCGUCGGAUUGGCAACAGGCUUGCCGCUCUUCUUUGAAUUACCUUCUUUCCUUUGUCGUUUCUCUUGAAACUAGUGGUCUUAUUCACCAUCAACACUUGAUGCUCUUUACGGAGUUCUGACUCUGCGACUUUCAGCAUCGCGAAUAACUCGUCGGGUGACUUGUUCAUCCCUUGCAUGUUAUAGUUCAACACGAAGCCCUUAUAGCUUGGUGGCAGUGGUUGAAGAAUUAUGUUAGUGAUAGCCUCUUGCGGGAGUUCAAUCCCCAACUCAGCUAGACGGUUUGAGUACCCACACAUUUUGAGCACAUGUUCACUGACAGACGAAUUCUCUGUUGGGGAACGUAGCAUGGGAAACAAAAAUUUUCCUACGCGCACGAAGACCUAUCAUGGUGAUGUCCAUCUACGAGAGGGGAUGAGUGAUCUACGUACCCUUGUAGAUCAUACAGCAGAAGCGUUGGUGAACGCGGUUGAUGUAGUGGAACGUCCUCACGUCCCUCGAUCCGCCCCGCGAACAAUCCCGCGAUCAGUCCCACGAUCUAGUACCGAACGGACGGCACCUCCGCGUUCAGCACACGUACAGCUCGACGAUGAUCUCGGCCUUCUUGAUCCAGCAAGAGAGACGGAUAGGUAGAAGAGUUCUCCGGCAGCGUGACGGCGCUCCGGAGGUUGGUGAUGACCUUGUCUCAGCAGGGCUCCGCCCGAGCUCCGCAGAAACGCGAUCCAGAGGAAAAACCGUGGAGGUAUGUGGUCGGGCUGUCGUGGAAAAGUCGUCUCAAAUCAGCCCUAAAACCCCACUAUAUAUAGGAGGAGGAGGGGGGAGACUUGCCUUGGGGUCCAAGGACUCCCAAGGGAGUCGGCCGAGCCAAGGGGGAAGGUCUCCCCCUCCCAAACCGAAAUCCACUUGGUUUGGAAGGUGGAGUCCUUCUUCCCUUUCCCACCUCCUUCUUUUUUUUCCUUUCCUCUUUGAUUUUCUUCCCAAUGCGCAUAGGCCUCUCUUGGGCUGUCCCACCANNNNNNNNNNNNNNNNNNNNNNNNNNNNNNNNNNNNNNNNNNNNNNNNNNNNNNNNNNNNNNNNNNNNNNNNNNNNNNNNNNNNNNNNNNNNNNNNNNNNNNNNNNNNNNNNNNNNNNNNNNNNNNNNNNNNNNNNNNNNNNNNNNNNNNNNNNNNNNNNNNNNNNNNNNNNNNNNNNNNNNNNNNNNNNNNNNNNNNNNNNNNNNNNNNNNNNNNNNNNNNNNNNNNNNNNNNNNNNNNNNNNNNNNNNNNNNNNNNNNNNNNNNNNNNNNNNNNNNNNNNNNNNNNNNNNNNNNNNNNNNNNNNNNNNNNNNNNNNNNNNNNNNNNNNNNNNNNNNNNNNNNNNNNNNNNNNNNNNNNNNNNNNNNNNNNNNNNNNNNNNNNNNNNNNNNNNNNNNNNNNNNNNNNNNNNNNNNNNNNNNNNNNNNNNUCCCGGUACAUUCCCGGUAACUCCGAAAACCUUCCGGUAAUCAAAUGAGGUCAUCCUAUAUAUCAAUCUUCGUUUCCGGACCAUUCCGGAAACCCUCGUGACGUCCGUGAUCUCAUCCGGGACUCCGAACAACAUUCGGUAACCAACCAUAUAACUCAAAUACGCAUAAAACAACGUCGAACCUUAAGUGUGCAGACCCUGCGGGUUCGAGAACUAUGUAGACAUGACCCGAGAGACUCCUCGGUCAAUAUCCAAUAGCGGGACCUGGAUGCCCAUAUUGGAUCCUAUAUAUCCUACGAAGAUCUUAUCGUUNNNNNNNNNNNNNNNNNNNNNNNNNNNNNNNNNNNNNNNNNNNNNNNNNNNNNNNNNNNNNNNNNNNNNNNNNNNNNNNNNNNNNNNNNNNNNNNNNNNNGCAAAACAAGGUUUAAACUAAAUCUGAUCUAACUCAAAUUUGAAAAUUUCAAACAUAGACAAAUUAUAUGUUUUUAAAGCUACAGGAAAUUUGUGAGCUACUGGCAAACGUAUCACUAUCAUUGGACUUCGGGAUCAAAAGUUAUGGCCAAAACAAAACAGAAACUUUGUUGUUUUUGGAACUAGAGAGAAAAAGAGGAUAAUUGCUACAGACACGUGGCGUCCACUGAUUGGCUAAGGGUGUUUGCUGCAUAGGUUAAACAACGGAUGGCCGCUAAAUAAGAAAAUGCUUCGGUUCACUUAACUGAUGGACCGGUUCUUUUUCAGAAAACCGAAGGGGUAAGUACUUCCUAAUCUACACCGUGGGAUCUAGAUCUAAGGGAUGAAACUACACAAUACAAAAAAAAGAACAAGUAAAAAAAAGAAAAGGGAGGAGAGGUUACCUCGGCUGGGAGUAGCAGGAGCCUUCUCCGGCGAGGGUGUGCAACUCCGGCGGGGGUGGGGGAGGGGCCGGCGGGAGGAGUGGUGGAGGGGGGCGAAGGGUGGAGGGGNNNNNNNNNNNNNNNNNNNNNNNNNNNNNNNNNNNNNNNNNNNNNNNNNNNNNNNNNNNNNNNNNNNNNNNNNNNNNNNNNNNNNNNNNNNNNNNNNNNNCUGAUGACCUCCGAAAACCUUCCGGUAAUCAAAUGAGGUCAUCCUAUAUAUCAAUCUUCGUUUCCGGACCAUUCCGGAAACCCUCGUGACGUCCGUGAUCUCAUCCGGGACUCCGAACAACAUUCGGUAACCAACCAUAUAACUCAAAUACGCAUAAAACAACGUCGAACCUUAAGUGUGCAGACCCUGCGGGUUCGAGAACUAUGUAGACAUGACCCGAGAGACUCCUCGGUCAAUAUCCAAUAGCGGGACCUGGAUGCCCAUAUUGGAUCCUAUAUAUCCUACGAAGAUCUUAUCGUUUGAACCUCAGUGCCAAGGAUUCAUAUAAUCCCGUAUGUCAUUCCCUUUGUCCUUCGGUAUGUUACUUGCCCGAGAUUCGAUCAUUAGUAUCCGCAUACCUAUUUCAAUCUCGUUUACCGGCAAGUCUCUUUACUCGUUCCGUAAUACAAGAUCCCGCAACUUACACUAAGUUACAUUGCUUGCAAGGCUUGUGUGUGAUGUUGUAUUACCGAGUGGGCCCCGAGAUACCUCUCCGUCACACGGAGUGACAAAUCCCAGUCUCGAUCCAUACUAACUCAACGAACACCUUCGGAGAUACCUGUAGAGCAUCUUUAUAGUCACCCAGUUACGUUGCGACGUUUGAUACACACAAAGCAUUCCUCCGGUGUCCGUGAGUUAUAUGAUCUCAUGGUCAUAGGAACAAAUACUUGACACGUAGAAAACAGUAGCAACAAAAUGACACGAUCAACAUGCUACGUCUAUUAGUUUGGGUCUAGUCCAUCACAUGAUUCUCCUAAUGAUGUGAUCCCGUUAUCAAGUGACAACGCUUGCCUAUAGCCAGGAAACCUUGACCAUCUUUGAUCAACGAGCUAGUCAACUAGAGGCUUACUAGGGACAGUGUUUUGUCUAUGUAUCCACACAAGUAUUGUGUUUCCAAUCAGUACAAUUAUAGCAUGGAUAAUAAACGAUUAUCAUGAACUAAGAAAUAUAAUAAUAACUAAUUUAUUAUUGCCUCUAGGGCAUAUUUCCAACAUUCUCCUCCAUCUUGCAAGCAUAGAAUUUAUCGGAGGUCUCAUACCUCUCGAUCCGGGCGUUCUUCUGAAAGAUAAACUUCAACUCCUGGAACAUCUCAUAUGCUCCAUGAUGCUCAAAGCGACAUUGAAGUCCCGGUUCUAAGCCAUACAAGACUGCACAUUGAACUACUGAGUAGUCCUCCUUGCGUGCUAACCGAACGUUCUUAGCAUCUUGGUCAGCCGCGGCGGGUGGUUCAUCUCCUAGCACAGCAUUAAGGACAUAAUCCUUCUUCCCAGCUUGCAGGAGCAACUUAAGAUUACGAGCCGAGUCUACAAAGUUGCUUCCAUCAUCUUUCAACUUAGCUUUCUCUAGGAACGUAUUAAAAUUCAGGGUGACUGUCGCGUGAGCCAUUGAUCUACAACACAAAUAUAUUCAAAGUGGACUUAGACUAUGUCCAAGAUAAUUAGAGUUUAACUAAUCAAAUUACUUGCUAAACUCCCACUCAAAAAGUACAUCUCUCUAGUCAUUUGAGUGGUUCAUGAUCCAAUUCCACUAGCUCAAGUCCAAUCAUCACGUGAGUUGAGGAUAGUUUCCGUGGUAAGCAUCCCUAUGCUAAUCAUAUCAACUAUAUGAUUCAUGAUCGACCUUUCGGUCUCAUGUGUUCCGAGGCCAUGUCUGCACAUGCUAGGCUCGUCAAGCUUAAACCGAGUGUUCCGCGUGUGCAACUAUUUUGCACCCGUUGUAUGUGAACGUUGAGUCUAUCACACCCGAUCAUCAUGUGGUGUCUCGAAACGAUGAACUGUAGCAACGGUGCACAGUCGGGGAGAACACAAUUUUGUCUUGAAAUUUUAGUGAGAGAUCGCCUCAUAAUGCUACCGUCGUUCUAAGCAAAAUAAGGUGCAUAAAAGGAUUAACAUCACAUGCAAUUCAUAAGUGACAUGAUAUGGCCAUCAUCAUGUGCUUCUUGAUCUCCAUCACCAAAGCACCGGCAUGAUCUUCUUGUCACCGGCGCCACACCAUGAUCUCCAUCAACGUGUCGCCAUCGGGGUUGUCGUGCUAAUCAUGCUAUUACUACUAAAGCUACUUCCUAGCAAUAUAGUAAACGCAUCUGCAAGCACAUACAUUAGUUUAAAGACAACCCUAUGGCUCCUGUCGGUUGCCGUACCAUCGACGUGCAAGUCGAUAUUAACUAUGACAACAUGAUCAUCUCAUACAUCCAAUAUAUCACAUCACAUCGUCGGCCAUAUCACAUCACAAGCAUACCCUGCAAAAACAAGUUAGACGUCCUCUAAUUGUUGUUGCAUGUUUUACGUGGUGACCAUGGGUAUCUAGUAGGAUCGCAUCUUACUUACGCAAACACCACAACGGAGAUGUAUAAAUUGCUAUUUGACCUCUCUCCAAGGACCUCCUCGGUCAAUUUCGAUUCAACUAAAGUUGGAGAAACCGACACUCACCAGUCAUCUUUGAGCAACGGGGUUGCUCGUAGCGAUGAAAACAGUCUCUCGUAAGCGUACGAGUAAUGUCGGUCCGAGCCGCUUCGAUCCAACAAUACCGCUAAAUCAAGAAAAGACUAAGGAGGGCAGCAAAUCGCACAUCACCACCCACAAAAACUUUUGUGUUCUACUCGAGAUGACAUCUACGCAUGAACCUAGCUCAUGAUGCCACUCUUGGGGAACAUCGCAUGGGAAACAAAAAAAAUCCUACGCGCACGAAGACCUAUCAUGGUGAUGUCCAUCUACGAGAGGGGAUUUGGAUCUACGUACCCUUGUAGAUCGCACAGCAGGAAACGUUAAUAAGCGUGGUUGAUGUAGUGGAACGUCCUCACGUCCCUCGAUCCGCCCCGUGAACCGUCCCGCGAUCCCUCCCACGAUCCGCUCCGAUCUAGUGCCGAACGGACGGCACCUCCGCGUUCAGCACACGUACAGCUCGACGAUGAUCUUGGCCUUUUGAUCCAGCAAGAGAGACGGAGAGGUAGAUGAGUUCUCCGGCAGCGUGAUGGCGCUCCGGAGGUUCGUGGUGAUCUUAUCUCAGCAGGGCUCCGCCCGAGCUCCGCAGAAACGCGAUCUAGAGGAAAAACCGUGGAGGUAUGUGGUCGGGCUGCCGUGGCAAAGUUGUCUCAAAUCAGCCCUAAUACCUCGGUAUAUAUAGGAGGGAGGGGAGGGGCCUUGCCUUGAGGCUCAAGAGAGCCCCAAGGGGUCGGCCAAAGGGGGGAGGAGGAUUCCUCCUCCAAUCCUAGUCCAACUAGGAUUGGAAGGUGGAGUCCUUCCCUUCCUUCCCACUUCCCCUUUUUUUCUCUUUGAUUUUUCUUAUCUCGUGCGCAAGGGCCUUCUUGGGCUUGCCCACCAGCCCACUAAGGGCUGGUGUGGCACCCUUAAGGCCUAUGGGCUUCCCCCGGGUGGGCUGCCCCCCCCCCCCCGGUGAACAUCCGGAACCCAUUCGUCACUCCCGGUACAUUCCCGGUAAUGCCGAAAACUUUCCGGUAAUCAAAUGAGGUCAUCCUAUAUAUCAAUCUUCGUCUCCGGACCAUUUCGGAAACCCUUGUGAUGUUCGUGAUCUCAUCCGGGACUCCGAAAAACAUUCGGUAACCAACCAUAUAACUCAAAUACGCAUAAAACAACGCCGAACCUUAAGUGUGCAGACCCUGCGAGUUCGAGAACUAUGUAGACAUGACCUGAGGGACUCCUCGGUCAAUAUCCAAUAGCGGGACCUGGAUGCCCAUAUUGGAUCCUACAUAUUCUACGAAGAUCUUAUCGUUUGAACCUCAGUGCCAAGGAUUCAUAUAAUCCCGUAUGUCAUUCCCUUUGUCCUUCGGUAUGUUACUUGCCCGAGAUUCGAUCGUCAGUAUCCGCAUACCUAUUUCAAUCUCGUUUACCGGCAAGUCUCUUUACUCGUUCUGUAAUACAAGAUCCCGUGAGUUUCACUAAAUCACAUUGCUUGCAAGGCUUGUGUGUGAUGUUGUAUUACCGAGUGGGCCCCGAGAUACCUCUCCGUCACACGGAGUGACAAAUCCCAGUCUUGAUCCAUACUAACUCAACGGACACCUUCGGAGAUACCUAUAGAGCAUCUUUAUAGUCACCCAGUUACGUUGUGACGUUUGAUACACAUAAAGCAUUCCUCCGGUGCCAGUGAGUUAUAUGAUCUCAUGGUCAUAGGAAUAAAUACUUGACACGCAGAAAACAGUAGCAACAAAAUGACACGAUCAACAUGCUACAUCCAUUAGUUUGGGUCUAGUCCAUCACAUGAUUCAUCCAAUGAUGUAAUCCAGUUAUCAAGCAACAACACCUUGUACAUAGUCAGAAGACCCUGACUAUCCUUGAUCAACUGGCUAGCCAACUAGAGGCUUGCUAGGGACAGUGUUUUGUCUAUGUAUCCACACAUGUAUCUAAGUCUUCAUUCAAUACAAUUAUAGCAUGGAUAAUAAACGAUUAUCUUGAUACAGGAAUUAUAAUAACAACUUAUUUAUCAUUGCCUCUAGGGCAUAAUUCCAACACUCGCGGCCAUUGAGAGAGUGCGCAGACGACAGGCGUCUCGGGUGACAUGGCUGCGGGCCAGAGACGCCAGGAUGGCUUUCUUCCAGGCGAAAAUCGACUCUAGACGGCAGAAAAACUUCACCCACUCACUCCAUACCAACGAUUCAGUAGCCACUAGUCACAAUGACAAAGUUGCGGCCAUCCAUGUGCACUUUACAUCUACCAUAGGAAAGACAGCGCAAAGGGUCUAAACAUCAACUGGGACAUGAUCGACCUACCUUCACUGCCGGCUGGGGGCCUCAACAGCCCUUUCACUAAGGGUGAGGUAUGGCACGCGAUCUACAGCUCCCCACAAGAAAAAUCACCCGGACCGGACGGCUUCAAUGGUUCCUUCUUCAGGAGCUGGUGGGCAAUCAUCAAGGAGGAAAUCAUGGUUGUGUUUGAUCAAUUCUAACACUUGGCCGGUGGGAGCUUUGCUAGGUUAAACGAGGCAACGGUAGUGCUGCUACCGAGGAAGAACGGGAUGACUACGGUGUAGGAUUUUAGACCCAUUAGCUUAAUCCACUCGAUAGAUAAGUUAGUGGCAAAGGUUAUUUCCAUCAGGCUUGGGUCGGUCAUCCACCACAUCAUCUCACCCGCGCAGUUGGGCUUCCAACGCACCAAAUGUAUACACGACAGCUACCUCUUUGUGCAAAACACAGUCUGCUCACUCCACCGUAAGAAGACACUGGCAAUGCUCACGAAGGUAGAUAUCGCUAAGGCAUUCAACAUGGUGUCAUGGGAAUACCUGCUAGAGCUGCUGCAAAAGCUAGGUUUUAGUGCUAGAUGGAGGGACUGGGUGACAUUCCUGACACCCUCUGCAUCAUCGUCGGUGCUGCUCAACAGAAACGCCGGAGAAAAGGUUAUACACCGUUGCGGCCUCAGGCAGGGAGACUCCAUGUCCCCUUUCCUGUUCAUCAUCGCCAUAGACCCGCUACACCACCUGCUCUUGGCCACGACGAAAAACGGUAUGCUCCAACCCAUCCCCGACCGCAACAAUCGCCUUCACGUUAGCCUGUACGCCGAUGAUGUUGUCAUCUUUGUUAACCCGCAACGGAAGGAGAUCAGCUGUCUCAUGCACAUGCUCGAGAGGUUCGGUACGGCCUCUAGCCUCCGCAUCAACCUAGCUAAAUCAUCGGUUCCGCCGAUUAGAUGUGAGGGAGCGGUUGCCCCUUUUCCUAUCAAAUACCUAGGGUUGCCAGUAUCCCCGACCGUCUUCGCCUAGUCCACCUCCAGUUUAUCAUAGAUAGGAUCAAGGCCCGACUUGCUGGAUGGAAGGGGAGGCUCAUGCAUAUUGUCGGUCGUCGCGUCCUCAUACGUUGUGUGCUCUCCGCCAUGCCAACCUUCGCUCUAACCGUGAUGCCGAUCCCAAAAAGUUGAUCAAAGAGAUUGACAAAAGCAGGUGUCGUUUUCUCUAGAUCAAGUAAGAUGAGCUUUCUGGAGUUGGCUGCAAGGUCAACUAGACCACAGUCUGCUCACCAACAAAUCUUGGAGGCGUGGGGAUACAUGACCUGCACAAGUUCAGCAGAGCUCUUUGGCAGCGAUGGCUCUGGCUGCCCUGGCGCCAUCCCGAGCUGCCUUGGGAGGGCUCGGAGGCACCAUGCAAUGGAUAAGACAGGGCCCUGUUCGCGGCGGCCACAUCUGUGGCCAUCGAUGACAGGCGCUCCGCCUCAUUUUGGCACUCCUCUUGGCUGAACCAAGGCACAUUAGCUCAGCAAUUCCUGGGACUCUACAAACACUCGAGAAGGAAGCACAUAACGGUUCGAGAGGCACUCAAGGGUGAUACUUGGAUCAAGGACCUAGCACACGGCAACAACCACCACCUAGUGCAAAACUUCCUAUCUUUGCACCGAUUGGUGGGAGGGCUUGAGAGCCAACUCCAUGAAGAAAAUCCACACUCCAUCAUCUGGCACAGGGAGAGCUCUGGGCAGUACUCGACGUGGUCGGCGUACUUAAUGCAGUUUCAAGGGAGAAUUGCAUCGUGCUUUGACCACCUUAUCUGGAAGGUCUGGGCAUCGGGGCCAAUGAAGAUAUUGACAUGGCUAAUGCCCCAAAACAGGUUGUGGUGCAACGACAAAUUGCAGAGACGGGAUGGUCCAAUGAGUACUUCUGUCAGCUAUGCGUUCGUAAUUUGGAAUCAAGCAAACAUCUGUUCUGGACCUGCCCAAAAUCUCAGGAGGUUUGAAACACAAACGGGCAAUGGGAGGGAUGCGCCACACUAAAACCCAGGGAAUAAUGGCAACGCGCAUCCACACUAAAACCCAGGGAAUAAUGGCAACAUCAAACGGUCACGGCCAUCGCUCUGAAUUCACAAGAGAAGGCCCCCCCCCGGAUGGAAGAAAAGAACCAACACAAUGAGGCUGCCCGCAUGUUGGGCAAUUUAGCAAGAACGCAACCAGUGCACUUUCCACAAGACAUCACCAAGUAUGAGAGCACAUCAUAAACAGAAUCACAAACUGCACGGAACAGUGGAGGCUAUGCUGCCCGCAUGUUGGGCAAUUUGGCAAAAACGCAAGCAGUGCACUUUUCACAAGAAAUCACCAAGUAUCAGAGACAUCAUAAACAGAAUCACAAACUGCAUGAAACAAUGAAGGCUGGCAGGAGCCAGAUGCAUAACGAGCCCCUUCGGGGAACCACGUGAGAUAUCGAUCUUGUAUUUUCUAUGGGGGAGGAAUUGACGAGACACCGACCUUGUAUUUCCUAUGCGGGAGGAAUUGACCGAGCUGUGGUCAGCCAACCCGGAUCCUAGGAUCAUCAUCCCACUUUGUAUUUCCCAUUGCUUUCUGCUAUCAAUGAAACUGCCAGCAAUUGCUGGAACUUUCAAAAAGAAAAAUUAGAGCUCACCAUGUUCGUGUAGGUGCUCAGUAAUCAGCACGACUCACAACACAUUACAGAGUAUUAUGAAUUUCUCUUUAUCAAAGAACAGAGUAAAGGAAUCAACGAUUAGGCAUUGUAACAUAACAGUGAAAGUGGGAAGGAAGAAACAUGAACUCCAGGUUACUUGGGCCCAUAUUUAUAAAACCAGAGGAGAAAACAAGGCUGCUUCUUAUGACAGUAUAACAUUCCUACAGAAGACAAACAUUCUUCAUGGCAAGAGACCAAUACUGAAUGACACUUUUUUUUUCUUUCAGAAAUUGGAAGCCCACAUAAGUUCAGUUUAUAUGGCAGAUUCAGGCAUUUAACCAAAAAGUAAUUCAAAUAUGUCAGCCCGACAUAUCCAACAGAAGUACAGCUUUGUGGUCGACAUAAUCAGGGCUAAUUCACGGCAUAAACACAAAUUGAACAUGAUGACUUGCACCACUCCUACUCAAACUGCUCAACAGAUAAGAAGGCAACAUAGUAAACUGAAAUACAAGUCUCUGGUCUGACCGGUUGCAUGAUCAGGGUGAAUUGAACAAGAACAACCAAACUUGCAAUCAUCAUGCUUAGUUACGGCUAAAGAAAGCAGACCAACUUGAUAGUAGUAGCUCCAAAAAAAGGCAACAGCAGUACACUCCGGACGAUGGUUGUGUCCAUUAUGCAUCGUACCACUGCUGCGCGGCACAUCAGCGAUCAGUUAGUCCUUGCUAGCGACAACAACCUGCCACGAUCUGUAAACAUUCCAAGAACAAACUCAUAAGCAACUUAAGAAUUAAUUAUUUGCUGUGCCAUGUACUUGUUGUGUUUUCAAAAGAUUACAGGAAUGGAUUUCAGAUAUCAACUUCAGCUAUGCCAGAAAGUAACAUACAGUUUUUCAAGAAUUCGAAAGCAAGGCAACAAGACAAUAUCAUAUCAACAUAUUUAUUCAAUUAUUUAGCAAUCUCCAUUUUAUCCUAGAAGCAAGUUCAUGCUUCACCCUCUACUUGACCAAUAAACGGCUCUAGCGAAAAGAAGGAAACAAUUUUAUGAGUGGUACAUUUUAUUUUAGGACAGCAUACCUUGAGUCCUUGGCAAUACCUUUCCAUGUUUGCAAUACAAGUGUAAAACAUUUGAGUUACACGGCUGUUAAACUAAAAUCGGUUAUUUACAGUUGAUUUACAGAUGGUAAAUGUUUUAUGGUGAGACUAAAUGACAACUUGGAUCUCUGUAUCUCCAAUUGUAAGUCCAAAACGUCUGAUAAUGGUACUUAGCCCUUUUGAAGACGAUACCAACACUGAACAUCAUAUUCAAGUAAAGAGAAACAACAUAGACUACACUUAAAUUUAGUUCCAAGUAGCCAAACCAAGCACUAUCCAAGCAUAAACUAAGAUAUGCCUGACACAUUGAAAACUUUUCAAGACGACCAGGAUAAUUUCGACAUAGAAACGCAGACAAUCGAUUAUAGGACUUGCACUAUCUGUAUGUAAACCACUGAACAUAAAGGAAAAUACUCAGAGAUCAGUUAGUCAUAACAAUAACAAUGUGCCAUGAUCUGAAAAGAUAACAUACACAAAACUAAUAACCAACAGUUCAACUCAGUAUUUCACUUCGGUGAGGUAUGUGCUGGUACUAAUUCUGAAGGUUACAAGACCGUCUGAUGUGAAAAAGAUCUACAGUUAUGCUAGAAAACAGAAGAGAUUACAAAAAGAAAAUCUGAAGCAAGGUUGCAGGAUAAUACAAGACCAUGAAGUUUGAGUGUGCAUUUAGCAAUAGUACUGAUGCAUAUCAUGGCCCUUAACAACUAGAAUAUGAAAGAAAAAUUACAUGCUGUUUCCCCGUGCCACAUAUUCAUUUUUCACUAGCAUUAACAAAAAUGUACCGAUAAUUGUCGAAGAACCAGAACCAACUAUCUAAGCGAACAUACAGAAGCUGUCCAGAUAAUACAUGACCACCAUGCAAGGGCCAGUAUGAUACCUGGAGUGUAGAAGCUCAUGUAGGGCAGGACGCUAAAGUAUUCCCCAGACUCGCCAACCUUCUUAAGCUGCCCAGAACUGAGCUUGAUCAUAAAUAAGCCAACACAUGUGCUAAUGAAAAUGACACCCACACCCUCCGCAAAGCCGGCCACAAAUGGUUUGUCAUCAGGAGGAUUGGCAACAGGAAUUGUUUUCUCCAGCUCGAGGACCCUGUAUUGUACCCAAUCAGCAGCUUCUUCUGUAUCCACCUUCCUUGACCACAUAUAAAGACUGGAGCCCCGUAUGCAGGCAAAGCCAAGUGAACUGUUCUCCAUGGCCAUGAGGGCAACGUCGUACACGUCCUCUGCCGGUGGCUCAAUCAUGGAUAAGCAAUUCUUGCCCAAGUCAUACUUGACGAUUGGAUUACCCCACCGAACUGUGAAGUAGACUGCAUCUCCAACAAGGGUGCCUCGCCUAGGCUGGAGAUAGGGUAUGUAGUAUGCUCUAUCUGCAAGCCCCUCUCGCAUAUGCUGGGCAUAGACUUCACAGCUCUUGUCAAGACACACAGGCUCGCUCCACACACCCGUCUCUGAUGAGUAGACGCUCGCAAAUAUGGUAUCUUUGUAGUCGUGGGUGGCCGCGAAGACCACGCGGAAGGGGCCGCCGUGGCAGUCGAGGUGGUCGCAGCCGUCGGCGGCACAGAGCACCACCGCAGACUCGAUCAGCCAAUCGAUGUCCGGCGAUGGCACG
rnacentral:lncRNA from 1 species